UAUGCAUUCCAGGGUACAAACAUCUAAGUUUUGGUAGAUCUUGGAGUUUCAGAGUGGUGAGCUGUGGAAAGACAAAAUAAGGGAUCACUUGAUCUGCUCUGUUUUCAGAAAUGAUCUCCUGUAAAUCCUCACAGAAGCGUAUAUCUAGGUGUUGGAGCUGCUUAAGGCUUCCGAUCAUAGAUGCUGAAAAUAUGUAUUUUAAUUUGUGACAACGCCACACAAUCAAUCGUGUUAAACUCUGAAAGUGAGGAAACACGGCCGCCGGAAUUUGAUUGCAAUGCCAAAUCUUGGCGACAUCAAUUUGAGAUAUCUCCAAAGCCUCCAAGUUAGGCAACGCAACCUUAAAAAAUAAGAAUUUCUCGUUAGAUCCAAUAUCCAUAUGGGAAGCACUUGUUGAAAUUUCCUUCUUUGAUUACAAAUUAAUGCAAGUCAGAAUCAAUUUCCAACUGACAGCUGAGUUUGAUGCAUUCUAAUUCAUACUACUUGUUAAGAGCUCAAUUAGUAAGCGUGUGAGAUUCUUUUUAUCCUUUUUUCCAUUUUCUUGCAAUUCUUUAAAUGAUUUAAUUAUUUUCCACGUAUGACGUCAAAAGAGAACGCAUGAUAGAAUAAAAUCUGUUAUAUAUAUAUAAAGAAAAUGUUAGCCUACGCACCUUCUCGUUGAAAAGCAGAGUUGAAGUAUCCAAAGUGAUUUCGCUGGAGCUAUACGUAGUCGUCGAUUCCUCUUGCGACGCUCGUCUGUUCGGUGAUGCUGAAGGAGUCUUUACUUCACGGCAAAAACUUGUAACCUCUGGAAGAUUCCCCAGACUCAAAGAUCUUAAUUGAGCAAACUCUAUCUUCUCAAUUGCAUUAUCAACUUCUUCCCCAAUUGCAAAAAUCUCUUUCAUCUUGCUGCAAUUAAUAACUGCAAUUCUCUCAAGUCUUGGAAGGCAUUUUGUUGUAGAGAGCCAAAAGAUAUUACUCAAUUUAUCACAAUUAUAUGCUUGUAUGAUUUUGAGUUCGUUGAAGGACUCUACUUUGAGCCGAUCAAUACAUAUCCUCUCCAUGUUGAUCAAAUUGUGAAGGCCAAGUGACUCCAAAAGAGGAAAGGCAUCAGAAGCGACCAUCUCCUUUGAAUCGACGAUGCAAAAGAAGUCAGGAUUAUUUUGAACCCCGAGAAGCUUCAAUUGUGAAAAGCCCUCCGUGUCCAAAUUGAAAAUAACGUUCUUGAUACCUCGCAGCUUGUCCAACAAUAAGUAUUCAACUUUAUUGAUGCCCUGCAAUUUGAUGGAGCAAAUGUCCAUAAAAUCAAGCUUGAGCUUCAAUGCUCUUGAAAACUUGCGAUUACUGUCGAUCAAAAAGUGCGGCCGACUUUCAAACCAAUAUUGUCCAAAAAGCACGGGAUGCCUGAAUGACUCAUUUCCAAUAGAUAUUUUGAACCUUUCGAGCUUUCUGGCCAAAAAACCUUCUGGUAAAAUACUGUCAUUUUUAACGUCAAUUUCUAGAGCGGUUAGCCGAGGUAAAUGCAUCAAUUCGUCAAGGCUAGCAUUACUUCUUUUGCUGUUGGCUCUUUCAACCUCCCAUUCAAUGAAGCAAUUACCCAUAUACAAUUCUUCUAAUCGGAUUAAGCUUGAUAUGACAUUUGGGGCAAUAACUUUCAGAAGGAAACAGUCUGUUAAAUCUAACAGCCUUAGCUUAGACAGUUGACCUAGUUCUUCGGGCAACUUCUUAAUAUCAGACUUCAAAAAGCUAAGGACUUCUAGAUUCUUCAACUUCCCAAUGAUUGCUAUGUCGCCCAACGCACUUUGAUCCAGACAUAGUGUGUGAAGAUUUACUAGAAGAUCAAUUGAAGAUGGAAAUGAAGAAAACUGCAUUCGAGUAAAAUCUAGAACUCUAAGCUUUUUCAUCCCUACAAAAAAGUUCUCAGGAAUAUUGAUUUCAAGAGAAGAAUCUUUGAGAGAGAGAUAUAAAAAUUCAAGGUUUGGGCAUUCUAAUCCUUCAGGAAAUUCACGAUUACUAUUAUUUCUUAAAGAGACAGCAUUGCAUUUUCGAAGUGCAUCCUCAUCUGGCCAGUCCCACACAUCCUCAUUUUCGGCCAAAAAUACAUGUUGGUGGCGGCAUGCAAUUGAUAUGGCGACAUCGCGAACAACAUCAUGCAUUGAAAAUUCUUCAUUGCUAUCACCCUCAAGCAACAAACAAGAGUCUCUAAGUUCAUGGACCAAUGCAUAUAAUUUGUCUCGUGCAUCUUCCAUCUUAUUGACUCCUUUAAAUAUACCCAAACCCAUGGAGUACUUAAACAGGUCCAAAGUAUGAAUACCGUUACCCAUUAGACUACCGAGGAGAAAAAUUUUCUUGAGUUGCUCACCUUUUAAAUGGUUGAAACUCAGCUCAAUACUUGAAUAAGUCUCUGCAGAUACUCCUUCGAAGUUCACCAUUGAAGGCGUUCGGAGUUCGCGCAAGGAAUUCUUCCAUUGAUGCGGACUCUUGCUUCUCAGUGCCUUUGCUACCGUACUCAAGGCAAUGGGCAAACCUCCACAUGCCCUGGCGACGUCUAUUGCUGUAGAUUUCAACUCACGAUUUUCAACAUCAUCACCGGCCAUCAUCUUAAACAAUCUCCAAGCUUCUUCUUCAUUUAAAUUGUUAAUCAAGAAGUUGUCUUUAGAUCCCAUUUUCAAGAGGACACUACGAUCUCUUGCCGUCAGCAGUAGUUUGCAUCCUUUAUGAUCUUCCCCAAAAGGAAUUCCAACGGUCUCCAAAUCAAGGUGUUUCCAGAUGUUAUCCAGAAUCACAAGGAUCUUCUUCUCAUUUCUCAAUCGCUCAUAUAGCCUACUUGCUCUUCUAGAUUCAACUUCCUCGUGCAACUCCAGGCCCAACUUCUCGGCAAUUUCCUGUUGAAUCUUUUUUAUGUCUGGAGUUUGCGAAACCUCUGAAAAGACCACCAUAUCAAAGUGCUUGUCUUCCAGAGCUUGCCUGGCGACCUUCUUCACCAGUGUCGUCUUUCCAAUGCCGCCCAUGCCGUACACCCCAAUGAUGCUGACAUUAACAUCGAUCAAUGCGUUUUUUAUAGCCUCCAAAGUAGAACGUCUUGAUUCGAAGGCCUCGUAGCCUUUGUGAGACUUGAGCCAUAUAUCCUCCGGAACAGUACGGUAGGAAAUUCUAUCAUCAAAUCUCCCAGCUUCUUCUCGGAGUUUAAAAAGGGCCUCCUUCUCUGUUUCUGCUUCCUUUCCAUGCUGAUAGCGAGUAAUCCAAUUAGGAAACAGCCCCAUGAGACAUCGUUCAUUUGCUUUCUCUUCGUCUUGAAUGAAUUUGGCUGCCUGCUCAAUGCUCUUGUUCGCAUUAACUAGCCAUUUCUCAACCUUCUCUUCAAUCUUUUCACUUUUUCUUUCAGCCUCAGAAACUCUGCGCUGAAUGCUUUCUCUUUCAUCCUUGAGCCUAUCGAGUUCUGCCUUGAGAUUCUCAAAGUUGGCAGAGGAGUUAUACCAAUAACUAAAUUCGCGUUGUGCGUGAGGAGACAAGCAGUUUACAACUCCUGGAACAAUGCUUUUCAAAAUGUCCAUUUUUUUUUUCUUUUUUGGGGAAGUGAACGAAAUAGAAAUAGAACAGAGUCAACGACCGCGCAAUUGAUAAUUAAGUAGAAAACAAGGCAAAAUUGAAAAAAGAAAUUAUAUUUGUACAAAACAAGGGGAAAAUCAGUGUAACAGAAGAGAAUCAAAGUGUUUUUGAGAUCAGAAAAUUGAACCAAGAAAAGGGUUGCUUGAUCCAAUGAAAAUGCAAAGAGCAUGGCAAAAGGAAACAAAGCUAAAUAAGAAAACGGUUAGCACGAGCAGUGACCACGAUCAACAGAAGCAAAGUGUGUAUGAGAUCAAAAGACGAAAAUCAGGAGAGGUUUUCUUGAUUGAGAAUUGAAGGCAAAGAGUAGGAGCUGACGAAUACGGGGAUCAAGAGGGAAAAACUGCUUGCUCGUAAAACUGCUUUCAAGCGAAUCUGAUAAAAUUAUUUCAGUACAAGUGGGCGACUCCCUUUUAAACUGCAGAAGGAAAAAAAAAAAAAUUCUGAUUUUCAAUAUAUUAAUCUCGUAAUCAAUGAUUAAUUAGUAGAUAAUCUUUCUAACAAAUAUGUGUUGAAUAGAUAUAUUUCUUGAUUAUUCGUAGGUUCGAUAUACUUUAGUAUAGGAAUGAAAGUACAAAUUGUGUCAUAUUAGAAUAAAAAUUAGACCUAAAAAUAUUGUCAUAAAACAUGUGAUCCUCAUCCAAAGGCCAGGUGAACAAAUAUAAACGACAAAUUCUUUUCAAUUAAAUAAUCAUCAAGUGAUAAUAUUCUAUUUCAGUACAAAUAGCGAGUGCAGAACAACUGUCAAGAGAUAAUCAUUGUUUAUGGAGCCAUAUAUAUUUUCUAUUAAAAUAGUUGCGUGAACAAUAGCCAGAAUCCGAAAAAAUUGUUGAAAGGUCUAUUAUUUUCGUUUAAAAUUGUUGAAAGGUCUAUUAGUUUCGAUUAAAAUAUUUUCGAUAAAAAUAGUUGUGUGAACAAUUACCAUAAAUAGUGUUUACAUUUUGGAUUGGACUGAGAAUCUUGAAGAGUGGAAAUCUUAGAAUUGAGAGUAUGGAGUAGAAGUGGGUGUAAGUUGUUUACUUACACUGAAAUAUAAGCAUGGAAUGAAGAUUAUAAUCCAAUUUAUGUAUUUACUUUAUCUUGGAUUGGGAGUAAAUAGUUUCAAAUUAUAAUUUUAUCUUCAUUUAAAGAAUUAUAGUUUUUAAUUACAAAGUUAAUAAAAAUAUAUAUUUAAUGAAUAAACAUUUAUUUUAUUAUAUUUAUAAAUUUAUAAUAAUUAUUAAUAUUCUUAAUUAUGUACAUCAUAUUUUUUAUUAAUUUUAAUUUUAAAUAUAUAAAUUAAAAAUUAUUGAUAAGAGCAAUGUAAAUGAAACAUUUUUACUAUUAACAUAGUACAAAAUUAAUAUUUUCUUAUAAUUAACUAUUUAUUAUUACUAAUUAUUGAUAUUAAAUAAAUAUAAUACUAUUAUUUUUAAAUAAAUAUAAUAAUAUUAUAUUUUCAAAUAAAGAUAGUAUAUAGUAAUAUUAUUAAUUCUCUAUUAAUAUAAUAAUAUUAUUUUAAGUAAUUUAAACUUAGAAUCAAACCAAAUUAUUAUUUAGUUAAAUAUAAUAUUAUUAUUUAAAUAAAUAAAAUAUUAUUUAUUUUAUUUUAUUAAAAAUAAUUAUAGUAAAUUUAAUAAAAGGGGGUUAAAAAAGGAAGGUAAAUAUAAAAUGAAAUAUUAUUUUAUUUAAUUAUAUUAAAUUUAUUAUUAUAUAAAUAAUAAUAUAAUAUUAUUUAGUAUAAAAUUAAUAUUUUCUUAGAAUAAACUAUUUAUUAUUAUUAAUUAUUAAUAUUAAAUAAAUAUAAUACUAUUAUUUUUAAAUAAAUAUAAUAAUAUGAUAUCUUCAAAUAAAGAUAGCAUAUAAUAAUAUUAUUAAUUCUCUAUUAAUAUAAUAAUGUUAUUUAUUUUAUUUUAUUAAAUAUAAAAUAUUAAAUUUAAUUAAAUAAAGGUAGAAAAGGGAGAGGUGGGAGUGGAUUUCCCAUGGGAGUCCCACUCACACUCCCCACUCCAAAAAUGGGUGGGGUCCACGGAGUGGGAUUUCCAACCCCUCCUUAAAAUGGUGAAGUAAACACUGGAGUGGGAGGAAUGCACACUGCUCACACUCACCCCAGAAAAUAAACACCGAAAAGGCCAGAUGAUGAAGAACCACUAUAAGUUCUUUUAUGAAUUUAAAAUGCUAAAGAAACUUGACACCAACGCUAAGCUAACAAGUGCAUAUUUUUCUGUGGCCCUUGCCUCAAUGUCUUUUGGGCAUUGCUCGGGGGUAGUUGAUAUAUUGAUUAAAAUAUGAAUGAAUUGGAAUGGAAUGAGUUGGAAUUAAAAUAUGGAAUAGUAAUUAAUUAAUUAAUUUAAAUUGUAAAAAUUAAAAUAAAAAUAAAUUAUAUCAUCAUUGAUAUAUUUAUUUUAUUUUAAAAUCACGAUGAGUUGUUACAAAUUACAAAAUAUCUUUAAUUUUUUAUCAUAAUAAUAAUAAUUUAUUAUAAUAUUUUGUUGGCCUAAAUGGUUAUAUAAUCCUUGAUUUUGAUGAUAACAAACUACAUAGAGUACAAUAGUAAAUUUAUUUCUCACAAUCUCACAAGUUUUUGAAGGGCAAAAAUCAUUCAAGUGGGAUCAAGAUCAAGAUACUCAAUAGACAAUGACAAUCAAGGACGAAUACUAAGGGUACUAGUUUAAGCCAUCUUUAUUGUUAAAUUUCUUGUAAAGCCAGUGUAAUUUAACGUGUGCAUGAUGUAACAUUUAAAAGCUCAAGACAUUUUUCAUGACAUUUUCAAAUUAAAUCAUCAUUUUCUAAAAUAUAAAAGUUUUAACGAUUUUAUAAAAUUAGUUGCUUUUUCCAAAUUUAUGAACUAAAUUGAAAAGUUUUGAGAACUUUGAAAUCAACUAAUAAUGUUUUAAAACAUAGAAAUUGACAUAUUUGUAAAUAUUUCAAACGUUUUGGGUCGUAAUAUAAUUUCAAAAAAAUUAGGUCUAAUCUAUAAAUCCUGGAACAAUAGUGGCUAAUCGCUUAACCAAUAGCGACUAACUACUUCAAGUCCAAAAACAUAGCAGCUAACCGCUUAAAUCAAGUGACAAUCCGCUUGAACCAAAGUUUUCAAAUUUGAUUUGCAACUGUAACUUACCAUAUCAACAUAGUGGCUAAUCGCCUCAUUUUAACGGCGAUCCAGCAAGUCCCUAGAAAAGCCAAUAAUUGCUAGUUUGAUUAUUUAAACUAUAAAAUUCAAAUCUAACAAUUUUUUUUUUCAAUCUCAAUUAAGCUAAAACUUAUUCAUAUAUCUUGAGCUUUCAUUUUGCUUAUCUACAUACAUUAAUCAUUAUAGAGCUAUCAUUUGCUUAUACACUCUUAUAGAGUGUAAUCUUUGUAAUCUUCAAUUAAAUAUCAAAAUUGAGUGAGUAUAAGUGUGGGAAACACUUGGGAAAAGAGGUGUGUGUAUACAUAAUUACUUGUAAAGGUUUAUUGACACCUUAGAAGUCAAUUGUAAAAUUUUGGAGCCUUGGAAGGUUUGGAUAGUAGAAUUCUCAAGUUUGGAUUGCUUGGAGGCGUAGUCAUAGGCGGGUUUGCCGAACCACAUAAAAAUUCAUGUGUUUGUUAUCUUCUCCCUUAUCUUUUUAAUUUCACGUAUAGUUAAAUUUACCAUUAUUAAAUUUCUUGAAGUAUUUGUUUAAUUUGUAUUGUGUUUUUGUUAGUAUAAUUUUUAAUACCUAAUUCGCCCCCCUCUUGGGUUGCUUAGCUAGAAUUUCAUUUGGUAUCAAAGGAAGUUCUCUUGUUAGGACUUAACCAUCUAGAGUAAAAGAUCCAUAGUAAUCCAAAAUGAUCCCAGAUUUGGGGAAGGUUAAUCCCUUACUAGAUCACCAUUCUUUGAUGGGAAUGAUUAUCCAUGUUGGAAAAUUAUGAUAAGAAUUUAUUUGCAAGCAUUAUAUUAUGAAAUAUAGGAAGUUGAUUGUGAUGGUCCAUUCAUGCCUACUGCUAAAAAUGAAGAAGGGAAAGAAAUUCUAAAACCUUCACAAGAAUGGAAUGAGUCGGAAAAGAGAAAAGAUUCUCUUAAUUUCAAAGUCAUGAAUGCUUUGUUUUGUGACUUAGAUAAAAAAGAAUUCUAUAGAGUUUAAGGUUGUUCCAAUGCUUAUGAAAAUUGGAAAAAACAUAAAGUCAUUUAUAAAGCUACAAAUCAAGUCAAAUAGUCUAAAAUUAGUAAAUAUACUAGGCAAUACGAAUUGCUAUAAAUGGAACAAAAUGAGAGUGUUAAUCCCAUAUACACUAGAUUAACAGACAUUAUAAACACUUUAGGAGCUCUUAGAAAGACUUUUUCAAACAGCGAAAAGGUAAAAAAAAUCAGUAGGUCUUUACCAAAAGAAUAGAGACCUAAGAAAAUUCCCAUUGAGGAAGCCAAUGAUAUUUUAUCUAUUGAUGAUUUAAUUAGUUCAUUUAUUUCUUAUGAAAAGGAUUUGACAACUGAAAAAUAUAAUGAAGACGAGAAGAAGAAGAGUUUUUCCUUAAAAGCAUCAAGAUCUAAAAGUGACAACGAAAGUGAGAUCGAAAAUGAAGACAUGGCUAUGAUAGCUGGAAAAUUCAAAAUAAUUUUCAAGAAAUCCAUCGAGCGAAGGAAAUUCAAAAAUUAGAAAGAGAAGAAGGAGGCAAUUAUUUUCUUUAAAUGCAGGAAGCCUAGACACAUAAAACUAGCAUGUCCUUUUCUCAAAAAAUUAAAGAAGAUAGCCAUGGUAGCAACACGGGAUGAUAGCGAUAAGGAGACUAUAGAUGAAGAGUAGUCCCAUGAAGUGUCAAAUUUGGCACUUAUGGUUAUAGGAGAUGAACUUGAUGAGGUAAACCUCUUAGGAUGAGUUGUUUGAAGUAUUCUCUAAAUUGCAUAAAGAUGUAAAGAAGAUUGAAAUGUAAAAUGUUUCUCUUGGAAAGAAAAAAGUAGAACUUUUAAAUGAGAAUGACACUUUGAAUAAAAAGAUUAAGUGCCUAGAAGUAUUUGUGAAGAAAUUGCAUCUUUUAAAGAAAAAACAAAAUGUUUCAUCUAAGAAUAAAGGUUUACUUGUAAAUGAUUUGAAAAAGAAAAAUGAAAUAUAUUGCUUUAGAAUUUGCUUAGUAUUAGUCAAUUGUGUGAUAAAUGUUACAAAGUUAUUUUUAUGUGAUAAAGACUAUAGAGUUAUUUUUUAUAAAACAAAAUGUGUUAUUAAAAAUACAUGUGAUGACAAAGUUUUAUUUGUUACAUAAAGAUGUGUUAAUGUAUACACCAUUGAUAUAGAUAGUGUAUCAACUCAUGAUAAAUGUUUUUUUCACAUUACAUGAUGAUAGUUGAUAUGGCAUGGAAGACUAGGUCAUGCGAGCAUGGAUUUGUUUUCAAAAUUUUUUAAAAAUGAUUUGGUUAUAGGUCUUCUAAAAAUUGGUUCUAAAAAAGAUAAAAUUUGUGAAGUUUGCCAAUUUAGAAAACAAAUAAAACGUCCUUUAAAAAAAAUUCAUAUUUCUACUUCAAAACCACUUUAACUUUUUCACAUGGAUUUGUUUGAAUUUUCUAAAUAUGCUAGUUUAAGUGGUAAAUAUUAUGCAUUUAUAAUUAUAGAUGAUUAUUCUAUAUACACAUGGUAUUACUCUCAACUAAUAAAGAUGACACCUUUAAUGCUUUCAAAGUUUCUAUAAAAAGGUUCAAAAUGAAAAAUGAUAUGUUAUUUCUUGCAUUAGAAGUGAUCAUGGUGGAGAAUUUGAAAAUUAUAUUUUGAAAAUUUUUACAAUAACUUUGGCAUUGAGCAUCAAUUCUUGUUACCAAGAACUCCAUAAUAAAAUGGAGUAGUUGAGAGAAAGAAUAGGUCUAUCCAAGAAAUGGCUAGGACCAUGUUAAAUGAAAAUGUUUUACUAAAAUAUUUUUGGGUUGGAACCGUCAACAUUGUUUGUUAUAUUUUAAAUCGUGCAUUGAUUAGACCUUACCUCAAUAAAACUCCUUAUGAGUUUUGGAAAAAUAGAAAAACAUUGACUAUUUCAAAGUUUUUGGUUGCAAAUGUUUUCUAUUGAAUACAAAAGACAAUCUUGGUAAAUUUAAUCUAAAAUCUGAUGUUGAUAUUUUUCUUGGGUAUUCAAAUACAAGCAAAACUUAUAGAGUGUAUAAUAAAAGAUCCUUGGUCGCUAAAGAAUCUAUACAUGUUAUAUUUGAUGAAUCUAACUUUUCUUCUAUGAAGAAAGUUGUUGUUGAUGAUGAUGCAUAUGAAGAGUUACAAAAACAAAAAGUCUUUAAAAGACAAACAAGAUGAUUUACCGGUAAAAAUCAAGAUGAGCAACAAGAAAAACAAGUUAAACAGAUUCAAAAUGAAGGUAAUUCACAAACACUCUCUAAGGAGCUAAGGUAUGUCUCUUCACACCCUAAAGACUUAAUCUUAGGAGAUCCUUCAUGAGGUGUAACUACUAGAUAAUCACUUAGAAAUACAUGUGAACAUACUGUAUUCAUAUCUCAAGUUGAGCCAAAAUCCUUUUCAGAUGUGGAAAAUGAUGAAUCUUGGAUUAUAGCAAUACAAGAAGAGUUAAAUCAAUUUGAAUGAAACAAUGUAUGGAAACUUAUUCAUAAACCAUAACAUCAAUCUGUAAUAGGCAAUAAAUGGGUAUUUAGGAAUAAAAUCGAUGAAUCUGGUGUAGUUGUAAGGAAUAAAGUUAGAUUAGUAGCUCAAUGAUGCAACCAAGAAGAAGAAAUUGAUUUUGAUGAAACCUUUGCACAUGUAUCGAGAUUAGAAUCCAUUACAUGCUUUUAUCAUUUGCAUAUCAUAAUGAUUUUAUUUUAUAUUAAAUGGAUGCUAAAAGCACCUUUCUAAAUAGUUGUAUUAUGAAGGAAGCUUAAGUGAAACAACCCCCUCAUUUUAAAAAUGAAAAAUGUUUUUGGAUCAUGUUUACAAGUUGUCCAAAGUUUUAUAUAGUUUAAAGUAAGCAUCUAGAGCAUGAUAUGAUAGACUUAGUAAAUUUCUUUUAGAAAAUAGUUUUUCAAUGGGUAAAGCGAAUACUACUCUAUUUGUUAAAUACAAGGAUCAAGGUAUACUUGUUCAAAUUUAUAUUGAUGAUAUUAACUUUAGUUCUAUUAAUGAGUUUCUGUGUAAGGAAUUUUCAUCUUGCAUAAGUAGAGAAUUUGAGAUGAGCAUGAUGGGAGAAUUGAAGUACUUUCUUGGACUUCAAAUUUAAAAGAAAAAAAAGAAUUCAUUAAUCAAGCCAAGUAUUUCAGAGAUCUACUCAAAAGAUUUUGCAUUCAGGACUAAGGACACUCCAAUGAGAACUACAAUCAAUCUCGAUAAGGAUAAAAAAAGUAAAGAUGUUGUAUCAAAAGAUAUCGAGGUAUGAUCAUAUUUUUACUUUACUUUACUACUAGUAGACAUUACUUUAGUGUAUGUUUGUGUGCAUGAUUUCAACCAGAUCUCAAAGAAUCUCAUUUGCUUGCGGUUAAAAGAUUUUUUUCAUUAUUUAUGAGGAACAAUUGAUCUUGGUCUAAGGGAACUCAUAUAAAUUAUUAGCUCAAUAAAUUUUUCAAAGAAUCCCAUUCAACAUUCUAGGACCAAACAUAUUGAAAUUAGGCAUUAUUUCUCACGUGAUCAUGUUCAAAUGAGAGAUAUUGCUUUAGAAUUUGUUUCUAUAGAAAAAUAUCUUGCUGAUAUUUUUACAAAUCCUUUUUGUGAAGAAUAGUUUUCAAAGAUUUGGAUUGAGUUUGGAAUGAUGACAUUUUCACAUCAAUAUUUCAUUGCAUGAUAUUGAGACUACAAAUUUGCUUGAUUUUCUAUCUUGAUUUUAAUGUGUUAUAUGCUUGAAUUUACUUCUUUGAAUGUUUAUCAUCAUAUCUUAUGCAUUAAAAAUGGCUUUUGAAAUACUUCGGGAUCACAAAAUGGUCUCAAAAUUAAUUAAAUUUUGGCCAAAAAGCAAAAUCGUGCAAAAUUUAGGGGAACUAGCUAACCGUUAACAACAAGCGACUAGCCAAUUAUGAGGCAGAAACUAGCUGGUCAGUAGGGUUGGCAAUGGGACGGGAUGGGAUGGGAUUUACCAAUCCCAGUCCCAUCCCGUAUAUGCAAAUGGGAUGAAAAAACGUCCCAAUCCCGUCCCUAUAUUUUUUUUGGGACAAAAAUAUGUCCCAAUCCCGUCCCAAAAGAGAUGGGAUCCUGCGGGAUCCCAUCCCAAUUGGAAAAUUUUUCAUUCUUAAUCGGUAAUGAGACGGGAUGGGACGGAAUUUAUCAAUCCCACUCCCGUCCCGCAUAUGUAAUUGGGAUAAAAAAAAUGUCCCAAUCCCAUCCCAAAUUUUUUUAUGGAACAAAAAUAUGUCCUAAUCCCAUCCCAAAUGGGAUGGGAUCCCGCAGGAUCCCAUCCCAUCGGGAAAAAUUGCCAUCCCUACUGGUCAGCCGGCUUAAAGCAAACGGUUAAUUGCUUGGUUUCUAAAAAUGAAACGGUUAACCGCUUUCUUCAAGAGGCUAGCUGGCUUCACGUUUUAAAUGUUGUUCAUCUUCUUUUUCCCACUUUCAGUUGUUACCCUCUCUCUAUCACUGUCAUCUCUCAUUUCUUUUACUCUCUCUCUAAAAUCUUCCGUUUUUACAUCACUUUUGUGUCAAAUUAAACUUUCCAAAUCAUUUCCCAUCAAUUAAUCUUCACUCAUUUGCUUUUAAAACACAAUCUAAUCACUCUUCUCUCAAAAUCUUAAAACCUAAGUCACCAAUUUCAACAUUCUCAAAUUUGAACCAUUAUUUGACCAUUUUUGACCAAAAUAAACCCAUACAUUCCUUAGAUCUUCUCAAAGAACAUUUUAAUCGGUUCAAAAUCAUCUAUUUCUGUAAAAACUUUGUGAACUCGAAUUUGUGCAAUUUUGGACACAUUUUGAUAAUUUCUUAAUGGCUAGUGGUGAGAAGUCUAAGGGUAAGCAUAUGCCUAAAAUGUAAAAAAAAGAUUCAUAAAGACAUUUUCAAAUUCAUUUCCACCCACUUCCCAAAUCCGCCCCAAUGGAAUGAUUCUCUGAUCGAUUUAUGACAAGGUCAGUCCUCCCAUACUAUAUAUGUUAAUCUUGAUUAAUUAGAAAAUUUGUCAAGUUGUAGCAAAACUCUUAGAACUUUACUUGCUGAAUUGGGUUGGACAAAUGUCUUAGUUCUUAAGGAACAUAUUUGUCCUAAUUUGGUACGAGUAUUUUAUUCGAACAUGCUUAUUUCUACAAAUACUGCCAAUAUGAUUAUUACUAAUGUUAUUGGGAUUCCUAUUAAGUUUACUGUAGAAGAUUUAAACAUGAAUCUCAGAUGAUAGGUUGCAUUUGUAUACAUCUAGGACUAAAAUUGAUUAUCCCUGGUAUUUAGUUGUAGAUGAUGUUUGAAACAUAGAUGUUCGAAACAUAUGUAGGUGAUCUGAUCUAUCCAUGGAGCUUUUUAACUCCUCUCUUAGAUCACAAGUGUUGCCUCUUCAAGUUCGGAUCCUACAUAAUGUUCUUUAGCUUGUGAUCAGUCCUCGCAAGGGACAUGGUGCUGAGGUUACACGCUUAGAUGUUACUUUAUUAGAUAGCAUCCUUGAGGGUAAAAGCUAAAUGUGCGAAUAUUAUCAUUCAGCACAUGCUUAAUACACUGAGUAUAGGAAACCAAUCCUUUUCGGUCGGUAGUGUCAUUACCCACAUCCUUCAAUAUUUUUGGGUCCCUAUAGCUGAACCAUCUCAUAAUGAACCCAAGGAGUUAGGGGAUGAGGUCAUUGCUAGCUUAGGAUUUGGGUGGGUAGAUGACCAAUAGGUUAAAAAUUAGAACUUGUUGAGCAAACCCACAAAGCUGGCUCUUUUUUAUCAUUGCAUCUUUAACGAUGUGCUUCCCCUUACUGGGUUCUUGAUCUUAGUUCUUCCAUGAGGUCACAAGCUCUACAUUGGCCUUCUGAUGCUCCACCAUCAUCAUCUUCAGCCAUUCCCAAUAACCCAAUCCAACAGUUGUUGAAUAAAGUGCGUUCCAUAUCCGAACAAUAAAGCAAAUUUAAGAUAUCGUUCGCAGCAUUCCAGGAUCAUUUUCUUUCUGAGCAACAACGUCUCUUUCUUCAACAAUAACAAAUUCUAGACCAUCACUAGCUUAUUUUCAUUGCUCUCAAAUUUUCGCCACCAUCCUUAUUAUCUUGUUUGCUACCUCAUCAGUGAUUUUCUUUUAUCUCUUUUGCUUCAUUGUUUUAUGCACCGACAUUAUUUAUCAUAUGCAUUUUCGUUUUUAGCAUCAUGGAUACUUGAUGGAUGUUAUUUUACUUAUGCAUUAUAGAUACUUGAGUUGAUAUGGAUUAUCUUUAUGCAUUCUAGUUAUUGAUUGUGGUAUCUUUAUUAAUUAUCUUUAUGGAUUAUCUUUAUUGAUUAUGGAUUAUGUAUAUGGAUACUUGAUUAAUGGUUAUGUGUGGAUUUUCGAUUGAUGAUCUUUGUGGGGGAUAAUUAUUGAUAAUAUUUGUAUAAUAGAGGAGUGAUUUUUCAUGAUGAAGGGGGAGAAGAUAUUGACAUGUAUUUUGAAGUGUUUUGACAUGUUUUUGGCUCAUGGGGGUUGAUUGAGUGUUUGUAGUAUUUUAGUUGCUUUCUGAGUCACUCAAGGAGAGUUUACAAAUGUUGUACAAUUAUUGUUAGCCUAUAUGGUUAUAAAUAUUGAUUUUGAUGAUAACAAACCACAUGUAUUGAUUAAGAAAAGAUUUAUUAAUUGUACUUUUAUAAUAAGAAAAUGAUGUUAUGGAAUUAAAGUAUUUUGGACUAAAAUGAAAGUAUUUUAAAAUCUUUGAUAGUGUUUUAAAUUUCGGAUUUGGACCUGUUUGAAACUAUUUAAAUAUUUUUUGAUUAUUCUAUAAUUUCAUAUAGUUUGGGUGAAAUCAUAAUUUCAGAAAGUUUUGGGAUUGACAAAGCAUUAUUUAAAAUUCUGAAAUUGGACCUAUUUGCAAAGUUUCAUAAAGUUUUGAGCCAUAAUAUAGUUUUAUAAAGUUUUGGGGUCAAACUAUAAAUUUAAAAAAUAUUUCACUGUAGCAGUAACUGUAGCAAGCGGCUUACCGGAUAUGGUUAAACGACAAACUGGAUAUUGGGCAGUAAGCGUCUGGAGCAUAAACGGCUUACCGGAUUUUGUAAGCAGCAAGCCGGAUAUUCUGAAAUUCAAAAUUUUGCCAUAACGGUAACAUAAAAGCGGCUUACCAGAUUCCUAAAUGGCAAGCCGGUUAUAACAGAAAAUGUGCAUAACAGCUAGUUUUUUAGCUCAAACUAUAAGAACUCAAAUCCAAAUCAUUUUCAAGCUCUCCAACAAGCAUAAACAAAAAGCACACGAGAUAUCUUGAGCUUUCAAGUUGCAAAACACAAAACAUUUAAUCAUGUCUUGUUUUUCAUUUUUGAAUAUCUGCUUUUUGAGUGAGUUUUAUUGUAACUUUCAUUUCUUCAUCUCAAUUGUAAGAGUUUGAGUGUGUGAGACACUUGAGUGAAGAGAUUGUUAGAUAAUCUCUUUGUUGUAAAGGUUCAUUGACACCUUGAAGUCAAUUGUAAACAGUUAAAACCUUGGAAAGGCUUGGAUAGUGAAAACCUCAAGCUUGGAUCGCUUGGAGGUGUGGACAUAGGCGGAGAUUGCCGAACCACGUAAAAAUUCGUAUGUUUGUUUCUUUUCUCCCUUACUCAUUAGUUAUUGUGUUUUUAUUGAACUUAUUGCUUUUAAUUUUUAUUAAGACAUUUAGAUUGCUUGUUGUGUGGAUUUGCUAAGAAAUUUUUUAAAAUUCCAAUUCACCCCCCUUUUUGGGUUGCACACUUAUAUUUCAUUUGGUAUUAGAGCGAGGUGCUCUUAUUUGGACCUAACCGUUUAGAACUAAAUAUCAAUGGCAACUCAAAAUGAUUCCACAUUUAGGGAAGGACAGUCCACUACUAGACCACCUUACUUUGAUGGAAACGAUUACCCAUAUUAGAAAACUAGGAUGAGAAUUUACUUGCAAGUCUUAGAUUAUGAAAUUUGGGAAAUCGUUAAUGAUGGUUCUUUCAUGCCUUUGACUAAAAAUGAAGUCGGAGAAGAUAUUCCAAAACCUUCACGGGAAUGGAAUGGAUUCGAAAAGAGAAAAGCUUCUCUAAAUUCCAAGGCCAUGAAUGCCUUAUUUUGUGCACUAGAUAAGAAAGAGUUUCAUAGAGUGUCUAGUUGCGAAAGUGCUAAUGAGAUUUGGCACAAACUUGAAGUUGUCUAUGAAGGCACGAACCAAGUGAAAGAAUGUAAAAUAAGUAGGUGCACUCGACAAUAUGAAUUGUUCCAAAUGGAACAAAAUGAAAAUGUGUACUCUAUGUAUACUAGAUUUACAGACAUAGUGAACACUCUAGGAGCCCUAGGAAAGACCUUUUUAAAUAGCGAGAAAGUCAAGAAAAUCAUUAGGUCGCUACCUAAGGAAUGGAGACAAAAAAGGACUGUCAUUGAGGAAGCCAAAGAUUUAAAUGUAUUACCUAUUAAUGAUUUAAUUGGUUCUCUCAUUUCAUAUGAAGAAGAUUUGGCAGCUGAAAAAGGGCAUGAGGAAAAGAAGAAAAACAUUUCUCUCAAGGCUUCAAAAUGUGAGAGUGAUGGGGAAAGCGAAAUGGAUGAUGAGGAGUUGGCAAUGUUGGCUAGAAGAUUUAGAAAAUUUUACAAAAAGAAUAAUGAGCAGAGAAAGUUCAGAGGCUACAAGAAUAAGAAGGAGAAGAAUGAGUCAAUCACUUGUUAUGAAUGCAAGAAACCCGGAUACAUACGACCGAAAUGUCCUCUUUUCAACAAACUCAAGAAGAAAGCUAUGGUGGCCACAUGGGAUGAUAGCGAUGAGGAAACAAGUGAUGAUGAUGAGCAACAGGAAAUGACAAAUUUAGAUCUCAUGGCCAUUGGGGAAGAAUCAUGUGAUGAACUUGAUGAGGUACGUGUUCUUCCUACAUAUGAUGAAUUACAUAAUGCCUUUAAGGAUUUGCAUGAUGAGCUGAUGAAGAUUGGUAAAAAGAAUAUAUGUCUUAAAAAGAAGAUAAUAGAGCUUAAAAAUGAAAAUGAAUCAUUUAGUGCAAAGAUUACAUGCCUAGAAUUAGAAAAUAAAACAUUGCAUGAUAGCAUUGCAUUAUUUGAGAAUUCUAGCACUCCACAUGAGCACUUAGAGUCACACAUGAAUGACUUGAAAAAUGAAAAUGAAAUGCUUAGAAAGAAGAGCAAUGAACUAAAUGAAAUUCUACUAAAAUUCACAAAUGGGAGAAAGAUGUUGGACAAUUUGCUAAACUCACAAAAAUGUGUAUUUGACAAAAGUGGCAUUGGUUAUAAACCAAAUUUGAAACAAAAAUUUUACAAGAGUUGUUUUGUGAAGAAUACAUCUAUUAACAAUCAAAUUGUAUGUCAUUAUUGUAAUCAAAAUGGUUAUAUGAAAAAUAGAUGUGCAGUGAAGAGAAAUGCAUAUUAUGGUGUGAAAUGUGUUUGGGUUCCGAAAGGAACCAUUGUUAACUCUUAAGGACCCAAAAAGGUUUGAGUACCUAAAACUUGAGAUUUUCUCUACAGGGCUUGAAGAAGAAGAAUAAUAAGUGUUACUUGGACAGCGGUUGUUCAAGACACAUGACAGGGAAUUAUUCUUGGUUUUCAAGUUUUACUAAGAUCGAAAAUGGUGGAGAUGUAUCAUUUGGAGAUAAUUCAAAAGGAAAAAUCAUUGGGAUUGGAAAUGUCGGUAAUGCAUCCUCUACUCUCAUUGAAAAUGUGUGUUUGGUUGAAAACUUGAAAACACAACUUGCUUAGUAUUAAUCAAUUAUGUGAUAAAGGAUAUAGAGUUAUCUUUGAUAAAUCAAAAUGUGUUAUUGAGAAUGCAUGUGAUGGGAAAGUUUUGUUUGUAGGAAAUAAAUGUGUUAAUGUCUAUACUAUUAAUAUAGAUUGUGUAUCAACAAAUGAUAAAUGUCUCUCUGCAUUACAUGAUGAUGGUUGACUGUGGCAUAGAAGAUUAGGUCAUGCAAGCAUGGAUUUGAUUUCAAAAAUCGUGAAAAAUGAUUUAGUUAAAGGUCUUACAAAAAUUAGUUUUCAAAAAGAUAGAAUUUGUGAAGCAUGCCUAUUUGGAAAAAAAAUCAAAACUUCCUUCAAAAGCAAGAAUCAUGUCUCUACUUCAAAACCACUUCAAUUACUUCACAUAGAUUUGUUUGGACCUUCUAGAUAUGCUAGUUUAAGUGGCAAAUUUUAUGCAUUUGUAAUUGUGGAUGAUUAUUCUAGAUACACAUAGGCAUUGUUCUUAGCUAAUAAGGAUGAUGCCAUUGAUGCAUUUCAAAUUUUCUCUAAAAAGGUUCAAAAUGAAAAAAGGUUAUUCUAUUACUUGUAUUAGAAGUGAUCAUGGUGAAAAAUUUGAAAAUCAUGCAUUUGAAAAUUUUUGUAAUGACUUUGGCAUUGAACAUCAAUUUUCAUCACCUAAGACUCCACAAUAAAAUGGAGUAGUAGAGAGAAAGAAUAGGUCUAUUCAAGAAAUGACUAGGAGCAUGUUGAAUGAAAACUCUAUGCUUGAGUAUUUUUAGACCGAAACCGUCAACACCGCUUGUUAUGUUUUAAAUCGUGUGUUGAUUAGACCUAAUCUUAAUAAAACUCCAUAUGAGCUUUGGAAAGAUAGAAAACCCAACAUUGGCUAUUUUAAAGUUUUUGGAUGCAAAUGUUUUGUUUUGAUCACAAAAGAUAAUCUUGGUAAAUUUGAUCCAAAAUCUGAUGUUGGUAUUUUUCUUGGUUAUUCAAAUUCAAUCAAAACUUAUAGAGUUUAUAAUAAAAGAACUUUAGUUGUGGAAAAAUCUAUGCAUGUUACAUUGAUGAGUCUAACCCCUCCUCUACGGAGAAAGUCGUUGUUGAUGAUAAUGCAGAAGAAGAACUACAAGAAGAAGCAUCAAAUGACAACCAGAAGAUGCACCACAUGAAAUUCAAGAGGAACAUCAUGAAGAAAACAAAUGUAGAGCAAAAUGAAGUACUUCUCAAACACUCCCAAGGAGUGGAGGUGUGUUUCCUCUCACCCUUAGGAUGUAAUUUUAGGAGAUCCCUCACGAGGUGUUACCACUAGAUCAUCUCUUAGGAACACAUGUGAGCAUGCUGCAUUUAUUUCUCAAAUUGAACCAAAAUCCUUUGCGGAUGCAGAAAAUGAUGAAUCUUGGAUUAUGGAAAUGCAAGAAGAGUUGAAUCAAUUUGAGAGAAACAAUGUGUGGGAGUUAGUUCUAAAUCCAGAACAUCAAUCCAUUAUAGGCACUAAAUAGGUAUUUAAAAACAAAAUGGAUGAAUUUGGUGUGGUUGUAAGAAAUAAAGCUAGAUUAGUGGCUCAAGGUUACAACCAAGAAGAAGGAAUUGAUUUUAAUGAAACUUUUGCACCUGUAGCAAGGUUAGAAUCCAUUAGGAUGUUGUUAGCAUAUGCAUGUCAUAAGGAUUUUAUUUUAUAUCAAAUGGAUGUCAAGAGUGCUUUCUUAAAUGGUUAUAUUAUGGAGGAAGUUUAUGUGAAACAACCUCCUGGUUUUGAAAAUGAAAAUUUUCCAGAUCAUGUGUAUAAGUUAUCUAAGGUUUUGUAUGGUCUAAAACAAGCACCUAGAGUUUGGUAUGAUAGGCUUAAAAACUUCUUGUUGGAUAACGAUUUUUCGAUGGCUUAAAAAUCAGAAUGCCAAAAUAUAAAACAACAGUUAAAUUCCAUUUAAACUCCAAGAAAAGUAAUUCAAAUUCCGGCCACCGAGCCAAGUUCUCCAACAAAAUUUCCAAAGAUUAAUGGAAAUAUUCCAAUAGCAAGACUUCCAGAAGCAAUACCCUCUUCCAGCGGCAAUACAUUGUUUAGAACUACAACACUAAAACAUAAAAGCCAAAUACUAUAUUAAACUCAUAAAAAGCUUAUAAUUUACAGGAGAAACUGAAAGUAUCAAUCAAUUUUGAGGCAACCAAUUUGACAAUUUAAUAUUAAACUCAUAAAAAGCAUUGCCAGUAGUGAGUUUAAAUAUACCUGCAUCUGUGUCCUUGCCAAUUCAAUGGGGUAGCAACUAAUACAUGCUAAUGAACGUGCAACAGACCCAGCAACUAGGGGAACAUAUUGUGCCAACAUUGGAGCAUUGUCAAUAGGGAAUUUUCCAUCAAAUUGCGAAAACUGUCAUAACAAGGAAGGUAAAUUCCCACCUGAAAAGAGUAAUUAACAGAAAAAAAAGAAAAUAAUCAUCAUAAUGCAAAAAAAUUUCAAUGCCACACUGAUGUAUGGGAUGAAAUAUUUGAAGAAACACAAGCAAUUUAUGUACAAGAGAGACUUAUUGUUGGCAUAGACAACGCUAAACUUGCAUAAGUGCCUCUCCAUAGUCGGGCAAAUCCCUCCUGCACAUGUUUAGCUCUUAUGAAACCUUUGAUAUUAAAGAUCAAAAUUUAAGAUUCACUAACAGUAGCACCAAGAAAUCUAUUUAUUGAAGGCACAUUAACUACACAAUACAAAAUCUCUUUCCAUAAUAUAUGUAAUCACACUGCAAGUAUAAUGCAGUACACUAAAAUGCCAUCAGUUGACUUGUUCUAAAAAAUGUCUAUAAGACAUUCUGUACAAAUCCCAGUUCUUACGGAGUUAUUUUGCCCAUGGAUCAAAUCACUUUAGGACUGGAAAAAUGACGUCAUCUAAAUAGGAAAUUAGGAGUAAUAACAUGUAAUUCCAAUUGAAUUUAGUUUUUCUUCUUCAUAAUUUUCCUGUGAACUAUAACAACUGCUUUCUAGGAUCUCUUUCUUCUUUAGAGAUACAAUAGUUUUACAAAGAUCCAAUAUAAAACUCUUUAGGAUAAAAAUAGUCCAAGGAAAGCUUUUCUCAACAGCAUAAACUAUACACUUUUGGAAAACUUCAGUUCUUUUUAUUAGAUAUAUGUGUAAUUUAUUCAUAAAGUCCUUGUAUCCACCAACCUGGCAUACGAAUUUGUAGAAAACAUCCAGUGUUCCUUUAUAUUUAUUACAUUCUGGAGCUGGUUUAGAGCCUGGAACUGCACACGUGCAUGAUGGGGAAUUUCUCAUAUCUGGAAGCAUCUACAGAAACAAUUUGAAAGACAACACUUGUCACAAGAUCAUAUAACAAAGAGCAAUAAGAAUAGUAAUUGUUGAGUGUUAGAAAAUGUAUAUUUAUAAAGGAGAAAAUCGUCAUUUUACAUUUCAAGUCUUACUAACAACCCUUACUUUUAUGUAUUUAAGCCUCUUGUAAUUUAAUUAUGUGUGUUUUAUUUUAAUUAAGUAUUUUAUGUAUUUUAGGGACAUCAUAGUCAUUUCACAAUAAACGAGAGAUCAAAUGGCAAAACGACAUCACUUUUGAACUCAAGACGGUCGAAAACCUUAGGAGGAGCAUAAAAGGAAAAAUGGUAUUGUUCACAUGUACGAUACUAUUCACGUGUACGGUACUGUAUACGUUACUGUUCACGACAUGUUCACAUAGACGGAAGAUGACGUGGCAUUGACCGAUGAUGUGCAUUGACUGAUGAGGUGUCACGAUCCUGUUGGACUAAAAUUCUUAUGUACUGGAGGUAACGUGGCAGCAUAUAGUGGACUAAAAAUCUCGCGUACGGUACAUGCAUACACAUGAUUAUUUUCAACCAAACCGCGUUACUGUUCAAACCCGGUCAAAUCGUGUUACUGUUCAUCCGCGUGGUCAAACCGCGUACUGUUGACUGAUGACGUGGCGCAAUCCUGAGUAUCCAAACUGUUUUUAAUCCGAUGACCAUGAUUUACUCCAUGUAUCUAUAAAAGGGGCCUUCCCCCCUAAUUUGCAUCUUGAAUCUAUUUUUGGGAUCCAUUUUCUGUAAUUCCUUCUCCAUUUUGUAUUUUCUACGUAUUUUAAUAAAUUACCAUUUUGCCCCUAGUUCAAUUAUGAGUAGCUAAUUUUCUUUCAAACUUGGGUUGAAGGUGAAAUCUCAACAUGUGUCAUGGGCUUUAUUUGGGAAAUUUAUUUUCUUUUCCCCUCUAAUUUUUGUGGAUGAUUUGACUUUUUCGUCGACAAAUAAUAAUAAUCUUGUCUAAAUACCGCAUUGGUUACACCGGCUCUCUAGUACAAUGUUAUUAUUAUUUGGCACGAUAAGCCCUUAGCACCAUAUUGAUUAGAGCGUGGUUCAUGAGGUGUGGAUUCCCCCCUCAUGAUUUAAUUGCAUUAAUAUGGAUUAUUUAGCCCAUGUUGCAUGUUGAUACGGAUCCAGAUACCCAAGUACAUCAUUUCAAUAGAUUUCACUUCAAUUUAUUCUCACCAUUUCAAUUCCAAUUUUAGAAUAAUCUAAAGUUACUUUCACCACAAAUCCAACCACCCAUUUACAAAAUUAAUUCUACACACAAUUAAAAUCUACCUCCUCGUGGGAUCGACACUCGUCACCAUUGAUCUAUACUACAAUAGAUUCGUGCGCUUGCGAGUACAUUAAAAUUUGCACAACACUAGCCUCCACUUAUAAAUGACUUAUUCACCUAAUUAGGGCAUGUCGUCAUCUCUUUGCUUCCUUUUCUUCAAUUUUCUCUCUAUCUUUUAAAUCAUCAGUCAUUUCUCCACUUUAGGAGGCCAUUUUUAUUCUCCACCUUUAUCAUAUUCUCUAAGAUAUUAUCAUUCUCAAUAUCUUAUUAACAAUCUUCAUUUUUAUCAAUACCAAACAUCUCUGUAUUGCUAUCUAGCUUGUGUUAUUCAUUUUGAAUAAUGUAAAAUCUUAUAUAACCUCUCAUUUAUAUAAUGGAUUGGUGAUGAUCUGCUCUCAUGGAUGUAGGCCAAAAGGUGAAACAUGUAAAUACUGUGUGUUCUUUAUAUUUAUGUUUUAUUUUGCUAUUUUCAAUUUGAGGUCGAGAUUGUUUUUCAUGUAUGAGCUUAUCAAUAGAUACCCAGUUACACCAAGUAUUCUGUGAGACUAUCUAUACUAUUCCUUGAGUAUAUCUGAGCCAUACCUAAACAUAUAUUAGCCCUCUAUCAAAUCCUACAAGACUCCAUUGAGCUCUCCCUAUUUUUCCUCCCACCUGAACUCACUAUAUCUACUACUUUUGCUCACUAUCUAGGAUAAUUCAGCUAAACUACCUGGCCCAAAUACUAUAAAAAUACACGUAAACCCAAACUUAUCACAAGCUCCCUUCAAAUAUAAGUUUAUUUGUUUGAAUCAAAUUUAAACUGGGUCCAAUGAGAAUCAGCCAAUUGGUACGAAUAAGAUCUUAAUGAAAAUUUGGUGAACACAUAUAUUAAAUUAUAGAGUAUGAUUGCUACAACUAUUUUAUUAUACUUAGAAUAAGAAAAGAUAAAAUAUUGUGUGCAUUAUUUUAAUCCAUAUUCCAAGAUACUCAUUGCCCAAAAGAUACCAAAAUCAGUUUCAAGAUUCCAAUAUGUGAAUAUAUAUAUAUACAUAUUUUUAAAUUUCAUCCGUUAAUGCAUACAUACGCAAGAUUCAAAAUCCCAACUACAUCCAUAUAAUUUUUAUUAAUUUAUGAAAUUAAUAGUACCUAUCGAAAUGAUGAAUGAUACAUGACCCACCAUAUUGUCACUUUUUAUAUUUUCUUUAUACAAACAUUUAUUCAUAUCUCUAAAUACCCACUUUGUCAUAGAGUUCGGUUAUACGGUUCACAGCUUAUACAAAUAUAGUGGUUGAUUUUUUAAUCAAAUUUUAAAUUCAAUUUCCCAAAUUGGUUUAAAUUGAACUUUAAAGAUAAAACAGUUAUUUUAUUUUAUUUUAUUAUCACUGCUACACAAAAAGAUAAAAAAUUGAUACAGUUUAUAAAUUUGGAGUUAAAUCGUUAUUCGUUAAACAAUGUAUAUUUUUUGAUUUUUUAAAACUAGAGAAAGUAAUAACUGGACAAUUAAAAUUAAAAAAAUCCAAACUUACAUAAUGCUUGCACAUUAUACAUUGUUGCAACGGUUGUUCCAUGGUCAAAUUUACAUCUGCAUAAAAAGUAUCAUACUUUAACACAUGUAUAUUAUAUCAUUCAUAUACUGAUCUAAUAAAAUUUUACUGUAUACAUAUUCAAUUUUGAGAUAAAUCAUGAUGUGUGAUAGGGAUUUUAUUAAGAAUAUCUGAGGAUAUGAAAAACAAGGAUUUUUCUAGUUUAGCAAGUCGUGAGAGCAUAUCAGGAAUAAGGUUGUGGUCUCUUUUAUAUGUUUCACUGAGAAAUCAUAUUUUGAAAACCAGUCUUUGAGCCUAAGCAACUUUUACUUUUCUAAAAGCUUGUGGCUUGUAAUUAUGACUUUGCUUUUCAAAAAGUGAUAGGGGUCCUGUCCUAUCCUUUUUCUUGGUUUGCCUCCUAUUUAAGCUCGGCUUCUCUUGGUUCCCAUAUGCCUAAUAAGGAUAUCUUGUUAGGAUUUGAUAUCAUUCACCAGAAUAAAACACCUUCAAAUCAUUCCUAUUGAAAUUCGAGUCAAGUCCAUGUUUAAACCAUACAUAGUAGCUAUGCUUAAAAAUCAUUAAACGUGUAAGGUGUAUUUGACACAUUAUAUUACAAUAUAGUGUAUUGCAUUAACAUGCAUUGCAUUAAGUUGUAAUGCAAUACUAUGUUUGGGUAAUAUGGACUCUAUAUAUAAAAUAAUAUUAUAUUAUAUAAAUGUUAAAAUUAAAUAAUAUUUAUUAAUAUUUAAGAUUUUAUUAUUAAUUUUUUAAAUUAAGUACUUACUAAUUACUUUUAUAUAUUAUUAUUAUAAUACAAAAAUGACCUAAUAAUAACUAUUAUUAAAUAAUAAAUAUUAAAUUGGUAAAGGAAAUUAUGCAAGAAAACGACGAGCUCGAAGAAUUUCUGUUGCUUGUCAUAAGUGUGCCAGAAUGGAGUUGCGAUAGAAACCCAUGUUCUUUAGGAAUGGUGUCUGAUAACAGGGAAGAUAAGAUUCAAUUCAUUAGGGAUGGCUUGAAUAAGGAGUCAUUGGAUGAUAUCCUUUUGUCUCUUGAAACGCAUCCCAGUGGAUAUGUGCAAGGAGCGAUUCUCCGGUUAUGGCCAUUAUUCCAGAAAGAGCAUGCACGAUAUAGUCUCGGGAAUCUGACUAUAAACGACCCUGUUUGCCAGUUUAUAAGAAAACUGGAUGGGAAGCCCAUCCUCGACCUAUAGAGGGCGUUCAAGCCGUUUCUGGACGUAAAACCAGAGGAAGAUGUGAGCCACAGUCGCAACUACGUGUAAAUAUCCUUUUACUUUACUGUUAUUUUAUUUCAUUUCACUGUUGUUUUAUUGUUUGCAUUAUUGUCUUUAAUAAUUUUAUUACUGUUUGUUUUUUCCUUUUUACUAUUUCCUUUUUGACUCGCGAGCCACGUGCUUUACGCGUUAUUUGACACUGACAUGUUACCUCAUUCACAGCUGUGAUCCAUUGUCACCAAGAUUCUUAAAUGUGAUUUAUCUUUUGUCAAGCACUCACAAAUUAUUUUUGAGAAAGUAUCACAAUGGCAGCUACUCCCAAUAGACAAUUCAAGAACAUUUGUGUGCUUUCUGGAUUUACCUAUGGCAAACAUAAAGAGUUCGUGGAGGCAGCCAUAGAUCUUGGUCGAAGCAUAGCAGCGAGAAAAUUACAUUUGGUGUAUGGAGGAGGUAACCGAGGGUUUAUCAAAAAUGGUCUCAGAAGCAGCUUUUAUCAGAGGAAGUCAAGUGUUAGGCAUCAUCCCAAGAGUCCUAAAACCAUUGGGCAGUUCGUCUGACUCAUCAACUGGAGAAGAGUUAGUCGUCUCAGGUAUGCAAGAAAGAAUAACUGAAAUGCUUAAUCAUGCUGAUGCUUUUAUUUUCCUUCCAGGAGAUCUUGCAACACUAGAGGCACUUUAUGACACUAGCAUCUUGGGCCCAUCUGCACAUCCACCAGAAACCCAUCGGUUUGUUAAAUGUCAAUAACUUUUAUGAUGGCUUUAUCGCAUUUCUUAACCAUGCAAUAAAAAACUAUUUCAUUCCUUCUAAUGUGAAAAAACUCUUUAUUUGUGCUCACACUGCUAAUGAGCUACUUGAUAUGUUACAAGCUUAUAAACCGGAGCCAGACCCCUGGACCUUUGUGUUGGAGCGACCAAAUAAUGAUGGUAACAGUAGCCGCAGUAAGAAGUACAAAUUAGAUUUAACUCUCCGCCUGUAAAUAUUUUCUUCUGUGUUGCACCACCCAGGUGAUGUCUUCUAAACUCUACUUCUUUCCUUUAAAACAUUGAGGACAAUGUUUCAUUCUGGUUGGGGGGAGGGAAUAGUCGACAAUUGUGGAAUCUUGGUUAAGUUUUUACUGAUUUUUUGUUGUAGAAACUAACUGUUGCUAACGUUUUGUGUUGAAGAUGGCUGAAUAUGGAGUGUAGUUACUCUAGAAACGCAUUUUUUGUUGUAGAAACUAACUGUUGCUAACGUUUUGUGUUGAAGAUGGCUGAAUAUGGAGUGUAGUUACUCUAGAAACGCAUCUUCAUUGUUUAAAAAAAAAAAAAAAAAACCGUUUUCUUCCUCUUUCUCCUUUAUAAAUAUGCAGUUUCAAAUUUUUUAGUCGAAGAUGGCUGAAUAUGGAGUGUAGUGCCUCUAGAAACGCAUCUUCUUAGUUAAAAAAAAAAAAAAAAAAAAAUUCUUUUUCUAAUUAAUUUUUUCUACAUCAUUUUCACAUUUCUGCAUGCAUAUUUUCCUUUCAUGUUUAGAAUAGGUUGGGGGGUAGAAUGUUGUUUAAAAAAAAAAAAAAAAAAUUUUGUGUUAUUUGUUUUAACAUUGGAUGACAUGAUUAAUUUCAAAUUUUAGUAUUUGUAUUAUCUUUGGUCUUAAGUGAUGUUACGCUAUGUUUGCUACUUUACAUGUUGAUGUCAGAGACAAAUAUGAGUUGCUUGAAGGAAUGAACAUGUCAUAAAUAAGUGCCAAGUGAGUAGUUGAGCCUAUCAUUUUUCUUGGAGAGUAACCAUUUUGCGCAUUCUCUAUACAGCUUAGCAGUUUAUUAUUUUAUACACGAUCUCUAGAUUUCUUUUAAGUUAACCCUUUAAAAAAAAUAUGGUAAAAUUAAAAAAAAAAAGAAAAAAAAAAGAAAAAAGAAAAAAAUGUGUGUUGCUACAUUGGGAGGCCCAUCUAACUAGUAGAUAUGGAUAAUUAUUUAGAGCCCUAAAAGACGAUGGAAAGGCCAUCUUUGAUCCGUUUGAGCCUUUCUAGCCAUCCCUUUUAUUAAAUAUCCAUAGUUACCCCUUUUGAGCCUUUAAAAAAAAAAAAAAAAAGAACAAAAACCUUUUCUUUGUCAACUUAUCAUCUUGACCCACUCCGAUUUGGAGUAUUACCCAAUGUCUUUUAAGUUCCAUCACCUAUUUAUGUUUGAGAAAAUGUAAAUAAUUAUGUUGUUCAGUGAAGUUAUGCCAAAUAAAAGCAAAAAGAAAAAAAAAAACAAAAACAAAAGUUGUUGUUUCAAAAGAAUAAAAAUAACAAUAAUAGGUGAAAUCCACCUUGCAAGUUCCAAAAAAAAAAAAAAAAAUUCUGCAUUUUUCUCAAACAUACACUUUGUUUUCCUUAUUUCCUUUCUUUGUUAGCCAUAUCCCUAGCCUACGUUACGUCCUAAUAAAAGUCCUUCUUGAUUUUAGGGAACUAUAGUUUGAAGUAGAAGCUAGUUAUAUGGGCUAAAAAGAUGUAGUGAUGCAUAAUAAAAAAAAAAAAAAAAGAUAAAUAAAGUGGGUUGACUAACAUUUUAUUUGACUUGAGAUCGUAUUAUUUCUAAGCUGAGGGCAUAUUUAUUUCAUCUUGGUGAGAGCAUGUGAUAUCAUUUCUUUAUUAUUUUCUCUCUCAAUUACCAUUCAUUGGAGUGACUAUGUUUAUUGGGUUUUAAUUUCUUUGUGAGAGUGUCAUUACUUCCAGUGAGAUUUUGGGGUUUGACAUGUCAUUCUUGAAAGUAGCUAUAACAAAGUCUACUGGGCUAAUUCAUGUGGAUGGUUGAUGUGGGUGUGAUGUUGCUUUAGACUGAAGAUAAUGCUUAUACUUUUAUUUGAUUGCUAUCAUUAAUCUGAUUGAAUAAACACGAGUGUUUCCCAUAAAAAAAAAAAAAAAUCAUUUUGAAUUUGAAUUUUGUUUUCGCUUUAUUUGCUAGGGACUAGCAAUAAGCUGGUUGGGGGGUGUAUUGAGUGUUAGAAAAUGCAUAUUUAUAAAGGAGAAAACCGUCAUUUUACAUUUCAAGUCUUAUUAACAACCCUUACUUUUAUGUAUUUAACCUUCUUGUGAUUUAAUUACAUGUCUUUUAUUUUAAUUAAGUAUUUUAUGUAUUUUAGGGGCAUUAUAGUCAUUUCACAAUAAAGGAGAGGUCAGAUGGCAAAACGGACAUCACUUUUGAACUCAGGACGGUCGAAAACCUUAGGAGGAGCAUAAAAGGAAAAAUGGCACUAUUCACAUGUACGGUACUAUUCACGUAUACGGUACUGUCUACGUUACUGUUCACGACACUGUUCACAUAGACGGAUCGAUGACGUGGCAUUGACCGAUGAUGUGGCAUUGACUGAUGAGGUGUCACGAUCCUGUUGGACUAAACUUCUUAUGUACUGUUGAUGGUGACGUGGCAGCAUAUCAGUGGACGAAAAAUCUCGCGUACGGUGCAUGCAUCACACAGGAUUAUUUUCAACCAAACCGCGUUACUGUUCAUCCGGGUCAAACCGUGUUACUGUUCAUCCGCGUGGUCAAACCGUGGACUGUUGACUGAUGACGUGGCGCAAUCCUGAGCGUCCAAACUGUUUUUAAUCCGAUGGCCAUGAUUUACUCCAUGUAUCUAUAAAAAGGGGGCCUCCCCCCCCUAAUUUGAUAUCUCUGAAUCCAUUUUUGGGAUCCAUUUUCUGUAAUUCCCUCUCCAUCUUGUAUUUUCUUUGUAUUUUAAUAAAUUCCCAUUUUGCCCCUAGUUCAAUUAUGAGUAGCUAAUUUCUUUUCAAGCUUGGGUUGAAGGUGAAGUCUCAACAUGUGUCAUGGGCUUUAUUUGGUAAAUUUAUUUUCUUUUCCCCUCUAGUUUUUGUGGAUGAUUUGACUUAUCGUCGACAAAUAAUACUGAUCUUGUCUAGAUACCGCCUUGGUUACACCGGCUCUCUAGUAUAAGGUUAUUAUUAUUUGGCACGAUAAGCCCUUAGCACCAUAUUGAUUAGAGCGUGGUUCAUGAUGUGUGGAUUCCCCCAUCAUGAUUUAAUUGGCAUUAAUACGGAUUAUUUAGCCCAUGAUGCAUGUUGAUACGGAUCCAGAUACCCAAGUACGUCAUUUCAAUAGAUUUCGCUUCAACUUAUUCUCGCCAUUGCAAUUCCAAUUUUAGAAUUUAUUAUCGCAAUUUCAAUUCCAAUUUUAGGAUAAUUUAAAUCACUUCCACCACAAUUCCAACCACCCAUUUUGCAAAAUUAAUUCUAUACACAAUUAAAAUCCACCUCCUCGUGGGAUCGACACUCGUCACCAUUGAUCUACACUACAAUAGAUUCGUGCGCUUGCGAGUUCAUUAAAAUUUGCACAACAGACAAAUAAUAAUAAUUUUGUCUAGAUACCGCUUUGGUUUCACCGGCUCCCUAAUACAAGGUUAUUAUUAUUUGGCACGAUAAGCCCUUAGCACCAUAUUGAUUAGAGUGUGGUUCAUGAGGUGUGGAUUCCCCCCUCAUGAUUUAAUUGACAUUAAUAAGGAAUAUUUAGCCCAUGGUGCAUGUUGAUAUGGAUCCAGAUACCCAAGUGUUUCAUUUCAAUAGAUUUAUCUUCAAUUUAUUCUCGCCAUUUUAAUUUAAGUUUUAGAAUAUUCCAAAUCAAUUUCACCAGAAAUCCAACCACCCAUUUACAAAAUUAAUUCUACACACAAUUAAAAUCCACCUCUUAGUGAGAUCGACACUUGUCACCAUUAGUCUAUUGUACAAUAGAUUCGUGCGCUUGCGAGUUCAAUAAAAUUUGCACAACAGUAAUGUCUAUGCAUAAUGAUCAUAACAGAAAAGAGAAUUCAUCUAUCACAUUUAUCAUUCCAACCCUCUCAAAAUACUAACUGAAGGAAAGGAGGAGACAAAUUUAACAAAAGCAAACCAAGGGGGAAAACUAGAGGAAAGCAAAACAGAUGACAUGCAUUUUUAAAACAUUUGGAUUCAUUCUCUUAACAAGUUAUCUAACACUUAAUACAUUUAGUACCUAUAGAAGUUAGACGAUGGCAAGAGCUUAGACCAUAAUAGCAAUUGAUGAAAUUUCAUUACGUAAAAUACCACUCAGUUUUGGUAAGACUGUUAUGUGUGCUCAAUAUAAGUCAUUUUGAUAUCAGUACACUAAGAUUUUUUUUCUUGAUAUGGCUGUUCAUGUAUAGAGAAGAUACCCCACUUUCUCUAAUAUCAAUGUUUCAAGCAUUUUCUUUCCUCAUAAGAUACCAUUUCGGAUAGUGUACAAUGCAAAGUAAAGAAUCCCAAAAAGGGCAGUUCACAUACCAUGUUACUUUCAAAAGAUGCUGUACAACAUAGACCCUCAUAAGGGACGCCAGCAGCCUGGGCUUGCAACCUUGUCUGAAGAUGAAGGCAGGAAAUCUAUUAGCUUUGUAGCUUCAUCAUGAAAUCUCAAAAGAUGAAGCAAUGUGAAGACUAGGAUUUCUGAAAAAAACUGGAGAAGAGAUAGAGGAUCCAUGCAACAAGCAUCACUCAAAUUUAGAAAAUAAUUGGGUGACUUUAGCCCACGUUUAAAAUAUUUAUAAUAAUUAGUAAAAGAAUAGUGAAAAGUAGCUGAAUAAAGAAAAUUUAAUUUUUCCAUCUUUUUGCUUCCUUUUCUUUCAUUCUCCGAAAGAAUCAUAGCUUCUCAAGGACUGAGAAUAAUGACACAACAUUUGGAUUUUAUUCUUGAGAUAAAGAGAAACAAUAAUUAACAUCUAUCCACAAUACCAUUCUCAAAAGUAGAAAAAAUAAUAAUAAUACUAACAAUAAUAAAAAAUAAUGAAAAUGACAAUUAAAGGGAAGAAAAUUUUUGAUAUAACAGACAAAAUUAGCAAUGAAUAAGUUAAAUAAAGAAAAAAUGAAAUGAAAAUUUAGGUGGAGUAGAGUCAUUAUAAAACCUUAGUGACAUCGAGAGGAUUAAUAAUAACGGCAGAAACAAUAGCAGCGCCGUUAGCAGAGAAAGCCCUUUCUGCAAACCCCAAACUGAAAUCUUUUAUGGCUUCUGAAUGUCGUAAAGCUUCCUCUUUAGACGAAGUCUCUGAUGAUACUGAGAUAGACAAAACGCUUCCCUCCAAAUCAACCCUAGUCGCCGCCAACCUGAAACGGAAUUAAGAAGCGGCAGCGAGCUGACUGAGGAGAUCGAAAAUACGCUUCUGAAAAGUAAAAUAAAUUGAACAAAUCUUGAAAAUUUGAACAAACACCCAUAAAUUUGAACAAUUUUUACAAAACAAGAAUCAUCAAAACCUAACUCUAGCAAAAAUUGAAAAUUAAAAAACAAAACAAACAAGAACAUCGAAAUCACACAAGCUAACCCUGAAUAGCGCGAACAAAUCAAAGCUUGAAAUUAUGAAAACACAAUUGAAAUCAUGGCAUAAUGGAUUCACAUAAGCGACGAGAAACAACAUGCAAAUGAGAAAUUGGACAUGAGGAGUGGCUAAGAGGCCGUUGUUGAAGAAGUGCUUGCUGUACCAGUGCUUCUUGCUGCUGCUGAUGCUGCUUCAACCUCUAGUACUGCAUUUUCCUUCAGAAUCGAAGGAUUUGUAAACUGUUUGUCGAAGGAUUUGUAAACUGUUUGGUUCCCAAGAAAAUUUCGUUAUGGUUUCUCGAGAAAAUGAAAUAAAAGAAAUAAACAAAGAAAACGAGAGACGAGAGAAGCAACGUUUUAUUUUCUAAGUGUGUAUUCGUUUAAUACUUAGGGAAAAAAAAAAGGAAGAAAUAAAGUUUAAAGUACCCAAAACGGUACAGUUUUGCUAGCAUUUUUUCUUAAUUAUUAAAAACCACCUUUUGUUUUUUAAAUAAAAUAAUAUAUAAAAUUUGAGUCAAAUAUAGUCAAAGUAAUUUUUCUAUCAUAAUUUCUUGAUAGAUUAAAUUUCUAUCACGAUUCUAUCAUAAGUUCGUGAUAAAUGAUAAUCAUAUCAUAAAGUCAUCAUAUAUUCAUGAUAGAAAAUAUUUCUAUCACAAGACCAUCAUUAAUUAAUGAUAGAUUGAAAAUUAUGUCAUAAGUUUAUCAUAAUUUUAUGAUAUACCUAGAAUCUGUCAUAAGUUGUUUGUCAUCUAUUAGCAAUUUUCUUGUAGUAUUCAAAAUGAAUAACUUUAUUCUACCAUCUCUCAAAUAAUAAAAACAUCAACAGCACAUCAUCGUCAUCAAUAAUAAUAAUAAUAAUAAUAAUAAUAAUAAUAACAACAACAACAACAACAACAAUAAUAAUAAUUUAACUUUGUAGGAUGGAGCUCUCGCAAAUCUUCAAGACACAAAAUGUGCUUGGCCCCGUUGUUGUUAUUAUAAUUUCAAAAUGACUUGAAUUAUAUAAAAUUUGGGAAUAAGACAUAGCAAAAUUGAUGGUACAUAUGUUGCAAUAUACUUGUUCAUGUAGCGACACAUUAAAGUAAAGCAAAACAAUAUACUUGUUCACUCAUUAUGUAGAUUUUCAAUAGAAGUAAUGCAAAUUUCACAAGGGCAAUGGCCUUAUUUCGAAUGUUGCACUUGUGGAAUGACAUGAACCUUCGAUACGUCACAAAUGUAUCAUGAAAGUGUGAUAAAUUUGUGACAUAUAUAUAUAUGUUCAGAGUUUAUAGCAUAUUCAUGACUUAUAAUUUAACUAACAUAAAUAAAUGAUAGAUAUAAGUGAUGCUCAAGUUUUGUGGAUUUAUAAUAUCUUAAAAUGAUGACUAUUUAAACGACAAGUGUUGAAUAAACCCCUCUCUCGCCGCAACCUAAAAUCAAUGAACUUUGAGCCAUUCUCAACAACAUUGUGUAGAACCCUAGCCCUAACCCUCACUUCCACCACCGAUAAAGCUAAGAAAGUUUUCCGUAUAUCAGAACCAUGGCGAAUUGCCUUCAGCUCGUAGGACCCAUAAUAAAUCUUGUAGUCCCUCGCUUUCACUUUGCUAAUUUUUUGUAUUAUUCCAUCUCUUUCACUUUAAUAACCCAAAAUCUUUCUCUGUUUCAAUUGAAAGAAGACCCUAGCUUAAAUUAAGUUGAAAUUUACGUAUCAAAGCUCUCGCUCAGCUUCCCUCCUUCAAUUGAAACAAAACGAAGCCAUAAGACCCCAAUAUGCCACGCCCUUUUGUCUCAGGCCAACAUUCAUUUAAACCCUACCUUUUGGUUCAAUGCCAUUUAAUGCGAUUGCAGAUGCCGUUUCAACUCAUUAUUUAGUUAACGCCAUUCAGUUCUUUGCGGUAAGCCUUAACCCUAAUAACUAAUCAACUGUGGUAGCACGUUGCUGACUGGGGUGGGAAUACAUUAAUUGAAUAUAUGAAUUGGGUGAUGUCAGUGAUUCAUCCCCCUAUUUGCCGUGAAUUGAGAUUUGUGUAUAAUGUUUGUAAGAUUGUUAAAAAUUUCAUGUUCCAGUCGAAUUUCUUGCUUGUGGAAGAUAAAACAAAAGUUUAAUCUAUAUAUAUAUAUAUAUAUAUAUAUAUAUAUAUUAUCUUCUUUAUAGUCAGGCUCUGGCUUUGCUGCUAUGCUUAGAGCAGUUCAUGGUUUCAAGAUUAAAUUAGGUUUAUUUGACGACAUCGAUAUCUUAUCUAGCUCUGCUUGAAAAUGAAAAUGUUUUACUAGCAAUCAUAGACUUUGUUUAUUCAGUUGAUAUUUUAAUUAUACGUAUAAGAAUGAAGGUUUAUUUGGGAAAAAAAGAAAUAAAGAAAUAGGCUCUGUUGAAGCUAAUUAAUACUUCAUUCUUUCUAUACGUGCGACCUGUGGUGGAAACAUGAUAUGAGAAUGUGUUACUGGUGAGGUUGCUGCUUGAGAUGAGAAUGAUGAGAAUGCCUUCUAUUCGGAAAUCCUUGGUAGGUAUUAUAUAAUUAUAUUUGAUGGAAUAUUAAAUAGCUAAAGAACCUGUGAUAAUGUCUUUGUUCAAUGGUUACUGUAGUAGUGUUUGUUGGUCUUUUUCUGGUUGGCGUUUGGAUGUUAAUGUCAUCAUCAGUUGUACUGGUGUGGGAUCCAGGAUGUUGUCCUCUUAAGAGCCUAUAAGCAAAGUGAAACAGAGAGGAUCUGAGAUUUUUCUGGGCCUUUCGUAGAAAAUCAAGGUGAUGAAUGACAGGAUUCAACAAAUGGGGAUGGGGAUGAUGUUCCUGUUGAAAAGUUAGAGAAUAGAGUGGAGGAUAAUCACGAAGAGAUGAAUAUGUAUGAGGGUGAUGGUGAGACGAGUGAAUCUAAGAAUAUGGUUAAUCAAAACCAGGAAGAGAAUUUAGUGAAGGAGAGUUUUGAUGAGAAUACUGAGUCUGAAGAGGAAUCUAAGGCGGUGUCUAAAAAUUACAAUGUUAGAAAAAGGGAAGAUAAGGAAUCUAAAAGUGAAGGUGGAGAUUCAAAUUCAGAAGCUGGAGAAACAGAAGGCGGCGAAUUGAAUAAAAUUGAGCAAAUUGAAUCAGAGAAUAGCUUGGAUGAAAAUAAAUGGAUGAGGCUAAUCAGAUUGAAAAGGAGAAGGAUUCUCAAGAUCAAGAUAAUGACACUGAGAGCCGUUGAAAGGAUCAGGCUUCAACUGAGAUUUUUCCUUUUGGUGACUAGUCAGAAAUUCUGAAGGAAACUAAUGCUCAGAAUGGGGCUUGCUCAACUCAACCUAUUGAGUCAUAGAAUCAGAAAAUAUCACAACAAUCUUCUAUAUCUAAGGACCAGUAUGGUCAUCGUUGGAAAGUGUGUAAUGCCACUGCUAGGCCAGAUUGCAUCCCUUACCUGGACAAUUUGCAAGCAAUUAGAAUGCUUUCCAGCACAAAAGCAUUAUGAACAUCGAGAGAGGUAUUGCCCUGAAGAAACUUGUACCUGUAUUGCUCCUUUACCGGAAGGAUACAAACACUCAAUUAAGUGGCCCCAAAGCAGGGAUAGGGUAUGAUCUUAUAUUAUGCAUUAUAAAAUAUAUACUUGACUACUUUUAAUUCACUUGGGCUAAGAUUUGUUCUCAUGCUGUGUGGGAUAGAUUUGGUAUUAUAAUUUUCCCCACACAAAGCUUGCAGAAGUUAAGGGUUAGCAAAAUGGGGUUAAAGUUACUGGUGAAUACCACAUUUUUCCAGGUGGCAGAAUUGAAUUUGAGAAUGGUGCUCUUCAUUACAUUGACUUCAUUCUGAAGGUGAGCAUUUUUCAUUUAUCAUUUUAUGUCUGUUGUUAGCUUCAAUUAAUAUGUGGCUUAUUCUUUUCUUUGUAUGAACCAUGGGCGGUCCAUUUCAUUUUAUAAGCUAUUUCUUGGGUUUUAGCAAGACAAAUAAUAAGAUUUGUGCUGUUUUUGUUUUAUGCGUCUAUAUAAAUUGUGUGCGCGCAUAUCAUACUAGGGGAGUAUUGCUUUAAUGCUAUAUACAGUCAAGGACACACGGUGGGUCACAUUCUGACUCGUUUCAAUGCUUCUUUUAUAAAUAUUUACUUGUAUAUAUUUUGUAGUACUUUUAGAGAUGUACUCUGCACUGGAUUUUUUAAGUGCUUUUAAUGUAGCCUACUGUCUUUGUCUUUAUCUCUCUUUUUGUGAAACUGAAAGGUUCAUAUAAUUUUUUAGAAACCAGUAAUCUUACAAAAAAUUUUAACCUGUUAAUUAAUGCGGUUUCAUUAUCUUGAAAAAUUUUCAAGCGUGCUUGCUUUUUUCUUUUCUUUCUUUUGAAAUAAUUGUUGAUAUUCCCCUUCUCUUCUAUCAAGUUUCUGAUUCUCUAAAGCCCACAUUAUUUUUGUCUUUCUUUAUACAGGCCUUUAUCAUUUAUUGGCCAGCACCCUUUCCUCGGUUUUAUAUAAGAAUGUAAUUUCGCCGGAAUCUGCCAAAAACCGUGUACUAUUGUCAACAACAAAUCAGAAUUCCAUCUCCACCUCCUGACAAACCAUGCGUCACCACCUGCUUAGGAAUCCGAAGCCUUUGCUGGUGUUGAUAGUAUGUUCUCUCUCUAUCUCUGUUUUUUCCUCAGUUGAGCAUUUAAAACAACAUCAUACUCAUCAUAUACCCUGUUUGGAUUCCUUGAAAUAAUAUUUUUUUUAAUUUUUAUUGUUAUUUUGAAUUGUUUUCUACAUAUUUUGAAUCAGAGUUGUUUGAGUAAAAUUUAAAUAUCAAUAUUACCGAUACGUGCCUAAUCUCAACUUCUUACCUUAAUAGCUUACUCACCUGUGCUUUUUUUUUCUCCCCCCUUUUAAGAAUUCAAAAGCUAUAUUAUGGAUUUUUGUUUUUGUUGUUUAUUGUCAUGAAGUAGGAGUGGGCAGAAAAUUGAAGAACUGUAUCAGAUUCCGUUUGAUAUUUGAUUCGGUUGUGCAAUAACCUAAAUUGGACAGUUUCAUUUCGGUUGGGAUGAAUGAAAACCGAAACCGAACCAAUAAUAAAAUUAACAAGCAAACCAAAUGAAAGUCCCAAAACAGUAACAAAACAAACACGUUGUGGUUUCUUAUCAAAUUUCACAGCACGACAUGGUCAUUCUCUUUGGUAAAAAAAUAGAAAAAAGAAUAAUGGGUCUCGAAAAUUUUUUAGAGCAUUUCUGUCGCUUACAUUUUUUUUCCAUCGAUUAAUGUUAGUUGUAGGUGAAUGAUUGUUGCAAAUGCAUGUUAGCUUGUGAUUGAUUGAAAAUGGCUUGUGAUUUGUUAUGCUGCCGUGUGACAGAUUGAAAAUGGCUCUGAAAUUUUUUUAUUUGUUUAAGGUAUUACUGCUGAUUAUUGAACAGAGAUUCAUGCUAGAUUUUGUUAAAUUGAAGAUGAGAUUUUUUUUAGGAGAUCUGCAAAACCUUCUCUACUAUAGAUUUGGCUUCUAGCAUACCUGGUUGGCUGGAAAUAAUUGUUUAUACAGUCAUUGCUGCCUAUAUUAAUCAGGAAUAUUGAUUAGCAAUGUACUGGGUUAGAGAUUGGUAUAAUUUUGGAAAAUUAGUUGUAGAUGCAACUAGGGGUGGCAAUAUGGGUCAGGAUUUGUUUAUUCGAUUCGAUUUGAUGCGAAUUAAAUGGGUUUGGGUUUGAAAAAAUUGAUUCGUUUAAUAAAUGGGUGAAUUCGAUUUGAUUCGCUAAUUAAACGAAUCGAAUGCGGGUUUGAAGAUUUUGAUUCGUUUAUUCGUUUAGGAUUCGUUUAAUAAACGGGUCAUAAACGAAUCGAAUAUAGGUCGAUUCGUUUAAAAUUUAUUUAUUAUUUGUUUAAUUAAAUUACUUUUUAUCCUUAAAUUUAUUUAAAAACUUUUUAAAAUAUCAAGGUUAAUAUUGUAAUUUUAAGCAUAACUCAUAAAGCCAAAAGAUCAACCCUAAUUUUACACUUCAUUUCCAUCUCCAAAUCCUUUUCUUUUUCUUUUUAAUUUUUGCAUCCAGCAAGUGCUACGUUUUGCCACUGCUCCAAAUCCUUGGAUUUGUGUGAGUGUGAUAAGUAAAAUUUUAUCUUGUUUAAUUAUUAUUUCCUUUAAAAUAUUACAAAUUUACUAUAUAUUUGAUAUUUUUGAAAUUUUACAAUGAUUAUUAUCAAUAUUGCAGUAUGUUAGAUUGUUAAUAACAUUUUAUUUACUUUUUGGUGUAGGAUUUUGUUUUCAAGGUGAAAAAGACAAAUGAAGAGAAUUAAAGAAAUUACCUUACUUUAUAAUUUGAAUUUGAAUUAUUAUUAUUUGUAUUAUUAGGGAUUUAUAAUUUGGUAUUUAGAUGACUGCAUAAUAUGGUUUGAGUUAUUUGUAUUUUGUUGUGGGAUGUUAAACUUGUGAUUUUUUUAUAUUUUAUUUUGCUUAAUUUUAUUUAUUAAUUAUAUUUUUCUAAACGAAUUGUAAACGAAUCCUGAUUCGGUUCGAUUCGUUAAGGAUAAACGAAUAAUAAACAAAUCCAGACUCGAUUCGAUUCGAUUCGUUUAUCAAUUAUUUUAAACGAAUUAAACGAAUCGAACCGAAUAUUCGUUUAAUAAACGAAUCGAAUCCGAAUCCUGAAAUUUCAAUUCGUUUAAUAAACGAAUCGAAUCCAAAUCCUCAUAAUUUUGACCCAAUUAGUUUACGAUUCGAUUCGUUUAUUCGUUUUGCCACCCCUAGAUGCAACCUGAUUAUGGUCUCAAAUAGUGUGAUCUGUCAAUUUUGUUUGCUCUGGCCUAAUAACCUUGAAUAUGAGCUAUGCCACUAUACAAAGUCUGACCUAAUCACACUUGUUAGCCAAUGUCCAAAAUUGCAGUGUCUUUAGAUAAGUCCUGUCUUUUUUGUUUGAGUUAUAAAUGAAAAUUGCAGUGUCUUUGGAAAAAUCACGCUGAAUGUUCAAGUUAUUGACGAGAGGAGACCCCCAGAUUCAAGGGCGGAGCUCCCUGUUAAGAAGCUUUACAUAUAUAGGAUUGUCGCCUGGCAGAGGAUUGAUAUGCCUGGUUUUGUUGUUUGGAAAUAUGGAUGAAGAUUUUGCAUUGAGGCUUUUUUGAUAGAUCAUUUGGCAAAUCAAGCUCCAUGUAUCUAUCUUCAGACUCUUGGAUAUUUAUAAAGCAGGUGCAUGCUCCAUAUGUUACUUAAUGUAUCACGAUUAUUUUUCUAUUGCUUAAUAUAUUUGCAGUCCUUGAUGAAGUUGAGGACAACUUAUGGAGGGUAUACAGAGGCUCAAGAGCUCGAUCGCCAUUCAUUUUACACUGGGCUGGGCUAUAGCAUACCAACUAGUGAUUAAUAAAGAGAAGGUAUGAAGGUCAUGUUGCUGGUGGUAGUAUCAAUCAGAAUUGUUAUUUUACUUAGUCAUACUUACCAUGUAUACUAAUCGUAGGCUUUUUUCAUUUUCAUGCAUUCGCAUCAUCUUCUGGUUAAGCUACAGAUGGUUGAUUUGUGUACUCAUUUGUAUCACUUGUAGCUCUUGAGGAAUAAAAUUUAAAAAUUAUGUUGCAUCUCUUGUACUAAAUAGUAAUUUUUGUUGGCUUUAUGUAUGGGAAAUGGUUUGUUGUCUUAUUUCUUUGAUGUGUAUGGUGUUACAUUGUCUAAAGUUAAGAAGUAUUUCUAUCACUUGUGUAAAAAACAACCUACUUUUUUCAUUCUUCUUAUAUUGAAUAAAAGAGGGACACCAAGAUUGAACGAAAUUUGAUUCAGAAAGCAUAGCAAUUAGGCCAGUGCAAAACAGCUUCCUUCUGAUUCUUUGAUAUUUGACUUAAAUCUUUUGUUUAUUUCAUUUAUCAAAGUCAUUUUGGAAAGUAACGGGGGUGAUUUGAUAUUUUAAUUGCAUUCACAUCCCUUGGCACCAAAACAAACAUGCUGGUACUAACCAAUAAUUUUUUAUUUUCAGUAUACAAAUUAUUUUUUUCUAAAUUAGGGGUAUUAAGAAAAGGUAUAUUAGCACCAGGGGAGGUAUUUGAGAAUACACAAAUAUAAUCUAUUAAACUAAGGUGGCAUUUGUUUUUUAAUUUAAUGACUUAAAGUGACUUAAUUAAUUAAGUUAAUUAGAGGUGUUUGUUUUAUAACUUAAUGAGAUUUUUUAGAUAAUUUAGACUUAAUAAAAUAAGUUAAUUUUUUUUGGCUUUUUUACUUAAUAGAGACAUUUGAAUUAAGUCAAUAACUUUCUAAUGUCAAAAAUAUCCUUGUUUUUAAUUUAUUCUUCAUGCCUAUUCCAAAAUUCACCCAUAGACAUUUAACUCCACAUAAUAAUCUCAUCAUUAUUUUUUUUAGCCGUCAUGAAAUCCCUCCUCACUUGAUAUCAACUCCUCGAGUAUUGAAGAUCAAAAUUACAUGCGAGAAUUUUGAGAUGAAAUGGCAAAUCAACUGUUUCAAGCAUUUUAUUAGUUUUUUUUUCUUAUAUUAUAUACGAUAAAAUUUGAAAUUUAUGAUAUUUUAUAUAUUAAAAUUUCAAAAUCAAUUAUGUAUUCACUUGAAUAUAAUUUUACUUAUAAACGUUAAAAUAUUGUGGUAUUUAAUAUAUUAUUUAUUUUGACAUUCAAAUUUAGUAAGGAUACAAAUGUAAAAGUACAUAUUUCAGUUUUUUAAGUUGAAAAAAACAUAAUUAUAUAAUUAUUUUUCAAGAUUCAAACGAAAAAACAAACAUAUUAUUCUGAUUCAGACAUUCAGAUCUAUUCAGAAUUCAGACUAAUUCAGGUCUAUUCAGAUUUUAAACAAAAAAUCAAACACCACCUAAGAAUAUGCCAAACUUCAGGGGAGGUUUCUGAUAAAUCUCUUUUUCUUUUUCCUCCAUUCACCAUAGGUUCAAUUUAGAAACUGUUGACCAAACGGAAGGUUUAGGUUGGUAAACGCACUAAGUGCCUGUUUGGUAUGGCUUAUUCAAGAGCCAUAAAUGCUUAUUUAAUCGCAUAAGCACUUUUUUAAAUUUUUAUGGUGUUUGGUUAUUUUUUUUAGUAGAGUUUUUUAGCUUAAAUAAGCUAAUUUACCUCUACUAGUAAAAGCCCAAAAUUUAAGCUUUUGGGAGUAGAGGUUAGAGAGCUUUUAAAAAAAUAUAUAUAAUAUAAAAAAAUAUCACACAUUUUAAUGGUUCAAAAGUGUUUUUUUUAUUGACAACCAAACACCUAAUGACUUUUUAUCCAAAAGCUCUAUGGUAUAAGCUCUACUGCUAUAAACUCUACUGUUAUAAGCUCUAUUUAAUAAGCUGUACAAACGGAGCCUAAGUGUUAAUGUCAACAACCCAAGGGGCUUCAUGGUCCUCUGGGCCGAAAUAAUUAUUAAUUCUCCUCUAGUGAAAAUCUUCAUCUUGGGACAAAUAAUUACAAAUUGACAUUAUAGCUGUGGAAAUUUGGAGGUGUAAUUACCGGAAAUUACAUCUAUUUCAAUUUGCUAAAAGUAAUGGUAUCAUUUCUUGUAUGGAAAAUGGAUGAUUAGAUUUUCUUUUUUGUUAUCCGACGAAGGAUAUUCAGUUGUUCUUUUUUGUUCAUAGGCAAGAGCAUGAGCAUAUGCAUAUUUAAUAUAUGCUUCUUGCAUUUUCUAAUUAAGUGCUCUCUUUCCUUGCCUUCUUAGUUUUGAAAGAAAGUUGUGAAGCAAAGCAAACCCAGUGAAAUACACAGAGCAACAGAACCAUCAGAGGAAAAACUAAAUAACAGAACUACAAUUGAACCAAACAAAAUCAAUAAACCGAGGCAACAGAUGCCCUGAAUCAGGCAUCCCUUUUUCUCCAAAGAAAAUAUUUUGCAUGGGUGGGAACCUAGUAAUUGUUGGGGAAAAAUUAGGUUUUUAAAUUUUUAUAAAACCUUUUGAAGAUCGCUCUCAUAUAAUAUAUAAGAAUUUGUAUUCUAGAAAUCGUACCUUGAAAAUUUGAGUUUGCUUUUUCCGCUGAAGUGAUUUAGGCUCCUAGAUCACGAUCCGCCACCACCACUCCUGUUAGAUCACGAUCCGUCACCACCACGCUUGUUAGAUCACGAACUGUCUCCAAUGAUUUUCCAGAUUAUGACUCAGGUUCGAUCUGCACUUGACGUGUGGGCGCCUUUAUCACUACCAAAGCAACUAGCACGAUAAAAUUUUCUCUCAACAAUAGAGAGAAAAAUCUUAUUCUCCGAUUUGUAUAAAGUGGCUUCUCUUAUUCUUUAGAGAAAAUAGCCUUUUAUAUCACCCUUUAGUGAAAACCUUAGGCUCCAAAUAAUGCCCUAAAUAAAUCACGUUACUUUCUUUUUCAAUAGGGGACCCACCUUGUAAAAUACAUAAGGCCCCUUAUACAAAAGCUAAUUAAAUGGAGCCUCCCACUAAAUGAUAUAUUUAGGCUUUUGACCCAAAUAGCUAGUUAUCUUACUUAUUAGUCCAGUAGUGGUGCAGUCAAUUAAAUGAGCUAACCCGGGGAUCAUUUGGGAACAUACAAUAGUGGCUACAAUAAUUAGGCCUGUAAUUAAACUAGCCCAAAUAUUUAAUUCCAAAUCUACUCCACUAAAAGAUUGGAACUGACUUCCAUAAUUGUAUGCUCGAAUAAUAAUUCGUCCCAAGCCACAUUGAUUUCUUUACUGCACAAUCCUUUGUACCACAUCGUUAAUUAAAUUGAUAUCUCAACUGUCCAAUCAAUUUAAUAACAUCUUAUUCCUUGAUCCUUACUGGUUUUCUAAUGAUCAUUUCAACAUACUAAAUAUGUUGACACACUCUGGCCAGAGAAUUCUAUGAUCAAGUGCCGAAAACCCAUCAAGAGAUGUAGAAACUGUUGACCAAACGGAAGGUUUAGGUUGGUAAACGCACUAAGUGCCUGUUUGGUAUGGCUUAUUCAAGAGCCAUAAAUGCUUAUUUAAUCGCAUAAGCACUUUUUUUAAAUUUUUAUGGUGUUUGGUUAUUUUUUUAGUAGAGUUUUUUAGCUUAAAUAAGCUAAUUUACCUCUACUAGUAAAAGCCCAAAAUUUAAGCUUUUGGGAGUAGAGGUUAGAGCUUUUAAAAAAUAUAUAUAAUAUAAAAAUAUCACACAUUUUUAAUGGUUCAAAAGUGUUUUUUUUAUUGACAACCAAACACCUAAUGACUUUAUCCAAAAGCUCUAUUGGUAUAAGCUCUACUGCUAUAAACUCUACUGUUAUAAGCUCUAUUUAAUAAGCUGUACCAAACGGAGCCUAAGUGUUAAUGUCAACAACCCAAGGGGCUUCAUGGUCCUCUGGGCCGAAAUAAUUAUUAAUCUCCUCUAGUGAAAAUCUUCAUCUUGGGACAAAUAAUUACAAAUUGACAUUAUAGCUGUGGAAAUUUGGAGGUGUAAUUACCGGAAAUUACAUCUAUUUCAAUUUGCUAAAAGUAAUGGUAUCAUUUCUUGUAUGGAAAAUGGAUGAUUAGAUUUUCUUUUUUGUUAUCCGACGAAGGAUAUUCAGUUGUUCUUUAUUUGUUCAUAGGCAAGAGCAUGAGCAUAUGCAUAUUUAAUAUAUGCUUCUUGCAUUUUCUAAUUAAGUGCUCUCUUUCCUUGCCUUCUUAGUUUUGAAAGAAAGUUGUGAAGCAAAGCAAACCCAGUGAAAUACACAGAGCAACAGAACCAUCAGAGGAAAAACUAAAUAACAGAACUACAAUUGAACCAAACAAAAUCAAAUAAACCGAGGCAACAGAUGCCCUGAAUCAGGCAUCCCUUUUUCUCCCAAAGAAAAUAUGUUUGCAUGGGUGGGAACCUAGUAAUUGUUGGGAAAAAUUAGGUUUUUAAAUUUUUAUAAAACCUUUUGAAGAUCGCUCUCAUAUAAUAUAUAAGAAUUUGUAUUCUAGAAAAUCGUACCUUGAAAAUUUGAGUUUGCUUUUCCGCUGAAGUGAUUUAGGCUCCUAGAUCACGAUCCGCCCACCACUCCUGUUAGAUCACGAUCCGUCACCACCACGCUUGUUAGAUCACGAACUGUCUCCAAUGAUUUUCCAGAUUAUGACUCAGGUUCGAUCUGCACUUGACGUGUGGGCGCCUUUAUCACUACCAAAGCAACUAGCACGAUAAAAUUUUUCUCUCAACAAUAGAGAGAAAAAUCUUAUUCUCCGAUUUGUAUAAAGUGGCUUCUCUUAUUCUUUAGAGAAAAUAAGCCUUUUAUAUCACCCUUUAGUGAAAACCUUAGGCUCCAAAUAAUGCCCUAAAUAAAACUCACGUUACUUUCUUUUUCAAUAGGGGACCCACCUUGUAAAAUAACAUAAGGCCCCUUAUACAAAAGCUAAUUAAAUGGAGCCUCCCACUAAAUGAUAUAUUUAGGCUUUUGACCCAAAUAGCUAGUUAUCUUACUUAUUAGUCCAGUAGUGGUGCAGUCAAUUAAAUGAGCUAACCCGGGGAUCAUUUGGGAACAUACAAUAGUGGCUACAAUAAUUAGGCCUGUAAUUAAACUAGCCCAAAUAUUUAAUUCCAAAUCUACUCCACUAAAAGAUUGGAACUGACUUCCAUAAUUGUAUGCUCGAAUAAUAAUUCGUCCCAAGCCACAUUGAUUUCUUUACUGCACAAUCCUUUGUACCACACGUUAAUUAAAUUGAUAUCUCAACUGUCCAAUCAAUUUAAUAACAUCUUAUUCCUUGAUCCUUACUGGUUUUCUCUAAUGAUCAUUUUCAACAUACUAAAUAUGUUGACACACUCUGGCCAGAGAAUUCUAUGAUCAAGUGCCGAAAACCCAUCAAGAGAUGUGUUGUACAAAUUCUAUAUUGUUAAUCCAUAACUCCAAUACUCAUAAUUGCUCCCACCAAGAUACCGGGUACUCUGACCACAAUGAUGUGUCGUGCCCAUUGGUAACUCAAAUGGAAUACAAUUACAAUCAUGAAAUCAUAAUUAACUCAAGAUUAAGAUUACAGUAAAAUCAACGCCUAUGAGAUUUAAUAAGUCUGACAGUUAUUACAAAGUUAAUUAAAUCUCAUAUGUGAUCCUGUUCAAUGUAGUCGUACUACAUCAAUAAAUUCAUACAUGAUUAAGACAAAUCAUUCAAUGAAUUUAUUACAGUCUAUACCUAAAUAAAGUGCCCAACUUUAUUUAUCAACUGCGAACUAAAUUUAUUUAAUCAUAAGAUAACUUGUAUUUAUGUCUUCUGUGAAUCCACAUGGUGAUCACAUAAAUACAUAUAAUAUGAUUAAAUGAACUUUUAAUACAAGUAUUAAUGCAAUUAAGAUAUUUGAAUAAAAUACCUCAUUUAUUUAUUAAUCAGAAAAAUUGUUUAUUACAAUUAAAUAAACACAUAUGCUUUAAAAGAGCAUAUUUUCCAACAAUCUCCCACUAGCUCUCAAAGCAUAUCUAGCAUAUUGCUCAUGCUCUAGGGCUCUAAGUGCAGGUUAUAAAGGUUUCCCACUAAUGGCCAUUGUAAUAAGAUCUGCCAUUUAGCAUCUAAUGCCAUUUGGGGUACUGUCAAGUGACCCUUCUGUCCACAUUUGUAACACUUGCCUUUUGGCUUGCCACUUCUUUUAAUGGACAGUUUGCCGAUCCCAACUCUUGCUUGCUCAUUCUUGUCUUUCGACUUAAGCCUUGAAGAGAAUCCUUUUUCAGGAAGUUUUCUGCUAUUAUAAAAUUCUUCUAUAGCAUGUAGUUCGUGCAUUAAUUCAAUUAAGGUCAUAUCUUUAUUGUUAAGAUAUAGCUGACCUUAAACUCUUUGAAUGUAUCAGGUAAAGAUUCAAUCACCAUGUUAAUCUUUGAUUUAUCAUUGAUUUGAACACCAUGAAUCUCUACCUCAUUCAAAUAGUCCAUCAUUUUGAGGACAUGAUCACGAACUUUUGUGCCCUCUUCCAUCUUAGUAUCCAUAAUACGUUUUAAUGCUGCUUCUCUGGCAAAAUGGGUAUUUUGCCCAAACAUCUGAUGAAGACUAGCCAUUAUUUCAGUGGCUGUUUCCAUGCUCCGAUGUUUCUUAUGCAGUUCCAUAGAAAUCGAAGCCAAUAUAUAGCGCUUAGCCAUUUUGUUAGCUUCGCACCAUUUCUCAUAAGGCUCCCUCUGAUUUCUAUAAUCGUAUAACGAUGGUUCAGGAGGGCAAGGCUGGGUCAACACAUAUUUGCUUCCUUUAGCAGUGAGAUAUUAAAUAGAUUGCGUUUCCAAUCUAAAUAAUUUUCGCCAGUGAGUUCAUUUUUAACAAGGAUAAAUAAUAAUGGGUUGAUGGAAGACAUUUUCUGAAAAAAAUAAAAUACACAUGCAUAAAUACUUUGAAACAAUAUUCACAAUAAAUGACAAAAAUGCAAAAAACCAUAAAUGCAUUUUAAUUUAUUGUAACGAUAAUCUAGUACCGCUUCGACAAGCUAUUCGUUGGGGAAGUCAUGUCUACACUUACUAGACCCAAUUAUCCAUUGGAUUAUUUCAUUUCACAUGAUAAAUAAUUAUCGUUAUCCCUUUGGACCUAAAUUUGUUAACAGAGCUUCGUUGGGAAGGUUAAUAACAAACUUUUAGUUGAGUGUAUAACCAUUGUUUCAAUCUACGUAUUUUUCAUAUCAAUAGUCACCGUUGGGGUGAACAAUCGAUUGAAAAAUAUUUCAAUUUUAUCUUUGAAGAAGUUCAUCAAAUAAAAUAUCUAAUAUAUAUACCCUCGAAGGAGCAUCACCGUAUCAUGAAGUCGAGGUAUAUAUAUAAUUUUAUUAUUGAACUAACAAUGGAGCCCGUGGGAAAAUUAUCUUGAAUUUUCCCUCUCCCACUCAAUAUUUUAAAAUUGGUUUUUCCUUUUUAAAACAUACAUAUUGUUAAUUGCAUGCUUCCUAUAAUAUUAUCUAGAUGAUAUCAAAUUAUUAAGCAUACGCAAAUUUCAAACAAUAUAAUGAAAUUCAUUAUUAAUGAAUGACAUGUAUCAUUAUGCAUAGAGUGGCACUACCUAUUCUAUAUGACAUGUUAUCAUGGCAUGUAAUCAUCCAAAACAUAACAUAUAGAAAAAAUAAUUAAAUAAUCUUAAUUCAUGGCUUUCCUAAUAAUGAAAAAUACAUUAACCCUAAGCCUAAUCUUCAUUGGGCUUCUUGUCAAUAUCCAUCUUCCAUAGCUUGUCUUUGUUGAUGGACUAGGGGAAAUUGAGCUUUUAAAUUUAUAAUUGGUCCAAUUUUAAUUUGGAAAGAAAAUAAAUAAUUAAAAUUAAAAUUUAUUAAAAUAAAACUUUUGGACCAAAAAUAAAUUUAAUAUAUUCAAUUUUAUCUAUGCAUUUUAAUCCAUUAAGCCCAAUUGAAAUUGGGCCUAAAACUAGGAUUCAUUAAGCCCAAAACUAUUUUUGGAUUUAAACGCAAAAAAUUAAAAAUGUUUCUGCCCAACUGAAAAAAUAUGAAACUAUAGGGACCUCCACGAUAAAAACCAUGAAACCCUAAAAUCACAUUUUCUUUUCCUCCUCUUCCCUAGCCGCCACCAGCACAAAAACCCAGCCGUUGUUUACUGUUUCCACACCGGACAGCCGUCAUCAACGCCGGAAAGACGCCAACCAAAACGCUCCGCGCCUUCAGCCCACGUUCACGCUGUUGCUUGGGUGCUGCAGCUGCUGCUCGCGCGCUGCGGUUGCUGCUGUGCAGCGCGCGCUGCAGCUGCUGCGUGUGUAGCUCGCGCUGCUAGCAGCGUGGCUGCUGGCCGCUGCGCGUGCAGCGCGCGCUGCUGGCAGCAUGUGCUACUGGCCGCGCGCUGCUCGCACAGCAGCUUGUGCUGCUGGCCGCUCGCUGCUGCGUGUGCUGGUUCGUUGCUGCAGUUUCCGGCCUCGAUUGUUUGCGCUCGUUUUCCAGUGAUGAUGCUUCGGUGAUUUACAAAUUUUCAACGCAAAUUUUUGCUUACAAAAUUUCAAUUACAGUAAAAUAAAUCAAGAGAGAAUUAUGGUGAUAAAAAACCACCCCUCUUGUUACAGAUCCAAACGAAAAAUACAAUAGAAAAUCUAACAAUGAAUUAACUGCGUUUACUUUUUGGAUUGGAGUGGGAAUCCUGAGGAAUGGGAAUCCUUGGAUUAGGAGUGUGGAGUGGGAGUGGGAGUAGGGUGUUUACUUAGACUAAAUGAAAGUAUGGAUUGUCAAUUAGAAUUCCAAUUAUUUGUUUACUUUGUCUUGGAUUGGGAGUAAAUUGUUUUAAAUUACAAUUUUAUCCUUAUGUACAGAAUUAUAAUUUGUAAUUAAAAAUUAAUAAAAAAUAUAUUUGGAAAAUAAAUAAAUAUUUUAUUAUAUUUAUAAAUUAUUAAUAAUUACUAAUAUUCUUAAUUAUGUAAAUCAUAAUUUUUUAUUAAUUUUAAUUUAAAUUAUGUGAAUAAAAAUUAUUAAUAAUAGCAACACAAAUGGAAUAUUAUUAUUGAUAAUAUAGUACAAAAUUAAUAUUUUUAGAAUAAAAUAUUUAUUAUUAUUAAUAAAUAAAUAAUUAAUUAAUAUUUAUUAAAAUUAAUGUUUUUAUUAUUAAUUUAAAUAUAAUAUUAUUUAUUUUUAUUUAUUAAUUUUAUAAAAAAAAAUAUGAAUAUAUAUUUUUUAAUAAAUAUGAUAUUAUUUAUUUUAUGAAAUUUAUUUAUUUAUUAAAUAUUAUUUAUUUAUUAAAAUAUUAUUUAUUUAUUUUAAUUUUAUAAGGAUAAAAUGGGAAGAGGGGGAGUGGAUUCCCACUCCCUCCCCCAAUGGGAGUGGGAAUCCCACUCCCCACUCCAAAUUUAGGUGGGACCCGGAUUCCCACUCCCACUCUCCCUAUUUUUAAAGUAAGUAAACACUGGAGUGGGAGGAAUCCACACUCCACACUCCCACUCCAGAAAGUAAACACUACCUUAAGACAAACCAUAAACAUGCUUUAUUCAUAUAUUAAACAAAUAAUAUAUAUCUGAAUAAAUUGUGCCACUCUAAUACAUAAAUUUCAAGAUUAAUUUCAUACGAAAUUCUUAUUUAUUAAUAUGAGAUGGCUCUGAUACCAAUUGUUAGGGAAAAAUUAGGUUUUUAAAUUUUUAUAAAACCUUUUGAAGAUCGCUCUCAUAUAAUAUAUAAGAAUUUGUAUUCUAGAAAUCGUACCUUGAAAAUCUGAGUUUGCUUUUUCCGCUGAAGUGAUUUAGGCUCCUAGAUCACGAUCUGCCACCACCACUCCUGUUAGAUCACGAUCCGUCACCACCACGCUUGUUAGAUCACGAACUGUCUCCAAUGAUUCCAGGUUAUGACUCAGGUUCGAUCUGCACUUGACGUGUGGGCGCCUUUAUCACUACCAAAGCAACUAGCACGAGAAAAUUUUUCUCUCAACAAUAGAGAAAAAAAUCUUAUUCUCCGAUUUGUAUAAAAUGGUUUCUCUUAUUCUUUAGAGAAAAUAAGCCUUUUAUAUCACCCUUUAGUGAAAACCUUAGGCUCCAAAUAAUGCCCUAAAUAAACUCACGUUACUUUCUUUUUCAAUAGGGGACCCACCUUGUAAAAUAACAUAAGGCCCCUUAUACAAAAGCUAAUUAAAUGGAGCCUCCCACUAAAUGAUAUAUUUAGGCUUUUGACCCAAAUAGCUAGUUAUCUUACUUAGUCCAGUAGUGGUGCAGUCAAUUAAAUGAGCUAACCCGGGGAUCAUUUGGGAACAUACAAUAGUGGCUACAAUAAUUAGGCCUGUAAUUAAACUAGCCCAAAUAUUUAAUUCCAAAUCUACUCCACUAAAAGAUUGGAACUGACUUCCAUAAUUGUAUGCUCGAAUAAUAAUUCGUCCCAAGCCACAUUGAUUUCUUUACUGCACAAUCCUUUGUACCACAUCGUUAAUUAAAUUGACAUCUCAACUGUCCAAUCAAUUUAAUAACAUCUUAUUCCUUGAUCCUUACUGGUUUUCUCUAAUGAUCAUUUUCAACAUACUAAAUAUGUUGACACACUCUGGCCAGAGAAUUCUAUGAUCAAGUGCCGAAAACCCAUCAAGAGAUGUGUUGUACAAAUUCUAUAUUGUUAAUCCAUAACUCCAAUAUAUAAAGUACUAGAUGUUUUACUGAGAAAAUGACUAGAUCAUUUACCAAAUUUCUUGCGCAUAUAUACGUAUGUAUACAGAAAUGGGAAUCAAUGAUUAUAAGACCUUGCAAUGAGACAAUAAUACAUCAUCAAAUCUAAAAAUACACAAGAAAUUCGGGACAUAUAUAUAACAAAGACCUCUCAUUGAGUCAUACAUAUUGAGAAUAAAAUGUCAAAAUGCAUACAAAGAGCUUAUACAGAAAAUGAAUUUACACAUAUUUAGAAUAAAUUGUCUUUGAACUUUUGAUGGUCAAAUAAAGGAAACAGACAGGAUAUAACACACACUAUCAUAGAUGUAGCGACACGGUGAAGUAAAUCAUGAAGAUGGAAACGGAAACCCUUCACAAUAUAAAAUUUGAAUAGAGGGGGGAAAAAAGGCUUCAUUUGGAAUGUUGCACAGAAGAAGAGUGACUUGAAUCUCCAUCAGUAUCCAGACAUUCUACAACACAGUGCUGAGAAUUUUAACAAGAAUAACAGACAAAAUAUUGUGCUUCUAUACUUGUCACAAAACUAGACCAAAUUAGUUCCCUUUUGGUUUGUGAAAACUUGAUAUUUUUGAAAAUUCUAUCCAAUGCUUUUAAACAAUAUUUCCAUAAUAUAGUUGUUCAUAGCUAACCUUUGAUGGUUUAAGCAUUUGUUGUAGGCAUGACGGGCUGAUUAGAUUAUUAUUUUUUUUAUCCGAUGAAUGAUAUUCAGCUGUUCUUAAUUAUGUGUUAAUAGGCAAGAGCAUUUUCUUAAGUACUUUCGUUGCCUUCCAAGUUUCCAAUGAACAAACAGAGCACAAACAAAUUUAACGAAACAAACAGAGCAUUUUCUUCAGUGUGCUUUCUUGAGACAUUUUGAUUUAGUCUCAUUAUGAUUAAAAAAGGAAGCUCGCUUCUCGAGACAUUUUGCUAUAGUCUCAUUAUGGUUAUAAAGAAGCGAUGGUCUAGGAGACAUAUUGUUUUCGUCUCAUUUUGCUAGACAUCUGGACUUUAUGGAAAUGAGCAUGUUGAUCACAUUGUCAUGUUAUUUCCAUAAUUAUACUUGUAUACUACUACAUGGUCACGUGUUUAUAAGUGUCUUGUUAUAUGGAGCAUCCUGUCGGUGCACAUAUGAUUUGAUAUUUAUGGCACAUUUUGGACUUGUUUAUGUUCUGGGUGAUUGCUUGUAUUUGACCUUUUGUUAUAGUCACAUAUUGAUUAAUUCGGUUGUUUUCAAAAUAUUAUUUUAUUUUAAAUUUAUCAUUGGAGUGAUUUCUGUCGUCCAAGUGGGAGAUUGUUAGAUUUAUUUCUCAUAUUAUGUGGACUGACAUAAAUCAUUCUAAUUGUUUUCUAUAUUUUACCGAAUUAAUACGUGACUAUUGUCAAAUAUUAUGGAGCAAUUUUGACAUACCUUGUACAGUAGUAUAUUAUGGACAAGUAUAUCCUUAAUUGUGUUAUUUUCGCCCAUAAUGGGAUGGGCAAUUUUGUACUAACACAUGAGGGGUCCCUGCGCUCAACCACUGUAUUUAAGUAACUUCAGCCCAUUGGAAGUUAACUGUUCAAGAAAUCUGUGGCAUGAGUGCAGUGCAUCUCUCUCUCCGUUUGUCUCCCGUGUGUGUGCACAGUAAAUUUUGAAGCAAGCCGAUCCUUGAGCUAAGGAAAAGAAAGCGGAAUUCAGAAGCUAAACCGAAGCAGCAGCAACUCUGUUGAAGCUCCAUAACAAGCUGCAAGCUUGGAUUCAUGGGAGAUCGUGGUAAAUUUCGAAAUUUACUACAAUAUGUGUUUAAUUUGGAAAUGCACGAUUAAAGGGCAUAAAGUAUGUUUUUGUUUCAUCAAUUGGUAUCAGAGCCCAUGGUUAUGCGUUUCCUUGUAAACCAUAGUUGUUUUGUUGAAGAAAUCUCACUCAUGGAAUUUUUUUUUUAUUUUCGGAUUUUUCGAAUUCUUCGAAUUUGGACAUAUUUCCUCAAACGGUUGUUAAAUAAUGCAUGAGUGAUGAUUUUGGAGCAAAGAUAUAAUUUUUUCGUGUUUUUUGGUGGCCAAAAUCGGGUUGGUAUGGAUGUGGAUGCUGUAAAUGUACUGUACAAUACUGUAGCAACAGCCCGAGGUUGAAGAUGAUGGGACAAUUUCAUUUGGAUCCCUAAAUUUUGUGAAUUGUCACUAUGGCCCAAAAUCUUUGCAAACUUUUCGAAAAGGUCCUUGACCGAGGGUCAACUAUGUAAAAGAUAAGUUGGUCCCUUGAAUUUUGGGAAAUUAUAGUAUGGCCCAACAGUUUAUUUUAUUUUAUUUACAGUUUGGGCCAAAAGUUUUAAUAGUUAAAACAGUAAAUAAUUCUGAAAAUUUUUCAUUUUAGUCCAAAAUCCUUUCAAUUUUGGCGAUUUUUCAGAAUUUAAAUUUUAAAAUAAUCCAUCAGUUAUUGAAUCUUAUGGGCAUAUCAUUUAUAUAUUUUAUUGAGGCAUGUAGAUAUUUUAUUUGAUUUAAUAUCUUGUUAAUUUCAUUUGACAAAAUUUAUUUAGCCUCAAUUUUGUUAAUAUACGAAAUAUAUAUAUGAUGCAAAACUACAAUUUAGAGUGAUUGUGUAUCUACUUAUCGUAGGACCAAUCAUGAUAAAUUAUUUGGUGGUUUGCAAUUGAUUGUCCAUUUACAAUUAUGAAUUAUGGAUUAUGUGAUGGAUUGUUAUUGUUUGACCAAGAUCCAUACGGGUGAUGAUACUGCCCUGUCGGCAAAUCACUACUUGGUACUUGGUAGGAUGCUUGGGAAGAUAAAGAGAUUUGUUGAGUAUUUUCUACUGAGUGGCUUAAUUACCCUGUCGGUAAUAGGUCAAUGUUGGUGUUAUAUUCAACUUGUCUGCUUUAUCUUUAGGUUAGUGCAUUCCUAUAUUGUUAAAGGAUGCCUAACAUAUUGUGUUGCUAUUGGAGAAACUUAGAAUGAGGAGCAAUUGAUUAUAGCAUGAUUUUAAUUUUUGCAUGCUUGAUAUUCUUUUGUUAUUGCUUCCUCAGCUCUAGAUAUUCUCUCCUUUCUCCAAGUAGCCUCCCUCAAGAAUUUAACUGGGACAAAUUUUGAGGACUGGCGUGAGUCCAUUUUGUUUUAUUUGUCUACACUGAAUAGAGACUUGGCAUUAAGAGUUGAUGAACCAGCCAAGCCCACAGAUAAGAGCACUGCUGCUGAAAAAGCAGAGUGGGCAGCUUGGGAUGAAUCCAAUAGACACUGUCUGGAUACAAUGAAAUACACCAUUGAUAGAACCACUAGAGAUAGCAUCCCUGCAUGUGAUAAGGCCAAAGAUUACUUGGCAGCUGUGGGAAGAACCUUUAAGAAGGUAGAUAAGGCAGAAAAGGGUAACUAUCUGAGGCUGCUUGCUAAUACCCAGUAUGAUGGUGUUUUCUGGGGUCAGAGAACACAUCCUUAAGAUGACUAGUUACCAUAAGAAGCUGAAGGACAUGGAUGUCACUUUGCCUGAUGACUACCUGGUCUUCCAAAUCCUUGAAUCUCUUCCACCACAAUUUGGCAAUUUGAGAAGCCAAUACAAUACUCAGAGAGACACUUGGAAUAUCACUGAGUUGACUGCUUAUGUGGUUCAGGAAGAGGAAUCAUUGAAGAAGGGGAAAUCUCACACUGUCAUGGUGGCAACUACUCAAGAGAGUGGAAGUGUGAAGAAAGGCUCUUCAAAGGGCAGCAAUAAGUUUUUUAAGAAGAAAAAGUUUGGCAAGAAAACUUCACGUGGUACUUCUUCUACCACUUCUGGUUCCACUUCUGAGAGCUUUAAGGGAAAGUGCCACUUUUGUAAGAAACCUGGGCACAAGAGAGCUGACUGCAGGGGAUUCAAAGCAUGGUUGGAAAAGAAAGGUAUUCCUGUAGCCUUUGUAGGCUUUGAAUCUAAUCUUAUUGAUGUUCCUUCUGAUACUUGGUGGUUGGAUACUGGUGCAACCAUUAAUAUAACGAAUUCCUUACAGGAAUUCAGAAGCAGGAGGGAGCCCAAUGAAGGGGAGUUGAUAGUUCACAUGGGCAAUGGAGUGACAGCCAAAGUUGAAAGCAUAGGAGUUGUCAGACUACAUCUAGCCACAGGCCAUGUUUUGGAUCUAUUAGAUACAGCUUAUAUUCCUUCUAUUAGGAGAAACUUGAUAUCUGUAUCUAUUUUGGAUAGAUGUGGCUAUACUUUUCAUUUUGGUGAUAGAAAAGUUUACUUAUUCCGCAAUUCAGAGUUAGUUGGUUCUGGCACUCUAUAUGAUGGCUUGUAUAUGAUUGAUUUAUUUUCUCGUGCUGUUGAAUCAUCAUCCAAUGCUCAUGUUAUGCAUGUUGUUAGCUCUAAUCGUGUUAGGGUUGAUGAAAAUUCCUCUAUGUUGUGGCAUAAACGGUUAGGUCACAUUUCUAAACAGAGGAUGAGAGGCUUAUUAAAGAUAUUCUACAUAAGUUGGAUUUCUCUGAUUUUGGCACUUGUGUUGAUUGUGUCAAAGGCAAACUUACUGCCAAAACCAGAAAAGAGAGAACUCAGAGGAGUCAACAGGUGCUGGAGUUGGUACAUACAGACAUUUGUGGGCCAUUUACUCCUAUUGCCAUUGGAGGUUAUAAGUACUUCAUCACGUUCAACGAUGACUUUUCUCGUUAUGGUCAUGUUGAACUUCUUGCUGAAAAGUCUAAAUCCUUAUCUGUGUUUCAAGCCUUUAAGGCUAAUGUUGAGCUCCAAAAGGGCAAGCAAAUUAAAGCAGUAAGGUCAGACAGAGGUGGUGAGUACUAUGGGCGAUAUGAUGAAACUGGGCGUAAUCCUGGACCUUUUGCUAAAUUUCUUCAGGAAUGUGGAAUAGAAGCCCAGUAUACAAUGCUCGGGACUCCUGAACAUAAUGGAAUUGCAGAAAGGAGAAAUCGUACCCUUCUUGACAUGGUGCGGUGUAUGCUGAGUAACUCCACCUUACCAGAUUUUCUGUGGGGUGAAGCCUUAAGAACUGCAGCUUACAUUUUGAAUCAGGUACCUAGUAAAUCGGUGCCCAAAAGUCCUUAGUUGUGGUCAGGAAAGAGACCGAGUCUUCGUCAUUUUCAUGUAUGGGAUGCAGAGCAGAAGUGAGGCCCUAUAAUCCACAAUCAAGGAAACUUGAUCCGAAAACAAUUAGUGGUCAUUUUAUUGGCUAUUGUAUCGGCUCAAGGGUUUCUAGAUUUUAUUGACCUUCCCACACUACUAGAAUCAUUGAGUCUGAUCGUGCCAUUUAUUUUGAGGAUGAUCACAAUGGUGGGAGUUCUGAGCCUCGCAGUCUGACAUUGAGAGAAGAACGUGUGGUUUUGCCUAUUCCAUCUUUUCCGACUUCUGCGAUGGGAUUACCACAUAUUGAUGAUUCUUCUGUUGAUCCUAAACUUCAUCAUAAUAUGGAGCCUAUGAUUGUAGAGGAUGAUGGUACUGAUGUGCCAUUGAGGAGAUCAGAGAGGAUCAGGAGACCUGCAAUUUCUGAUGAUUAUGUUGUUUACUUGCAGGAGCAUGAUUUUGAUGCUGACUCUUCAUCUGAUCCUAUUACCUUUCAAGAGGCCAUCAGUUGUUCAGAAUCAUCAUCUUGGAUACAUGCGAUGCAUGAUGAGAUGGCAUCUAUGUAUCAUAAUGAGGUUUGGGAUUUAGUUGAGUUACCAGAUGGAUGCAGACCAAUUGGUUGCAAAUGGGUUUUCAAAACCAAAAGAGAUGCCAGAGGUCAGGUAGAGAGGUAUAAGGCCAGGCUUUGUGGCUAAGGGUUUCAGUCAAAGAGAAGGCAUUGAUUACACUGAAACCUACUCUCCUGUUUCUACCAAGACUCUUUUCGUAUUAUCAUGGCAUUGGUAGCUCAUUUCAAUUUAGAAUUGCAUCAGAUGGAUGUGAAGACAGCUUUUCUUAAUGGGAGCUUGUCUGAAGAUGUAUACAUGGUGCAACCUGAUGGUUUUGUUGAGUCUGGUAUAGAAAACAUGGUGUGUAAGCUUAAAAGGUCCAUUUAUGGACUUAAGCAAGCAUCCAGACAGUGGUAUUUGAAAUUUCACGAUAUUGUCACCUCUUAUGGGUUCCAGGAGAAUGCCGUUGAUCAGUGUAUAUACUUGAGAGUCAGUGGGAGCAAGUAUAUCAUUUUGGUGCUUUAUGUGGAUGAUAUCUUGCUCGCUGCUAAUGACAGUAAUUUGUUACUUGAGACAAAGCAAAUGUUGUCAUGCAGCUUUGAUAUGAAGGAUCUUGGUGAAGCCCAUUAUGUAUUAGGGAUAGAGAUUCUUCAUGAUAGAUCUAGAGGAAUUCUAGGUUUGUCUCAAAAGACUUACAUUGAUCGCAUUUUGAAAAGGUUCAAUUUGCAGUCUUGUGCUCCUGGGAAAGCUCCAAUUUCGAAAGGUGACAAAAUUUCCAAGUCUCAAUGUCCCGAUAAUGAUGUAGACAAAGCUAGAAUACAAACAGUCCCGUAUGCAUCCGUUGUGGGUAGCUUGAUGUAUGCUCAAGUCUGUACUCGCCCUGAUAUUGCUUUCCAGUGGGAGUACUUGGAAGAUACCUGAGCAAUCCUGGAUUUGAACACUGGAAGGCUGCAAAGAAAGUACUCAGAUAUUUGCGAGCCACUAAAGAUUUUGUAUUGACAUAUCAGCAAUCUGACUUUUGAAUAUAGUUGGAUAUUCUGAUGCUGAUUUCGCAGGGUGCUUGGAAGACAAGAAAUCCACAUCUGGUUACAUCUUUAUGAUGGCAGAGGAGCUAUAUCGGAAAGUGUCAAGCAGACACUUAUAGCUUCUUCAACAAUGGAAGCAGAAUAUGUAGCAUGCUUUGAGGCUACACGUCAUGCUUUAUGGAUGCAAAAUUUUAUCACAGGGCUAGAUUGUAUAGUGGCCGUACCGAGGCCAUUAAAGAUAUACUGUGAUAAUUCUGCUGCUGUUUCUUUUUUCACAAUACAGGGAGUUCCUCACGUUCCAAGCACAUUGAUAUUAAAUACUUGUUUGUGAGAGAGAAAAUUGCUCUAUCUUGUGUAUCAGUAGAGUAUAUCCCUACAGAACUCAUGUUAGCCGAUCCACUUAUUAAAGCUUUAGCUCCAAAAGUAUUAGGGAGCAUGUAACGCAUAUGGAUUAUUUGAAUCCACUUAUAUAUGCUGAGUCAGUGGGAGUUCUGGUUGUAUUAUGAGUUGCAACUUAAAUGAGCUUAUGUAUUACUCAUUUUGUUAUCAUGCAUGCAUGUUGUUAUGUGAUAUUGAUAUGCCAUAUAUUGUGUACACAUUUGGCUGCGUAUGGCAUUAUGUAUAGAAUGAGGAUACGAUGGUCCGAGACAUUUUGCUCAGUCUCAAUAUGGACAUUAAAGACUGAAGCAUUAUGAUUUUCUUCAGUGUGCUUUCUUGAGACAUUUUGAUUUAGUCUCAUUAUGAUUAAAAAGGAAGCUCGCUUCUCGAGACAUUUUGCUAUAGUCUCAUUAUGGUUAUAAAGAAGCGAUGGUCUAGGAGACAUAUUGUUUUCGUCUCAUUUUGCUAGACAUCUGGACUUUAUGGAAAUGAGCAUGUUGAUCACAUUGUCAUGUUAUUUCCAUAAUUAUACUUGUAUACUACUACAUGGUCACGUGUUUAUAAGUGUCUUGUUAUAUGGAGCAUCCUGUCGGUGCACAUAUGAUUUGAUAUUUAUGGCACAUUUGGACUUGUUUAUGUUCUGGGUGAUUGCUUGUAUUUGACCUUUUGUUAUAGUCACAUAUUGAUUAAUUCGGUUGUUUUCAAAAUAUUAUUUUAUUUUAAAUUUAUCAUUGGAGUGAUUUCUGUCGUCCAAGUGGAGAUUGUUAGAUUUAUUCUCAUAUUAUGUGGACUGACAUAAAUCAUUCUAAUUGUUUUCUAUAUUUUACCGAAUUAAUACGUGACUAUUGUCAAAUAUAUGGAGCAAUUUUGACAUACCUUGUACAGUAGUAUAUUAUGGACAAGUAUAUCCUUAAUUGUGUUAUUUUCGCCCAUAAUGGGAUGGGCAAUUUUGUACUAACACAUGAGGGGUCCCUGCGCUCAACCUGUAUUUAAGUAACUUCAGCCCAUUGGAAGUUAACUGUUCAAGAAAUCUGUGGCAUGAGUGCAGUGCAUCUCUCUCUCCCGUUUGUCUCCCGUGUGUGUGCACAGUAAAUUUUGAAGCAAGCCGAUCCUUGAGCUAAGGAAAAGAAAGCGGAAUUCAGAAGCUAAACCGAAGCAGCAGCAACUCUGUUGAAGCUCCAUAACAAGCUGCAAGCUUGGAUUCAUGGGAGAUCGUGGUAAAUUUCGAAAUUUACUACAAUAUGUGUUUAAUUUGGAAAUGCACGAUUAAAGGGCAUAAAGUAUGUUUUUGUUUCAUCAAUUGGUAUCAGAGCCCAUGGUUAUGCGUUUCCUUGUAAACCAUAGUUGUUUUGUUGAAGAAAUCUCACUCAUGGAAUUUUUUUUUUUUUCGGAUUUUUCGAAUCUUCGAAUUUGGACAUAUUUCCUCAAACGGUUGUUAAAUAAUGCAUGAGUGAUNUAUUCUAUAUGACAUGUUAUCAUGGCAUGUAAUCAUCCAAAACAUAACAUAUAGAAAAAAUAAUUAAAUAAUCUUAAUUCAUGGCUUUCCUAAUAAUGAAAAAUACAUUAACCCUAAGCCUAAUCUUCAUUGGGCUUCUUGUCAAUAUCCAUCUUCCAUAGCUUGUCUUUGUUGAUGGACUAGGGGAAAUUGAGCUUUUAAAUUUAUAAUUGGUCCAAUUUUAAUUUGGAAAGAAAAUAAAUAAUUAAAAUUAAAAUUUAUUAAAAUAAAACUUUUGGACCAAAAAUAAAUUUAAUAUAUUCAAUUUUAUCUAUGCAUUUUAAUCCAUUAAGCCCAAUUGAAAUUGGGCCUAAAACUAGGAUUCAUUAAGCCCAAAACUAUUUUUGGAUUUAAACGCAAAAAAUUAAAAAUGUUUCUGCCCAACUGAAAAAAUAUGAAACUAUAGGGACCUCCACGAUAAAAACCAUGAAACCCUAAAAUCACAUUUUUCUUUUCCUCCUCUUCCCUAGCCGCCACCAGCACAAAAACCCAGCCGUUGUUUACUGUUUCCACACCGGACAGCCGUCAUCAACGCCGGAAAGACGCCAACCAAAACGCUCCGCGCCUUCAGCCCACGUUCACGCUGUUGCUUGGGUGCUGCAGCUGCUGCUCGCGCGCUGCGGUUGCUGCUUGUGCAGCGCGCGCUGCAGCUGCUGCGUGUGUAGCUCGCGCUGCUAGCAGCGUGGCUGCUGGCCGCUGCGCGUGCAGCGCGCGCUGCUGGCAGCAUGUGCUACUGGCCGCGCGCUGCUCGCACAGCAGCUUGUGCUGCUGGCCGCUCGCUGCUGCGUGUGCUGGUUCGUUGCUGCAGUUUCCGGCCUCGAUUGUUUGCGCUCGUUUUCCAGUGAUGAUGCUUCGGUGAUUUACAAAUUUUCAACGCAAAUUUUUGCUUACAAAAUUUCAAUUACAGUAAAAUAAAUCAAGAGAGAAUUAUGGUGAUAAAAAACCACCCCUCUUGUUACAGAUCCAAACGAAAAAUACAAUAGAAAAUCUAACAAUGAAUUAACUGCGUUUACUUUUGGAUUGGAGUGGGAAUCCUGAGGAAUGGGAAUCCUUGGAUUAGGAGUGUGGAGUGGGAGUGGGAGUAGGGGUUUACUUAGACUAAAUGAAAGUAUGGAUUGUCAAUUAGAAUUCCAAUUAUUUGUUUACUUUGUCUUGGAUUGGGAAGUAAAAUUGUUUUAAAUUACAAUUUUAUCCUUAUGUACAGAAUUAUAAUUUGUAAUUAAAAAUUAAUAAAAAAUAUAUUUGGAAAAUAAAAAUAAAUAUUUUUAUUAUAUUAUAAAUUAUUAAUAAUUUACUAAUAUUCUUAAUUAUGUAAAUCAUAAUUUUUUAUUAAUUUUAAUUUAAAUUAUGUGAAUAAAAAUUAUUAAUAAUAGCAACACAAAUGGAAUAUUAUUAUUGAUAAUAUAGUACAAAAUUAAUAUUUUUAGAAUAAAUAUUUAUAUUAUUAAAUAAAUAAAUAAUUAAUUAAUAUUUAUUAAAAUUAAUGUUUUUAUAUUAUUAAUUUAAAUAUAAUAUUAUUUAUUUUUAUUUUAUUAAUUUUAAUAAAAUAAAUAUGAUAUAAUUAUUAUUUUUAAUAAAUAUGAUAUUAUUUAUUUUAUGAAAUAUUAUUUAUUUUAUUAAAUAUUAUUUAUUUUAUUAAUAUUAUUUAUUUAUUUUAAUUUUAUAAGGAUAAAAUGGGAAGAGGGGGGAGUGGAUUCCCACUCCCACCUCCCCCAAUGGGAGUGGGAAUCCCACUCCCCACUCCAAAUUUAGGUGGGACCCACGGAUUCCCACUCCCACUCUCCCUAUUUUAAAGUAAGUAAACACUGGAGUGGGAGGGAAUCCACACUCCACACUCCCACUCCAGAAAGUAAACACUACCUUAAGACAAACCAUAAACAUGCUUUAUUCAUAUAUUAAACAAAUAAUAUAUAUCUGAAUAAAUUGUGCCACUCUAAUACAUAAAUUUCAAGAUUAAUUUCAUACGAAAAUUCUUAUUUAUUAAUAUGAGAUGGCUCUGAUACCAAUUGUUAGGGAAAAAUUAGGUUUUUAAAUUUUUAUAAAACCUUUUGAAGAUCGCUCUCAUAUAAUAUAUUAAGAAUUUGUAUUCUAGAAAUCGUACCUUGAAAAUCUGAGUUUGCUUUUUCCGCUGAAGUUGAUUUAGGCUCCUAGAUCACGAUCUGCCACCACCACUCCUGUUAGAUCACGAUCCGUCACCACCACGCUUGUUAGAUCACGAACUGUCUCCAAUGAUCUUCCAGGUUAUGACUCAGGUUCGAUCUGCACUUGACGUGUGGGCGCCUUUAUCACUACCAAAGCAACUAGCACGAGAAAAUUUUUCUCUCAAACAAUAGAGAAAAAAAUCUUAUUCUCCGAUUUGUAUAAAAUGGUUUCUCUUAUUCUUUAGAGAAAAUAAGCCUUUUAUAUCACCCUUUAGUGAAAACCUUAGGCUCCAAAUAAUGCCCUAAAUAAAACUCACGUUACUUUCUUUUUCAAUAGGGGACCCACCUUGUAAAAUAACAUAAGGCCCCUUAUACAAAGCUAAUUAAAUGGAGCCUCCCACUAAAUGAUAUAUUUAGCUUUUGAACCCAAAUAGCUAGUUAUCUUACUUAUUAGUCCAGUAGUGGUGCAGUCAAUUAAAUGAGCUAACCCGGGGAUCAUUUGGGAACAUACAAUAGUGGCUACAAUAAUUAGGCCUGUAAUUAAACUAGCCCAAAUAUUUAAUUCCAAAUCUACUCCACUAAAAGAUUGGAACUGACUUCCAUAAUUGUAUGCUCGAAUAAUAAUUCGUCCCAAGCCACAUUGAUUUCUUUACUGCACAAUCCUUUGUACCACAUCGUUAAUUUAAAUUGACAUCUCAACUGUCCAAUCAAUUUAAUAACAUCUUAUUCCUUGAUCCUUACUGGUUUUCUCUAAUGAUCAUUUUCAACAUACUAAAUAUGUUGACACACUCUGGCCAGAGAAUUCUAUGAUCAAGUGCCGAAAACCCAUCAAGAGAUGUGUUGUACAAAUUCUAUAUUGUUAAUCCAUAACUCCAAUAUAUAAAGUACUAGAUGUUUACUGAGAAAAUGACUAGAUCAUUUACCAAAUUUCUUGCGCAUAUAUACGUAUGUAUACAAGAAAUGGGAAUCAAUGAUUAUAAGACCUUGCAAUGAGACAAUAAUACAUCAUCAAAUCUAAAAAUACACAAGAAAUUCGGACAUAUAUAUAACAAAAGACCUCUCAUUGAGUCAUACAUAUUGAGAAUAAAAUGUCAAAAUGCAUACAAAGAGCUUAUACAGAAAAUGAAUUUACACAUAUUUAGAAUAAAUUGUCUUUGAACUUUUGAUGGUCAAAUAAAGGAAAACAGACAGGAUAUAACACACACUAUCAUAGAUGUAGCGACACGGUGAAGUAAAAUCACAUGAAGAUGGAAACGGAAACCCUUCACAAUAUAAAAUUUGAAUAGAGGGGGGAAAAAAAGGCUUCAUUUGGAAUGUUGCACAGAAGAAAGAGUGACUUGAAUCUCCAUCAGUAUCCAGACAUUCUACAAACACAGUGCUGAGAAUUUUAACAAGAAUAACAGACAAAAUAUUGUGCUUCUAUACUUGUCACAAAACUAGACCAAAUUAGUUCCCUUUUUGGUUUGUGAAAAACUUGAUAUUUUUGAAAAUUCUAUCCAAUGCUUUUAAACAAUAUUUCCAUAAUAAUAGUUGUUCAUAGCUAACCUUUGAUGGUUUAAGCAUUUGUUGUAGCAUGACGGGCUGAUUAGAUUAUUAUUUUUUUUUAUCCGAUGAAUUGAUAUUCAGCUGUUCUUAAUUAUGUGUUAAUAGGCAAGAGCAUUUUCUUAAGUACUUUCGUUGCCUUCCAAGUUUCCAAUGAACAAACAGAGCACAAACAAAUUUAACGAAACAAACAGAAGCAUUUUCUUCAGUGUGCUUUCUUGAGACAUUUUGAUUUAGUCUCAUUAUGAUUAAAAAGGAAGCUCGCUUCUCGAGACAUUUUGCUAUAGUCUCAUUAUGGUUAUAAAGAAGCGAUGGUCUAGGAGACAUAUUGUUUUCGUCUCAUUUUGCUAGACAUCUGGACUUUAUGGAAAUGAGCAUGUUGAUCACAUUGUCAUGUUAUUUCCAUAAUUAUACUUGUAUACUACUACAUGGUCACGUGUUUAUAAGUGUCUUGUUAUAUGGAGCAUCCUGUCGGUGCACAUAUGAUUUGAUAUUUAUGGCACAUUUUGGACUUGUUUAUGUUCUGGGUGAUUGCUUUGUAUUUGACCUUUUGUUAUAGUCACAUAUUGAUUAAUUCGGUUGUUUUCAAAAUAUUAUUUUAUUUUAAAUUUAUCAUUGGAGUGAUUUCUGUCGUCCAAGUGGGAGAUUGUUAGAUUUAUUUCUCAUAUUAUGUGGACUGACAUAAAUCAUUCUAAUUGUUUUCUAUAUUUUACCGAAUUAAUACGUGACUAUUGUCAAAUAUUAUGGAGCAAUUUGACAUACCUUGUACAGUAGUAUAUUAUGGACAAGUAUAUCCUUAAUUGUGUUAUUUUCGCCCAUAAUGGGAUGGGCAAUUUUGUACUAACACAUGAGGGGUCCCUGCGCUCAACCACUGUAUUUAAGUAACUUCAGCCCAUUGGAAGUUAACUGUUCAAGAAAUCUGUGGCAUGAGUGCAGUGCAUCUCUCUCUCCCGUUUGUCUCCCGUGUGUGUGCACAGUAAAUUUUGAAGCAAGCCGAUCCUUGAGCUAAGGAAAAGAAAGCGGAAUUCAGAAGCUAAACCGAAGCAGCAGCAACUCUGUUGAAGCUCCAUAACAAGCUGCAAGCUUGGAUUCAUGGGAGAUCGUGGUAAAUUUCGAAAUUUACUACAAUAUGUGUUUAAUUUGGAAAUGCACGAUUAAAGGGCAUAAAGUAUGUUUUUGUUUCAUCAAUUGGUAUCAGAGCCCAUGGUUAUGCGUUUCCUUGUAAACCAUAGUUGUUUUGUUUGAAGAAAUCUCACUCAUGGAAUUUUUUUUUUUAUUUUCGGAUUUUUCGAAUUCUUCGAAUUUGGACAUAUUUCCUCAAACGGUUGUUAAAUAAUGCAUGAGUGAUGAUUUUGGAGCAAAGAUAUAAUUUUUUUCGUGUUUUUUGGUGGCCAAAAUCGGGUUGGUAUGGAUGUGGAUGCUGUAAAUGUACUGUACAAUACUGUAGCAACAGCCCGAGGUUGAAGAUGAUGGGACAAUUUCAUUUGGAUCCCUAAAUUUUGUGAAUUGUCACUAUGGCCCAAAAUCUUUGCAAACUUUUCGAAAAGGUCCUUGACCGAGGGUCAACUAUGUAAAAGAUAAGUUGGUCCCUUGAAUUUUGGGAAAUUAUAGUAUGGCCCAACAGUUUAUUUUAUUUUAUUUACAGUUUGGGCCAAAAGUUUUAAUAGUUAAAACAGUAAACAUAAUUCUGAAAAUUUUUCAUUUUAGUCCAAAAUCCUUUCAAUUUUGGCGAUUUUUCAGAAUUUUUAAAUUUUAAAAUAAUCCAUCAGUUAUUGAAUCUUAUGGGCAUAUCAUUUAUAUAUUUUAUUGAGGCAUGUAGAUAUUUUAUUUGAUUUAAUAUCUUGUUAAUUUCAUUUGACAAAAUUUAUUUAGCCUCAAUUUUGUUAAUAUACGAAAUAUAUAUAUGAUGCAAAACUACAAUUUAGAGUGAUUGUGUAUCUACUUAUCGUAGGACCAAUCAUGAUAAAUUAUUUGGUGGUUUGCAAUUGAUUGUCCAUUUACAAUUAUGAAUUAUGGAUUAUGUGAUGGAUUGUUAUUGUUUUGACCAAGAUCCAUACGGGUGAUGAUACUGCCCUGUCGGCAAAUCACUACUUGGUACUUGGUAGGAUGCUUGGGAAGAUAAAGAGAUUUGUUGAGUAUUUUCUACUGAGUGGCUUAAUUACCCUGUCGGUAAUAGGUCAAUGUUGGUGUUAUAUUCAACUUGUCUGCUUUAUCUUUAGGUUAGUGCAUUCCUAUAUUGUUAAAGGAUGCCUAACAUAUUGUGUUGCUAUUGGAGAAACUUAGAAUGAGGAGCAAUUGAUUAUAGCAUGAUUUUAAUUUUUGCAUGCUUGAUAAUUCUUUUGUUAUUGCUUCCUCAGCUCUAGAUAUUCUCUCCUUUCUCCAAGUAGCCUCCCUCAAGAAUUUAACUGGGACAAAUUUUGAGGACUGGCGUGAGUCCAUUUUGUUUUAUUUGUCUACACUGAAUAGAGACUUGGCAUUAAGAGUUGAUGAACCAGCCAAGCCCACAGAUAAGAGCACUGCUGCUGAAAAAGCAGAGUGGGCAGCUUGGGAUGAAUCCAAUAGACACUGUCUGGAUACAAUGAAAUACACCAUUGAUAGAACCACUAGAGAUAGCAUCCCUGCAUGUGAUAAGGCCAAAGAUUACUUGGCAGCUGUGGGAAGAACCUUUAAGAAGGUAGAUAAGGCAGAAAAGGGUAACUAUCUGAGGCUGCUUGCUAAUACCCAGUAUGAUGGUGUUUCUGGGGUCAGAGAACACAUCCUUAAGAUGACUAGUUACCAUAAGAAGCUGAAGGACAUGGAUGUCACUUUGCCUGAUGACUACCUGGUCUUCCAAAUCCUUGAAUCUCUUCCACCACAAUUUGGCAAUUUGAGAAGCCAAUACAAUACUCAGAGAGACACUUGGAAUAUCACUGAGUUGACUGCUUAUGUGGUUCAGGAAGAGGAAUCAUUGAAGAAGGGGAAAUCUCACACUGUCAUGGUGGCAACUACUCAAGAGAGUGGAAGUGUGAAGAAAGGCUCUUCAAAGGGCAGCAAUAAGUUUUUUAAGAAGAAAAAGUUUGGCAAGAAAACUUCACGUGGUACUUCUUCUACCACUUCUGGUUCCACUUCUGAGAGCUUUAAGGGAAAGUGCCACUUUUGUAAGAAACCUGGGCACAAGAGAGCUGACUGCAGGGGAUUCAAAGCAUGGUUGGAAAAGAAAGGUAUUCCUGUAGCCUUUGUAGGCUUUGAAUCUAAUCUUAUUGAUGUUCCUUCUGAUACUUGGUGGUUGGAUACUGGUGCAACCAUUAAUAUAACGAAUUCCUUACAGGAAUUCAGAAGCAGGAGGGAGCCCAAUGAAGGGGAGUUGAUAGUUCACAUGGGCAAUGGAGUGACAGCCAAAGUUGAAAGCAUAGGAGUUGUCAGACUACAUCUAGCCACAGGCCAUGUUUUGGAUCUAUUAGAUACAGCUUAUAUUCCUUCUAUUAGGAGAAACUUGAUAUCUGUAUCUAUUUUGGAUAGAUGUGGCUAUACUUUUCAUUUUGGUGAUAGAAAAGUUUACUUAUUCCGCAAUUCAGAGUUAGUUGGUUCUGGCACUCUAUAUGAUGGCUUGUAUAUGAUUGAUUUAUUUUCUCGUGCUGUUGAAUCAUCAUCCAAUGCUCAUGUUAUGCAUGUUGUUAGCUCUAAUCGUGUUAGGGUUGAUGAAAAUUCCUCUAUGUUGUGGCAUAAACGGUUAGGUCACAUUUCUAAACAGAGGAUGGAGAGGCUUAUUAAAGAUAGCAUUCUACAUAAGUUGGAUUUCUCUGAUUUUGGCACUUGUGUUGAUUGUGUCAAAGGCAAACUUACUGCCAAAACCAGAAAAGAGAGAACUCAGAGGAGUCAACAGGUGCUGGAGUUGGUACAUACAGACAUUUGUGGGCCAUUUACUCCUAUUGCCAUUGGAGGUUAUAAGUACUUCAUCACGUUCAACGAUGACUUUUCUCGUUAUGGUCAUGUUGAACUUCUUGCUGAAAAGUCUAAAUCCUUAUCUGUGUUUCAAGCCUUUAAGGCUAAUGUUGAGCUCCAAAAGGGCAAGCAAAUUAAAGCAGUAAGGUCAGACAGAGGUGGUGAGUACUAUGGGCGAUAUGAUGAAACUGGGCGUAAUCCUGGACCUUUUGCUAAAUUUCUUCAGGAAUGUGGAAUAGAAGCCCAGUAUACAAUGCUCGGGACUCCUGAACAUAAUGGAAUUGCAGAAAGGAGAAAUCGUACCCUUCUUGACAUGGUGCGGUGUAUGCUGAGUAACUCCACCUUACCAGAUUUUCUGUGGGGUGAAGCCUUAAGAACUGCAGCUUACAUUUUGAAUCAGGUACCUAGUAAAUCGGUGCCCAAAAGUCCUUAUGAGUUGUGGUCAGGAAAGAGACCGAGUCUUCGUCAUUUUCAUGUAUGGGGAUGCAGAGCAGAAGUGAGGCCCUAUAAUCCACAAUCAAGGAAACUUGAUCCGAAAACAAUUAGUGGUCAUUUUAUUGGCUAUUGUAUCGGCUCAAGGGGUUCUAGAUUUUAUUGACCUUCCCACACUACUAGAAUCAUUGAGUCUGAUCGUGCCAUUUAUUUUGAGGAUGAUCACAAUGGUGGGAGUUCUGAGCCUCGCAGUCUGACAUUGAGAGAAGAACGUGUGGUUUUGCCUAUUCCAUCUUUUCCGACUUCUGCGAUGGGAUUACCACAUAUUGAUGAUUCUUCUGUUGAUCCUAAACUUCAUCAUAAUAUGGAGCCUAUGAUUGUAGAGGAUGAUGGUACUGAUGUGCCAUUGAGGAGAUCAGAGAGGAUCAGGAGACCUGCAAUUUCUGAUGAUUAUGUUGUUUACUUGCAGGAGCAUGAUUUUGAUGCUGACUCUUCAUCUGAUCCUAUUACCUUUCAAGAGGCCAUCAGUUGUUCAGAAUCAUCAUCUUGGAUACAUGCGAUGCAUGAUGAGAUGGCAUCUAUGUAUCAUAAUGAGGUUUGGGAUUUAGUUGAGUUACCAGAUGGAUGCAGACCAAUUGGUUGCAAAUGGGUUUUCAAAACCAAAAGAGAUGCCAGAGGUCAGGUAGAGAGGUAUAAGGCCAGGCUUGUGGCUAAGGGUUUCAGUCAAAGAGAAGGCAUUGAUUACACUGAAACCUACUCUCCUGUUUCUACCAAAGACUCUUUUCGUAUUAUCAUGGCAUUGGUAGCUCAUUUCAAUUUAGAAUUGCAUCAGAUGGAUGUGAAGACAGCUUUUCUUAAUGGGAGCUUGUCUGAAGAUGUAUACAUGGUGCAACCUGAUGGUUUUGUUGAGUCUGGUAUAGAAAACAUGGUGUGUAAGCUUAAAAGGUCCAUUUAUGGACUUAAGCAAGCAUCCAGACAGUGGUAUUUGAAAUUUCACGAUAUUGUCACCUCUUAUGGGUUCCAGGAGAAUGCCGUUGAUCAGUGUAUAUACUUGAGAGUCAGUGGGAGCAAGUAUAUCAUUUUGGUGCUUUAUGUGGAUGAUAUCUUGCUCGCUGCUAAUGACAGUAAUUUGUUACUUGAGACAAAGCAAAUGUUGUCAUGCAGCUUUGAUAUGAAGGAUCUUGGUGAAGCCCAUUAUGUAUUAGGGAUAGAGAUUCUUCAUGAUAGAUCUAGAGGAAUUCUAGGUUUGUCUCAAAAGACUUACAUUGAUCGCAUUUUGAAAAGGUUCAAUUUGCAGUCUUGUGCUCCUGGGAAAGCUCCAAUUUCGAAAGGUGACAAAAUUUCCAAGUCUCAAUGUCCCGAUAAUGAUGUAGACAAAGCUAGAAUACAAACAGUCCCGUAUGCAUCCGUUGUGGGUAGCUUGAUGUAUGCUCAAGUCUGUACUCGCCCUGAUAUUGCUUUUCCAGUGGGAGUACUUGGAAGAUACCUGAGCAAUCCUGGAUUUGAACACUGGAAGGCUGCAAAGAAAGUACUCAGAUAUUUGCGAGCCACUAAAGAUUUUGUAUUGACAUAUCAGCAAUCUGACUAUUUGAAUAUAGUUGGAUAUUCUGAUGCUGAUUUCGCAGGGUGCUUGGAAGACAAGAAAUCCACAUCUGGUUACAUCUUUAUGAUGGCAGGAGGAGCUAUAUCAUGGAAAAGUGUCAAGCAGACACUUAUAGCUUCUUCAACAAUGGAAGCAGAAUAUGUAGCAUGCUUUGAGGCUACACGUCAUGCUUUAUGGAUGCAAAAUUUUAUCACAGGGCUAGAUUGUAUAGUGGCCGUACCGAGGCCAUUAAAGAUAUACUGUGAUAAUUCUGCUGCUGUUUCUUUUUCUCACAAUACAGGGAGUUCCUCACGUUCCAAGCACAUUGAUAUUAAAUACUUGUUUGUGAGAGAGAAAAUUGCUCUAUCUUGUGUAUCAGUAGAGUAUAUCCCUACAGAACUCAUGUUAGCCGAUCCACUUAUUAAAGCUUUAGCUCCAAAAGUAUUUAGGGAGCAUGUAACGCAUAUGGGAUUAUUUGAAUCCACUUAUAUAUGCUGAGUCAGUGGGAGUUCUGGUUUGUAUUAUGAGUUGCAACUUAAAUGAGCUUAUGUAUUACUCAUUUUGUUAUCAUGCAUGCAUGUUGUUAUGUGAUAUUGAUAUGCCAUAUAUUGUGUACACAUUUGGCUGCGUAUGGCAUUAUGUAUAGAAUGAGGAUACGAUGGUCCGAGACAUUUUGCUCAGUCUCAAUAUGGACAUUAAAGACUGAAGCAUUAUGAUUUUCUUCAGUGUGCUUUCUUGAGACAUUUUGAUUUAGUCUCAUUAUGAUUAAAAAGGAAGCUCGCUUCUCGAGACAUUUUGCUAUAGUCUCAUUAUGGUUAUAAAGAAGCGAUGGUCUAGGAGACAUAUUGUUUUCGUCUCAUUUUGCUAGACAUCUGGACUUUAUGGAAAUGAGCAUGUUGAUCACAUUGUCAUGUUAUUUCCAUAAUUAUACUUGUAUACUACUACAUGGUCACGUGUUUAUAAGUGUCUUGUUAUAUGGAGCAUCCUGUCGGUGCACAUAUGAUUUGAUAUUUAUGGCACAUUUUGGACUUGUUUAUGUUCUGGGUGAUUGCUUGUAUUUGACCUUUUGUUAUAGUCACAUAUUGAUUAAUUCGGUUGUUUUCAAAAUAUUAUUUUAUUUUAAAUUUAUCAUUGGAGUGAUUUCUGUCGUCCAAGUGGGAGAUUGUUAGAUUUAUUUCUCAUAUUAUGUGGACUGACAUAAAUCAUUCUAAUUGUUUUCUAUAUUUUACCGAAUUAAUACGUGACUAUUGUCAAAUAUUAUGGAGCAAUUUUGACAUACCUUGUACAGUAGUAUAUUAUGGACAAGUAUAUCCUUAAUUGUGUUAUUUUCGCCCAUAAUGGGAUGGGCAAUUUUGUACUAACACAUGAGGGGUCCCUGCGCUCAACCACUGUAUUUAAGUAACUUCAGCCCAUUGGAAGUUAACUGUUCAAGAAAUCUGUGGCAUGAGUGCAGUGCAUCUCUCUCUCCCGUUUGUCUCCCGUGUGUGUGCACAGUAAAUUUUGAAGCAAGCCGAUCCUUGAGCUAAGGAAAAGAAAGCGGAAUUCAGAAGCUAAACCGAAGCAGCAGCAACUCUGUUGAAGCUCCAUAACAAGCUGCAAGCUUGGAUUCAUGGGAGAUCGUGGUAAAUUUCGAAAUUUACUACAAUAUGUGUUUAAUUUGGAAAUGCACGAUUAAAGGGCAUAAAGUAUGUUUUUGUUUCAUCAAUUGGUAUCAGAGCCCAUGGUUAUGCGUUUCCUUGUAAACCAUAGUUGUUUUGUUGAAGAAAUCUCACUCAUGGAAUUUUUUUUUUUAUUUUCGGAUUUUUCGAAUUCUUCGAAUUUGGACAUAUUUCCUCAAACGGUUGUUAAAUAAUGCAUGAGUGAUGAUUUUGGAGCAAAGAUAUAAUUUUUUCGUGUUUUUUGGUGGCCAAAAUCGGGUUGGUAUGGAUGUGGAUGCUGUAAAUGUACUGUACAAUACUGUAGCAACAGCCCGAGGUUGAAGAUGAUGGGACAAUUUCAUUUGGAUCCCUAAAUUUUGUGAAUUGUCACUAUGGCCCAAAAUCUUUGCAAACUUUUCGAAAAGGUCCUUGACCGAGGGUCAACUAUGUAAAAGAUAAGUUGGUCCCUUGAAUUUUGGGAAAUUAUAGUAUGGCCCAACAGUUUAUUUUAUUUUAUUUACAGUUUGGGCCAAAAGUUUUAAUAGUUAAAACAGUAAACAUAAUUCUGAAAAUUUUUCAUUUUAGUCCAAAAUCCUUUCAAUUUUGGCGAUUUUUCAGAAUUUUAAAUUUUAAAAUAAUCCAUCAGUUAUUGAAUCUUAUGGGCAUAUCAUUUAUAUAUUUUAUUGAGGCAUGUAGAUAUUUUAUUUGAUUUAAUAUCUUGUUAAUUUCAUUUGACAAAAUUUAUUUAGCCUCAAUUUUGUUAAUAUACGAAAUAUAUAUAUGAUGCAAAACUACAAUUUAGAGUGAUUGUGUAUCUACUUAUCGUAGGACCAAUCAUGAUAAAUUAUUUGGUGGUUUGCAAUUGAUUGUCCAUUUACAAUUAUGAAUUAUGGAUUAUGUGAUGGAUUGUUAUUGUUUUGACCAAGAUCCAUACGGGUGAUGAUACUGCCCUGUCGGCAAAUCACUACUUGGUACUUGGUAGGAUGCUUGGGAAGAUAAAGAGAUUUGUUGAGUAUUUUCUACUGAGUGGCUUAAUUACCCUGUCGGUAAUAGGUCAAUGUUGGUGUUAUAUUCAACUUGUCUGCUUUAUCUUUAGGUUAGUGCAUUCCUAUAUUGUUAAAGGAUGCCUAACAUAUUGUGUUGCUAUUGGAGAAACUUAGAAUGAGGAGCAAUUGAUUAUAGCAUGAUUUUAAUUUUUGCAUGCUUGAUAAUUCUUUUGUUAUUGCUUCCUCAGCUCUAGAUAUUCUCUCCUUUCUCCAAGUAGCCUCCCUCAAGAAUUUAACUGGGACAAAUUUUGAGGACUGGCGUGAGUCCAUUUUGUUUUAUUUGUCUACACUGAAUAGAGACUUGGCAUUAAGAGUUGAUGAACCAGCCAAGCCCACAGAUAAGAGCACUGCUGCUGAAAAAGCAGAGUGGGCAGCUUGGGAUGAAUCCAAUAGACACUGUCUGGAUACAAUGAAAUACACCAUUGAUAGAACCACUAGAGAUAGCAUCCCUGCAUGUGAUAAGGCCAAAGAUUACUUGGCAGCUGUGGGAAGAACCUUUAAGAAGGUAGAUAAGGCAGAAAAGGGUAACUAUCUGAGGCUGCUUGCUAAUACCCAGUAUGAUGGUGUUUCUGGGGUCAGAGAACACAUCCUUAAGAUGACUAGUUACCAUAAGAAGCUGAAGGACAUGGAUGUCACUUUGCCUGAUGACUACCUGGUCUUCCAAAUCCUUGAAUCUCUUCCACCACAAUUUGGCAAUUUGAGAAGCCAAUACAAUACUCAGAGAGACACUUGGAAUAUCACUGAGUUGACUGCUUAUGUGGUUCAGGAAGAGGAAUCAUUGAAGAAGGGGAAAUCUCACACUGUCAUGGUGGCAACUACUCAAGAGAGUGGAAGUGUGAAGAAAGGCUCUUCAAAGGGCAGCAAUAAGUUUUUUAAGAAGAAAAAGUUUGGCAAGAAAACUUCACGUGGUACUUCUUCUACCACUUCUGGUUCCACUUCUGAGAGCUUUAAGGGAAAGUGCCACUUUUGUAAGAAACCUGGGCACAAGAGAGCUGACUGCAGGGGAUUCAAAGCAUGGUUGGAAAAGAAAGGUAUUCCUGUAGCCUUUGUAGGCUUUGAAUCUAAUCUUAUUGAUGUUCCUUCUGAUACUUGGUGGUUGGAUACUGGUGCAACCAUUAAUAUAACGAAUUCCUUACAGGAAUUCAGAAGCAGGAGGGAGCCCAAUGAAGGGGAGUUGAUAGUUCACAUGGGCAAUGGAGUGACAGCCAAAGUUGAAAGCAUAGGAGUUGUCAGACUACAUCUAGCCACAGGCCAUGUUUUGGAUCUAUUAGAUACAGCUUAUAUUCCUUCUAUUAGGAGAAACUUGAUAUCUGUAUCUAUUUUGGAUAGAUGUGGCUAUACUUUUCAUUUUGGUGAUAGAAAAGUUUACUUAUUCCGCAAUUCAGAGUUAGUUGGUUCUGGCACUCUAUAUGAUGGCUUGUAUAUGAUUGAUUUAUUUUCUCGUGCUGUUGAAUCAUCAUCCAAUGCUCAUGUUAUGCAUGUUGUUAGCUCUAAUCGUGUUAGGGUUGAUGAAAAUUCCUCUAUGUUGUGGCAUAAACGGUUAGGUCACAUUUCUAAACAGAGGAUGGAGAGGCUUAUUAAAGAUAGCAUUCUACAUAAGUUGGAUUUCUCUGAUUUUGGCACUUGUGUUGAUUGUGUCAAAGGCAAACUUACUGCCAAAACCAGAAAAGAGAGAACUCAGAGGAGUCAACAGGUGCUGGAGUUGGUACAUACAGACAUUUGUGGGCCAUUUACUCCUAUUGCCAUUGGAGGUUAUAAGUACUUCAUCACGUUCAACGAUGACUUUUCUCGUUAUGGUCAUGUUGAACUUCUUGCUGAAAAGUCUAAAUCCUUAUCUGUGUUUCAAGCCUUUAAGGCUAAUGUUGAGCUCCAAAAGGGCAAGCAAAUUAAAGCAGUAAGGUCAGACAGAGGUGGUGAGUACUAUGGGCGAUAUGAUGAAACUGGGCGUAAUCCUGGACCUUUUGCUAAAUUUCUUCAGGAAUGUGGAAUAGAAGCCCAGUAUACAAUGCUCGGGACUCCUGAACAUAAUGGAAUUGCAGAAAGGAGAAAUCGUACCCUUCUUGACAUGGUGCGGUGUAUGCUGAGUAACUCCACCUUACCAGAUUUUCUGUGGGGUGAAGCCUUAAGAACUGCAGCUUACAUUUUGAAUCAGGUACCUAGUAAAUCGGUGCCCAAAAGUCCUUAUGAGUUGUGGUCAGGAAAGAGACCGAGUCUUCGUCAUUUUCAUGUAUGGGGAUGCAGAGCAGAAGUGAGGCCCUAUAAUCCACAAUCAAGGAAACUUGAUCCGAAAACAAUUAGUGGUCAUUUUAUUGGCUAUUGUAUCGGCUCAAGGGGUUCUAGAUUUUAUUGACCUUCCCACACUACUAGAAUCAUUGAGUCUGAUCGUGCCAUUUAUUUUGAGGAUGAUCACAAUGGUGGGAGUUCUGAGCCUCGCAGUCUGACAUUGAGAGAAGAACGUGUGGUUUUGCCUAUUCCAUCUUUUCCGACUUCUGCGAUGGGAUUACCACAUAUUGAUGAUUCUUCUGUUGAUCCUAAACUUCAUCAUAAUAUGGAGCCUAUGAUUGUAGAGGAUGAUGGUACUGAUGUGCCAUUGAGGAGAUCAGAGAGGAUCAGGAGACCUGCAAUUUCUGAUGAUUAUGUUGUUUACUUGCAGGAGCAUGAUUUUGAUGCUGACUCUUCAUCUGAUCCUAUUACCUUUCAAGAGGCCAUCAGUUGUUCAGAAUCAUCAUCUUGGAUACAUGCGAUGCAUGAUGAGAUGGCAUCUAUGUAUCAUAAUGAGGUUUGGGAUUUAGUUGAGUUACCAGAUGGAUGCAGACCAAUUGGUUGCAAAUGGGUUUUCAAAACCAAAAGAGAUGCCAGAGGUCAGGUAGAGAGGUAUAAGGCCAGGCUUGUGGCUAAGGGUUUCAGUCAAAGAGAAGGCAUUGAUUACACUGAAACCUACUCUCCUGUUUCUACCAAAGACUCUUUUCGUAUUAUCAUGGCAUUGGUAGCUCAUUUCAAUUUAGAAUUGCAUCAGAUGGAUGUGAAGACAGCUUUUCUUAAUGGGAGCUUGUCUGAAGAUGUAUACAUGGUGCAACCUGAUGGUUUUGUUGAGUCUGGUAUAGAAAACAUGGUGUGUAAGCUUAAAAGGUCCAUUUAUGGACUUAAGCAAGCAUCCAGACAGUGGUAUUUGAAAUUUCACGAUAUUGUCACCUCUUAUGGGUUCCAGGAGAAUGCCGUUGAUCAGUGUAUAUACUUGAGAGUCAGUGGGAGCAAGUAUAUCAUUUUGGUGCUUUAUGUGGAUGAUAUCUUGCUCGCUGCUAAUGACAGUAAUUUGUUACUUGAGACAAAGCAAAUGUUGUCAUGCAGCUUUGAUAUGAAGGAUCUUGGUGAAGCCCAUUAUGUAUUAGGGAUAGAGAUUCUUCAUGAUAGAUCUAGAGGAAUUCUAGGUUUGUCUCAAAAGACUUACAUUGAUCGCAUUUUGAAAAGGUUCAAUUUGCAGUCUUGUGCUCCUGGGAAAGCUCCAAUUUCGAAAGGUGACAAAAUUUCCAAGUCUCAAUGUCCCGAUAAUGAUGUAGACAAAGCUAGAAUACAAACAGUCCCGUAUGCAUCCGUUGUGGGUAGCUUGAUGUAUGCUCAAGUCUGUACUCGCCCUGAUAUUGCUUUUCCAGUGGGAGUACUUGGAAGAUACCUGAGCAAUCCUGGAUUUGAACACUGGAAGGCUGCAAAGAAAGUACUCAGAUAUUUGCGAGCCACUAAAGAUUUUGUAUUGACAUAUCAGCAAUCUGACUAUUUGAAUAUAGUUGGAUAUUCUGAUGCUGAUUUCGCAGGGUGCUUGGAAGACAAGAAAUCCACAUCUGGUUACAUCUUUAUGAUGGCAGGAGGAGCUAUAUCAUGGAAAAGUGUCAAGCAGACACUUAUAGCUUCUUCAACAAUGGAAGCAGAAUAUGUAGCAUGCUUUGAGGCUACACGUCAUGCUUUAUGGAUGCAAAAUUUUAUCACAGGGCUAGAUUGUAUAGUGGCCGUACCGAGGCCAUUAAAGAUAUACUGUGAUAAUUCUGCUGCUGUUUCUUUUUCUCACAAUACAGGGAGUUCCUCACGUUCCAAGCACAUUGAUAUUAAAUACUUGUUUGUGAGAGAGAAAAUUGCUCUAUCUUGUGUAUCAGUAGAGUAUAUCCCUACAGAACUCAUGUUAGCCGAUCCACUUAUUAAAGCUUUAGCUCCAAAAGUAUUUAGGGAGCAUGUAACGCAUAUGGGAUUAUUUGAAUCCACUUAUAUAUGCUGAGUCAGUGGGAGUUCUGGUUUGUAUUAUGAGUUGCAACUUAAAUGAGCUUAUGUAUUACUCAUUUUGUUAUCAUGCAUGCAUGUUGUUAUGUGAUAUUGAUAUGCCAUAUAUUGUGUACACAUUUGGCUGCGUAUGGCAUUAUGUAUAGAAUGAGGAUACGAUGGUCCGAGACAUUUUGCUCAGUCUCAAUAUGGACAUUAAAGACUGAAGCAUUAUGAUUUUCUUCAGUGUGCUUUCUUGAGACAUUUUGAUUUAGUCUCAUUAUGAUUAAAAAGGAAGCUCGCUUCUCGAGACAUUUUGCUAUAGUCUCAUUAUGGUUAUAAAGAAGCGAUGGUCUAGGAGACAUAUUGUUUUCGUCUCAUUUUGCUAGACAUCUGGACUUUAUGGAAAUGAGCAUGUUGAUCACAUUGUCAUGUUAUUUCCAUAAUUAUACUUGUAUACUACUACAUGGUCACGUGUUUAUAAGUGUCUUGUUAUAUGGAGCAUCCUGUCGGUGCACAUAUGAUUUGAUAUUUAUGGCACAUUUUGGACUUGUUUAUGUUCUGGGUGAUUGCUUGUAUUUGACCUUUUGUUAUAGUCACAUAUUGAUUAAUUCGGUUGUUUUCAAAAUAUUAUUUUAUUUUAAAUUUAUCAUUGGAGUGAUUUCUGUCGUCCAAGUGGGAGAUUGUUAGAUUUAUUUCUCAUAUUAUGUGGACUGACAUAAAUCAUUCUAAUUGUUUUCUAUAUUUUACCGAAUUAAUACGUGACUAUUGUCAAAUAUUAUGGAGCAAUUUUGACAUACCUUGUACAGUAGUAUAUUAUGGACAAGUAUAUCCUUAAUUGUGUUAUUUUCGCCCAUAAUGGGAUGGGCAAUUUUGUACUAACACAUGAGGGGUCCCUGCGCUCAACCACUGUAUUUAAGUAACUUCAGCCCAUUGGAAGUUAACUGUUCAAGAAAUCUGUGGCAUGAGUGCAGUGCAUCUCUCUCUCCCGUUUGUCUCCCGUGUGUGUGCACAGUAAAUUUUGAAGCAAGCCGAUCCUUGAGCUAAGGAAAAGAAAGCGGAAUUCAGAAGCUAAACCGAAGCAGCAGCAACUCUGUUGAAGCUCCAUAACAAGCUGCAAGCUUGGAUUCAUGGGAGAUCGUGGUAAAUUUCGAAAUUUACUACAAUAUGUGUUUAAUUUGGAAAUGCACGAUUAAAGGGCAUAAAGUGUGUUUUUGUUUCAUCAGGGAACUCUCAAAACAAAAUACUCAAAUUAAAUUAAAUUAGACCAAAAGACGCUCAAUGACGCAAAAUCUGCCCAUAAAAGCCUGAACGAAUCAUGAAAAGUGCAUUCCAUAUUGACAGUAAACCAAGUGACCCAUUCUAAACAAUUGAGAUGAAAUUGUGAAACAACCCACGAGAUCAAAUAAAUAAAAUAAGAAUUAAUUACCAGCUGGGACUUUCUUCUUCAAAUUCGUAACUCCAAGUCAUAAGAAGCCAAUGAAAUUAGUCGUAAUCCACAGAGUAUGACGACGACCCCGCCAACAGCUGAAAAUAAAAUUCUUAUUCAUCAAUUUAAACUAACUUUAUAACAAAUAUCUUAUCGAUAUUUUAUUUAAAAAGAAAAAGCAAAUUUUGUAAAAUUUUUCCAUGGGAGAUAGAGAGUAACACGUAUAUCCGUACCUUCUCAGCAUGUAAUUGUUGUAUGGUCGUGUUAAGAUCAUUACUAGCCCAACGCCGUUGAUUCGAUGUCUCUCCAUACCAGACGUUUACUCUUGGAGGCGUGCUUGAUUCUCCUCUAGUGAAAAUCUUCAAUUUGGGACAACCAAUCACAGAUAGAUCUUGCAAAGAUGGGAAUUUGAAGGUGUAAUUGGCAGAGCAGAAACUUGUGAGGCUGUCUAAAUCACGCAGUUCCAACCUCUUCAAUUUGCGGAAAACAAUCUCUUCUUUUUCAACCCCGUCUUUGUCAUUUAUUACCACCUCUGUCAUUGCUCUGCAUCCGUAUACACAAAGUGAUACGAGUCGCACUAGAGUUUUUGCUGUGGAGGAUGUUACUAAGUGUAUCAAUUUCUUGCAAUCGAAAGCUACAAGUUUUGUUAGGUUCCCAAAAGAUACCGAUGAUGUUGGCAAUAGAAUUAACAGACUUUGACAAUGAUAUACUCUUAGAAUUUCAAGAUACUGAAAAAUGGGGCCAAAUUUGGAGUCUUGUUUGCACAGCUGCUUCAGAUGAUAGUGCCGGUACAGCUCUAAUUCUUUUAUCAUUGCCAACUUCCCCACAUGUUUCUCUAAGCAUCCUUCCAUCGAAAAUACCUCUUCGUGGAAUGAAAAAUAACACAGUACGAGCAUUUCGAGAUUGUGAAAUCUCUCCAGUACAUUCCAGAUUGGAAAACAAGCUGAGUCAUCAGCAGCAAUCCCUAGAUCUCUAAGACUGCCAAAAAGGUGUUGUGGGAAAUCGGCCUGCAAAAUCAUCUUCACGUCUUUUCCGCAUAGUGAUAGUUCCGUCAAGUUGGGUAAGAUCUGAUCAUCAUCAAUCAUAAUAACUAAUAAGGUCAAUUGAUGUUUUCUCAAAUGAUUUUGAGUAAUCCAAUCAUAAGCAGUGAGUUUAUAGUAUUUGUUUUAUAUUAUAUUUUAAAAAAAAUUGUAUUAUUGAUAAAAUUUAUUAAAUGAUUUUUUAUAUGUUAAUUUUAGAGGUAAAAAAGAAAUUAGGGAAAAAAGGUUGAUUUAUACUGACUCGAAAUUAUUUUAUUGCACAAUAAUAAAUUACUAAUUUAUUUUGUAAGUUCUUCUAUAUGGAAAGACUCAAGAUUCUUUUACAAAUGCUAUACCUAAAAAAGUUUAUAUAAUCAUUAAUCUACCACAUUGAUCCCUUAGUCUAGACUAGCAAAGAUUAUUGUAUAAUAAAAGUUUUCAAAUUUAUUGAGCAUUAAUUUAUCAAAGUUAAAAAUAAGCUAUAGAUAAAAAAUCUAGAAAAUGGCUUCAUACCUUUUCCAACGGCAAUAGGGGCUGUUGUGCAGGAAUACCAAGUUGAUCAUUCCCAUUAUUCUGCGAUAAAUCUGCCGCGAAUAUCUUUAAUCUGUCACAACGAUACACUAAAAGAAUUUCUAGGGCGGGCCAUUCCGAAGUAUGCAUUCCAGGGUACAAACAUCUAAGUUUUGGUAGAUCAUGGAGUAUCAAAGUGGUGAGCUGUGGAAAGACAAAAUAAGGGAUCACUUGAUCUGCUCUGUUUUCAGAAAUGAUCUCCUGUAAAUCCUCACAGGAGCGUAUUUCUAGGCGUUGGAGCUGCUUAAGGCUUCCGAUCAUAGACGCUGAAAAUAUGUAUUUUAAUUUGUGACAACCCCACACAAUCAAUCGUGUUAAACUUUGAAAGUGAGGAAACACUGCAGCUGGAAUUUGAUUGUAGUGCCAAAUCUUGUCGACAUUAAUUUCAGAUAUCUCCAAAGCCUCCAAGUUAGGCAACGCAACCUAAAAAGAUAAGAAUUUCUUGUUGAAAAUUUCUCUUUGAUUACAAAUUAAUGCAAGUCAGAAUCAAUUUCCAACUGACAGCUGAGUAUGCAUUCUAAUUCAUACUACUUGUUAAGAGCUCAAUUAGUGAGUGCGUGAGAUUAUUUUUUUCCCCAUUGUUUUCAUUUUCUUUCAAUUCUCUAAAUGAUUUAAUUAUUUUCCACGUUUGACAUAAGAGAACGCAUGAUAGAAUAAACUCUGUUAUAUAUAUAUAUGAAUAAAAUGUUAGCCUACGCACCUUCUCAUUGAAAAGCAAAGUUGAAAUAUCCAAAGUGAUUUCGCUGGAGCAAUACAUAGUCGUCGAUUCCUCUUGCGACACUUGUCUGUUCGGUGAUGCUGAAGGAGUCUCCACCUCACGGCAAAAACUUGUAACCUCUGGAAGAUUCCCCAGACUCAAAGAUCUUAAUUGAGCAAACUCUAUCUUCUCAAUUGCAUUAUCAACUUCUUUCCCAAUUGCAAAAAUCUCUUUCAUCUUGCUGCAAUUAAUAACUGCAAUUCUCUCAAGUCUUGGAAGGCAUUUUGUAGUAGAGAGCCAAAAGAUAUUACUCAACUUAUCACAAUUAUAUACUUCUAUGUUUUUUGAGUUCGUUGAAAGACUCUACUUUGAGCCGAUCAAUACAUAUCCUCUCCAUGUUGAUCAAAUUGUGAAGGGCAAGUGACUCCAAAAGAGGAAAGGCAUCACAAGCGACCAUCUCCCUUGAAUCGACGAUACAAAAGAAGUCAGGAUUAUUUUGAACCCAGAGGACCUUCAAUUGUGAAAAGCCCUCCGUGUCCAAAUUGAAAAGAACAUUCUCGAUGCCUUGCAGCUUGUCCAACCGUAAGUAUUGAACGUUAUUGAUGCCUUGCAAUUUCAUGGAGCAAAUGUCCAUAAAAUCAAGCUUGAGCUUCAAUGCUCUUGAAAUCUUGCGAUUACUGUCGAUCAAAAAGUGCAGCUGACUUUUAAACCAAUGUUGUCCAAAAAGCAUGGGAUGCAUGAAUAACCCAUUUCCAAUAUGUAUUUUGAACCUUUCGAGCUUUCUGGCCAAAAGCCUUCUGGUAACAUACUCUCAUUUUUAACAUCAAUUUCUAGAGUAGUUAGCCGAGGUAAAUGCAUCAAUUCGUCAAGGCUAGCAUUACUUCUUUUGCUGUUGGCUCUUUCAACCUCCCAUUCAAUGAAGCAAUUACCAUAUACAAUUCUUCUAAUCGGAUUAAGCUUGAUAUGACAUUUGGGGCAAUAACUUUCAGACGGAAACAGUGUUAAAUCUAACAGCCUUAGCUUAGUCAGUUGACCCAGUGCUUUAGGCAACUCUACAAUAUCAGAUUGCAAAAAGCUAAGGAUUUCUAGAUUUUCCAACUUUCCAAUAAUGGCUAUGUCUAUGCCUCCGAAAAUGCUUUGAUUAAGACAAAGUGUCUGAAGAUUUACUAGAAGACCAAUUGAAGAUGGCAAUGACAAUAACCGCAUUCUAGUCAAAUCCAAAACCCGAAGCUUUUUCGUCCUUUUGAAGAAGUUCUCGGGAAUAUUAGGCACAGCAAAAGAGUUCUUGGGAGACCAUGAAUAGAAGUUCAAGUUGUAGAGAUUCCGACCCUUCAGGAAUGUCAUUAACAAUACUAUCUUUUAAAAGAAAUUGCAAAAUAUUUUUUAAUUCAUCUGCAUUUUGGCCAUUUCAAUCAUCCUCAUUUUCACCACAAAUGCAUUCAUGUCACGAAAUGCAAUUGAAAUGGCAACAUCGCGAACAACAUCGUGCAUAGAAAUGUAUUUACUGCCACCAUCCUCAAGCAACAAACAAGAGUCUCUUAGUUGAUGGACCCAUGCAUGUAAUUUGUUAUGUGCAUCUUCUAGCUUAUGGACACUUUUAAAUACACCCAAGCCCAUGCUGUAUUUGAACAAAUCCAUAAUUGGUGCUGGCGUAAUAAGACUACACAGUAAAAAAGUUUUCUUGAGUUGCUCACCUCUUAAGUACUUGUAACUCAGCUCAAUUGUUGAGUAUGCCUCUGCUGGUACUCCUUCGUCGAAGCUUGCCUCUGAAGGCGUUUUGGAGUUCUUGCAAGGCAUUCUUCCACACAGGCAGCUCUUUUUUUCUCAGUGCCUUUGCUACUGUGGUUAGGGCAAUAGGCAAACCUCCGCAUGCCUUGGCUACACUUGUUGCUGUAGAUUUUAACUCACGAUUUUCAACAUAAUCACCAGCCAUUAUCUUGAACAAUCUCCAGGCUUCUUGUUCAUUUAAAAUGCCAAUCGAGAAGUUUUUUUCAGAUCCCAUCCUUAACAGCACAUCAAGAUCUCUUGUUGUGAAUAAUAAUUUACAUCCUCUGUGCUCAACUCCAAAAGGAAUGCCAAUAGUCCCCAAAUCAAGAGGAUUCCAGAUGUUAUCGAGAAUCACAAGGAUCUUCUUCUCAUUCUUCAAUCUUUUCAUAUAGUCUACUAGCUCUUCUAGACUCAGCUUCCUCGGACAACUCUAGGCCUAACGUUUCCGCAAUUUCCUCUUGGAUCUUUCUUAUGUCUGGACAUUGGGUAACCUCCGAAAAAACCACCAUAUCGUAAAGCUUGUCUUCAAUGGCUCGCCUUGCAAACUCCUUCACCAGUGUCGUCUUUCCAAUGCCGCCCAUGCCGUACACCCCAAUGAUGCUGACAUCAACAUCGAUCAAAUGCAUUUUGUAUGGCCUUCAAAGUAGAAAGUCUUGAUUCGAAGGCUUCGUAGCCUUUGUGAGACUUGAGCCAUAUAUCCUCCGGGAAUGGUACGGUAGAAAUUCCAUCAACAAAUCUCCCAGCUUCUUCUCGGAGUUUAACAAUGGCCUUCACCUUUGUUUCUGCUUUCUUGCUAAGCUGAUAGCGGGUCUUCAAAUUAGGACACAAGCCCAUGAGACAUCGUUUAUUUGUUGUCUUCUCAUCAUCAAUGAAUUUGGCUGCCUGCUCAAUGAUGAUGUUCGCACUAACCAGCCACUUCUCAACCUUCUCUUCAAUAUUUUCCCCUUUUCUUUCAGCCUCAGAAACCCUGUGCUGAAUGCUUCUCCUUUCAUCCUUGAGCUUGUCUAUUUCUGCCUUGAGUUUCUCAACGUUGGCUUUAUAGUUACGCAAAUAACCAAGUCGGCGUUCUGUUGAGGAGCCAAGCAUUUCACAAAUUCUAAAACAAUAGUAACAAUGCUUUCCACCAUCCUGGAUCCCUUUUCUUUUUUUUCGAAGUUUCUGACAAGAAAAUAAACAAUGAGCGAAACACAGAGAGAGUGAGGAGAAAAAGAAAAAGAAACGCAAAGAUGGACAGUUUAUCUGGUUGUGGAAGCGGAGAAAUGAAGAAAUCGUAAUAGCUGUUAUGGAUCUGCUGAGAAGAUGGAAACAAGGAAAAGGUUUCUAGUUCAACAACUGGAUUGCGAGCGGAGAGACUAAUUAACAAAGACUGGAGAUUACAACAAAGCAGAUGCCAAGAGAAAAGUUGAUCCAGUGAAAUUCAAGAAGUUGACAGCAAAAGGGAGCAAAGAUUAAUAACAAAACAGCAGUGACUACAAUGAACAAAAGCAUAUGCGUUUCUUGAUUGAGAAUGAGUGCAAAGAAUGAUCCUUAAUCAAUAAAAUAUCUAACAAUAUCUUCACCGAAAGUUUGAGACAUGUGAUCCUUAUUCCACUUCGUCAAUUACACUCCAGACCAAUGCUGCCGUCAUUAUCGAACGGUCGAUAUCCAACACUUGCACGAAGAUUCCAAGAAGUUGCGUGGCUGCCGACUUUUAGAUGCAAAGCCUCAUUGUGUCGAUGUUACACGAAAGAGAGCAGUCCGGGUAAUUGCCAAAACUUAGAACUAAACAGUAGCUUAGUCAGAAAAUCAAACGCCCAGUACCGGUAAAAUGACCGAUAAAAUAUAAAAAAAACAAAAAUUUUAAAGUUUUACUUCAUUGCUUUUUUAAUCUUAUUACUAUUUCUCCUUGCACUUCUAAAGAAACCAAAGCUUUAAAAGAAAUCAGCCAAAUCACGAAGAUUGAAAACUAAAUCUAUGGUUUUAGAUUUUUAUUUUAUUUUUUUAGAUAAUAGAUAUUGUUGAGUAAUGAAAAGUACCAGCUCAGCUAUCCCCGCUUCCCUCACCUUGGGGCGAAUCCCCAGAUGAAUGGCACAAGCAGAUUCCUGGUAAUACAUCCUGUACGGGGCAUAUGCCAACUAGAAACGAGUACCGACCAGAUGUACAUACCGACCAAGUACUCAUUAUUCAAAGAAAGAGGACACGAACUCAACAAACUCACGACAAUUUUGUUAUGCCCCCAAACCGUUGGGGAGAACAUGACGCCCCACGUUUACCCACGAUUCGGUGGUUGGAGACCCAUGAAGGUUUGUCAUCACCCGAAAAUGAGGGGCAUGAAUAAGACUCAGAAAACAGGGGAUGAUUGCCUAUAAAAGGCCAAGAAAUCGAUGAAAAAUGGGAGACACAAAUUGAGAGUAAAGGGGAAACUCUGUCAAAUUAUAAUCAGAAAUUCAUAUAUCCAAAUCCUUGAUACAUUUGGUAUUGAGAAUAUUGCAACUAAUAUGUACAACACAAAUCAUUCACUUUUCUCGUAAACACCUUGUACUAACUUAAGUAUCGAAGGGUUUAUGCCCAAAAAACCAUCGGCGUCUCUGAUUUGUUUCUGUGAACGCAGGCCUGGAAGGAAGAAGACGGGUGAUUUGGGUCCCAGAAGCUCGGGAAAUUGCUGAAGCUAAUGGAUCGCAGCCUCUGUUCCUUUGCCAAUACAAGCGUUGGUGAACCAAUCUGGUCGGUCCAAAGGCGACUAGAUUUCAGCAUCAACAGAUAUUAUUUUGAUGAAUUUUUUAAUAUUAGAAUAAUGUUAGGAAUUCCAAUAAUAAAAUUCUAACUUGAGACCCAAUUGUUAUGUGUUAUUUUUUUAUUGAAUAAUGAAUUUCACAACUAAUAAAAUUUAUAUUUCCAUCAUCUAAUAAAUGACUACCAUAUCAGUUGGGACUCAAUUAUUAGGAUCCUUAACAUUGCUCUUAGUAUUAAAUUGGACAUCUUAGCUAAAUCAGAUUAAAAAUCAAAUUAGUUUUUAAGCUUUUAUUCAACAUCUCUUUUUUUUUUUUUGUCUAUUGGAAGUGAACGAAAUAAAAAUACAACAGGGUCAACGACUGGGCAAUUGGUAGUCAAGUAGAAGCAAAUCAAGGCUAAAUGGGAAAGAGAAAUGAUAUUUGUGCAAAAUAAGGAGAAAAUCAGUGUAACAGAAGAGAAUCAAAGUGCUUUUGAGAUAAAAAAUUGAAACAAGAAAAGGGUCGCUUGAUCCAAUGAAAAUGCAAAGAGCUGAUGGCAAAAGGGAACAAAGUUAAAUAAGAAAACAGCUAGCGCUAGCAGCGACCACAAUAAACAGAAAAUUUGAGAUGGAUUUACAAUAUUUCUGCCUUUCUUUAUGCUUUAAAAAAUAUUGCUCUAUCAAAAAAAAUAUUGAACAUUUUUAUUAUUGGAGUCACAAAUGACCUACACAAUAUAGCAAGUGACUAGGAAUAAAUAAGAAUAUAUAACUCUCUCUAAUUCUCACUCUGGCUUUUAAUUGUCACUCAAAACCCAGAAUUCAUCCUUAAAGUGUAGGCAAAUCAAGGAUGACACCGUUUGGUUGUCAUACGUGCCUUUUAGUUUUCGGAUGACAUGGCGUACACUUCUUCUGUAAACCCAACAAGACAUGUCGUACUCUUUUGUUUUGAGAUUCUAUUUCAAACUUUUCAUGCUAUGAAUGAAAGAUAAACUCCAAUCAUCAAAAUAUUUAGUGUUUGUUUGGUAAUGUAAUGUCAUAGUUGUGAAUUGAAAUUAUUUCUAUAAAAUAAAAGGAUUUGGGUCAUUGUUUGUUAUUUUCUGACAACAUUUAUUAAAUAUUAAAAAAUAAAUUUAUAUUUAUUAGGUAUUAAAAAUAAAUAAACAAACAAAAAUAAAAGUAAAAGUUUAUACAUUACGUAAAAUAAUGACAAUAUCAAUAUUUCGCACUCUAUAAUUGAGUGAUGUGUUGUCCAACUGGCAUACAUUGGUCCCAAACGGAGACUUAAAUAUCAAAGUCCAAAGUUAUUAUGAUGAUGACUUAUAAUCGCCAAACUUGACAUACGGGUAAUCAUGCAUUAUAAGGUGCUAAUUUCUUCCGAUCGGAACCUUAUUUUUCAUUUACAAAUAAAUAAAUGAUGUGACUUCACGGUUGGCGGGGUCCUUUGUGUCAUUUGGGCAUUUCACUAAAUGAUUGAUUGUAGCAGGAAGAUUCCUGGAAGUUGCCAUUUGCCAAUGCUACUAACAUUUUCAAACUUGGAAAACCCUUCAAUCAAUCUUUUAGUGGUAGGCUCUGGUAACUUGGUUUGAUUAUGACGUAUAAUUAUUUGAUAAUAAAGUUAGAGGAUGUAUUAAUAUAAAAUUUGUUUAUUGGUGUUGAAGUUAAUUAUCUCAUUAAUAAUAGUAUAAAAAGUUAAUUACUAAGAAACACAUAGCAAUAGUUAAUUGGUGUCAUAUUAUUGGGAUUCUGGGAUAUAAUUUUAUAUCAUAACUUUGUAAGUGUAUACUUACUCAUCAAACUAAUAAAAUUAUUUAAAAAUUUCAGUUGGAAAAAAUAAAUUAUAUUAUUUUCAUUUCAAAUAAUCUAUAAGUUAACUCAAAACAUAAUCAAGCUGAGAAUUAAAAUAAUGCUACUGUAUGAGAGGAUUUUUAUUUUUUCCCGAAGUUUCACUAGGAAAUUAUUGAUACAUAGCUUUAUUCGGAUCAUCUCAGUUCAAACGACAAAUAAUUGAAAGACUAAGCUAAAUAGACCAGCCAACAACUUUGUACAAGAGAGUUCAAAAAUUAAGGUCAUGGUAUUAAGGUGUUCUAUCUUGAAAAGUAUAGAGUAGUAAUAAAAUAAAAACUAAUAGUUUUUGGUAAGAUAUGACAUUUAAAUAAUAAUUUUCACAAAAAUACAAGGAAUAUUUAUAAAUUACUUUUAUAGUGAGGGGACCCUCACUCUGUUAAAGUGAAAAUAUCAAUAAUAUACAAAAGACAUAUAUUUUAACACAUUAAAAAUUGUAUUUUUUUAUCUAUUGGUGUAUUGAAAUAUGUGUUAUUUAGUUUGUUAGUGAUAUCAUUACUUUGUUAAAAUGAGAAUGUCGUUACUAGAGAAUCAUUAUGUAUACAUAUAUAAAGUGCUUCUGUCCAAGACCUAGACUUUAUUAAAAUUUGAGAAAGCAAAUAUAUUUUAUAUGGUAUAAUAGUGUAAUAACAUCACACUAUUAUAUCAUAUAGAGUAAUAGUUUUUCGAACUUUAAUAAAAUUCAAGAUUAUAGAAUGAAUGAUUUUUAUAUAUUAUAAAUUUUUUUAUCAUAAAUGGAGGACAAAAUUAACAUAUUUUCAAAUUAUAAUAAGCAUUUAUCAAAUAAUUUAACAUUGCAAUUUCUCCUAACUAGUAUAGUAAAUAAUACGACCUAGGAGAUACAUUCAAAGCAUUUCAUAAGUUAGUUGUUAAUAAUAAAUUAUAUAUGCAGCUCCAAUCAUCAUUGUACGGUGAGUAAUUUCCAGUUAUAAAUAGAUAUUACUCCCUUCCCAGCAAUUUUUGAUGACUUAAUUUAGUGGGAUCAAAAUCAACAUUGAAUUUUUGACCAGCUGCCAACAACUUGUGAGCAGUUCACAGUGGGUACUGCACAUGAUGCCUGUUUCUCCUUUUGCAUCUAUUUUUGUUGUUAACAUUAAUUUCAAUAGCAGCUCGUUAAUCCCAUUUGUUGAUUUGGGACUAGAUAAGAAUUUAUCUUGGAACUCCAAUUCUCCAAUUAUUUUAGUUGACAAUAUAUUUAACAUUAUUAAUUGCAUAUUAUUUAAUUAUCAGUAUAUAAUAUUCUUUAAUUUUCUAAUUUUAUAGGAUUAGACACAAAAUUGAUUAUGCCUUUUGAAAUUUAAGGGUUAUGUCAAUUGAAUAGAAAACUUGGAGGUAAACUUGUGGAUGUUUUUGUUGAUUAUCAAUUUAUGCAUGAAUUUUUGUACGUUUACUUUGGUUUAUAAUUAUUACUUUUAAACAUUUUUAUUGGUUUGAUUUAGGGUCAAUUUGGUAAUCCUGUAGCUUUAAAAUAAUUACAAUUAGCUAUGCUGUAGAAAUGAUCAAUCGUCAAGAGAAUCAGCUGAGCAUUUAGUAAAAUUUAUUUUUAAAAGUACUUUUAGUUUUAAAAGCGUUGUAUGAAUAAAACUGUUACACUAAAAAAUUAAAUGUAUUGCCCACUUGGGUAAAUAAAGCUAUAUAUUACAACUGUUACACUAAAAUUAAAUGUAUCUUAAACCCAAACUUCUUCUUCUUCUUUUUUGACUAACAAAAUUAAAAACAAUAGUGAACACAUUCUUUAAUAAACAAUAAGUAAUAAAUAAAAUCGUGUUAAAUUUCUUAAAAACUUUCUUUCACGGUUUGCUAAAUAUUUUUAUUAGUAUUUUAAAUAAAUAAAAAUAGUUGAUUUUAAUUUUUUUAAAUAAACUUAUUAGGUUUCAUGUAAAGAUGUUUUUGUUAUUUUAAAAAGUGUAGAAAGUACUCCUAAAAAAAAGCGUAGAAAGUAAAACUUAAUUUUUUAAAUUUAUUAGCUGAGUGCAUAAAUAAUUGAGUGUUCAUAAUGAUUUUUAAAGUAUAGAUAGUCGGACCCUAAUAUUUUUAAUAAAUGGAAAUUUUGCUAAUAUGUUAAUGAGAAUUAAAAAGAUAAUUAAGGGAGGCAAUCGAGACAUUCAGGAUAGUUAGGAUGGGACAUGAUUGUGAGCGGUUAGAUAUUGGUCCUAAUUUUGAUCACAAAUAUAUAAACAGGACGAGUUUAUCUCUACUUACAUUCCAUUUGAUAAUUAAGAUGAGAGUGGAAUUGUCAAAUCCCAAAUCAUCCCGGACCACUGCCACCAAGGGUACUCUCACUAAUAAUAUCUAAAGAAAAAUCUACAUCUAUUUCAUACUUUUUUUAAUGGAAAGAGCCCUCAUGGGGCUUGAAAUGGUAUCCUAAAUAAUAUUGAGAAUAUCAGGUCAUGAUUGGGUUUGUGACAAACAAAUACUACAUAGUUGGGAUACGUAGUUAUAAUGUCCCAAUUUAUGUAGUAUCUAUCAUUUAGCGCACAUAUAAAAUAUUAAUCAGCUUAAUUAAUUUAUAAAAUUUAAAUCUAAUUAAUAAGUGAUACAUAAAUGCCAAGUGCAAUACUGUAUAUGCAAAUCAUGUUUGUGGAUCAUUACAAAAUUGGCUCUUGAAAACAAGCAAGAAAGCUUAAUUAAGAACUUAAAACAAAAGAAUUAGAUUGAGAACAGUCAAGCCUUAUUUUUUCAAGGAUGGAGCUUAUAAAUCUUCAAGUACCAACAUACGCUUGGCCCAAUUGUUGUUAUUAAAAUUUCAAUAUACAUAUAUAAGUAUGAUAUAGCAAAAAUUUGAUGGUACAUAUGUCGGAAUAUACUAGUUCAUGGGUGCAUUUGAUUAUUGUUUCCAUAAAUUUGAACCAGGAAGGACGACACGAUAAAAAUUUGAUUUAUGGUAUGGUUGAUUUCAUAGCUCAUGCACUCAUUUCUUAAGAUAAUCAAAUUUUCUCUGACAUCUUUUUCAACUGUCGAAAUAUCAAUUAUGAUCAAUCAAAACGAUUUCAAAACCUUUCAACGAGACAUAUUUCUAAUACAAUAUUGUGAAAAUUACACUAAAAAAUAAUUUAUUAUAUAUUAUUAUCCAACGAGCACACAAAAAUGAUUUCGUACAAAUCUAAAAUACUAAGCAAUUUUCAAAUAGAAUUUACCAUGUACUACAAGAAAAUAGGGUAUAUGUGACCCCUACUGUGAAUGCAAAAGCAGCCAUUACGCAUAACCCCGAGUUGCUUUUGUUACCCUUUAUGUGACGGCCACACUGCUGUCACAUAUGUUACGACCGCGUGACGGUGAAGAGCCGUUCGGUAUACUAAUAUUUUAGAAUUUUAAAUUUAUUUCCAGUUAGAAAACUAUUCGCUGGACUCCGUGUUGCUGGCCACCAUCGUAAACAUAACUGGUUGCCAGCGAACGGCGUAAAACGCCGGCCAUCUUCUUCUUCAACGUAUUCUCCCUUCAUCUUUGAGGUAAGCUUGUGAUUAUGAGUUUCUUCUCUUACUUAGCUUGUAAUUAUAGAUUUUGAUUUUUUUUAAUUCGUAUUGUAGCCGUUAUUGUCAAUUUUUGUCCCGCCAGCAAUAUUUUUUUAUUCCUACAAGUUGAAACCCCUGUGUUCUUGUUCCAUUGGUGAGUUUGCUCACUCAAAUUAAUUUUGUUCUGCGGAAUUUACAAAGUUCAAAUGGAUUCAUUUGAAUUACUAUUGAAUUUAGCUUUAAUUCCAACAUCCAUUCUAAUGUUUUGCAAUUAGAUUUAAUUUAAUUUUAUGUUUAAAGCUUCUACAAUGAAUAGCGGAGCUUGGGUUUUAGUUUCAUUUUCUGGAUAACUUGUUUUUAGUUUAUCUUGUAUGCUCACCAAAUGCUUGUUAUAUUGUCUGAUAAGUUAUAUACAUUGCUGAUUCUACAUUAAUAAUGUUACGUUGUAUUUUCAGAAAUUAUAAUACAAAAGUUUUUUGCAAUGGCGUGCAUCUACAAACUGAAUUGACUUGUAGAAUAAGAGCUCGGAGUAGUGUUAUGUUCUUGAAUAAUUGAAAGUUCAUAUUGUGUAAGAGCAUUGUAGAUGUAAAGCAUCAUUACCAUUUCUACAAAGUGCUUUCAUUCUGUUCAUAUGCUCUUCUUGAACUUUGAAAGGUGCCUCGUUCAAGUCCUAGCUAUAACUACUAGCUUUGAUUAAUUAAGUUCCUAUACUAGCUGAAACAGAUUUAUUUAAUUAAUUAAUUGUGUAUGUACUAAUUAUAUUGAAAGUAUAUGAAUUUUUUUUUUAACAUGAAUGACUUCUAAAUGACUUAAAAACCUAAAGGGAUGUGUGAAACAAUGCUCAUUUCAUUUGAAUGAGCCCAUUAAUACUUUUAUGUCUAUGAUUUUCAAUAUUGGCUAAAGCAUUUCAGUUAAGUGGUUUACCUAACAGAGAAAAAAAUUUAAUAGAAAACUUCAGAGUUUCUAACAGAAAUAUAGUUCACUAUGCAGAUAUAGUUAUUUUACGGUAUACAAAUCAAGUUGUCCUAAUCUCAAUGUCCUAUGACCGAUUUUAUUUUAUAUAGUCAUUAAUUUUUUUCCUUGGUUUUUUGUGUUUAUGAGUAUGAAAUAGUGGGAUUUGGUGUACCUUAGCAUCUUUUGAAAAUUCUCUUUCAGUGUGGCCAACAGAAAUAUACAUAUAAUCAAGUUCUUAAUCGUGUAUAUUAGUUUUGGGUAUGAAUGUUCUAUUCUAGUUCGAGGCAAAGCUUCUUCGUUUUUGGUCUUCAGAUUUCCAGUAGGUUAAGUUAAUCAACUAUCAUAACUGGCUAGCUAGUUAUUGUCUGCCUUGGCGCCAUUACCAGGCCAUUAUAUUGCAUAGCAUAAGGAAUAGUGAUUAGGGGAUUAUUAGUGAUUUGUUGAGCUUAUUAUCGACCAAACAAACAUAUUCGCCUUUGCCCACAACUUAGUUUGAUUAGUUAUUAGACCAUAAAGAGCCUUGAUCUAUUCAUUGGCUUUAUUAUUUUUAUUUGGUUUUUCUUUCAACAAUAUUGUUGAUUUCUUAUAAAAAUAUUCAUUGGUUUUUAAACACCUAAUCAUUGGCUAUAUGAAGCUAAUUAAAACUGAGGCUUUGGAUCAAUUUCUUCUAACAAGAUACAAAUGAGCAUUAACCUAUCUCCUAUGAGUAAAUUUUUUUAAUAUCCUUGAUUUGUAAGGAUCUGGAGGCCUGAAAUCCUCUAGAUUUUUUUUAACACUGUCAAUGUUCUUUUAUUUCUGAGAAGGAAAUAAAAGGUUUUAUCUUUCAUACCCAAAUAGUAAGCUGGCCUUGUCUUAACAUGGCCUCCGAGGACUUGCAAGAUUCAUAGUGCCCCCACCCCAAAAAAAUAAAAAUAAAAAAACACAAAUAGGAAGAUUUUGCAAGAUUCACCACCAGGUUUUUUUUAAUUUGUUAAUUGUGUGUACGUGCUAGUUAUAUGUUGAAAGAAUAGGAAAGAAGUAUUUCAACAUGAAUGACUUAAAACUUAUUGCUCAGUAAACAUAAUCUGCAUGUAUUUAUCGUUUGUAUUUUUUAUGGUUUUGCUAAAGAAAUGAUAUGUGAAAUAAUGCUACAUUUGCAUCAGGAAUAAAUUGAAGAGAUUUAUGAUAUUUAUGUGUUAUUCAAAUUUCAGAUUCAAUUUUAAACUUUUGAUACGUGCAUUGAAAGCUUAGACUUGUUUAAGAAAUUAUUAAUAGACACAUGUUUUUAUUAGUGUCAUCUUUGGAUGAUAGUGAGGAUCAUAUGUCUAUUAAUAAUUCUUGAAUUGUCCAGGCUUGGACAGUUUGGGAAUGCAUAGUUCACUCUGGUAGCUAGUAGCUGAAGUUUUUUCCCACGUAAAAAUGGGUUUUUCAGUAGCUGCUCCUCGUGUUCUCUGGGUACGUACUAGGUGAAUGGGUGUCAUGUGUUGUUUUGGCAUAACGCAUAAACACUUAUAUAGCUAUGUCGUGUGCUUGGAGAAUUAUAGGGAGAUGGUGCCGAAAUUUUUAUAAACGUGGAAGAAAACUUUAGGUACUUGAGAUUGAAGAAACUUAUGCAUUCUUGAGUGGGAUAUGUAGGAUUACUUACCUUUUGUAAAUAUGAAGGGAAUGUUGGAUAUAUUGGGGAUAGUGUAGGAGCUGAGUUGGAUGAAUGUAAUUGGUGAUGAUUUUUGCUGAGCUGACCUUGGUUUUGAGCUUGUAAUUUUGUUUGUAAAUGGAGUGCUAUCUCCAAUGUUGGUUUAUAAAUAUGUUUCAGGACUUGCUGACCUAAUUUUUUGUUUCUAGGUUACAGGCUUUAUAUAUCUGUAAUUGAUGGCGAAGUGAAGUUCCCAGAACUUGGCGAGGAUGUUUCUUUACAGAAGGUAUUGGAAACUGUUUUUUACAUUAAUUAUUGUUGUAUAUAUACUUUGAUUUUCACAUCUUUUUCUCUGAUUCUUGUGGCUUUGCUUGCUUUCAUAUAUGUAAAUUCUAAUGAAAAUUAACCAUAAAAUUGUUUAAAAUGAUCUUUUUAUUAUAUUGCAAAACUGUGCACACACGAAAAUAUAUUGUUUAGUAGUAGAAAUGAAGAACUAAAAUGAUUUACUUAACUAAUUUUUGUAGCGCAUUAAAAGGAGAUAGUCAUGGACAUGUGUUGGGUUGGUUUGCCAAAUAGAUAUCCAAGUCAUAUACUGAUGGGGAUGAAAAAUUUAUAGAUUUUGCAUUUGAGAAUGUUGUUGGUGGUACAAGAAUUUAAUGUCCUUUUAAGAAGUGUUGUAAUCUAUAUUUCGUUAUAAAGGAAAGUGGCUGAUGAUGAUAUGGUUGGAAUGAUACAAUGCAUCACGUAAUCAAAUGUUCAAGUUACACGGAGCAUUGUUAUGGACUAUCAGUGACUUUCUAGCAUUGCCAACUUGUCUGGGUGGAGUAUUAAAGGUAAAUAAGCAUGUCUUGUUUGCCAACAAAACACUAGAUCUAAUUGGUUGAUACAUAGUAGAAAAUUUUGUCACGUGGGUCACCGUCGAUUUUUACCAACAAAUCAUAGGUUUCGAAAAUAUAGUGUCUUUUGAUAAAACUAGAGAGUAGGGACCAGCACAUUCUCGGUUGUCUGGAUCUGAAGUGAAAAAGCAGUUUAAUAUACUUACUGAGUAUAAGAUUGAAGACUUGAAAAUAGGAGAAUGAAUAAAAUGAGAGAAAUGAUAAGAUUACUUGGAAGAAGAAAAGCAUAUUUUAUGAACUACCGUGUUGGGAGUUCAAUUUGAUUCAUCAUAUCUUGAUCUCAUGGGCUGUUUUGAUUUUUGUUAUGAACUCAGAUCAAAAGUUUAAUGUGAUCAAAAUUUCUUAAAAAUAGUGAAAACGACUCCUAAUAAUAUGGAAGAUGGCUAUAAAAAGAUAAAAGGAAAGGCUUAAAAAGAAAAGCCAUGCCUGUCCAAAAAAAAAAAAAUCAACAAAAAUCAAAACGGUGCGUUUGAGAGUGUAUAAAAUACAUUUAGAGUGGGAGUUGUGUUGUUGCUUGAAGGCAGAAAGAUAUUUGUCGACGAAGCCAAAACCAAAGAUGAAGCCCAUAAAGCUCAAACUCCACCGGAGCAAAUUCAGGACAAUUACGAGGGUUAUGUUUGACAUAGUCAAGGAAGACGGUCCUCUCACCGUUGCCGAAACUUGGGAACGCGUCAAGGUGUGUGUAUCUGUUAAAUUGAAUUUCAACCGUUUGAUCUGUAAUUAUAAUUAAUCCAAUCGAUCUGACAGUGAUCACUGACCAUAAUACUAGUAGUUGUUUUACAUUUUCAGCAGGCUAGAGCGGGUGGAUUGACGGGCAAAAGCUCAGGCUCGUCUGCAAUCACAUGGGCCCUCAUAAGCAAAUCCUGUACACAACUUGGUUCACUAAACCCAACAACUUGAAGCAGCCAAAAUCAGGGAAUGAUCCUUCUCCGUCACAACCCUAGCUGCCUUAACCUUGUAGUGACACGGUGAAGAUGGAAGCCCCUCAGCAUGUAAACUUUUCAACAGCGACAGAGCUCUUAUUCCAGAGGCUGCACAGAAGAGCGACCUGGAAUCCUCUUCAAAACUUUCAAAUUUUUAUCAAGUAAAGCUUUCAAAAUUUCUCAACAAACUGAUUAUUUGGUGUGGUUGCCACAUUUUGUGCAACUGCUAUUCGUCUUCAAGUACAAAUUCCUUGCCUUCUAAGUUAGGGAACAUAGAUGUGGAGCAAACAGGGAAAUAGAUGUGGAGCAAACAGGGAAACAGCAAUGAUGGCAAUUAACAAACUAAUAGCAGUAUUACAUUUGAUUCUUUAGCCCAAUUUUGUUCCUUCUGUCAGCCAUUCUUCAAAAGUUUUUGAAAAUUAGAUGUGAAGCAAAAAAAAAACAAAUUUAGACAACAGAAGCCCUGUGCUCAACAUCAUAUAUAUACCUUGAAUACCUAAUAUACUAAAUUUCACAUAUAAAAUACUAGAGAUUUCAAACAGUACCAGCAAUAGAAUAAUGACAACGACAACAAUAACAGAAAAUUACAAGAUUGCUGACAAAAUUUAUGUGAUUUACUGUGCCUUUAUGCAUGCAAAAUGAAACUGAAGAUAAAAAAUUUAGGGAAAAGGACACAGAGACCCCCAACGUUUGAAUAAGGGACACAAAAUCCCUUAAUGUUUCAAAAAAGACACUCAGACCCCCAUUUGUUAACAUUAAAUUAUAAUUUUACCAUUGUACCCUUAUAGCAUAUUAAAAAAUAAUUAUUCAUUAUCCAAUUUAUUUCUAUAUUAUUAAUAAAAUUACGAAUAUAACUUCAUUACUCAAUUUUUCCAUUUAAUUUUUAUCAAAUUUUAUCUUCAAACUAAAUAAAUUUAAUCCAUUGCUCAAAAAUAAAAAUAAAUUAAAUUGAUUAUUAAUAUAAUAAAAAUAACAAUUCUCCAUAUGUUAUUUCUUAUAAUUUCUUAUAUAUAAAUUAAAUUGAUAAUUUCUUAAAAAUAACAAUUCUCCAUAUAUAAAUUAAAUUUAUUUUAAUUUAAUAUAUGUUAUUUUUAUAUUAAAUAUAUGUUAUUUUUAUUAUAUUAGUAAUCAAUUUAAUUUAUUUUUAUUCUUGAGUAAUGGAUUAAAUUUAUUUAGUUUGAAGAGAAAAUUUGACAAAAAUUAAAUGGAAAAAUUGGAUAAUGAAGUUAUAUUCGUAAUUUUAUUAAUAAUAUAGGAAUAAAUUGAACAAUGAACAAUUAUUUUUUAAUAUGCUAUGAGGGUAUAAUGGUAAAAAUUAUAAUUUACUGUUAACAAAUGGGGGUCUCAGUGUUUUUUUUGAAACAUUAGGGGGUUUUGUGUCCCUUAUUCAAACGUUGGGGGUCUCUGUGUCCUUUUCCCAAAAAUUUAUAAACUAGAAAUUUAUAAUAAUCUAACUUAUUCUCGUUACUAUUAAAAAAUAAGUAAACAUAUCAAUAACAAUAUAGUUUAUUAUGAUUAUAAUUCAUUCAAUUAAAAUAAAUAAUUUAUUCUUAUUUCUAUUCUCUAUUCUAAUUUCAGUAAAUUUUGAUUUUAGUUUAUUUUAAUUAUUGAUUAGUUGUAAACUUAACUGGAAAUUUAUUGCAUAUAUUACGAGAAGCAGUACACACCAAUGGUAAAUUGAUACAUCGUUUUUGAGCUUAAGAUAGUCAAAUGAAAGAAACACAACGUAGGGUUCAUGAAACACUUUCAAAGCUGCUGAUGACUUAAAGUGAAUAACCUCAGCAUGUAAACUUAACUUCAAAGGACGGAGCACAAGUUUCACAGAAAAACAGCUCUUAUUUCUGAUGCUGCGAACACAGAGGAGUGACCUCAAUCUUCUUCAUCACUUGGGAAUUCUGCAAUUAUAGAGCACGACAUUGAGCAUGAACUAGAAAAAAUAUUUAUUUUCUACAAUUUUCAUAUAACCUCACUAACCAAGAUUAAUUUUGUGGUAAUGUAUUGGGUCAUUAAUUCAUAUGUUUUUACUGUCAUCACUUUAGAAAAAACUAAUUUCUCAAUGUGAAAUGGCCCAUAAAAGGUAUUCUCAUUUAAAAACUAAAUUUGACAAACCCUCGAUUAAAGCAGGGGAGAGAAAAGAAAAAAAAAAGAUCUGAAGGCUUUCCACAUGAAAAUGUUGUCACUUUGGAUGAUAUUUUCAAGGGAUUUCAUUCUAAAAAUAAAAUACCUGGGACCUUAUUCUUCAAAUUGACAGCUCGCCCAGUACUAAACGCGUAUGAGAUCAGUACUGGGACAAGUAACGAGACGACCCCUCCAACAGCUGAAAAUAAAAUUCGCAUUCAUCAAUUUAAAUUGAAAUUCAUAUUAUGAAAUUAAAACUAAUGAUUAAUGAAUUUUCAAGGAAUUUAAUAAGAUUCUCAUAUAUAAACGUGAUAAAAAAUUCACUCAUCAAUAACAAAUAUUCUAACAUUUUGUUGAUGUAAUUGUUGUAUGGUUGUGUUAAGGUCAUUAUUAGACCAACGCAGUUUGUCAUCACUCAUUCCGUACCAGACGUUUACUCUCGGAGGCGUGAUUGAUUCUCCUUUGGUGAAAUCUUCAUCUUCGGACAACCAAUCACAGUAAGAUAUUCCAAAGAUGGGAAUUUGAAGGCGUAAUUGCCAGAGGAGAAGCUUGUGAGACUAUCUAAAUCAAACAGGGACAACGUAGUCAGUUUGCUGAAAACAAUCUCUUCUUUUAAAUAUGCUGUUUCAUUUCAAGACUGGCAAAAUUCAUUGUGUAAUCAAAGUUUUCAAUGAUCCAACUAAUAUAUAUAUAUAUGUAUGUAUAUUCCUUCUCUAGUGCAGACAUUCUCAUUUUUUUUUUUCAUGUGGACCAGUUUUUAGAUCCCCUGGUUUAAAAGAGUUAGUUUUUAACUCUUUAAAACCGCAUGGCUUCAUAAUUUAUUUAAAAACUAACUCUCUUAAACCGCACGGUUUAAAAGCGUGUCCACAUUAAAAAAAAAUACGGACCCCCACACCUGAGAAUGAUUAUAUAUAUAUAUAUAUAUAUAUAUAGACACACGCUCUUAAACCGUGGGAUUUGAAAGCUUCUCCGCAUGAAGAAAGUAAAAAAUAAGGGCAUUCCCACUAGAAACAAACUCCAUAUAGGUAUUUAUUAAACCUCCUGAUCUGUGAGUGAGGAACAACAAAUAUAAUUGAUAAAAAAAAUCUAAAAUUUGGUUUCAUACCUUCUUGAACGAGAACAGGGGUUGUUGUGCCGGAAUACCAAAUUGAUCAUUCUCGUUAUUCUGGGACAACGUUAUUUUAUCACAAUUACAGGCCUCCAAUGUUUUUUAGUGCUGGCCAUUCUGAAGUAUGCAUUCCAGGGUAUAAACAUCCGAGUUCUGGUAGACCUUCGAGAUUCAGAGUGGUCACUUGUGGAAAGACAAAAUAUGGGGUCACUUGAUCUGCUCUGUCUUUGGAGAUGAUCUCUUGUAAACCCAUACAUAUCCGUAUCUCCAGGUGUUGGAGGUGCUCAAGGCUUUGGAUCAUAGAAGCUGAAAAUAUGUAUUUUAAUUUGUCACAGCCCCACACUAUCAAUCGUGUCAAACUUUGAAAGCCGCAAGUUGAUUGUCAUGCAAAAUCUCGUCGACAUUAAUAGCAUUCAGCUCCAAAGCCUCCAAAUUUGGCAACACUACCUGAAGAUAAUUUUCUCUUUAGAUCCAAUAUCCGUAUGGAAAGCACUUGUUUUGACACAAUAUCCAUAUAAGAAGCACUUAAUUAAGAGCUUAAUUAGCGAGUGUAUGAGACUUUUUUUUUUUCAAAUGCCAGUGCAUGAUAGAACUAAAAAAAAAAAAGAAGCAUUAGCCUACGUACCUUCUCGUUGAAAGCAGAGUUGACGUUUCCGAACUGAUCUCGUUGGAACUGGCUGUCAAUUCCUCUUGCGACUCUUGUCUGUUUGGUGAUGUGGAAGAAGUCUUCACUUCACCGCAAAACCUUGUAACCUUUGGAAGCUUUCCCAGACUCAAAGAUCUUAAUUGACCAAACUCUAUCUUCCCAUCAACAUCAACAUCAGCUUCUCCUCCAGUUGCAAAAAUCUCUUCCAUGCUGCUGCAAUUGAUAACUGCAAUCCUCUCCAGUCUUGGAAGGCAUUUUGUACUACUAGAGAGCCAGAAGAUAUUACUCAACUCAUCACAAUUUUCUACUUUUAUGGUUUUGAGUUCAUUGAAGGACUCUAUUUUGAGUCGAUCAAUACAUAUCCUCUCCAUAUUGAUCAAAUUUUGAAGAGUAUGGGACUCCAAAAGAGGAAAGGCGACACAUGGUUCUCUCUCCAUUGAAUCGACGAUACACAGGAAGUCUGGAUUAUUUUGAACAUGGAGAUGCUUCAAUUGUGAAAAGCCCUCAGUGUCCAAUUCUAAAACAACAUUCUUGAUUCCUUGCAACUUAUCCAAACAUAAGUAUUCAACGUUAUUGAUGCGCUGCAACUUCUCGGAGCAAAUGGCCAUAGAAUCAAGCUUGAGCUUCAAUGUUCUUAAACUCUCAUGAUUACUGAUCAUAAAGUGCUGCCGACUUUCAAACCAAUCAUUCUCAAUAACCAGGGUAGAGUCGAAUGAUGCAUCUCCUAUUGAUAUAUCAAACCUUUCCAGCUUUUUGGAAAAAAAGCCAUCCGGUAAAAUGCUAUCAUUUUUAACAUCUAUCUAAGGUGGUCAAUCGCCUCAUAUGCAUCAAUUCGUCGAGGGUGGCAUUACUUCUUUCACUAUUGGCCUUUUCAACUUCCCAUUCAAUAGGGGAAUUACCCAUAUACAGUUCUUCCAAUCGAGUGAAGCUUGAUAAGACGUUGGGCACAAUAAAUUUUAGUUGCAAACAAUCUGUUAAAUCUAACAGCCUUAACUUAGUCAGUUGACCUAGUUCGCCAGGCAACCGUACAAUAUCAGAAUUUAAAAAGCUAAGGAUUUCUAGAUUCUUCAACUUUCCAAUUAUGGCUAUGUCUCCCAACAUGCUUUGAUCUAGACAGAGUGUUUGAAGAUUUGCUAGAAGACCGAUUGAAGAUGGCAAUGAAAAUAAUCGCAUUCGUGUCAAAUCUACAACUCGAAGCUUUUUCAGCCCUUUGAAAAUGUUGUCAGGAAUAUUGACCUCAACAAAAGUGUUUUGGGAAAUAUGUAAAAAUUCAAGUUGCAGACAUUCAAAUUCCUCAGAAACUUCAUGAAUGCUACUAUUUAGUAAAGAGAUUGCAUAGCAUUUUUUAAGUGCAUCCUCAUCUGGCCACUCCCACACAGCCUCAUUUCUCACCAAUAAAGCAUGUUGGUCUCGAUUUAAACUUUAACUCAAUUUGAAAAACUGAGCAAGUAUGCGUUACAGGAAAUCAAAAAAGCUCCACAUACCCAGAUCAUGAUCUCACGUUGAAUCCAGGUGGGAGAUAUAUUUAUGAUCAAGCCCAACAUCGAAGGGGCAAAAAAAAAAAAAAAAAAAAAAAUCUACCAGACAUAUGAUCAUAUUGACCACGAGCUUCAUACGCCGUGGAUUUAUUAACAAAAGUGGGAAUUAAUUAAUCAUGAGCAUGUGUUCUAGUUAAGUCAAAAGAGAGACUUAAUUAAGAACGCAUAUAUAAUUCAUAAUCAGCACAUAAAAAGAUCACUAGUGCUUGCCCCUCCUGCCCUUGCCGUGCUUGCCGUGCUUGCCCCUGCCCUUGCUCUUUCCAUGCUGGUAGUAGCCGCCGUGCUUGCCGUGUGUGUAUGCACCGUGAGCUCCAGGAUAUGCGUUAUUAUCUGCAACAAAAUAAGAAAUUAAAUCAUAAGCUUAUAAUUAGCUCGCUCGCUAAGAGUGAUUAAAAUAAUACCGUGCGGAACGGAUGGGCCAGGAUAUCCCGUUGGUGUGUAACCACUGGCGAGUGCUGCUCCUGUAGGCGGGUAGCCGGCACCGGCUGGGCAGCAUGAUCAGCACCUUCCAUGAUUUUGAUGAUCACCUAAUAAAUAAUAACUUGGUCCAAAAUAAACAACAAUAAAUAAUUGUGAUUAAUAAAAAGUAAUAUAUUCUCUAAUUAAAACAUUAAUGAUCAUUGGAGAGCAAGCGAGAAAUACUUACUGAAUGCGAUGGGACAGACAACAUCAUGCAUAGAGAAUUGUUCAUCUUCAACGAAUUUGGCUGCCCGGUCAAUGAUGCCGUUAGCACUAACCAGCCACUUCUCAACCUUCUCUUCAAUCUCUUCCCCUUUUUCUUUUGCCUCUGAAACUCUGCGCCGAAUGCUCGUACGUUCAACCUUCAACUUCUCCAUUUCCGUCUUGAGAUUCUCAAGGUUGGCAUUGUAGUUCCGCUUGCGCAAAUAAACAAGUUGGCGUUCUGUUGGAGGAGCCAAGCAUUUUACAAGUUCCAAAACGAGAGUAACAAUGAUUUCCAGCAUCUUGAAUCCUGACAACAAUGUAGAAGUGAAGAAGGCCAAAGGACAGUCAAAACAGAGAGACAGCGUUACGACAAGCAGUUAUGGAGCUAAAAAUAAAUAACAAACAAACAGAAGCAAAGUGUUUUUCGAAUGAGAAGAAGGAAGCAAGAAAAACUUAAAACUAGUAUAAUAAAUUUAUACUAAAACUAGUAUAGUAAAACAAGAAGUCAAGAACCAGCAACUUUUACACACAAAAUAAAACCUUAAAACUAGUAUAAUAAAUUUAUCAUCAAGUUGCAGCCUUCUUAUUCAACAAUUACAGCAUUAUCUUGAGCUCUGUGUUUCUUUUUUUAAAAAUUAUUCAAAAAAAUCUGCAUUUGUUUUUCAACGAUAAAAAUUAUAUUUUUGUCUCAUAUAAUAUAAAAUUAAAAAAAAAACAAACAUAUAUUAAAGGUCUGUUUGGGAUUAUUUUUAGAGGCUCAAAAGUAAUUUUAAAAAGUUAAAUGCUAAUUUUGGUAUUUAAUAAAAUUUUUAGAAGUCACCUUUGGUAAAAUCAUCAAUCCUACAACAAAUUUUGAAAGCAAAUAGUUUUUCAAAUUUUUAUUUUGAUAAUUAAUUUUAUACUUAAUAUAAUUCCAUAUACAUCCCUACAUAUAUUAAUUAUCCUUAUUAAUUAGAAAAUAAAAUUAUUAACUUUAAAGAUAUUAUCAACAAUUACAUUGAGAUAACAAACUAAAAAAUAAAAUUAAUAAUAUAAAAUAUUUAUUUUAGUAAUCAAUUAUUAUACUUACAAGAUAAAAAAUAUUUUAUUUAAAUGUUUAUAAAUGUACAAAUAAAUUUUAUUUAAUAUUAUAUUCAAUUUAGUCAUUUACAUUGUCAAUAGGACUUCUAAAAAUAAAUUUUCCUAAAUGUUUAACUAAUUCUCUUCAUAGUGAUUAUUUCCAAACAUAACUACCAAAAAUUACUAUAAUAGAUACAACAUUACCAAAAAAAUAUUGAGAUAGAUUUUAAUUAGGUAAUUGACUUAAUUAUGAAUCAAUUUAUUAUUUCCAUAUGUGUUAUCAAAACCAGCUCAAUAAUGAGAUCACUCUUUUUCUUAAAUAAAAAUAUUUGUGCCAAACAAUUGUUGCAAAAUUUCAAAUAUAAAUUACAAACAACAAAAUUUUUCUAAAAUCAUAACAAUAAUUUAUGUUGUGAAUACAUGUAACUAAACCACAUUGAAAUUUUAUUGUUAGUAAAAUUGUUUUUCACGCAAAUGCAGUGACGGAUUCAGUUUCAUGUUUCACCCUCAAUAACUUAAUUUUCAUAUCUAACAAAUCAUCCAUAUUAUUAACAAUAUCAUCACCAAACAUAAUCUACCUAAACAUAAACUAAACAUAACACAUACAUAUAACUAUAUACAUACCGAAUCAGGAAAACAAUGAAAGCUACACGUAUCCGGCUCUACAAUUCCUUCUUGAUACCCUUGUGCUUCUGAAAUAAUCAACCAAUUAUAAAAAUUAGCUUAGGCGCAACUUUACCCCUUUUUUGGAAAACUUAACGAUAAAUAAAGUAUACAAAUCUCUAAAUUAACUUCGUCCCCAUGAAAUUCAGCAUAAAUAGAAAUAGAAUUAUAGAAACCUUACUACCUUUUAUGAGAAAUCCAACUUAUAUAUUUGAGACCUCUCUCUCUAAACACGCGCUUCCUCUCUCUGUACACUUUCCACCUUUGAAUUUUCCUUCACUAAGUCUACCUAAAUGAAUUUAGCAUUCUUCCAGUUUCUUUAGCAUUUUUUCUCCGUGAAAAUAGGUGAAAAAGAGAAAGUGGUUUGAUUAUUUUAAUGUAUGACAGAUCUGGUUUCCAUCUCUGUAAUUUAAGUUUGUCAAACGAGAUAAUCAACUCUUUGUCGAGUCAGUCAAAUAUAAAAGACAAAUUACUAAACCAAGCAGAGCCCAAAAAAAAAAUAUUUCCAAUUAAAUAAUCAUCAAGUCUUUUUCAAUUAAAUUAGGGAGUGCAGAACAACUGUCGAGAGAUAAUCAUUGUUUAUGGAGCCAUAUUAUAUUUUCGAUUAAAAUAGUUGCGCGUGAACAAUUGGCAGAAUUCGUAUAAAUUGUUGUCAGGUCUAUUAUAAUUAACAAGCGGAAUGGCCAAUGGAUGAAGAACCACUGUAAUUUCGUUUAUGAAUUCAAAAUGCUAAAGAAACUGGACAUCAACGCUAAAUGUCAGCCUGCGGCCCUUGCCUCAGUGUCUUUCAGGCGUUACUCUGGGUAGUUGAUAUACUGACCGUCCCUUUAUCAAUUAAUAAUCGAAAUAGGUUAAAAAUAUGAAUGGAUUGAAUGGUAUGACUUGGAAUUAAAAUAUGGAAUGACGAUUAGAUUAAUUAAUUUAUUUAAAUUGAGAAAUUAGAAUCAUAAUAAAUUAUAUUGUUAUUGAUGUAUUUGUUUUAUCUUAAAAUUGCGAUGAGUUGUUACAAAUUACUAAUAUGCCUUUGAUUUUGUAUUAUGAUAAUUAUUAUUUAUUAUAACAUUUGUCAUAUAAUAAUAAUAAUAAUAACAACAACAACAAUUAAUAUUGAAAAAUUUUUAUUGUUAAUAAUAAAUAGGCAAUUAUCCACCGAUCAUGUGAUCUUUUGGACGUUUUAAAAAAUAUACAAACACUUUUUUCUUUGCAGAAAUCCACCUGAAAUUUACAAGUGUUUCAAUUGUUCACUGUUCAUCUAAAUUUUGUUAGAAUUUUCUUGACGUUGUAAGGAUAAAAUUGUUAUUUUUACCUUGACUUCCAAAGAGGAUGUCUUUCAAACAUGAUGAAAAUAAAAAAAAAGGAUAAAAAAUUAUCUGUAAACUAUCUGAUCUUUUAGCCAUUAUACAAAAUAUUAAAAAAAUAUACGAACAUUUUUUAUUUUUUUCAACAAUCCAUCUGAUAGUUAUGAAGUGCAUUAGUGCUCCACUACUAUCAUAACCCUUUAAAAAUAUCGCUUAAACACGAGAACCUAUUGCCUAAAAUUAUUUUUCAAGAAAUGUAACUACAGAUUUGGUUUUGAUCUUCAUGACUUUUAAGUGUACAAGAACAAGAUGAACGAACCUUUGUCGAGUUGAUGAAUUAAGAUAAAUCAAUUACAAAUCGAGAACAAACUUACGGGUGACAUUUUAGUAUUAAGCAAACUAUAAUUGAUCAUCCAAUGAUAGGCUUAUUUUCAAUUAAAUUAGAGUAAAGAUAGACAUUCCAAAUUUUUCUCUCAAAUUUAAUCUAGAUAAUGUGUUAUUAAUUGAGUGCUUGGUAAUUCUUUCAAGAUCUAAGUGAAUUAAUUAUAUUAUCUCUCCAACCAAUUGAUGAAUAUUAUAUUAUUUGAGAUAAUUUUUUUUUAUCUCAAAUCCCAGCAAAGAAAACAGAACAAACGGAGCAAAAAUAUUUUUAGAAACCUAAAAUAACAAAAAAAAACUUUUUCUUGUUUUUCUUAUUUUCCACUGUUAAACUUCAAAAUGAACAACUUUAUUCUACCAUCUCUCAAAUAAUAAUAAUAACAACAAUGUCAUCAUCAUCAAUAAUAAUAAUAAUAUAUUAACUUUGUAGGAUGGAGCUCUCGCAAAUCUUCAAGACACAAAAUGUGCUUGACCCCAUUGUUGUUAUUAUAAUUUCAAAAUCAUCUGUAUUAUAUAAUAUUAGGGAAUAUGACAUAGCAAAAUUGAUGGUACAUAUGUUGCAAUAUACUUGUUCAUGUGGCGACACAUUGAAGUAAAGCACAAGCAAAACAACGAAAAAUGUAACGGGAGAGCUCUCAUUAUGUAGAUUUUCAAUAGAAGUAAUGCAAAUUUCACAAGGAAUGGCCUUAUUUCGAAUGCUGCACCUGAGGAAUGACUUGAAUCUUCUUUAGAACUCAAGCAUUCUGUAAUCAUAGGGUAUAACAUUUCAACAAAAAUAUUAUAUAGGUCGUUCCUUUAUAUAUUUUCUGGGUACACAUACAGAAAUAUUAUUUUAGGUACAUUUCUCACAAUAAAGCCUGCCCAAUCUAGCAUUUUCGUAGUUGGGUUUCUUAUUUACAUGUUUUUUCCAUUGGUUAAUUAUCACAAACCUCCACUGAGAUUUAGCAUGUUUUUAGUUUGAUAGAUUGUAUUCGCGUAUUCUCAAAUACCUUUUAGUUUACCACUUCGUAUAAAUUAAGUUGGUGAGGAUAAAAUCAUAAAAGUACACAUUAAUGAUAAAAAAAUUCAAGUAAACUUGAAAUUUUCAAGGGGUAAUUUUUCGGGACCUCCCCUGAGGUUCGGUGUAUUAAAAGUCUCAUAGAAAGUAUUCAUGUAAUUAUAAGAACCUCCCCUGACGUUAGUACACAGUUAACUUGACUGUUAGUGGACUGAUAAAAAGUCAAAAAUGCCAUUGGCUACAAAAAUGAGUGCAACAAUUUGGAGUUAAAUAGUAAACACCACAUUGGAGCACUAAAAAGUCUAUAAUAAUCAUGGAAAAAAAUCAUUGACAUUUACAUAAUAUAAAAAAAAAAAGUAAAAUAUAAAUUAAGAAAAUCAACAAAAUUGUCAACGUAUAGAAUAUUUACAGCAGCAGUGGCUAUAAAUACAACCGUCGUCAAAUUAAAAUAUCACCAUUAGUAAACUACUUCAAUAAGACAAUAAACCAUGAUUCACUCUUCAAAGCAUUCAAAAUACACAACCCGCACAAUAGAAUCACAUACGCACACCUGCUAAUGAAAUAUAAGAACAAACAGGAAAUUGAACUGACAUGGCUAAGAUACUCCUUCCCCAUAGCUAUUAGAAAGAUAAUGAGCGAUUUAUGAAUCAUGAUGCUUGCUUUACUUUCUGGCAGUGUUAGCUUCAAAUUCAAUGAUAGUAAAUGAACAAUGGUUCAUUCAUUAUGAAAGUAAGUGUAAAGCUAGGAAUUUAUAAUAUUCAGAUGUUGGAAUUGGAAAAAUAUUCCUUAAUCGUUUCAAUUGAAGCCAAGGAAGAAAAGAAAUGAGUCUUCUUUUUUCAGGAGACAAGCCAUAUGAAGAAGGCAGACCAGAGCAUAAGAACGAAUGCUACUGCCACAGUAAAAGCCUGGAUCAAUGGGUAAUGGUACCUGCCAUGUCAAUUUCAAGACAAACAAAAAUCAAUUAUCAUCCCCAGACCACAACACCACCAAACCAACCUUUUGAAUCUAAAAUAACAAGUUAAUAAAUCAAAGAUUUCAAUUCAUUUAAGUUUGAAAUCAACUAAAAUAGAAAAAAAAAACCCAAUUUCUUUUUUGUUCAAUAUAACUCAUUCAGCAUCUUCUUCAACACAUUUUUUAUCAUUCUUCAUCAUCCACAACAAUAAAAAGAAAAAAAAAAACAUUGAGUCCAACAUGCAAGUUUUUUUUUUGGAAAACUAACCGUUUUUAGGUUCCAAUUUCUAGUAGUCUUAAACAGUAGCCGCCGACGAAAUUCGCUUGGCGACACCCUUUUGCCACCAUUGCAGCUUGUCAUGUUCAUACUCAGCUUAAAAUUACUUGAAGGCAGCAGGGAUUUUAUAGUUACAAAAGUUUCUUCAGAGCUUUUCAAGCUUGAAAAUGGCUGAGAGUUUCAUUUCAUGAGAGAGAAAAUGGAGUUUUCAUUCAUCUUAGAUAAAUUGAAGAUAAUUUGCAUUGUGGUAAUAAAUUGAUUGUCAGUGCCUAAAUUUGGGUCAUUCGACACAACUUGGAAUUUUUUUUAUUUUUUCUUUGAUUUUUAUUAUGAAACUACUAAUUUACCCUCAUAUACUAACAUAUAUGAAAUGGCAUACUAACGUCAGUUAUGUCAAGCAGCUCCCUGUAAUUACGUGAAUAUUUUUCAUGAGACUGUCAAUACACAAAAUCUCAGGGGAAAUCCCUAAACAUUACCUAAUUUUUAAGUUGUGUUCUGAAAUUGGUCUCAACUUUGUAAUGUGUAAUGCCCACAAAAAAAGAAAAGGAAAAAUGGUCAUCUCUUUCCUCCAUUCGAACUGAAGCCAUGAAACGCAAUAUCCCUUUCAUCUUCUCUCUAAUGCUUUGAUUAAAAAACUUGCUUACGAACGGGAGACCAUGACACUGAAUCCGAAGACAGAAAUACCUGAGAUGACUGAUUCACGCCGGCGAUGUGGAAGAAUACCGACCAGUGACUUUCGCCGUCGACCCACAAACAAUCCCAGUGUUUUCGAGCCGCGAAUGAGGUAUGAAUAAGAUUAUUUCCGUGCGUGUCAGUUUUGUAAGGAGAUUUGAUUAAAAAAAGAAUAAUGGGUCUCGAAAAUUUUUGAGUAUUUCUGUUGCUUAAAUUUUUUCCAUCGAUUAAUGUUAGUUGUAGGUGAAUGAUUGUUGCAAACGCAUGUUCGCUUGUGAUUGAUUGAAAAUGACUUGUUAUUUGUUAUGCUGCCAUGUGACUCAUUGAAAAUGCCUCUGAAAUUUUUUUAUUUGUUUAAGGUACUGAUUCUGAUUAUUGAACAGGGAUUCAUGCUAGUUUUUAUUAAAUUAAAGAUGAGAUUAUUUUUUAAGAGAUCUACCAAACCUUCUCUACUAUAGAUUUGGCUUCUGACAUACCUGGUUCGCUGGAGAUAAUUGUUUAUAUAGUCAUUGCUGCUCGUAUUAAUCAGGAACAUUGAUUAGCAAUGUACUGGAAUAGAGAUUGGUAUAAUUUUGGAAAAUUAGUCGUAGAUGCAACCUGAUUAUGGUCUCAAAUAGUGUGAUCUGUCAAUUCCGUUUGCUCUAGCCUAACAACCUUGAAUCUGAGCUAUGCCACUAUACAAAGUCCUGACCUAAUCAAGCUUGUUAGCCAAUGUCCAAAAUUGCAGUGUCUUUAGAUAAGCCCUGUCUUACUUGUUUGAGUUAUAAAUGAAAAUUGAAGUGUCUUUGGAUAAUCACGCUGAAUGUUCAAGUUAUUGAAGAGAAGGGACCCCAGAUUCAAGGCCGGAGCUCCCUGUUGAGAAGCUUUACAUAUAUGGGAUUGUCGCUGGGCGGAGGAUCGAUAUGCCCGGUUUUGUUUGGAAUAGGGAUGAAGAUUUUGCAUUGAGGCUUUCUUGAUAGAUCAUUCUGCAAAUCAAGCUCCAUGUACCUAUCUUCAGACUCUUGGAUAUGUAUAAAGCAGGUGCAUGCUCUAUAUGUUACUCAUUGUAUCACGAUUAUUUUUCUAUUGCUUAAAAUAAUUGCAGUCCUUGAUGUAGUUGGAGACAACUUAUGGAGGGUAUACAGAGGCUCGAGAGUUUGAUUGCCAUUCAUUUGACACUUGGCUGAGCUACAGCAUACCAACUAGUGAUUAAUAAAGAGAAGGUAUGAAGGUCCUGUUGCUGGUGGUAUUAUCAAUCAGAAUUGUUAUUUUACUUAGUCAUAGUUACCAUGUAUAAGAUUCGUAGACUUUUUGCAUGUUUAUGCAUUCGCAUCAUCUUUUUGUUAAGCUAGAGAUGGUUGAUUUGUGUACUCAUUUGUAUCACUUGUAGCCCUUGAGGAAUAAAAUUUAAAAUUUUGUUGCAUCUCCUGUACUAAAUACUAAUUUUGUUUGCUUUAUGUAUGGGAAAUGGUUCAUUAUCUUAUUUCUUUGAUGUGUAUAGUGUUACACUGUCUAAAGUUGAAAAGUAUUUCUAUCACUUGUGUAAAAAACAAACAAUUUUUUUUUCACUCUUCUUAUAUUGAAUAAAAGAAGGACACCAAGAUCUUCACCAAGAUUGAACGAAAUUUGAUGCAGAAAGCAUAGCAAUUAGGCCAGUGCAAAAUAGCUUCCUUCUGAUUCUCUGAUAUUUGACUUAAAUCUUUUGUUUGUUUCAUUCAUCAAAGUCAUUUUGGAAAGUAGCAGGCGUGAUUUGAUAUUUUCAUUGUAUUCACAUCCGUUGGCACCAAAACAAACAUGCUGGUACUAACCAACAAUUUUUUAUUUUUAGUGUACAAAUUAUUAUUUUUAAGACAAAUAAGCUGGUACUAACCAACAAUAUUUAUUUUCAGUAUACAAAUUAUUAUUUUUUUUUCUAAAUUAGGGGUAUUAAGAAAAGGUAUGCUAGCACCAGGGGAGGUAUUUGAAAAUAUACAAAUACAAUCUAUCAAACUGAGAAUACACCGAACCGGCAGGUUUCUGAUAAAUCCUUUUUUUCUUUUUCCUCCAUUCACUAUAGGUUCAAUUUAGACGCUGUUGACCAAACAGAAGGUUUGGGUUGGUAAACGCACUGGUGUUAAUGCCAACAACCCAAGGGGCUUCAUGGUCCUCUGGGCCGAAAUAGCGUAAUUAUUAAUUCUCCUCCAGUGAAAAUCUUCAUCUUGGGACAAAUAAUUACGAAUUGACAUUAUAGCUGUGGAAAUUUGGAGGUGUAAUAACCGGAAAAGUAAAAAUCUUAAGAGACUUUUUAAAUAAAAAAGAUACAACACCUUCAAUUUGCUAAAAGUAAUGGUAUCAUUUCUUGUACGGAUAAUGGAUGAUUAGAUUUUGUUUUUGUUAUCCGACGAAGGAUAUUCAGUUGUUCUUUAUGUGUUCACAGGCAAGAGCAUGAGCAUAUUCAUGGUUUCAUAUAUGCUUCUUGCAUUUUCUAAUUAAGUACUCUCUUUCCUUGCCUUCUUAGUUUUGAAAGAAAGAUGUGAAGCAAAGCAAACCAGUGAAAUAUACAGAGAAACAGAACCAUCAGAGGAAAAACUAAAUAACAGAACCACAAUUGAACCAAACAAAAUCAAAUAAACCGAGGCAACGGAUACCCUGAAUCAGGCAUCCCUUUUUCUCGAAAGAAAAUAUGUUUGCAUGGGUGGGAACCUAAUAAUUACUCAAGAGUUGGAGUUGGAAAGAUUUGGUAUUCAUAUCUUCACAAUUCAUAAGCUUUAAUGCAGAAUCGACAGCUUUAUAUUAAUUUAUUCAACCAAAAACGAUAAAGUAGGAAAACCACAAUAAUCCACCAACUUUUGCUACUUUUAGGAAUAAUUUUUAGUCAACUUUCAAAAAGUGAGAUGACGAUCUUUGAGUUGAUAAAUCUUGGCCUGCUGCUUAGUACCCUUCCAACAUAUAAAGUACUAGAUGUUUAGCUGAGAAAAUGACGAGAUCAUUUAUCAAAUUUCUUGCGCAUAUAUACAUAUAUAUACAAGAAAUAAGAAUCAGAGUGAUUAUAAGACCUUGCAAUGAGGCAAUAAUACAUCAUCAAAUCUAAAAAUACACAAGAAAUUCGUGACGUAUAUAACAAUAGACCUCUCAUUGAGUCAUACAUAUUGAGAAUAAAAUGUCAAAAUGCAUACAAAGAGCUUAUACAGAAAAUGAAUUUACACACAUUUAGAAUAAACUGUCUUUGAACUUCCGAUGGNNNNNNNNNNNNNNNNNNNNNNNNNNNNNNNNNNNNNNNNNNNNNNNNNNNNNNNNNNNNNNNNNNNNNNNNNNNNNNNNNNNNNNNNNNNNNNNNNNNNNNNNNNNNNNNNNNNNNNNNNNNNNNNNNNNNNNNNNNNNNNNNNNNNNNNNNNNNNNNNNNNNNNNNNNNNNNNNNNNNNNNNNNNNNNNNNNNNNNNNNNNNNNNNNNNNNNNNNNNNNNNNNNNNNNNNNNNNNNNNNNNNNNNNNNNNNNNNNNNNNNNNNNNNNNNNNNNNNNNNNNNNNNNNNNNNNNNNNNNNNNNNNNNNNNNNNNNNNNNNNNNNNNNNNNNNNNNNNNNNNNNNNNNNNNNNNNNNNNNNNNNNNNNNNNNNNNNNNNNNNNNNNNNNNNNNNNNNNNNNNNNNNNNNNNNNNNNNNNNNNNNNNNNNNNNNNNNNNNNNNNNNNNNNNNNNNNNNNNNNNNNNNNNNNNNNNNNNNNNNNNNNNNNNNNNNNNNNNNNNNNNNNNNNNNNNNNNNNNNNNNNNNNNNNNNNNNNNNNNNNNNNNNNNNNNNNNNNNNNNNNNNNNNNNNNNNNNNNNNNNNNNNNNNNNNNNNNNNNNNNNNNNNNNNNNNNNNNNNNNNNNNNNNNNNNNNNNNNNNNNNNNNNNNNNNNNNNNNNNNNNNNNNNNNNNNNNNNNNNNNNNNNNNNNNNNNNNNNNNNNNNNNNNNNNNNNNNNNNNNNNNNNNNNNNNNNNNNNNNNNNNNNNNNNNNNNNNNNNNNNNNNNNNNNNNNNNNNNNNNNNNNNNNNNNNNNNNNNNNNNNNNNNNNNNNNNNNNNNNNNNNNNNNNNNNNNNNNNNNNNNNNNNNNNNNNNNNNNNNNNNNNNNNNNNNNNNNNNNNNNNNNNNNNNNNNNNNNNNNNNNNNNNNNNNNNNNNNNNNNNNNNNNNNNNNNNNNNNNNNNNNNNNNNNNNNNNNNNNNNNNNNNNNNNNNNNNNNNNNNNNNNNNNNNNNNNNNNNNNNNNNNNNNNNNNNNNNNNNNNNNNNNNNNNNNNNNNNNNNNNNNNNNNNNNNNNNNNNNNNNNNNNNNNNNNNNNNNNNNNNNNNNNNNNNNNNNNNNNNNNNNNNNNNNNNNNNNNNNNNNNNNNNNNNNNNNNNNNNNNNNNNNNNNNNNNNNNNNNNNNNNNNNNNNNNNNNNNNNNNNNNNNNNNNNNNNNNNNNNNNNNNNNNNNNNNNNNNNNNNNNNNNNNNNNNNNNNNNNNNNNNNNNNNNNNNNNNNNNNNNNNNNNNNNNNNNNNNNNNNNNNNNNNNNNNNNNNNNNNNNNNNNNNNNNNNNNNNNNNNNNNNNNNNNNNNNNNNNNNNNNNNNNNNNNNNNNNNNNNNNNNNNNNNNNNNNNNNNNNNNNNNNNNNNNNNNNNNNNNNNNNNNNNNNNNNNNNNNNNNNNNNNNNNNNNNNNNNNNNNNNNNNNNNNNNNNNNNNNNNNNNNNNNNNNNNNNNNNNNNNNNNNNNNNNNNNNNNNNNNNNNNNNNNNNNNNNNNNNNNNNNNNNNNNNNNNNNNNNNNNNNNNNNNNNNNNNNNNNNNNNNNNNNNNNNNNNNNNNNNNNNNNNNNNNNNNNNNNNNNNNNNNNNNNNNNNNNNNNNNNNNNNNNNNNNNNNNNNNNNNNNNNNNNNNNNNNNNNNNNNNNNNNNNNNNNNNNNNNNNNNNNNNNNNNNNNNNNNNNNNNNNNNNNNNNNNNNNNNNNNNNNNNNNNNNNNNNNNNNNNNNNNNNNACAAUUUUGUUAUGCCCCAAACCGUUGGGAGAAACAUGACGCCCCACGUUUACCCACGAUUCGGUGGUUGGAGACCCAUGAAGGUUUGUCAUCACCCGAAAAUGAGGGGCAUGAAUAAGACUCAGAAAACAGGGAUGAUUGCCUAUAAAAGGCCAAGAAAUCGAUGAAAAAUGGGAGACACAAAUUGAGAGUAAAGGGGAAACUCUGUCAAAUUAUAAUCAGAAAUUCAUAUAUCCAAAUCCUUGAUACAUUUGGUAUUGAGAAUAUUGCAACUAAUAUGUACAACACAAAUCAUUCACUUUUCUCGUAAACACCUUGUACUAACUUAAGUAUCGAAGGGUUUAUGCCCAAAAAACCAUCGGCGUCUCUGAUUUGUUUCUGUGAACGCAGGCCUGGAAGGAAGAAGACGGGUGAUUUGGGUCCAGAAGCUCGGGAAAUUGCUGAAGCUAAUGGAUCGCAGCCUCUGUUCCUUUGCCAAUACAAGCGUUGGUGAACCAAUCUGGUCGGUCCAAAGGCGACUAGAUUUCAGCAUCAACAGAUAUUAUUUUGAUGAAUUUUUUAAUAUUAGAAUAAUGUUAGGAAUUCCAAUAAUAAAAUUCUAACUUGAGACCCAAUUGUUAUGUGUUAUUUUUUAUUGAAUAAUGAAUUUCACAACUAAUAAAAUUUAUAUUUCCAUCAUCUAAUAAAUGACUACCAUAUCAGUUGGGACUCAAUUAUUAGGAUCCUUAACAUUGCUCUUAGUAUUAAAUUGGACAUCUUAGCUAAAUCAGAUUAAAAAUCAAAUUAGUUUUUAGGCUUUUAUUCAACAUCUCUUUUUUUUUUUUUUUUGUCUAUUGGAAGUGAACGAAUAAAAAUACAACAGGGUCAACGACUGGGCAAUUGGUAGUCAAGUAGAAGCAAAUCAAGGCUAAAUGGGAAAGAGAAAUGAUAUUUGUGCAAAAUAAGGAGAAAAUCAGUGUAACAGAAGAGAAUCAAAGUGCUUUUGAGAUAAAAAAUUGAAACAAGAAAAGGGUCGCUUGAUCCAAUGAAAAUGCAAAGAGCUGAUGGCAAAAGGGAACAAAGUUAAAUAAGAAAACAGCUAGCGCUAGCAGCGACCACAAUAAACAGAAAAUUUGAGAUGGAUUUACAAUAUUUCUGCCUUUCUUUAUGCUUUAAAAAUAUUGCUCUAUCAAAAAAAAAAUAUUGAACAUUUUUAUUAUUGGAGUCACAAAUGACCUACACAAUAUAGCAAGUGACUAGGAAUAAUAAGAAUAUAUAACUCUCUCUAAUUCUCACUCUGGCUUUUAAUUGUCACUCAAAACCCAGAAUUCAUCCUUAAAGUGUAGGCAAAUCAAGGAUGACACCGUUUGGUUGUCAUACGUGCCUUUUAGUUUUCGGAUGACAUGGCGUACACUUCUUCUGUAAACCCAACAAGACAUGUCGUACUCUUUUGUUUUGAGAUUCUAUUUCAAACUUUUCAUGCUAUGAAUGAAAGAUAAACUCCAAUCAUCAAAAUAUUUAGUGUUUGGUAAUGUAAUGUCAUAGUUGUGAAUUGAAAUUAUUUCUAUAAAAAUAAAGGAUUUGGGUCAUUGUUUGUUAUUUUCUGACAACAUUUAUUAAAUAUUAAAAAUAAAUUUAUAUUUAUUAGGUAUUAAAAAUAAAUAAACAAACAAAAAUAAAAGUAAAAGUUUAUACAUUACGUAAAAAUAAUGACAAUAUCAAUAUUUCGCACUCUAUAAUGAGUGAUGUGUGUCCAACUGGCAUACAUUGUCCCAAACGGAGACUUAAAUAUCAAAGUCCAAAGUUAUUAUGAUGAUGACUUAUAAUCGCCAAACUUGACAUACGGGUAAUCAUGCAUUAUAAGGUGCUAAUUUCUUCCGAUCGGAACCUUAUUUUCAUUUACAAAUAAAUAAAUGAUGUGACUUCACGGUUGGCGGGGUCCUUUGUGUCAUUUGGGCAUUUCACUAAAUGAUUGAUUGUAGCAGGAAGAUUCCUGGAAGUUGCCAUUUGCCAAUGCUACUAACAUUUUCAAACUUGGAAAACCCUUCAAUCAAUCUUUAGUGGAGGCUCUGGUAACUUGGUUUGAUUAUGACGUUAAUAUUUGAUAAUAAAGUUAGAGGAUGUAUUAAUAUAAAAUUUGUUUAUUGGUGUUGAAGUUAAUUAUCUCAUUAAUUAUAGUAUAAAAAGUUAAUUACUAAGAAACACAUAGCAAUAGUUAAUGGUGUCAUAUUAUUGGGAUUCUGGGAUACAAUUUAUAUCAUAACUUGUAAGUGUAUACUUACUCAUCAAACUAAUAAAAUUAUUUAAAAAUUUCAGUUGGAAAAAUAAAUUAUAUUAUUUUCAUUUCAAAUAAUCUAUAAGUUAACUCAAAACAUAAUCAAGCUGAGAAUUAAAAUAAUGCUACUGUAUGAGAGGAUUUUUAUUUUUUCCCGGAAGUUUCACUAGGAAAUUAUUGAUACAUAGCUUAUUCGGAUCAUUCUCAGUUCAAACGACAAAUAAUUGAAAGACUAAGCUAAAUAGACCAGCCAACAACUUUGUACAAGAGAGUUCAAAAAUUAAGGUCAUGGUAUUAAGGUGUUCUAUCUUGAAAAGUAUAGAGUAGUAAUAAAAUAAAAACUAAUAUUUUUGGUAAGAUAUGACAUUUAAAUAAUAAUUUCACAAAAUACAAAGGAAUAUUUAUAAAUUACUUUUAUAGUGAGGGGACCUCACUCUGUUAAAGUGAAAAUAUCAAUAAUAUACAAAAGACAUAUAUUUUAACACAUUAAAAAUUGUAUUUUUUUUAUCUAUUGUUAUUGAAAUAUGUGUUAUUUAGUUUGUUAGUGAUAUCAUUACUUUGUUAAAAUGAGAAUGUCGUUACUAGAGAAUCAUUAUGUAUACAUAUAUAAAGUGCUUCUGUCCAAGAACUAGACUUUAUUAAAAUUUGAGAAAGCAAAUAUAUUUUAUAUGGUAUAAUAGUGUAAUAACAUCACACUAUUAUAUCAUAUAGAGUAAUAGUUUUUCGAACUUUAAUAAAAUUCAAGAUUAUAGAAUGAAUGAUUUUUAUAUAUUAUAAAUUUUUUUAUCAUAAAUGGAGGACAAAAUUAACAUAUUUCAAAUUAUAAUAAGCAUUUAUCAAAUAAUUUAACAUUGCAAUUUCUCCUAACUAGUAUAGUAAAUAAUACGACCUAGGAGAUACAUUCAAAGCAUUUCAUAAGUUAGUUGUUUAAUAAUAAAUUAUAUAUGCAGCUCCAAUCAUCAUUGUACGGUGAGUAAUUUCCAGUUAUAAAUAGAUAUUACUCCCUUCCCAGCAAUUUUUGAUGACUUAAUUUAGUGGAUCAAAAUCACAUUGAAUUUUUGACCAGCUGCACAACUUGUGAGCAGUUCACAGUGGGUACUGCACAUGAUGCCUGUUUCUCCUUUUGCAUCUAUUUUGUUGUUAACAUUAAUUUCAAUAGCAGCUCGUUAAUCCCAUUUGUUGAUUUGGGACUAGAUAAGAAUUUAUCUUGGAACUCCAAUUCUCCAAUUAUUUUAGUUGACAAUAUAUUUAACAUUAUUAAUUGCAUAUUAUUUAAUUAUCAGUAUAUAAUAUUCUUUAAUUUUCUAAUUUUAUAGGAUUAGACACAAAAUUGAUUAUGCCUUUUGAAAUUUAAGGGUUAUGUCAAUUGAAUAGAAAACUUGGAGGUAAACUUGUGGAUGUUUUGUUGAUUAUCAAUUUAUGCAUGAAUUUUUGUACGUUUACUUUGGUUUAUAAUUAUUACUUUUAAACAUUUUUAUUGGUUUGAUUUAGGGUCAAUUUGGUAAUCCUGUAGCUUUUAAAAUAAUUACAAUUAGCUAUGCUGUAGAAAAUUGAUCAAUCGUCAAGAGAAUCAGCUGAGCAUUUAGUAAAAUUUAUUUUUUAAAAGUACUUUUAGUUUUAAAAGCGUUGUAUGAAUAAAACUGUUACACUAAAAAUUAAAUGUAUUGCCACUUGGGUAAAUAAAGCUAUAUAUUACAACUGUUACACUAAAAAUUAAAUGUAUCUUAAACCCAAACUUCUUCUUCUUCUUUUUUUGACUAACAAAAUUAAAAACAAUAGUGAACACAUUCUUUAAUAAACAAUAAGUAAUAAAUAAAAUCGUGUUAAAUUUCUUAAAAACUUUCUUUCACGGUUUGCUAAAUAUUUUUAUUAGUAUUUUAAAUAAAUAAAAUAGUUGAUUUAAUUUUUUAAAUAAACUUAUUAGGUUCAUGUAAAGAUGUUUUUGUUAUUUUAAAAAGUGUAGAAAGUACUCCUAAAAAAAAGCGUAGAAAGUAAAACUUAAUUUUUUAAAUUUAUUAGCUGAGUGCAUAAAUAAUUGAGUGUUCAUAAUGAUUUUAAAGUAUAGAUAGUCGGACCCUAAUAUUUUUAAUAAAUGGAAAUUUUGCUAAUAUGUUAAUGAGAAUUAAAAAGAUAAUUAAGGGAGGCAAUCGAGACAUUCAGGAUAGUUAGGAUGGGACAUGAUUGUGAGCGGUUAGAUAUUGGUCCUAAUUUUGAUCACAAAUAUAUAAACAGGACGAGUUUAUCUCUACUUACAUUCCAUUUGAUAAUUUAAGAUGAGAGUGGAAUUGUCAAAUCCCAAUCAUCCCGGACCACUGCCACAAGGGGUACUCUCACUAAUAAUAUCUAAAGAAAAAUCUACAUCUAUUUCAUACUUUUUUUUAAUGGAAAGAGCCCUCAUGGGGCUUGAAUGGUAUCCUAAAUAAUAUUGAGAAUAUCAGGUCAUGAUUGGGUUUGUGACAAACAAAUACUACAUAGUUGGGAUACGUAGUUAUAAUGUCCCAAUUUAUGUAGUAUCUAUCAUUUAGCGCACAUAUAAAAUAUUAAUCAGCUUAAUUAAUUUAUAAAAUUUAAAUCUAAUUAAUAAGUGAUACAUAAUGCCAAGUGCAAUACUGUAUAUGCAAAUCAUGUUUGUGGAUCAUUACAAAAUUGGCUCUUGAAAACAAGCAAGAAAGCUUAAUUAAGAACUUAAAACAAAAGAAUUAGAUUGAGAACAGUCAAGCCUUAUUUUUUCAAGGAUGGAGCUUAUAAAUCUUCAAGUACCAACAUACGCUUGGCCCAAUUGUUGUUAUUAAAAUUUCAAUAUACAUAUAUAAGUAUGAUAUAGCAAAAAUUUGAUGGUACAUAUGUCGGAAUAUACUAGUUCAUGGGUGCAUUUGAUUAUUGUUUCCAUAAUUUUGAACCAGGAAGGACGACACGAUUAAAAUUUGAUUUUAUGGUAUGGUUGAUUUCAUAGCUCAUGCACUCAUUUCUUAAGAUAAUCAAAUUUUCUCUGACAUCUUUUUCAACUGUCGAAAUAUCAAUUAUGAUCAAUCAAAACGAUUUCAAAACCUUUCAACGAGACAUAUUUCUAAUACAAUAUUGUGAAAAUUACACUAAAAAAUUAAUUUAUUAUAUAUUAUUAUCCAACGAGCACACAAAAUGAUUUCGUACAAAUCUAAAAUACUAAGCAAUUUUCAAAUAGAAUUUACCAUGUACUACAAGAAAAUAGGGUAUAUGUGACCCCUACUGUGAAUGCAAAAGCAGCCAUUACGCAUAACCCCGAGUUGCUUUUGUUACCCUUUAUGUGACGGCCACACUGCUGUCACAUAUGUUACGAACCGCGUGACGGUGAAGAGCCGUUCGGUUAUACUAAUAUUUUAGAAUUUUAAAUUUAUUUCCAGUUAGAAAACUAUUCGCUGGACUCCGUGUUGCUGGCCACCAUCGUAAACAUAACUGGUUGCCAGCGAACGGCGUAAAACGCCGGCCAUCUUCUUCUUCAACGUAUUCUCCCUUCAUCUUUUGAGGUAAGCUUGUGAUUAUGAGUUUCUUCUCUUACUUAGCUUGUAAUUAUAGAUUUUGAUUUUUUUUAAUUCGUAUUGUAGCCGUUAUUGUCAAUUUUUGUCCCGCCAGCAAUAUUUUUUUAUUCCUACAAGUUGAACCCCUGUGUUCUUGUUCCAUUGGUGAGUUUGCUCACUCAAAUUAAUUUUGUUCUGCGGAAUUUACAAAGUUCAAAUGGAUUCAUUUGAAUUACUAUUGAAUUUAGCUUUAAUUCCAACAUCCAUUCUAAUGUUUUGCAAUUAGAUUUAAUUUAAUUUUAUGUUUAAAGCUUCUACAAUGAAUAGCGGAGCUUGGGUUUUAGUUUCAUUUUCUGGAUAACUUGUUUUAGUUUAUCUUGUAUGCUCACCAAAUGCUUGUUAUAUUGUCUGAUAAGUUAUAUACAUUGCUGAUUCUACAUUAAUAAUGUUACGUUGUAUUUUCAGAAAUUAUAAUACAAAAGUUUUUGCAAUGGCGUGCAUCUACAAACUGAAUUGACUUGUAGAAUAAGAGCUCGGAGUAGUGUUAUGUUCUUGAAUAAUUGAAAGUUCAUAUUGUGUAAGAGCAUGUAGAUGUAAAGCAUCAUUACCAUUUCUACAAAGUGCUUUCAUUCUGUUCAUAUGCUCUUCUUGAACUUUGAAAGGUGCCUCGUUCAAGUCCUAGCUAUAACUACUAGCUUUGAUUAAUUAAGUUCCUAUACUAGCUGAAACAGAUUUAUUUAAUUAAUUAAUUGUGUAUGUACUAAUUAUAUUGAAAGUAUAUGAAUUUUUUUUUAACAUGAAUGACUUCUAAAUGACUUAAAAACCUAAAGGAUGUGUGAAACAAUGCUCAUUUCAUUUGAAUGAGCCCAUUAAUACUUUUAUGUCUAUGAUUUUCAAUAUUGGCUAAAGCAUUUCAGUUAAGUGGUUUACCUAACAGAGAAAAAAAUUUAAUAGAAAACUUCAGAGUUCUAACAGAAAUAUAGUUCACUAUGCAGAUAUAGUUAUUUUACGGUAUACAAAUCAAGUUGUCCUAAUCUCAAUGUCCUAUGACCGAUUUUAUUUUAUAUAGUCAUUAAUUUUUUCCUUGGUUUUUUGUGUUUAUGAGUAUGAAAUAGUGGGAUUUGGUGUACCUUAGCAUCUUUUGAAAAUUCUCUUUCAGUGUGGCCAACAGAAAUAUACAUAUAAUCAAGUUUCUUAAUCGUGUAUAUUAGUUUUGGGUAUGAAUGUUCCUAUUCUAGUUCGAGGCAAAGCUUCUUCGUUUUGGUCUUCAGAUUUCCAGUAGGUUAAGUUAAUCAACUAUCAUAACUGGCUAGCUAGUUAUUGUCUGCCUUGGCGCCAUUACCCAGGCCAUUAUAUUGCAUAGCAUAAGGAAUAGUGAUUAGGGGAUUAUUAGUGAUUUGUUGAGCUUAUUAUCGACCAAACAAACAUAUUCGCCUUUGCCCACAACUUAGUUUGAUUAGUUAUUAGACCAUAAAGAGCCUUGAUCUAUUCAUUGGCUUUAUUAUUUUUAUUUGGUUUUUCUUUCAACAAUAUUGUUGAUUUCUUAUAAAAAUAUUCAUUGGUUUUUAAAACACCUAAUCAUUGGCUAUAUGAAGCUAAUUAAAACUGAGGCUUUGGAUCAAUUUCUUCUAACAAGAUACAAAUGAGCAUUAACCUAUCUCCUAUGAGUAAAUUUUUUUAAUAUCCUUGAUUUGUAAGGAUCUGGAGGCCUGAAAUCCUCUAGAUUUUUUUUAACACUGUCAAUGUUCUUUUUAUUCUGAGAAGGAAAUAAAAGGUUUUAUCUUUCAUACCCAAAUAGUAAGCUGGCCUUGUCUUAACAUGGCCUCCGAGGACUUGCAAGAUUCAUAGUGCCCCCCACCCCAAAAAAUAAAAAAUAAAAAACACAAAUAGGAAGAUUUUGCAAGAUUCACCACCAGGUUUUUUUUUAAUUUGUUAAUUGUGUGUACGUGCUAGUUAUAUGUUGAAAGAAUAGGAAGAAGUAUUUCAACAUGAAUGACUUAAAACUUAUUGCUCAGUAAACAUAAUCUGCAUGUAUUUAUCGUUUGUAUUUUUUAUGGUUUUGCUAAAGAAAUGAUAUGUGAAAUAAUGCUACAUUGCAUCAGGAAUAAAUUGAAGAGAUUUAUGAUAUUUAUGUGUUAUUCAAAUUUCAGAUUCAAUUUUAAACUUUUGAUACGUGCAUUGAAAGCUUAGACUUGUUUAAGAAAUUAUUAAUAGACACAUGUUUUUAUUAGUGUCAUCUUUGGAUGAUAGUGAGGAUCAUAUGUCUAUUAAUAAUUCUUGAAUUGUCCAGGCUUGGACAGUUUGGGAAUGCAUAGUUCACUCUGGUAGCUAGUAGCUGAAGUUUUUUCCCACGUAAAAAUGGGUUUUUCAGUAGCUGCUCCUCGUGUUCUCUGGGUACGUACUAGGUGAAUGGGUGUCAUGUGUUGUUUUGGCAUAACGCAUAAACACUUAUAUAGCUAUGUCGUGUGCUUGGAGAAUUAUAGGGAGAUGGUGCCGAAAUUUUUAUAAACGUGGAAGAAAACUUUAGGUACUUGAGAUUGAAGAAACUUAUGCAUUCUUGAGUGGGAUAUGUAGGAUUACUUACCUUUUGUAAAUAUGAAGGGAAUGUUGGAUAUAUUGGGGAUAGUGUAGGAGCUGAGUUGGAUGAAUGUAAUUGGUGAUGAUUUUGCUGAGCUGACCUUGGUUUUGAGCUUGUAAUUUGUUGUAAAUGGAGUGCUAUCUCCAAUGUUGGUUUAUAAAUAUGUUUCAGGACUUGCUGACCUAAUUUUUUGUUUCUAGGUUACAGGCUUUAUAUAUCUGUAAUUGAUGGCGAAGUGAAGUUCCCAGAACUUGGCGAGGAUGUUUCUUUACAGAAGGUAUUGGAAACUGUUUUUUACAUUAAUUAUUGUUGUAUAUAUACUUUGAUUUUCACAUCUUUUUCUCUGAUUCUUGUGGCUUUGCUUGCUUUCAUAUAUGUAAAUUCUAAUGAAAUUAACCAUAAAAUUGUAAAAUGAUCUUUUUAUUAUAUUGCAAAACUGUGCACACACGAAAAUAUAUUGUUUAGUAGUAGAAAUGAAGAACUAAAAUGAUUUACUUAACUAAUUUUUGUAGCGCAUUAAAAGGAGAUAGUCAUGGACAUGUGUUGGGUUGGUUUGCCAAAUAGAUAUCCAAGUCAUAUACUGAUGGGGAUGAAAAAUUUAUAGAUUUUGCAUUUGAGAAUGUUGUUGGUGGUACAAGAAUUUAAUGUCCUUUUAAGAAGUGUUGUAAUCUAUAUUUCGUUAUAAGGAAAGUGGCUGAUGAUGAUAUGGUUGGAAUGAUACAAUGCAUCACGUAAUCAAAUGUUCAAGUUACACGGAGCAUUGUUAUGGACUAUCAGUGACUUUCUAGCAUUGCCAACUUGUCUGGGUGGAGUAUUAAAGGUAAAUAAGCAUGUCUUGUUUGCCAACAAAACACUAGAUCUAAUUGGUUGAUACAUAGUAGAAAAUUUUGUCACGUGGGUCACCGUCGAUUUUUACCAACAAAUCAUAGGUUUCGAAAAUAUAGUGUCUUUUGAUAAAACUAGAGAGUAGGGACCAGCACAUUCUCGGUUGUCUGGAUCUGAAGUGAAAAAGCAGUUUAAUAUACUUACUGAGUAUAAGAUUGAAGACUUGAAAAUAGGAGAAUGAAUAAAAUGAGAGAAAUGAUAAGAUUACUUGGAAGAAGAAAAGCAUAUUUUAUGAACUACCGUGUUGGGAGUUCAAUUUGAUUCAUCAUAAUCUUGAUCUCAUGGGCUGUUUUGAUUUUUGUUAUGAACUCAGAUCAAAAGUUUAAUGUGAUCAAAAUUUCUUAAAAAUAGUGAAAAACGACUCCUAAUAAUAUGGAAGAUGGCUAUAAAAGAUAAAAGGAAAGGCUUAAAAAGAAAAGCCAUGCCUGUCCAAAAAAAAAAAAAAAUCAACAAAAAUCAAAACGGUGCGUUUGAGAGUGUAUAAAAUACAUUUAGAGUGGGAGUUGUGUUGUUGCUUGAAGGCAGAAAGAUAUUUGUCGACGAAGCCAAAACCAAAGAUGAAGCCCAUAAAGCUCAAAACUCCACCGGAGCAAAUUCAGACAAUUACGAGGGUUAUGUUUGACAUAGUCAAGGAAGACGGUCCUCUCACCGUUGCCGAAACUUGGGAACGCGUCAAGGUGUGUGUAUCUGUUAAAUUGAAUUUCAACCGUUUGAUCUGUAAUUAUAAUUAAUCCAAUCGAUCUGACAGUGAUCACUGACCAUAAUACUAGUAGUUGUUUUACAUUUUCAGCAGGCUAGAGCGGGUGGAUUGACGGGCAAAAGCUCAGGCUCGUCUGCAAUCACAUGGGCCCUCAUAAGCAAAUCCUGUACACAACUUGGUUCACUAAACCCAACAACUUGAAGCAGCCAAAAUCAGGGAAUGAUCCUUCUCCGUCACAACCCUAGCUGCCUUAACCUUGUAGUGACACGGUGAAGAUGGAAGCCCCUCAGCAUGUAAACUUUUCAACAGCGACAGAGCUCUUAUUCCAGAGGCUGCACAGAAGAGCGACCUGAAUCCUCUUCAAAACUUUCAAAUUUUUAUCAAGUAAAGCUUUCAAAAUUUCUCAACAAACUGAUUAUUUGGUGUGGUUGCCACAUUUUGUGCAACUGCUAUUCGUCUUCAAGUACAAAUUCCUUGCCUUCUAAGUUAGGGAACAUAGAUGUGGAGCAAACAGGGAAAUAGAUGUGGAGCAAACAGGGAAACAGCAAUGAUGGCAAUUAACAAACUAAUAGCAGUAUUACAUUUGAUUCUUUAGCCCAAUUUUGUUCCUUCUGUCAGCCAUUCUUCAAAAGUUUUUGAAAAUUAGAUGUGAAGCAAAAAAAAAACAAAUUUAGACAACAGAAGCCCUGUGCUCAACAUCAUAUAUAUACCUUGAAUACCUAAUAUACUAAAUUUCACAUAUAAAAUACUAGAGAUUUCAAACAGUACCAGCAAUAGAAUAAUGACAACGACAACAAUAACAGAAAAUUACAAGAUUGCUGACAAAAUUUAUGUGAUUUACUGUGCCUUUAUGCAUGCAAAAUGAAACUGAAGAUAAAAAAUUUAGGGAAAAGGACACAGAGACCCCCAACGUUUGAAUAAGGGACACAAAAUCCCUUAAUGUUUCAAAAAAGACACUCAGACCCCCAUUUGUUAACAUUAAAUUAUAAUUUUACCAUUGUACCCUUAUAGCAUAUUAAAAAAUAAUUAUUCAUUAUCCAAUUUAUUUCUAUAUUAUUAAUAAAAUUACGAAUAUAACUUCAUUACUCAAUUUUUCCAUUUAAUUUUUAUCAAAUUUUAUCUUCAAACUAAAUAAAUUUAAUCCAUUGCUCAAAAAUAAAAAUAAAUUAAAUUGAUUAUUAAUAUAAUAAAAAUAACAAUUCUCCAUAUGUUAUUUCUUAUAAUUUCUUAUAUAUAAAUUAAAUUGAUAAUUUCUUAAAAAUAACAAUUCUCCAUAUAUAAAUUAAAUUUAUUUUAAUUUAAUAUAUGUUAUUUUUAUAUUAAAUAUAUGUUAUUUUUAUUAUAUUAGUAAUCAAUUUAAUUUAUUUUUAUUCUUGAGUAAUGGAUUAAAUUUAUUUAGUUUGAAGAGAAAAUUUGACAAAAAUUAAAUGGAAAAAUUGGAUAAUGAAGUUAUAUUCGUAAUUUUAUUAAUAAUAUAGGAAUAAAUUGAACAAUGAACAAUUAUUUUUUAAUAUGCUAUGAGGGUAUAAUGGUAAAAUUAUAAUUUACUGUUAACAAAUGGGGGUCUCAGUGUUUUUUUUGAAACAUUAGGGGGUUUUGUGUCCCUUAUUCAAACGUUGGGGGUCUCUGUGUCCUUUUCCCAAAAAUUUAUAAACUAGAAAUUUAUAAUAAUCUAACUUAUUCUCGUUACUAUUAAAAAAUAAGUAAACAUAUCAAUAACAAUAUAGUUUAUUAUGAUUAUAAUUCAUUCAAUUAAAAUAAAUAAUUUAUUCUUAUUUCUAUUCUCUAUUCUAAUUUCAGUAAAUUUUGAUUUUAGUUUAUUUUAAUUAUUGAUUAGUUGUAAACUUAACUGGAAAUUUAUUGCAUAUAUUACGAGAAGCAGUACACACCAAUGGUAAAUUGAUACAUCGUUUUUGAGCUUAAGAUAGUCAAAUGAAAGAAACACAACGUAGGGUUCAUGAAACACUUUCAAAGCUGCUGAUGACUUAAAGUGAAUAACCUCAGCAUGUAAACUUAACUUCAAAGGACGGAGCACAAGUUUCACAGAAAAACAGCUCUUAUUUCUGAUGCUGCGAACACAGAGGAGUGACCUCAAUCUUCUUCAUCACUUGGGAAUUCUGCAAUUAUAGAGCACGACAUUGAGCAUGAACUAGAAAAAAUAUUUAUUUUCUACAAUUUUCAUAUAACCUCACUAACCAAGAUUAAUUUUGUGGUAAUGUAUUGGGUCAUUAAUUCAUAUGUUUUUACUGUCAUCACUUUAGAAAAAACUAAUUUCUCAAUGUGAAAUGGCCCAUAAAAGGUAUUCUCAUUUAAAAACUAAAUUUGACAAACCCCUCGAUUAAAGCAGGGGAGAGAAAAGAAAAAAAAAAAGAUCUGAAGGCUUUCCACAUGAAAAUGUUGUCACUUUGGAUGAUAUUUUCAAGGGAUUUCAUUCUAAAAAUAAAAUACCUGGGACCUUAUUCUUCAAAUUGACAGCUCGCCCAGUACUAAACGCGUAUGAGAUCAGUACUGGGACAAGUAACGAGACGACCCCUCCAACAGCUGAAAAUAAAAUUCGCAUUCAUCAAUUUAAAUUGAAAUUCAUAUUAUGAAAUUAAAACUAAUGAUUAAUGAAUUUUCAAGGAAUUUAAUAAGAUUCUCAUAUAUAAACGUGAUAAAAAAUUCACUCAUCAAUAACAAAUAUUCUAACAUUUUGUUGAUGUAAUUGUUGUAUGGUUGUGUUAAGGUCAUUAUUAGACCAACGCAGUUUGUCAUCACUCAUUCCGUACCAGACGUUUACUCUCGGAGGCGUGAUUGAUUCUCCUUUGGUGAAAUCUUCAUCUUCGGACAACCAAUCACAGUAAGAUAUUCCAAAGAUGGGAAUUUGAAGGCGUAAUUGCCAGAGGAGAAGCUUGUGAGACUAUCUAAAUCAAACAGGGACAACGUAGUCAGUUUGCUGAAAACAAUCUCUUCUUUUAAAUAUGCUGUUUCAUUUCAAGACUGGCAAAAUUCAUUGUGUAAUCAAAGUUUUCAAUGAUCCAACUAAUAUAUAUAUAUAUGUAUGUAUAUUCCUUCUCUAGUGCAGACAUUCUCAUUUUUUUUUUUCAUGUGGACCAGUUUUUAGAUCCCCUGGUUUAAAAGAGUUAGUUUUUAACUCUUUAAAACCGCAUGGCUUCAUAAUUUAUUUAAAAACUAACUCUCUUAAACCGCACGGUUUAAAAGCGUGUCCACAUUAAAAAAAAAUACGGACCCCCACACCUGAGAAUGAUUAUAUAUAUAUAUAUAUAUAUAUAUAGACACACGCUCUUAAACCGUGGGAUUUGAAAGCUUCUCCGCAUGAAGAAAGUAAAAAAUAAGGGCAUUCCCACUAGAAACAAACUCCAUAUAGGUAUUUAUUAAACCUCCUGAUCUGUGAGUGAGGAACAACAAAUAUAAUUGAUAAAAAAAAUCUAAAAUUUGGUUUCAUACCUUCUUGAACGAGAACAGGGGUUGUUGUGCCGGAAUACCAAAUUGAUCAUUCUCGUUAUUCUGGGACAACGUUAUUUUAUCACAAUUACAGGCCUCCAAUGUUUUUUAGUGCUGGCCAUUCUGAAGUAUGCAUUCCAGGGUAUAAACAUCCGAGUUCUGGUAGACCUUCGAGAUUCAGAGUGGUCACUUGUGGAAAGACAAAAUAUGGGGUCACUUGAUCUGCUCUGUCUUUGGAGAUGAUCUCUUGUAAACCCAUACAUAUCCGUAUCUCCAGGUGUUGGAGGUGCUCAAGGCUUUGGAUCAUAGAAGCUGAAAAUAUGUAUUUUAAUUUGUCACAGCCCCACACUAUCAAUCGUGUCAAACUUUGAAAGCCGCAAGUUGAUUGUCAUGCAAAAUCUCGUCGACAUUAAUAGCAUUCAGCUCCAAAGCCUCCAAAUUUGGCAACACUACCUGAAGAUAAUUUUCUCUUUAGAUCCAAUAUCCGUAUGGAAAGCACUUGUUUUGACACAAUAUCCAUAUAAGAAGCACUUAAUUAAGAGCUUAAUUAGCGAGUGUAUGAGACUUUUUUUUUUUCAAAUGCCAGUGCAUGAUAGAACUAAAAAAAAAAAAGAAGCAUUAGCCUACGUACCUUCUCGUUGAAAAGCAGAGUUGACGUUUCCGAACUGAUCUCGUUGGAACUGGCUGUCAAUUCCUCUUGCGACUCUUGUCUGUUUGGUGAUGUGGAAGAAGUCUUCACUUCACCGCAAAACCUUGUAACCUUUGGAAGCUUUCCCAGACUCAAAGAUCUUAAUUGACCAAACUCUAUCUUCCCAUCAACAUCAACAUCAGCUUCUCCUCCAGUUGCAAAAAUCUCUUCCAUGCUGCUGCAAUUGAUAACUGCAAUCCUCUCCAGUCUUGGAAGGCAUUUUGUACUACUAGAGAGCCAGAAGAUAUUACUCAACUCAUCACAAUUUUCUACUUUUAUGGUUUUGAGUUCAUUGAAGGACUCUAUUUUGAGUCGAUCAAUACAUAUCCUCUCCAUAUUGAUCAAAUUUUGAAGAGUAUGGGACUCCAAAAGAGGAAAGGCGACACAUGGUUCUCUCUCCAUUGAAUCGACGAUACACAGGAAGUCUGGAUUAUUUUGAACAUGGAGAUGCUUCAAUUGUGAAAAGCCCUCAGUGUCCAAUUCUAAAACAACAUUCUUGAUUCCUUGCAACUUAUCCAAACAUAAGUAUUCAACGUUAUUGAUGCGCUGCAACUUCUCGGAGCAAAUGGCCAUAGAAUCAAGCUUGAGCUUCAAUGUUCUUAAACUCUCAUGAUUACUGAUCAUAAAGUGCUGCCGACUUUCAAACCAAUCAUUCUCAAUAACCAGGGUAGAGUCGAAUGAUGCAUCUCCUAUUGAUAUAUCAAACCUUUCCAGCUUUUUGGAAAAAAAGCCAUCCGGUAAAAUGCUAUCAUUUUUAACAUCUAUCUAAGGUGGUCAAUCGCCUCAUAUGCAUCAAUUCGUCGAGGGUGGCAUUACUUCUUUCACUAUUGGCCUUUUCAACUUCCCAUUCAAUAGGGGAAUUACCCAUAUACAGUUCUUCCAAUCGAGUGAAGCUUGAUAAGACGUUGGGCACAAUAAAUUUUAGUUGCAAACAAUCUGUUAAAUCUAACAGCCUUAACUUAGUCAGUUGACCUAGUUCGCCAGGCAACCGUACAAUAUCAGAAUUUAAAAAGCUAAGGAUUUCUAGAUUCUUCAACUUUCCAAUUAUGGCUAUGUCUCCCAACAUGCUUUGAUCUAGACAGAGUGUUUGAAGAUUUGCUAGAAGACCGAUUGAAGAUGGCAAUGAAAAUAAUCGCAUUCGUGUCAAAUCUACAACUCGAAGCUUUUUCAGCCCUUUGAAAAUGUUGUCAGGAAUAUUGACCUCAACAAAAGUGUUUUGGGAAAUAUGUAAAAAUUCAAGUUGCAGACAUUCAAAUUCCUCAGAAACUUCAUGAAUGCUACUAUUUAGUAAAGAGAUUGCAUAGCAUUUUUUAAGUGCAUCCUCAUCUGGCCACUCCCACACAGCCUCAUUUCUCACCAAUAAAGCAUGUUGGUCUCGAUUUAAACUUUAACUCAAUUUGAAAAACUGAGCAAGUAUGCGUUACAGGAAAUCAAAAAAGCUCCACAUACCCAGAUCAUGAUCUCACGUUGAAUCCAGGUGGGAGAUAUAUUUAUGAUCAAGCCCAACAUCGAAGGGGGCAAAAAAAAAAAAAAAAAAAAAAAAAUCUACCAGACAUAUGAUCAUAUUGACCACGAGCUUCAUACGCCGUGGAUUUAUUAACAAAAGUGGGAAUUAAUUAAUCAUGAGCAUGUGUUCUAGUUAAGUCAAAAGAGAGACUUAAUUAAGAACGCAUAUAUAAUUCAUAAUCAGCACAUAAAAAGAUCACUAGUGCUUGCCCCUCCUGCCCUUGCCGUGCUUGCCGUGCUUGCCCCUGCCCUUGCUCUUUCCAUGCUGGUAGUAGCCGCCGUGCUUGCCGUGUGUGUAUGCACCGUGAGCUCCAGGAUAUGCGUUAUUAUCUGCAACAAAAUAAGAAAUUAAAUCAUAAGCUUAUAAUUAGCUCGCUCGCUAAGAGUGAUUAAAAUAAUACCGUGCGGAACGGAUGGGCCAGGAUAUCCCGUUGGUGUGUAACCACUGGCGAGUGCUGCUCCUGUAGGCGGGUAGCCGGCACCGGCUGGGGCAGCAUGAUCAGCACCUUCCAUGAUUUUGAUGAUCACCUAAUAAAUAAUAACUUGGUCCAAAAUAAACAACAAUAAAUAAUUGUGAUUAAUAAAAAGUAAUAUAUUCUCUAAUUAAAACAUUAAUGAUCAUUGGAGAGCAAGCGAGAAAUACUUACUGAAUGCGAUGGGACAGACAACAUCAUGCAUAGAGAAUUGUUCAUCUUCAACGAAUUUGGCUGCCCGGUCAAUGAUGCCGUUAGCACUAACCAGCCACUUCUCAACCUUCUCUUCAAUCUCUUCCCCUUUUUCUUUUGCCUCUGAAACUCUGCGCCGAAUGCUCGUACGUUCAACCUUCAACUUCUCCAUUUCCGUCUUGAGAUUCUCAAGGUUGGCAUUGUAGUUCCGCUUGCGCAAAUAAACAAGUUGGCGUUCUGUUGGAGGAGCCAAGCAUUUUACAAGUUCCAAAACGAGAGUAACAAUGAUUUCCAGCAUCUUGAAUCCUGACAACAAUGUAGAAGUGAAGAAGGCCAAAGGACAGUCAAAACAGAGAGACAGCGUUACGACAAGCAGUUAUGGAGCUAAAAAUAAAUAACAAACAAACAGAAGCAAAGUGUUUUUCGAAUGAGAAGAAGGAAGCAAGAAAAACUUAAAACUAGUAUAAUAAAUUUAUACUAAAACUAGUAUAGUAAAACAAGAAGUCAAGAACCAGCAACUUUUACACACAAAAUAAAACCUUAAAACUAGUAUAAUAAAUUUAUCAUCAAGUUGCAGCCUUCUUAUUCAACAAUUACAGCAUUAUCUUGAGCUCUGUGUUUCUUUUUUUAAAAAUUAUUCAAAAAAAUCUGCAUUUGUUUUUCAACGAUAAAAAUUAUAUUUUUGUCUCAUAUAAUAUAAAAUUAAAAAAAAAACAAACAUAUAUUAAAGGUCUGUUUGGGAUUAUUUUUAGAGGCUCAAAAGUAAUUUUAAAAAGUUAAAUGCUAAUUUUGGUAUUUAAUAAAAUUUUUAGAAGUCACCUUUGGUAAAAUCAUCAAUCCUACAACAAAUUUUGAAAGCAAAUAGUUUUUCAAAUUUUUAUUUUGAUAAUUAAUUUUAUACUUAAUAUAAUUCCAUAUACAUCCCUACAUAUAUUAAUUAUCCUUAUUAAUUAGAAAAUAAAAUUAUUAACUUUAAAGAUAUUAUCAACAAUUACAUUGAGAUAACAAACUAAAAAUAAAAUUAAUAAUAUAAAAUAUUUAUUUUAGUAAUCAAUUAUUAUACUUACAAGAUAAAAAAUAUUUUAUUUAAAUGUUUAUAAAUGUACAAAUAAAUUUUAUUUAAUAUUAUAUUCAAUUUAGUCAUUUACAUUGUCAAUAGGACUUCUAAAAAUAAAUUUUCCUAAAUGUUUAACUAAUUCUCUUCAUAGUGAUUAUUUCCAAACAUAACUACCAAAAAUUACUAUAAUAGAUACAACAUUACCAAAAAAAUAUUGAGAUAGAUUUUAAUUAGGUAAUUGACUUAAUUAUGAAUCAAUUUAUUAUUUCCAUAUGUGUUAUCAAAACCAGCUCAAUAAUGAGAUCACUCUUUUUCUUAAAUAAAAAUAUUUGUGCCAAACAAUUGUUGCAAAAUUUCAAAUAUAAAUUACAAACAACAAAAUUUUCUAAAAUCAUAACAAUAAUUUAUGUUGUGAAUACAUGUAACUAAACCACAUUGAAAUUUUAUUGUUAGUAAAAUUGUUUUUCACGCAAAUGCAGUGACGGAUUCAGUUUCAUGUUUCACCCUCAAUAACUUAAUUUUCAUAUCUAACAAAUCAUCCAUAUUAUUAACAAUAUCAUCACCAAACAUAAUCUACCUAAACAUAAACUAAACAUAACACAUACAUAUAACUAUAUACAUACCGAAUCAGGAAAACAAUGAAAGCUACACGUAUCCGGCUCUACAAUUCCUUCUUGAUACCCUUGUGCUUCUAAAAUAAUCAACCAAUUAUAAAAAUUAGCUUAGGUGCAACUUUACCCCUUUUUUUGGGAAACUUAACUAUAAAUAAAGUAUACAAAUCUCUAAAUUAACUUCGUCCCCAUGAAAUUCGGCAUAAAUAGAAAUAGAAUUAUAGAAACCUUACUACCUUUUAUGAGAAAUCCAACUUAUAUAUUUGAGACCUCUCUCUCUAAGCACGCGCUUCCUCUCUCUGCACACUUUCCACCUUUAAAUUCUCCUUCACUAAGUUUACCUAAAAGAAUUUAGCGUUCUCCCAGUUUCUUUCGCAUUUUUCUCCGUGAAAAUUGGUGAAAAAGAGAAAGUGAUUUGAUUAUUUUAAUGUGCGACAGAUAUGGUUUCCAUCUCUGUAAUAUAAGUGUAUCAAAACGAGGUGAACAACUCUUUGUCGAGUCAGUCAAAUAUAAAAGACAAAUUACGAAACCAAGCAGAGCCAAAAAAAAAAAAAAAAAUUUCCAAUUAAAUAAUCAUCAAGUCUUUUUCAAUUAAAAUCGGAGGUGCAGAACAACUGUCAGGAGAUAAUCAUUGUUUAUGGAGCCAUAUUAUAUUUUCGAUUAAAAUAGUUGCGCGUGAACAAUUGGCAGAAUUCGUAUAAAUUGUUUUAAGGUCUAUUAUAAUUAACAUUUAACAAGUGGAAUGGCCAAUGGAUGAAGAACCACUAUAAUUAGGGGGGUUUUGUGUCCCUUAUUCAAACGUUGGGGGUCUCUGUGUCUUUUUCCCAUAAAUUUAAAAUGCUAAAGAAACUGGGGAAAUUUACAAAAAUAACCAUAAAAUUUUUGUUAUUUUUACAAUUAACCCUCUCAACUUUUUUCUAUCAACAUUAGCCAAACACGUGCUUUUCUCCCCAAAUUACCCUUCUUUACAAACCAAAAGCAACAUUCUUUCUCCCCUUUCGUCAAACAAAGGCAGCUUCCACUCUUGAAUCAUCAACCAACGACAACGGCAAAAGGCAACGAUAAAAAGUGAAAUCCGAUCAUAAUUUAUUCGGAUCCAACACUAAUCGGCAUCACAUAGUGGUAUGAGUUAUUUUCUUGCUCGUGAGUUUGCCUGUCGCACCAAAAGCCAGAUUCAUUAUAAUUAACUAUUAAUUUGAUAGGGCUGAAAUAAUUUAUUUUUUUAUAAUUUCAGGCUUAAUGGAUUCAGUUGUACUUGAAUUGUGUUACGAUGGUUGUUGGGAGACAUUAGAGGAUGGGCGUAUGGAGUAUGUCAAUGGUAAAAAUAGAGCUUUUUUGGUUGGAAAAAAUUGUCUUUUUGAUCAGUUAUUGGCAAGAGUAUACGAUGUGUUACAAAUUAAUCCUAAUGAAUAUAGUAUCACAAUGAAGACAACUUUGAGGUCUAGUAACACAUUAUAUCGUGUAUGUGCACUGCCCAUGGAUAUAUUUGAUGAUGAAAUGGUGAGGGUUGUGUUACAUAUGGCAUCCGACGUAGCUAAUUUUGGAUGCAUUCCUAUAUUUGUUACCACAUCACCUCGAGUUCCGAGUGGAGGUAUUGAGCCACAUGUCGAUACAGAAACUUCGUUUAGAGCAAAUAUGUCUAGCCUCGAUAAUGAAGAAGAGGUGUUGCCAAGGACAAUAUCACUGCAGCAAUAUUACUCUCCAAUCCACGACAAUUAUGACAACAUUGAUGAUGACGGCGUUACGUUACAGGAUGUUGGAGCAACGGUAUUUCCAAUAACGACGUCGUUGGAGCAACGGUAUUCUCCGUAUCACAAUAAUGAUUUUCGGGACAAUGAUGAUUUUCAUGAUGAGACAGAGGGGGAUAAUGUUUGUGCAGAACCUUCUAAUAAUAUGAGGGGCACUCAUUUCAAUAAUGAUGGUGAUGAUGGAGGAGCCGGUCCUUCGAAUGUUCCGUCGUUUCAGCAUGAGGAUGAGUGUGAAGACAAUACUCCUGCGAAUAAUAGAGGCAAUAGACCUAUUCUAGCAAUGGUUCGAUCGAGAAGGAGAAUUGACCCUCUCACAAGUCUUGCUCCAACUUUGCCUUCGAACAUGGUUGCUCCAAGUUUUGUUAGCAGUUGUGACUCAGAUGAUAUCAGUGUCGGUAAGCUAUUUGCUGAGAAGAAUGAGUUUAUAUUACAACUACGCAAGGUUGCCUUUCAGGAUAAGUUUGAUUUCAAGAUUGCACGGUCUACUACGACACGUUUCGAGGCUCACUGUAGUUCAGAAUCAUGUAAAUGGCGUAUUCGAGCAACUAGAUGUUCGAACGAGGAAAAUGUUCCUUGGGUGGUGCGGAGAAUUGAUAAUGUACACACUUGUCAUAAUGAGGUGUUGGUUGCUGGAUGUCAUCAAGUCAGGAGCCGGGUUGUCAGUCAUAUUAUCGCAGAUAAAUAUAUUCAAGUCAAGAGAAUUUAUACUCCGAAUGACAUAAGAGCAUAUAUGCAACAAGAAUACGGUGUUCAGUUAACAUACCAGCAGGCAUAUCGGGCAAGAGAAGUUGGUCUUGAAAUAGUUCGAGGCAACCCUGCAGAGUCAUACAACUUGCUCCCUAAAUACUCUCGCGUACUAACUGCAGCGAAUGAGGAUACAGUCACUCACAUCGAGCUGGUGCGACAGCCGCGCCUGUUACACCAAAAAAUUGGUGCGACAGGCGCGCGCUGUCGCACUUGAUCUGGUGCGACAGUGGGGCACGCAUGGGCGCGCGCGCGCGCCCUGCCCCCCUCCCUCUCCACCCCCAAAAUUAAGCCACAACACUUUAAAAUCGAAAAACAAUACUCCCAAACACCACCAACCACCACAAACACCACCACUACCACCAUUAUUCUCAAGCUAUAACUAUUAUUAUUCUAAAAUCUCAUUUUAAAUUAAUGAAAAUAAGAAAAAUGACUAACCUAGGUUUUGUUGAAGGUUGUAGAUCGUAGAUCGGAUGCCGGUGAGAGAUGGAGCCACCGCCGACGAGGGUUGAUGUUGCCGCCGAUGAUGGGAGUUGGAUCGGUUUGGGAGAGAUGAGUGAAAGGGAGUGUUGGGGAAGAGAUGAGGGAGGGGUAUUUUGGUCUCAAAAGUUGUUUAAUGGCUAAUGUUGAUAGAAAUAUUUUUGGGGGGUUAAGAUGAAAAAAAUCAAAACUUUUAUGGUUAUUGUUGUAAAUUUCCCAAGAAACUGACAUCAACGCUAAACGUGAAUCUGCAGCCCUUGCCUCAGUGUCUUUCAGGCGUUACUCGGGGUAGUUGAUAUACUGACGAGCCCUUUAUCAAUUAAUAAUCGAAAUAGAUUAAAAUAUGAAUGGAUUAGAAUAGAAUGAGUUGGAAUUAAAAUACGAAAUCACAAUCAGAUUAAUUUAUUUUUUUAAAUUGAGGAAUUAGAAUUGGAAUAAAUUAUAUAGUUAUUGAUGUGUUUAUUUUAUUUUAAAAUUACAAGAGUUGUUGUAAAUUACUAAUAUGCCCUUAAUUUUUUAUUAUAAUUAUAAUUAUUUAUUACUACAUUUGUCAUAUUAUUAAUAUUAUAAUAAUAAUGAUGAUAAUAAUAAUAAUAAUGAUUGUAACAAUUAAUAUUGAAAAAAAUUUAUUGUUAAUAAUAGUAAAUAAAAUAAGAAUAAAUAGGCAAUUAUUCACUGACCACGUGAUCUUUCGGACUCUUUCAAAAAUACACAAAUACUUUUUUCUUUGCAGAAAUCCUCCUGAAGUUUACAAAGUGUUUCAAUUGUUCACUGUCAUCUUAACUCUAUUAGAAUCUUGUUGAUGUUGUCAGGAUAAAAUUGUCAUUUUACCUAAACAUCCAAAAGGAAGUAUAAGAUGAAGCUCAACUUGGAGAAGUGUGCUUUCGGGGUUGGAUUCGGCAAAUUCCUUGGGUUCAUGGUGAGUGAUAACUCUAUGAAAUGAGAGUUAUCAUGAAAUUUUUAAGUUUAAAUCAAGACUACUCAGAGAGUAAUUGAUAUGUUUUAGUGCACUUUAAUGAUAGUUUGCAUUACAUUCAUUUUAAUUUAAGUUUAAUAAAGUUUAUGUGAUUUCUGAAUAAUUGUAUGCUUAGAACAUAUGUUUAAUUGUAGGUCAAUGGAAACUUGAAUUUCAUGGAAAAGAUGCUUUUGCAAUGGACUUAUAAAGAGGACAAACGAGCAUGGCUAUAGUAGAAUUGGAGCAAGUUUGGAACAGUGGAGUUGCUGUAGCCAUUACUGUAGCAACCAUUGAUGUAGCAAUCCUCGAGCAUUGCGAUCUGCAGUUUCCUAAUCUGAAGAAAAAGUGGCAUAAGAGAGAGAGCCAUCAAUUAAGAUCAAAAACAGAAAAGAACCAAGGAAGUAACAGAAUUCCUGAGCAGAAUUCAAGGCUGAGCCAGUUGAAGAAAUUUGCAGAGUCAAUUGGAAUUCACUCUUUCUCAUUCUUUUCUUAUUUACUUGUUAUUUAUUGAUUAUGAAGAUGUACUAAAUGGCUAGAAUUUGGUUGUUUAAUCUCCUUUCACAAAUUAUGAACUAAAUUCAUUUGUGGUUGAGUAUUAAACUAUCUUGAUGGUUAAUUGACUAAAUAUAGGUGUUGCUAUAUGUUUGCUACAACAUUUUGCUUUAAUAACAUUUAUUUACAUUCAUUAUUUCGGUUGACCACCCAUUUAAUGAUACAAGUUAAGAAAGAGCUGUAAAAAGGGUCUAUCUUAUUGAAACAUAUUAGAGUAAUACUUGGUCUUAAAUUGGGUUUCCUAGAUUGAGUUUAACUUGAGACCAAAAAGGGUUGUACUUAAUUUAAGAUUAGUAAUGAACUAGAUAUAGGGAUUUGCCUUGUAGGGUAAAAAGAACAUAAAUGUGUAAUACUAUAUCUUACGUUGACAUAGUAACUGGUCACUGUUAGGUUGUAUAAAGAUAUAAAACAUUCGAACAUGCUACCGUUGAGGAUAAAGAUGGUUUCUGCCCAGUGCUGUAGCAGAUGCUGCAGCAACUGAGCUUGACAUGAAUAACACAGUCAACACCAUCAAGAGAGUUUAAUCACUCAACUACUCUAUUCUAAUUAAAUUUAAUUUCAUGUUUAAUGUAAAAAAUUUAUUUAUUACAUUUUUAAUUAUUGUGAUUUUAUUUUACCUAGUCAUUUAGUUGUAUUAGUUGCAUUGAUUUAAUUGAUAACAUAGGUUGCUCUGUGAAAUUACUGUAGCAAGUCUAAUAGCAUCAAUCCCUAUGGAGACGAUCUUGGAUACUUAUCCUUAUAUUACUUAUUGUGUACACUUGUGCAUUGACACUAAUAGCAAUGGAGUUAAAAUUAGCAACAAAUUUUUUGUGCUAUUGCUGGGGUUUGAUUGUUUACUUUUCAGUUGUGAAAUCAAUUUUGACGGUGCUAAUCUUUGAUUUUAUUUUGAAUUGUUUACUUUGUUAACAGAUCACUCUUGCAUGUGAAAAUACAAACUUGUUGAAUUUCAAUUUGAUCCAGAGAUUGAAAGAACUACAAGGAGAUUGAGAAGAGAGCAAAGAAAUUCAAAAGCUGCUGUAGCAAUAGAUGACUUGCAAAACUUAGGAAACUUAGACCCUCACGGACCAAUAUAACCUGUUAAUGCUCAAGAAAGUCAGAAUGGGAAAAUUAAUCAGAGACCAUCAGGGAAUAACAAUAUUAGCUACAUGGAAAAUGAUAGAGACAGGGCCAUUAGAGAUUAUGCUUUGUUAGCCCCUUAAGUUAUACAUCCUGACAUUGUCAGACCUGAGGUAAAAGAUGCCAAUUUUGAACUCAAACCAGUGAUAUUUCAAUUAUUACAAACAGUGAGGUAAUUUAAUGGAUUACCAUCAAGAGGUGAGUGAUGCUUUUAAAAUUAUUGGAGCAUCACAAGAUGCAUUGAGACUCAGAUUCUUUCCUUACUCCCUAAGAGACCGAGCAAGAGUAUGGUUGAACUCUUUACCACCAGACUCCAUUACAACAUGGAAUGACUUAGCUGAUAAGUUUAUGAUGAAGUACUUCACACCAACCAAAAAUACAAAAUUAUGUAAUGAGAUUACUUCUUUUCGUCAACUAGAAGAUGAAAACUUAUAUGAGGCUUGGGAAAGAUUCAAUGAGUUAUUCAGGAGAUGUCUUCAUCAUGGCAUUCCUUACUGCAUACAAUUUGAAACCUUCUAUAAUGGGUUGAACCCAAGCACUAGAUUGAUGGUCGAUACUUCAACAAAUGGGGCUUUGUUAUCUAAAUCUUACAAUGAAGCCUAUGAAAUUUUAGAGAGAAUUGCUAAUAACAAUUAUCAGUGGCCAUCACCUAGACAAAUUGUAUCAAGAGGAGCAGCAGGUAUACAUAAUGUGGAUGCAUUUACAGCAUUAUCAGCCCAAGUAACAUCAUUGACCAAUAUGGUGAAAGCUAUGACUACUGCUCUAUCGAAUGACAAUCAAGUUGCCGAUGUUUCUUGUCUGUAUUGUAGAGAGGGGCAUUUAUUUGAUAAUUGCCUAAGGAAGUCAACGUCAGUCAAUUAUGUGGGCAACUCCAAUAGAUAGAACCAGAACAAUCCAUAUUCCAGUACCUACAAUCCUAGAUAGAGGCAGCACCCAGUGGACAGAACAGACCUACUCAGCCAGUUGAUUUUCAUCAGCAAAAUCAAGGGUAAAAAAACACCAGCAAUGAUCAAUUCAGUUCUUUGGAGACCCUAAUUAAGGAGUACAAUGUGAAUAAUGAAGUAAUUGUCCAAAGUCAGGCUGUACCAUUGAGAAAUUUAGAAAAUUAAAUUGGACAGCUUGCCACAUUAUUAAGUAACAGACCUUAGGGGAGUUUACCCAGCAACACAGAAGAUCCAAGGAGAGAAGGUAAGGAAUAUUGAAAGGUGAUCAAAUAUUGCACAAACUAGAAGCCUCAGGUCGGCUGGUGAAAUGGGCAAUAGAGUUGAGUAAAUUCUAUAUAAGCUACAAACCCCGAGCAACAAUCAAAGCCCAUGCAAUGGUGAACUUCGUGGAAGAAUUUACAGAAUCACAUGUGGAACCUAGCCACAUUGAUAUUGCUAUAGGCAACAACAAAGGUCAAAUCUGGCAGAUGACAGUGGAUGGAUCUUCAGGUGAGCAAAGUACUAGAGCGGGGUGGUCCUGGAGAGUCCAGAUGGAGAGGAAAUCUCUUACGCUGUUAGACUGGAGUUCAAGGCCACAAAAAAUCAGGCUGAAUAUGAGGCUCUAAUUGCAGGGCUAGAGUUAGCUAAGGCGGUGCAGGCAAAUAAGGUGAAAAUUCGGACAGAUUCACAGCUAGUCGCCAACCAUAUUAGUGAAAUGUUCUAACCUAAAGACGAAAAGAUGGGGCAAUACCUGAGGAGGGUCAGGCAGAUGAUCAAAAAGUUCGAGUCGAUGGAUAUUGUGCAAAUUCCAAGGAGUGAAAACUAUCGAGCUAAUAUCCUAGUUGGAAUGGCUGCUACAGCGGACUAAAAAAUGCCAAAAUCAGUCCCUAUGGAAGUCAAGUCCUCCCCCCAGCAUUGUGUAAAGUCUGGAGAUGAUGCAGAUAGAGCAAAAAGGCUCAUGGAUAGACCCAAUAAUCUCAUAUAUACUGGAUAGAGUGUUACCAGCAGAUAAAACGCAAGCAUGAAAAAUCAAGGGCCAGCGUCUAGGUGUACACUAAUUGAUGGGGUGUUAUACCGACGAGGGUACACCUUGUCGCUCUGCGGUGUCUGGACAAAGACGACGCGAACUACGUUAUAAUGGAAGUACAUGAAGGGGUUUGUGAAAAUGAAUCUAGAGUUAGAUCUCUUGCCUACAAAGCCUUAAGACAAGGUACUUAUGGCCGACGAUAUACUAAGAUGCUCAAGAGAAAACCAGGAGUUACAGAAGUUGCCAGAACUUUGCUAGUUUCCCUACACAGCAAUAAAAAAUACUUACUACUAUGACUUCACCAUGGCCGUUUACUCAAUAGGGAAUCAACCUAAUCGAGUCUUUGCCAAAAUGAUGAAGAGCAGUUACACAUGCUAUCGUGGCAAUAGAUUAUUUCACAAAAUGGGUCAAGGUAAAAGCACUCAGAAGAAUCACAGAGAAUGAUAUAACUGAUUUCAUGUGGAGAAACCUUGUCAACCGGUAUGGAAUCCCAUACGCCUUGAUAGCGGACAACAACUAACAAUUUGACAAUCACAACUUUAGGGAGUUUUGUCAGAACUUUGACAUAGAGCUAAGUUCUGCUCCCCUGCCCACCCUUAGUCCAAUGGACAGGUGAAAGUGGCCAACAAGGUUAACAAAAAAACUCCUGAAGACCAAACUAUGAGAGAAGAAGUGUGCAUGGGUUGAUGAGCUUCUAGGAGUGUUGUAGGUAUAUAGGACUUCUCAUAAAACCGCCACCGAUGAGACACCCUUUGCUGUAGCCUUUGGGCAUAAAGCAGUCUUGCAUGCAGAGAUAGGGGUAACCACGCACCAAACUGAGCACUUUGAUGAGAGUGAGAAAGGUGAAUCAGAGUACCAAAGAUUCGACCCAUGGUGUGUAUCCGGAUCAAGAGCCUACAAGCUUGCUCUCGCGAAUGGACAUGAGCUGAAACAACCAUGGAACGUAACACAUCUAAAAAAAUACUUCCAAUAAGGCCCAUUGGUAGCGAGUUAGAGUUAUUUCUGUUCAUUUCUGUUGUUGUUUAAACUUUAUGAUCAGUCAAUUUCAUGUAUGUCGUAUGCCAUGAUUAAUAAAGUUUGGAGGAAGUUCAUUCAAUUAAUUUAAAGAAAAAAAAAGUUCGUAAGGUAAAUAAAUGCCUCAAAGUCUCAAAGCCUGCUCGAUGGUGAGACCAGAAGCCAGAUUUUCCAGACUCUGCUCUACCGAACGAUGACGAGCAGACAAUCAAAUAUUUCAAAAAGUUUCUAAGGCAGACAAAAGCUUCAAAGUCUCAAAGCCUACUCGAUGGCGAGACUAGAGGCCAAGUUUGCCAAACUCUGCUCGACCGAAUGAUGGCGAGCAGACGAUCAAAUAUUCCAAAAAAUUUCCUAAGGGAAAUAAAGGCUUCAAAGUCUCAAAUCCUACUCGAUAGCAAGAUUAGAAACCAAGUCUGCGAGACUUUGCUCGAGCAGGCUACAAGAAAAACCAAGUUAUUCGUUAAUAAUCUAGUGACAAUGACAACUAGCCUCAAAACUUGGCAUACAACGUUUACAAAAGAAAAUUAUGGUACAUUCACGAGGAUGAAGGAUCUAUAAGUAGAGCAGCUUUUGUUGGAUUUUCAAGCAGUAGAGAAUGAGGGGUCUGGCCAAUUCUGCCCGAGGGAGUGCUUGCUUCGAUCGGGGUUUUGCCUUUCAAGACCGGCAAUGAUGCAUCGACAGAAGUGCCUGAGCCCUUCGUUAAAUUGUCAUCAACUUCCUUUUCCAAGUUCUCAAUCUGAGUCUGGUGUGAAGCACAAAGUGAUUCCAACUAAGACUCGUAGGAAGCUUUUUAUGUCUCCAAAUUCUUAUUGACCUUGCUCAGCUACUCCUCAAGGGUGAUCACAUUGGCCUGUGCAAGAGAUGUCUGCUCCACUAAUUUCAAGUUCUCGAGGGUGAGGUCUCUUGCUUUCUUCUCAGUAGCAUCAACUUCGUUUUUAGUUGAUUGAAUAUUAUACUUCAUCUUGUGGUCAUAACGGCCAACUUUCACCUUGUAGUAGGUAGUCAUGCAACAUAGGUGGAAAACACUGAAUUGCAUAGCCCUAACUAGCUCACGAGGGUAAUGCCGUCAAAGUCCUCUAAAUCGUUUUUUUUCACGAGCCUAGAAAACUCACUUAUGUAAGGGCCAUAUGCUCUGGUCGAUCCUCAGGCAAUUGCGGUUCGGAUCUUGGUGGAGGAGGAGUGGUAACAAGACCAGUGCCGCUCGCAGCUCCACCAACUUCACCUGCCUUAGGACGGGGAGGAGGAUGUGGCAGCAUCUUCAGAGGGGAAGCUUUCCCUACAAUAUUGACCCACUUCUCAAGGGAGCAUAGUUGCUGCAACCCCCCUUUACACCACGAAAGCGAGGGCGUUUUCUGUUCAAAGCCCCAAUCACAGCAUCCUCUAUAGCAAUUCACCUUCGAUGCGGUAUUAGACACUCCAGGAACUUGCAACAUAGGCAGAGACUCUGUUAGAAAUUACUCAAUCACUUGAUCAGCUGGUGGUGUAAAACAACUUAAAUAAGCAGGCAACCUGGAACUAAGAAACGGAUGGGGACAUGGACAUUCUCAUCAUCAGUCGGCCACUUGACCCUAAGGACCCCCAGCAAAAAAGAAACUGCUUUUCUAAUUCUCACCACCUGUUAGGAGGCCAGUUAUAGGUUUCCUAGUCUUGGUACUUGACAUAAAAUAGUACCAACUAACAUCUUUAAGGCUACUCUUUAAUUGGUAUAAGUGUUUAACCUCAUCAAUUAUAGGCUCACUCUGACCACAUCUGUCCCAAAGUACGAGUACACCAGAAAGUACCCUCUAUCCAUUAGGGUUAAGCUGACCAUGAGCUAAGUGUAAUCUACCAAGCAUCUGGACGAAGUAAAGCGGCAAAGGAAGCCUCAUCCCUUGUUUAAAACUCUCUAAAAAUAUAGCAACAUACCCCCUGGAAGGUCGAUUAGGGGUAUCUUUUUUCUUAAGAACCCUAAGGUUUAUGUCAUCAGAAAUCUUGUAAGUAUUUUGGAGGGGUUUAAAGUCAUCUACUGUGGUCCUACAAGUCAUGAGGUCAAUAGGGUAGUUUUCGGCCGGAGUCCUACCACCUAAUUUCCUCCUCUUUGCUGGUCUUACUACCUUUAGUGAGGAUGCUUCACCAAACUCUUCAUCUGGGUACCCGCUUAGGGUCUCCUCUGAGCUAGAAGAUUCGUCAUUGUUACUUUUGCUAGAUGAGGUAGAAACCUCAGGAGACAUCCUCCUAGCACUACUUCUAACACUAGAAUGGCCUACAAGCUCUAAGGGGAUCCUAGGGUCGAAAAUGGGCUCUGUGAGCAAACCAGGUAGGAAAUCCAGUUCGUCAUCAUCAAUCUCAAUUUCUUUUUCCUUGCCUUUUGACAUUUUCUAAGCGAUAUCCAAGAAGAUACAACUAAAUCCCUCUUAACCCUAGAAAAAAAUGACAAAUAUCUAAGACAAGAGAGAAGAAGACCGUACCUAAAGCAGCGGCACCUCAAAAUCAAAAUGGAGGAAGUGACUUGAUAUUCGAUGGAGGAAAUAGCUGAGUCACCAAAGGGCGAAAGAAAAGCCGGAAAAAAACUUUCUUGUGAAGAUUAGGGUUCCCCAAGAGACACGGAGACCCCUAAUUUAUUACCAUUUAACGACACGCACUCCGAGGGUUCUUAACAGGCAGUUAAAAAUUUAAAUGAACGAGUGGAUUCCUGCCACAUCACCUGCUUUUAAUUAUGACGUGACUCUUUGGAUAAACAGCUAAUAGUAGCUUAAAGGAUCAAGUGGAUAAGGUGACCAGUCCUCAUUUCAAUGCCAAGAAGCCAAAGUGUGUUUUGAGCAAGAUAAGACUACCAAGUUUCUAGUGUUGAUCCAUUGCAUUAUCAGCACCAGAAACUGAGGGACUAGUAUUUGAGGCGUAUAACGACGCGACCAGCUACACUCGAGCGAGGAUUUCCUUUUUGUGGGCGAUGGGCUAUAUAGUGUCCGUGAGCAGAAGUGCUCUAUUCGACACCGAGGAGUUUUCUGCUAAACACCGAGGAUAUCUCCUGAUGGGGCCAAGGUCGGAAGACCCAGUCUAUGGCAGUUGUUAGAACAUGUGUCGCUCUCCGAGAAUCCAGGCACGAGGCCUAUUCAGCCACGAUCACAACGCCCGAGCAUCCAUGACCGGGAACUAAGGUAGAGUGGCAAACGUGGGUCAUGGUGACUAAAUUCUCAGGAGGGCUAUAAAAGGGGCUUGCAAAGAAGGUAAAGGGUUUAGACAUUUUUAAACUAAAAAUUAACCUAAGAGAAUUGGGGGGUGCAUCUUUAUUGGCGAGAAUUGGGAAAAUUUUUGAGAUUUUUCCAGUGUUUGAGAAAUUAUUACAGAGCCACGAGAUUAGUGGCAGGGUUUUUUCACAAUAAGCCCAGAUUGCUGACUUGAGCGUCGGAGGGUUUACGUCGGGAAAACCCUCAGCGUUCUUUGACCAAUUUCUGUGUGUACAGGAAUUCACAGAGGAGGAACGGUGAGCCUCAUAGUUCUGCUUAUCAAACAGGAGCAGAGUAAAGUUAUCCCCUACCACUACAAAUUUAAGUGUUGAAGAGAGAUCAUGGUCUCGAACGAGCAGAUGCAAAAUCCCGUAUCAAUAAUAACAACAACAACAACAACAACAUCAUCAAUAAUAAUAAUAAUAAUAAUAAUAUAUUAACUUUGUAGGAUGGAGCUCUCGCAAAUCUUCAAGACACAAAAUGUGUUUGACCCCAUUGUUGUUAUUAUAAUUUCAAAAUCAUUUGUAUAUAUAAUAUUAGGGAAUAUGACAUAGAAAAAUUGAUGGUACAUAUGUUGCAAUAUUCUUGUUCAUGUGGCGGCACACUGAAGUAAAGCAUAAGCAGAGCAACAACAAAUGUAAUGAGAGAGCUCUCAUUAUGUAGAUUUUCAAUAGAAGUAAUGCAUAUUUCACAAAGGCAAUGGCCUUAUUUUGAAUGCUGCACCUGAGGGUUGACUUGAAUCUUCUAUAGAACUCAGGCAUUCUGUAAUCAUAGAGUAUAGCAUUUCAACAAAAAUAUUAUACAGGUCGUUCCUUUAUAUAUUUUCUGGGUACACAUACAGAAAUAUUAUUUUGGGUACAUUUCUUGCAGUAAAACCUGCCCAGUCUAGCGUUCUCGUAAGUUGGGUUUCUCAUUUGCAUGUUUUUUCCAUUGGUUAAUUAUCACAAACCUCCACUAACAUUUAGCAUAUUCUUAGUUUAAUAGAUUAUAUUGGCGUAUUCUCAAAUAUAAAUUAAGCUGGUGAGGAUAAAAUCGUAAAAGCACCAUUAAUGAUAAAAAGAAACCAAGUAAACUUGAAAUUUUCAAGUUGUGUUUUGAAAUUGGUCUCAACUUUGUAAAUGUCCAUUGGGUAAAGAAGUAAAGAACAGAAGCAAGCUGUUCCCAGCACACAUAAGCAAGCUUUACGCAGCACAAAUUAACACCCACAAAAAAUGAAAAGGAAAAAUGGUCAUCUCUUUCCUCCAUUCGAAUUGAAGCCAUGAAACACAACAUCCCUUUCAUCUUCUCUCUAAUGCUUUGAUUAGAAAACUUGCUUACAAACGGGAGACCAUGACACUGAAUCCUGAGACGGCAAUACCAGAGACGACUGAUUUACGCCAACGGUGUGGAAGAAUACCAACCAGUGACUUUCGCUGUCGACCCACAAACAAUCCCAGUGUUUUCUAGCUGCGAAUGAGGUAUGAAUCAGAUUAUUUCCGUGCAUUUCAAUUUUGUCAGCUGACAUUAGGAGAUUUGGUUAAAAAAAAAAGAAUAAUGGGUCUCGAAAAUUUUUUGAGAGUGUUUUUGUUGCUUACAUUAUUUUCCAUCGAUUAAUGUUAGUUGUAGGUGAAUGAUUGUUGCAAAUGCAUGUUCGCUUGUGAUUGAUUGAAAAUGGCUUGUGAUUUGUUAUGCUGCCGUGUGACUGAUUAAAAAUGGCUCUGAAAAUUUUUCAUUUGUUUAAGGUACUGCUGUUGAUUAUUGAACCAGGAUUCAUGCUAGUUUUUGUUAAAUUGAAGAUGAGAUUACUUUUUAAGAGAUCUGCAAAACCUUCUCUACUAUAGAUUUGGCUUCUGGCAUACCUGGUUGGCUGGAGAUAAUUGUUUAUAUAGUCAUUGCUGCCCAUAUUAAUCAGGAAUAUUGAUUAGCAAUGUACUGGAUUAGUGAUUGGUAUAAUUUUGGAAAAUCAGUCGUAGAUGCAACCUGGUUAUGGUCUCAAAUAGUGUGAUCUGUCAAUUCCGUUUGCUCUGGCCUAACAACCUUGAAUCUGAGCUAUGCCACUAUACAAUGUCCUGACCCAAUCAAGCUUGUUAGCCAACGUCCAAAAUUGCAAUGUCUUUAGAUAAGUCCCGUCUUAUUUGUUUGAGUUAUAAAUGAAAAUUGCAGUGUCUUUGGAUAAUCACGCUGAUGUUCACGUUAUUGACGAGAGGAACCUCCAGAUUCAAGGCCGGAGCUCCUUGUUGAGAAACUUUGCAUAUAUAGGAUUGUUGCCGAGUGGAGGAUCGAUAUGACUGGUCUUGUUUAGAAUAGGGAUGGAGAUUUUGCAUUAAGGCUUUCUUAACAGAUCAUUCUGCAAAUCAAGGUCCAUGUACAUCUCUUUAAACUCUUUGAUAUGUAUAAAGCAGGUGCAUGCUCUAUAUGUUACUUAUUGUAUCACAAUUAUUUUUCUAUUGCUUAAUAUAAUUGCAGUCCUUGAUGAAGUUGAAGACAACUUAUGGAGGGUAUACAAAGGCUCAAGAGCUUGAUCGCCAUUCAUUUUACACUUGGCUGAGCUACAGCAUACCAACUAGUGAUUAAUAAAGAGAAGGUAUGAAGGUCCUGUUGCUGGUGGUAUUAUCAAUCAGAAUUGUUAUUUUACUUAGUCAUAGUUACCAUGUAUAAGAUUCGUAGACUUUUUGCAUGCUUAUGCAUUCGCAUCAUCUUUUUGUUAAGCUAGAAAUGGUUGAUUUGUGUACUCAUUUGUAUCACUUGUAGCCCUUCAGGAAUAAAAUUUAAAAUUCUGUUGCAUCUCAUGUACUAAAUACUAAUUUUGUUGGCUUUAUGUAUGGGAAAUGGUUCAUUAUCUUAUUUCUUUGAUGCGUAUAGUGUGACAAUGUCUAAAGGUGAAAAGUAUUUAUAUCACUUGUGUAACACUGUCUAAAGUCAAAAAGUGUUUCUAUCACUUGUGUGAAAAACAACCUACUUUUUUUUCACUCUUCUUAUAUUGAAUAAAAGACAGACGCCAAGAUUGAACGAAAUUUGAUGCAGAAAGCAUAGCAAUUAGGCCAGUGCAAAACAACUUCCUUCUGAUUCUCUGAUAUUUGACUUAAAUCUUUUGUCUGUUUCAUUCAUCAAAGUCAUUUUGGAAAGUAGCAGGGGUGAUGUGAUAUUUUCAUUGUAUUCACAUCCCUGGCACCAAAAACAAACAUGCUGGUACUAACCAACAAUUUUUUAUUUUCAGUAUACAAAUUUUUUUUUUUCUAAAUUAGGGGUAUUAAGAAAAGGUAUACUAGCACCAGAGGAGGUAUUUGAGAAUACACAAAUACAAUCUAUCAAAUUGAGAAUACGCCAAAUCUCAGGAGUGGUUUUUGAUAAAUCCUUUUUUUCUUUUUCCUCCAUUCACUAUAGGUUCAAUUUAGGGUGGUUGUUAAGUUAUAUCAUUGUGUAAUAUAGAUCAAUUCAACAGUUGUUAUCAGUAACACAAAAGUAUAACGAACAAAAACUAAUUGUGUGUUACUGAUAGUAACUAUUAAAUUGAUGUAUGUUACAUAAUUAUGUAACUUAACAAGUUCUUCAAUUUAGACACGGUUGACCAAACUGAAGGUUUAGGUUGGUAAACGCACUAGUUUUAAUGUCAACAACCCAAGGGGCUUCAUGGUCCUCUGGGUCGAAAUCGCGUAAUUAUUAAUUCUCCAACACUGAAAGUCUUUAUCAUCUUGGGACAAAUAAUUACAAAUUGACAUUAUAGCCGUGGAAAUUUGGAGGUGUAAUAACCGGAAAAAUAAAAAUCUCAAGAGACUUUUUAAAUAAAAAAGAUAACACCUUCAAUUUGCUAAAAGUAAUGGUAUCAUUUCUUGUAUGGAUAAUGGAUGAUUAGAUUUUGUUUUUGGUUAUCUGACGAAGGAUAUUCAGUUGUUCUUUAUGUGUUCAUAGGCAAGAGCAUGAGCAUAUGCAUGAUUUGAUAUAUGGUUCUUGCAUUUUCUAAUUAAGUGCUCUUUUUCCUUGCCUUCUUAGUUUUGAAAGAAAGAUGUGAAGCAAAGCAAACCCAGUGAAAUGUACAGAGAAACAGAACCAUCAGAGGAAAAACUAAAUAACAGAACUACAAUUGAACCAAACAAAAUCAAAUAAACGGACGCAACAGAUGCCCUGAACCUAGUAAUUACUCAAGAGUUGAGGAGUUGGAAUGAUUUGGUAUUCAUAUCUUCACAAAUCAUAUGCUUUAAUGCAGAAUCGACAGCUUUAUAUUAUUUUAUUCAAAAAACGAUAAAGCAGGAAAACCACAAUAAUCCACCAACUUUUGAUACUUGUAGGAAUUUUUUUUAGUCAAAUUAAGUUUCAUGAUGAAACAAGUGGCUCGUCCACACACUUGCACUUGCUUGAAUAUUUGUGCCGACAUUUUCAUAUGUGAUGGUACUUCUUAGCCAGUAGAUAUGUUGAAGUACUACAAAACAGAGUAUUUGAUGAAGUUUUGCUACAUUCGUAUCCCCUUUUUUUGUUGCAUAACUAAAUUCUUUAUAAACACAAAUUAGAAAGAUACAAAUAAUACAGUAGCUUGAAUUUAUAUGCUUUUAUGGUUAUUUGAUAAUCUAGUGCUGAUCAUAUGUGAUGAUAAACUUAGCUAGUAGUUUUAUAUUUGUUUUCGCAGUUUCCUUAGCGUUCACAUUUUGAUGAGUAAAUUAAGGAUUUCCAGAUGAAGUACAUAAUUAGAUGAAUGCUAAGGAACUGAAGUUUAAUUAAUUGAAAACAAAAAUAAUAAUGAACGUAAUUACGAAAAUGAACAAUGCAGAAGUAGUCCCUAUAGUAUUUCUAAAUUUUCUCUUGGGAUUUCUUAGUAUUCCUCAAUAUUUUAAAAAAAUGACAUGACGAUCUUUGAGUGGACAAAUCUUGGCCUGCUGCUUAGUACCCUUCCAACAUAUAAAGUACUAGAUGUUUUACUGAGAAAAUGACAAGAUCAUUUAUCAAAUUUCUUGCGCAUAUAUACGUAUGUAUAAGAGAAAUGAGAAUCAGUGAUUAUAAGACCUUGCAAUGAGACAAUAAUACAUCAUCAAAUCUAAAAAUACACAAGAAAUUCGGGACAUAUAUAUAACAAAAGACCUCUCAUUGAGUCAUACAUAUUGAGAAUGAAAUGUCAAAAUGCAGACAAAGAGCUUAUACAGAAAAUGAAUAAACUGUCUUUGAACUUCUGAUGGUCAAACAAAGGAAACAGGCAGGAUAUAACACACACUAUCAUAGAUGUAGCGACACGAUGAAGUAAAUCACAUGAAGAUGGAAAGGGGAACCCCUCACAGCAUAAAAUUUGAAUAGAGAGGGGAAAAAGGCUUCAUUUCAAAUGUUGCACAGAAGAAGAGUGACUUGAAUCUCCAUCAGUAUCCAGACAUUCUGCAAACACAGUGCUGAGAAUUUUAACAAGAAUAACAGACAAAAUAUUGUGCUUCUAUACUUGUCACAAAACUAGACCAAAUUAGUCCCCUUUUUGGUUUGUGAAAACUUGAUAUUUUUGAAAAUUCUAUCCAAUGCUUUCAAACAAUAUUUCCAUAAUAUAGUUGUUCAUAGCUAACCUUUGAUGGUGUAAGGAUUUGUUGUAGGCAUAAUGGGCUAAUUAUAUAUAUAUAUAUAUAUAUUUUACCCCCUGAAUGAUAUUCAGCUUCUUAAUUAUGUGUUCAUAGGCAAGAGCAUUUUCUUAAGUACUUUCGUUGCCUUCCAAGUUUCCAAUGAACAAACAGAGCACAAACAAAUUUAACGGAACAGUAACGAUGACAAUAAAUAAUUGGCAAGGAAAGAAAGAAAAAAGUUUGCAUGAUUUCAAGGAAUUAUAAAAUCUGAACACUUUCAACAUGCAAGUGUUGCCCCUUUUGAUGAAAUUUCAUCAUAAAAUGCUUGCAAAGAAUUAUAAAAUUUUAGAGAACAAGCGAACUCUCAAACAAAAUACUCAAAUUAAAUUAAAUUAGACCAAAAGACACUCAAUGACGCAAAAUCUGCCAUUCUAAAUAAUUGAGAUGAAAUUGUGAAACAACCCACGAGAUCAAAUAAAUAAAAUAAGAAUUAAUUACCAGCUUUGACUUUCUUCUCCAAAUUCGCAACUCGAAGACAUAAGAAGCCAAUGAAAUUAGUCGUAACCCAUAAAGUACGACGACGACCCCGCCAAUAGCUGAAAAUAAAAUACUUAUUCAUCAAUUUAAACUAACUUUAUAACAAAUAUCUUAUCGAUAUUUUAUUUAAAAAAAGCAAAUUUGUAGAAUUUUUCCAUGGGAGGUAGAGAGUAAUAUGUAUAUCCGUACCUUUUCAGUAUGUAAUUGUUGUAUGGUUGUGUUAAGAUCAUUAUUUGCCCAACGCCGUUGAUCCUCUGACUCUCCAUACGAGACGUUUACUCUCGGAGGCGUGUUUGAUUCUCCUGAAGUGAAAGUCUUCAUCUUGGGACAACCAAUCACUUCCAGAUAUUCCAGAGAUGGGAAUUUGAAGGUGUAAUUGGCAGAGCAGAAACUUGUGAGACUGUCUAAAUCACACAGAAUCAACGCCUUCAAUUUGCUGAAAACAAUCUCUUCUAUGUCAACUCCUUCUUUGUCAUUUAUUACCACCUCUGUCAUUGCUCUGCAUCCAUAUACUUGCACUGUUACGAGUCGCACCAGAGUUUUUGCUGUGGAGGAUGUUACUAAGUGUAUCAAUUCCUUGCAACCGACAGCUACCAGUUUUGCUAGGUUCCGAAAAGAUACCGAUGAUGAUGGCAAUAGACUUAACAGAUUUUGACAAUGAUAUACUUUUAGAAUUUCAAGAUAUUGAAAAAUGGAGUCAAGUUUGGAGUCUUGUUUACAUAGCUGCUUCAGAUGAUUAAGGUGGCCCAGCUCUAUACAUUUUAUCAUUGCCAACUUCCUCAAACGGUUCUCUAAGCAUCCUUCCGUUGAAAAUACCUCUUCGUAUGAACAAUGAUACAGUAAGAGUAAUUCGAGAUUGUGAAAUCUCUCAAGUACAUUCCUGAUUGGAAAACAAGCCGAGUCAUCAUAAGUUAUGUCUAGUUUUUUAAGACUGCCAAAAAGGUGUUGUGGGAAAUCGGCGUCCAAAAUCAUCUUCACAUCUUUUCCGCUUAACGCCAGUGACUCCAAGUUGGGUAAGAUCUGAUCAUCGUCAAUCACGUAGUAACUAAUCAGGUCAGUUGAUGUUCUCUCCAAUAAUUUUACCUUAGAGUACUUGUUGUAGAUUAUAUAUAUUUUACCAAAAAAAAAAAAGAAAAGAAAGGAAAAAUUGAAUUAGUGAUAAAAUUCAUUCUAGGAUUUUUGUAUGUUAAUUUGAGAGAUAAGAGAGAAAUUAGAAAAAAAAAAGGAUGAUUUAUACUGGCAUAAAAAUAUUUUAUUGCACAAUAAUAAAUUAUUAAUUUAUAUUGUAAGUGAUUAUAUAUGAGAAAACUGAGGAUUCUUUUUUAAUGCUAUACCUAAAAUAAUUCAUCUAACUAUUAAUUUAGUACAUUGAUCCCUUAGUCCAGACUAGCAAAAAUAUUAAUUUUGUACUAAAAGUUUUCAAUUUAUUGAGUAUUAAUUUAUUGAUGUUUAGUUAUAUUUUACAAAGUCAAAAGUCGCUAAUGAUCUAAUUGAUAAGAAAUCUAGAAAGCGGCUUCAUACCUUUUUGAACAAGAAUAGGGGCCGUUGUGCAGGAAUACCAAGUUGAUCAUCCUCAUUAUUCUGUGAUGAAUCUGCAGCGAAUGUCUUCAAUUUGUCACAACCAGACACCACUAAAAUUUUUAGUGCAGGCCAUUCCGAAGUAUGCAUUCCAUGGUAUAAACAUUUAAGUUCCGGUAGCUCUUGGAGUAUAAGAGUGGUCACCCGUUGAAAGACAAAAUGAGGGGUCACAUGAUCUACUCUGUCUUCCGAAAUGAUCUCUUGCAAACCCCUACAAUUCACUAUCUCUACUUGUUGGAGAUGCUCAAAGCUUUGAAUCAUAGAAACUAAAAAUAUGUAUUUUAAUUUGUUACAGUGGCACACAAUCAAUCGUGUUAAACUUUGAAAGCGAGGAAGCAUGACCGGACGAUGAUUGUAAUGCCAAAUCUUGUCGACAUUAAUUUCAGAUAUCUCCAAAGCCUCCAAAUUAGGCAACCCUACCUAAAAAAAUAUUAAUUUCUUGUUAGAUCCAACACCCAUAUGAGAAGGACUUAUUGAAAUUUUCUUCUUUGAUUACAGAUUAAUAAUUCAAGUCAAAAUCAAUUUCCAACUGACAGCUGAGUAUGCAUUCUAAUUCGUAUUACUUGUUAAGAGCUCAAUUAGUGAGUGCGUGAGAUUCUUUUUAUCCUUUUUUUUUCACUUUCUUUCAAUUCUUUAAAUGAUUUAAUUAUUUUCCACGUAUGACAUCAAAAGAGAAUGCACAAUAGCAUAAAGAAAGUGUUAGCCUACGCACCUUGCCGUUGAAAAGCAGUGUUUCCAAAUUGAUUUCGUUGGAGCAAGAACUUGUCAAUUCCUCUUGCAGCCCUUGUCUGUUUGGUGAUGCUGAAGGAGUCUUCAAAUUACGGAAAAAAGUUGUAACCUCUGGAAGAUUUCCCAAACUCAAAGAUCUUAAUUGAGCCAACUCUAUCUUCUCAGCAGCAUUAUUGUUGUCAACAUCAGCAUCUCCCCCAGUAGCAAAAAUCUCUUUCAUCUUGCUGCAAUUAAUAACUGCAAUUCUCUCAAGUCUUGGAAGGCAUUUUGCAGUGGAGAGCCAGAAGAUAUUACUCAACUCAUUACAAUUUUCUACUUUUAUUGUUUUGAGUUUAUUGAAAGACUCUACUUUGAGUCGAUCAAUGCAUAUCCUCUCCAUGUUGAUCAAAUUGUGAAGAGUCAGUGACUCCAAAAGAGGAAAGGCAUCACAAGCGACCAUCUCCAUUGAGUCGACAAUACAAAAGAAGUCAGGAUUAUUUUGAACCCAGAGAAGCUUCAAUUGUGGAAAGCCCUUUGUGUCCAAAUCGAAAAGAACAUUUUUGACACCUUGUAGCUUGUCCAACCAUACGUAUUCAACGUUAUUGAUGGCCUGCAAUUUCAUGGAGCAAAUGUCCGUAAAAUCAGGCUUGAGCUUCAAUUCUCUUAAACGCUCAUGAUUAUGGUUGAUCAAAAAGUGCGACCGACUGCGAAACCAAUCUUUUGUAACAGGCAAGGAAGCCAUGAAUGACUCAUUUCCAAUAGAUAUUUUGAACCUUUCGAGCUUUCUGGCCAAAAAGCCUUCCUGUAAAAUACUGUCAUUUUUAACAUCAAUUUCUAGAGUGGUUAGCCAAGGUAAAAGCAUCAAUUCAUCAAGGCUUGCAUUACUUCUUUCAGUGUUGGCUCUUUCAACCUCCCAUUCAACGGAGCAAUUACCCAUACACAAUUCUUCUAAUCGGAUUAAGCUCGAUAUGACAUUUGGGGCAAUAACUUUUAGAUGGAAACAGUCUCUUAAAUCUAACAGCCUUAGCUUAGUCACUUGCCCUAGUGCUUUUGGUAACUCUACAAUAUCAGACCACACAAAGCUAAGGAUUUCUAGAUUUUCCAACUUUCCAAUAAUGGCUAUGUCCAUGUCUCCCAAAAUGCUUUGAUCAAGACAAAGCGUCGGAAGAUUUACUAGAAGAUCAAUUGAAGAUGGCAAUGACAAUAACCGCAUUCUAGUCAAAUCCAAAACCCGAAGCUUUUUUGUCCUUUCGAAGAAGUUCUCAGGAACAUUAGGCGCAACAAAAGAGUUCUUGGGAGACAUGAAUAAAAAUUCCAAGUUGUGGAGAUUCCAACACUUCGGGAAUGUCAUUAAUAAUACUAUCUUUAAAAAAAUUGCAGGAUAUUUUUUUAAUGCAUCUGCAUCUGGCCAUUUCCACACAUCCUCAUUUCUCACCGCAAAUGCAAUUUUGUCACGACGUGCAAUUGAAAUGGCAACAUCGCGAACAACAUCAUGCAUGGAAAAGAAUUUACUGCCACCAUCCUCAAGCAACAAACAAGAGUCUCUUAGUUGAUGGACCCAUGCAUGUAAUUUGUUAUGUGCAUCUUCUAGCUUAUAGACACUUUCAAAUGCACCCAAGCCCACGCUAUAUUUGAACAAGUCCAUAAUUGAAGUUGGUGUAAUUAGACUACACAGUAAAAAAGUUUUCUUGAGUUGCUCACCUCUUAAAUACUUGUAACUUAGCUCAAUUGUUGAGUAUGCCUCUACUGGUACUCCUUCAUCGAAGCUUGCCUCUGAAGGCGUUUGGAGUUCUUGUAAGACGUUCUUCCACACAGGCAGCUCUUUGUUUCUCAGUGCCUUUGCUACUGUGGUUAGGGCAAUAGGCAAACCUCCACAUGCCUUGGCUACAUUUGUUGCUGUAGAUUUUAACUCACGAUUUUCAACAUAAUUACCAGCCAUUAUCUUGAACAACCUCCAAGCUUCUUGCUCAUUUAGAAUGCCAAUCAAGAAGUUUUUUUCAGAUCCCAUACUUAACAAAACAUUACGAUCCCUUGAUGUUAAUAAUAACUUGCAUCCUCUAUGAUCAACGCCAAAAGGAAUUCCGACUGUCUCUAAAUCAAGAUAUUUCCAGAUGUUAUCCAGAAUCACAAGGAUCAUCUUCUCUUUCUUCAAUCGUUCAUAAAGUCUACUAGCUCUUCUAGAUUCAGCCUCCUCGGACAACUCCAGACCUAGUUUCUCUGCAAUUUCCCCUUGAAUCUUUUUUAUGUCUGGAGUUUGGGAAACCUCUGAAAAAACCACCUGAUCAAAGAGUUUCUCUUCACUGGCUUGCCUUGCAAACUCCUUCACCAGUGUUGUCUUUCCAAUGCCGCCCUUUCCGUAUACCCCAACGAUGCUGACAUUGACAUCAGUCAAUGCAUCUUGUAUAGACUUCAGAGUAGAAAGUCUUAAUUUAAAGGCCUCGUAACCUUUGUUAGACUUUAGCCAUACCUCCUCCGCAAUGGUACGGUAGAAAAUUCUAUCAUCAAAUCUCCUAGCUUCUUCUUUGAGUUCAACAAGGGCCUUCACCUCUGUUUCUGCUUUCUUGCUAAGCUGAUAGCGGGUCUUCAAAUUAGGACACAAGCCCUUGAAACAUCGCUUACUUGUUGUCUCCCCAUCUUCAAUGAAUUUGGCUGCCUGCUCAAUGGUGUUGUUCGCACUAACCAGCCAGUUCUCAACCUUCUCUUCAAUCUUUUCUCCUUUUCUUUCAGCCUCAGAAACUCUGUGCUGAAUGCUCUUACUUUCAUCCUUGAGCUUGUCUAUUUCUGCCUUGAGAUUCUCAAAGUUGGCUUUAUAGUUUCGCAAAUAACCAAGUUGGCGUUCUGUUGGAGGAGCGAAGCAUUUCACAACUUCUAACAGAACAGUAACAAUGCUUUCCACCAUCUUCGAUCCUCUUUUUUUCAAAGUUCCGAAAUGAAAAUAAACGACGAGCGAAAAACAGAGAGAAAGAGAGGCAAAAAAAAAAAAAAAAAAAGAAAAAGAAAAAAAAGAAAAUGAAACAACAAAGAUGACAAGUGUAUCUGUUUGUGGAAGCGGAGAAAUCAAAGAAAGCUUAAAAACUGUUGUGAAUCUGGUGAGAAGAUGGAAACAAGGAAAAGGUUUCUAGUUCAAAACUGAUUGAAUUGAUAUAAGGAAUGAUUUAGAUAAUAGAGGAAAAUUGAAUCAGUCAAAAUAACUUAAGUAUUGACCAGAAGAAAGAUGCAAACAAUAUUAGAGACAACAACCGCGCUAUUGACUGGUAAUAGAGAUGGAGAAAAAGAAAAUAUCUUCACACGGUGGAAGUACAAAGGGUAGAUAUGGAACCAAACAGAGACAACAACAGGCCACAACUAGAUUGGGAAUGGAGAGAAACAAAUUAACAAAGACUGGAGAUUACAACAGAACAGAUGCCAAGAGAAAAGGGUUUCUUCAUCCAGUGAAAUUCAAGAGAGUUGACAGCAAAAGGGAGCACAUGUGUUUCUUGAUUGAGAACGAGUGCAAAGGAUGACUUUUUAAUGAGGUUCUGAAGCUGACGAAUAACGAUUUGCUAAAAUUUUGAGAAAGUUAUAUAUUCCGUAACUUCAACAAGUGAAGAAUAAAAGAAUAAUAGUUCGUCAUCUUCACAAUGAAGAUCAUGGACGAGAUUAAAAGCUAAAACUAGUCCAUUUGAAAAGCCAAAGUUCAAGUUCCUUGGCUAAGUUCAGAAGUGAAGCAAAGAAUAAAUAAAUAAAGAUCAAGGGAUGGGAAUAAAGUCACCCCCAGACAGUUGCAGAAAGAUUAUUAUUUGGUAAGCGUAGUUGAUUAUUAGUACAAAACAGAGUAGGUGAAACACAUCCUUUCUAUUUAGACUGAUCAGCAUCUAAAAUUUUAUGAAUUAUGAGUUGCAUUUUAUUUUGUACAUUCUGUUAACACAUUUUAAUUUAGCCAAUUUUGCAAUAAAUGUUAUUGAUGUAUUAAAUUGCAACAACAAAACACAAUUAUUGGUAUUAAAGAAUGAAAAAAAAUAAAAAUAGAAAAUGAAUUGAAUUCCACUCAUCGUCAUCUUGGGAAAUCAAGUCAAAAAAUAAAAAUCCAUAUGCUUUUGUUAAAGUUAAAAGCUACAUAAAUAAUAUCACAGAAGCUUCUGCUAAGGUUCAUGUGAAGUCACAGCUUUGAUACUUGUACUACAAGGAGCACGGAGAAACCAUAAACUUCAGUUUAGGUAUGUACAUUGCUUGUCUUUCAAACUUGAAUUGAUAAGGGGGAAAAAAAUAAUACUAAAGCAAACAGAAGGAUCAUUUAGUUGACAAAAUUAUUAUUAUUUUGAAAUUCGGGUCAUUCAGUUACUUUCAUUUCAGUUUCACUUCUGAUUCAAUUUAACCAGUUAACGUUGACAAAAAUAAAAUGCAAAUAUAAGGCUAAGGCUGCUAAUUUGAUGAACUAAUUAUCUCAGGAACCAAAGCAUCUAUAAGCAUGCAUGGGUGGCAACACCAUAAUUACUCAAGACUGGAGGAGUAAAAAGAUUGAAGAUGAUAAACAUUAAAUUUUAGGAAAAUCAUUCACAAAUAUGCUUUUAUAAAAGUAUUGUUGGUAAAGUUCGAGAAAUGCAUACAUGUCAAAUUUCCAUUUCUUGUGAGCAUUUCACCAAAUAGCUGAUAUGCAUUAAUAACUCCUAUCCUAUACUAUUGGCCAGUAGGUUGUUGCUGCUUCCCCAUUUUUAAUGAUGCGAACGUCUCAUACUUAGAAAUAAGGGCGGAGCCUGGAGAUUGAUGUAUAAGAUAAUCUUUUGAAUAAAAAUAAAAACAAUUACAGAUUUCAAAUGUGAGAAAAAUAAAAUUGCGUUAUAAAAUUAAUCCCACUAAGAAAGUCGUCUACGAAAUUGCCACAUUAAAAGAAAUUUUUUCCAUAAAUUAAAAUAAAAUUAAAUGAAAACUAUUUUUCAGUAAAGUCAAUUGCCCACGCUAGGCUAAGGCGUUUGUUUAUUUGUUUGUUUGUUUUUAUAAUCUGAAUAGGUAUAAAUUUUUCGUAAGCAUGAAUGAGCUGAGUACAAAUAUAUGAAUGAUAUAUUUAUUUUUCUUUUUCUUAAUACCCAAAUAUAAGUGACAUCUUAUUUAUCUUAAAUAUGGUUAUUUGAUAUUUAUAUUUUUACAAAUAAAAAUAAAAAAAGUAGUUAGAUUUUAUAGUUUAAGAAAUAAAUAUAUUUUAUAAAAAUAUUUUUAGAAUAUAUAUUUAAUUCUUAUUUAGACUUUUUUCUAUUCAAUAAAAGUCACAAAAGGUACUUUUUCUAUUCAAAUGUAAAUGCUUAAAAAUCAGAUAUAAGUUACAAAAAAAAUAAAUUUUAGAAAAAGUCAUAAAUUAAUAAAAUUUCAUAUAUUUAACUCCCAAUGCAGAUCCACCCCUAUCAGUGUGAGGAAAUUGACUGGUGAAGUAGGUUCACAGCUAAAAUGAAAUUGGAAGAAAAUGAAGAACAAGCACAUAGAGGACACCAAAAAUUACAUGGUUCGACUUUUAGCCUACGUCUACGGGUAAAGACAAAAGGAUAAAACUUUACUGGUGAAAUGAGGAUUACUAGUAUUAUAAUAUUUUGUUUCACUUCCCAGAACCCCAAUCCACUCAAUCUCUUAAAAUACUAAUCACUCAAGAGCAUUAAAACUCUUAGUCUCUCACUCUAGAAUUGAAGAAGAAAAGAAUGAAAUGCGGGGGUGAACCCCUCAUUUAUAGUUAAAAAUUUGGGCACUAUUUAUAUUUUUAUAUAUUUUUUUAAAUUAAAAGUUUGAACUUGACAUUCAAACUUUGAAUAUCAAAAGGUAUUGGUCACUCUUCUAGAAAAGUGACAUUGACUUUGACAUUCUCCCACUUAGAAAUUUGAUUGAGAAUCAAUCAAUCUCCACACCAUCCUUUCUGCUUCGCCGCUAUCAUGUUGCUUAUGUCUCUACUAGGCCAUAAAAUGAUCUACUCCAAACAAAUUUAUCAGCAUUGAUAGGCUUGGGCAAAACAUUUGUUAAGUUCUCCUUGGUAUCCACUCUUGUAUCUUUCACUACUUCACGAAGAAGUGAUAUUGUACUCCUAUAUUCUUUGUCCUAAAAUAAAAGGUUGGAUUCCUUGCAUUCUAACUAUCACAAACCAUAAAAAUUUUAUGCCCAAGCUCCUUCAGUAACCUUUGUAUCCAAAUAGCCCUUCCAAGCUUGUGUAGCUGCUAUGUAAUCUGCUUCUAUUGUUGAUAAAGCCACAAUGGUCUGCAAUUUUGAAAUCCAACUAACAAUUUCGCCUUCUGGUGUAAAUACUUAGCCAGUAGUGGGUUUCCUUUUAUUAAGAUUUUCUGCAAAAUCUGAAUGCACAAAGCCCUUGACAGUAAAUUCUAAUCCUUCGUAGCAUAAUGCAACAUCUGAUGUUCCUCUGAUAUUUCUCAGAAUCCUCUUAAUAGUCUUCCAAUGUUCUUUGCAAGGAUUCGCUAUGUAUCGACUAACUGCUCCCACUACUUGUACAAAUCAUAGCGAACCUUAAAUUUUCCACUGCUGAUGCAUACAGUUCUCAAGACAUCUCUUCUUCUCUACUUCAUUACUAUAUGAAUACUUAAGAAUAACUUGAAAUUAAUAGGAGGCGGGGUAGAAAGCCAAAUCUUCUUGCUAUUACUAUCUCGGUGAAUUUGCAUCCCUAAAAUCUUGUUUGUUGGUUCUAAGUCUUUUAUUUCAAACUCCCUAGUUAACUGUGCCUUCAGUUCUUGGACUCGAUCUUUGUUGGGGCUUGCUACCAAUAUGUCAUCCACAUACCACAGUAGAAUGAUGAAAUCAUUAUUAUCAAACUUGUUGUAAUAUGUACAAUAGUCUGAACUGAUUCUAUUGUAUCCAAGGUUUAUGAUGAAGGGAUCAAUUCUCUUAUAUCAACAUCUCGGUGCAUGUUUGAGAUCGUAUAGAGAUUUGUUCAACUUGCAAACCAAGUGUCCCUUUUUAGUAAAACCUUCUAGUUAGAGCAUAUAAAUCUUUCCUUCAAGUUCUCCAUGAAGAAAUGAAAAUUUCACAUCUAACUGCUCCAAAUAUAGGUCAAAUGUAGCACACAUCGACAAGAACACUCUAACUGUCCUGGGUCAAAUCACUGGAGAAAAUAUCUCAUUGAAGUUAAUACAUUCUUUCACCACCAAUCUUUCACGAUACCGCUCCACUAGGUUAUUACCAUCAUGUUUGAUCUUGUGAACCCAUUUGCAACCAAUGGUUUUUUUUUUAUAUGGUAGUAGUACGAGUUCCUAUGUCAUAAUCUUGUGUAGAGCCUUAAUUUCUUCCUGCACUGCUAUCAUUUACAAAGUAACAUCUAAGCUGUUUAAAAUUUCAUAGAAAGUUGAUGGCUUUCCAUUCUCUAUUAAAAGACAGUAUGCAAAAUUGAUAUCUGUGACAUAAUCCAAAUGCCACACAUACAGUUAUCUAUCACGAGUUGACCAACAAACUUUUAGGGCCUCAGACUCGAUUGGUUCUUGUUCUCAUACUUUAGUGCUGCUUCAAAAAAAUCUGAAUCUUCAUUUUCCAGAUUAUUUUCAAACAUAUAUUAGCACAAUCUCUAAAUUUUAAUAGUGCUAUCAUCCAUAUCUCUCUUUUGCAUUUGAUCUUCUACAAAGAUAAUAUCUCUGCUAAUAACGAUUUUGUGGGCAUUGAGGUCCCACAGAUAAUACCCUUUCACUCCAUCAAUAUAUCCUAAGAAGAUACAUCUCUUGGAUUUUGGAUCCAUCUUUAAUCUCACUUGGGUAUCGUAUAUCACGUAAAAGGACAUCAAAAUGCCUGAGAUGAGAGUAAUCAGUUGGCUUUCCUGUCCAUUUUUCCAUUGGAAUCUUCAACCCGAUUGCCUUGAAUGAUGACCCACUUACCACAUAAUAAGUAGUUUUUGCUACUUCCGCCUAGAAUGAGUUGGUAGACCAGCAGUUCUCAACAUAAUUCUUAUUUUUUCUAUAAGAGUCAUGUUCUUUCACUCCACUACUCUAUUUUAUUGAGGAGUGUAUGCCACUGUGAACUAUCUCUAGAUACUUUCUUACUUACAUAUGCAAGAAACAUGCUAUAUGUAUACUCUCCACCAUUGUCUGUCCUCAGGCACUUGAUCCCUUGCCCUGAUUUAAGUUCAAUCUAUGCUUUGAAUUCUUUGAACAAUGGAAAUACAUUUGACCUUUUCUUGAUUAGAUACACUAAAUAUCUCCUAGAAUAAUCAUCAAUAAAAGUCACCAAAUACUUUGCACCUCUCAUAGAUAUAUCAAUUGAUUCCCAAACAUUAGAAUGAAUCAAGUCUAAAAUACAUUUACUUUUGAAAGUGGAUCUGCUAAACUUUCAUCUAUGUUGCUUCAUUGUUUCGACAUGUGGCUAAGCUUAAGAUGCCACAUCAUCGCUGAAUUUUCUCUAUUUGAUGUGACACACACAAAAGCUUUCUGUAGUGUUUCCAUUUAAUUAUGAAUAGAUUAGCACCGAUCUUUUCCACCUUCAUUAAUGCAAGUGUGCCUUUGACUAUCUUUAUGAUCCCAUUUUCUACAUGAGUUUUGUGCACAAGGCUAUCUAUUUGUCCUAAAGACAAGAGAUAUUUUUCAAGUUUUUGACAUGUCUUACCUUCUCAAUUGUGCGAACCGUACCAUUAAACAUAUUUAUUUUGACAGUACCAAUAUCAAUGAUCUCAAAGGCAUGAUUAUCGCCUAUGUAUACAGAUUCUCUUGAAAUAGGUUCAUAUUUGUGAAAUCAUUCUCUUGGAGAGAUCAUGUGCCAGGCAACUAUUAAGUCUAUAAGCCAGACGUCAUAUAGUGGUUUUCUGCCUUCUGAAGCAGUUGUUGCCUUACUGUAGAGAAUUUUGCCAUCAUACGAGGUACUUACUACAUACCCUUGAGCAUUUGAUGACUCAGGAUCUUUACCCUCUCUUCUCUUCUAGUUGUUCCAAUACUCUUCCUUGACAUACUCUUUCUUGCCACAGUUGUUGCAUUCAACAUUCUUAUUACUUCUUGAUUUCGAUCUACUGUGAUUGUGGCUCUCACUAGGGCCACGUUCCAUGGAUCUUCCUUUCAUCAUCAAUAGUGUUUCUACUUGCUGCGAACUUGUCUGUCUAUCUUUUUUAUUUUUUGCUACUCUCCUCAUUUAAUACGGAGGCUGCCAUAUUGUCAAAGACUAACUUGUCUGCUCGAUUGUUAUUAGUUAGAUUAAUGACGAAUUGAUCAUACGAAUCUGGUAAACCUUGAAGUAAAAGCUCUACAUGAUCAUUUUCCUCUAUUUUAUGACCCAAUGUUGUAAGUUAUGAAAAUAAAGUCUUUAAAGUGUUGAUAUGGUCGAUCACUGAUGUAGAUUCCGUCAUUCGAAGAGUAUAAAGCCUCCUCUUUAAAAAGAUUUUAUUUUGUAGUGAUUUGACCUCGUAUAGUCUUGUGAGAGUAAACCAUAUUUCCUUUGCUCUCUUUUACUCUACUACAUUGAAUAAUACCUUAUUUGAAAGUGGUAUGUGUAGAUUUGCAAUGGCAUUAUUGUCUAUCUCAUUCCACUUGUCAUCAUCAGUUAUCUUUGUGAGCCUCUCUUCAAUUGCUGCCAAGCAAUUACUCUUCCUCAAUACAACCUUCAUCUUCAUUUUUCAUGACGAAAAAUUAUUUUUGUUGAACUUCUAAAUUUUGUAUUUUUCUGCCAUCACUGUUCACCACGAGCUACCUUUGCUAAGAUUGAUUCCUACCAUUUCACAUGAGCAGUAACUGUAUAUAUGAAUAAAGUGUUGUAUACAGAAACAAUAUCAUAGACAUGAACAGUACAAUAUAUGUAAACAGUAUCUCGACCCCAAAAAAUACAACCCGACUCUAAUACCACUAUUAGAAAAUUAAUUGGUGAAGUAGGGCCGCGACUAAAAUAAAAUUGGAAGAAAAUGAAGAACAAGCACACUGAGGACACCAUAAAUUAUUUGGUUCGACUUUUAACUUAUGCCCAUAGGUAAGGACAAAAGGAUAAAACUUUACUAGUGAAAUGAAGAUUAUAAGUAUUUUAGUAUUUUGUUUCACUUCUCAAAACCUUAAUACACCCAAUCUCUCCAAACACUAGUCACUCAAGAGUAUAAAACUCUUAAUCUCUCAUUAUAGAACUAAAGAAGAAAAUAAUAGAAUGAAUGAAAUGAGGGGGUGAACCCCUCUAUUUAUAGCUAAAAAUUUGGGCACUUUUUAUAUUUAUUAUUAUUUCAAAAUUUAAAGUUUGAACUUGAUAUUCAAACUUUGAAUAUCAAAAGAUACGGGUUGUUCUUCUAGAAGAACCGCACCAACAUUGACUCUUAGGCAGACCUUUAGAGCUUUAAAUAAAGAAAAAGCUUUUAAAAAUGCCAUGUGUACUUGAUUAUACAAUAAUCUCCACCACAUAGAAUGAUUUGAUAAAAGAAAUUUUUAAUUUUUAAUUUUACUUUUAUCAGGCACGGUGUAUUUCCCCUUGGGCUCAUAUGUAAGGAUGUCAAUAAGAUGGGAAGGAGAGGGGAUUGAUUUCCCCAUACUCAUCUUUAAUACUCUGUGUAUCUCUUUGUACUCUAGACAGUUCCUUCAAAAUUACUUGAAACGAGGGGAUGGAUGUUUCUAAAUAAUACAAAGGGAUCUCUUAUGGCAUCCGAUCUCUGAUUAUUUAAUUUCUUUUUUUUUUCUUAAUUUAAUCAUCUUAAAGUAAAAAUAUAAAAUCAUAUUAACACAAAAAAUAUCAAAUUAACUAAAGUGAUUAAAAUCAUUUCCAUCAAAUUAAGUCAAUGUCAUCAAAUUAGAAGAUAAUCUUUGAACUAAUUAAGCAAAAGUAAAUCUUCAAAGUUGAACUCAUCCAUAAAUGUCAUAUAGUAUAAACCAUCAAUUAAAUUAUCUUUGUCAAUUUUAAAGUGUUUAUAUUUACUUUAUAUUGGCUGUUAUUUAUAUUAUUUUUAUAAAUGUAUUAUGAUAUUUUUUAUUUACAUCACACUAUUACAAUUGAAAUUUUAAAUGUAUUUACUAUAAAUUUGAAAAAAAUGAAUUAAAAAUAGAAACUAAAGAUAGAAAUAAAAAAAUGUGGAGCCAAAUAAAAUAUUAGGGCAAACACUAAGUUAUAAUUCAAGUAACUUACACCCACACAUAUUAAUUUAUCACAGCCUUGUCUCCACAUAGAAAAAUUAGAUCUAAAAUUAUCAAACUCCCGAAUGAGGAAGAUCCCUCGGGGCCAUCGUCCCUGUGGAAAUUUCUGCAUCCCUGCAGUCUACAACGCCUAAUAAUGAAUUGAACGGUUGAAAUCCCUCUAAAUUUUUUAUAAUUUCUAAUCGCCCCUCCAUAUUUGAUUGAACAUCAAAACUAUGGAGUCCAAAUUUAUAACUUUGAUUUAUCUUCCAUUCCAUAGUUUUCAAGUUCUCUCUCUCUCUCUCUCUCUCUCUCUCUUUUAACCCUUUUUACUGCAACCACCAUCAAAGCCUAGUAGUUAAUAUGUAUGCUGCUUUGCUUUCAAAAUCGGACACUACUGGUAUUUAUGGUUUUUAUUCUUUAUUUGACACAAAAUUUGGCGAUAUCUCCGAGGAAAAACACUACUGGUGUAUUCAAUUUUAUCCGGUAAUGAUUAAAUUGAUUAUUACAUGAACCGUAACUUCGCCGAGCCCAAAAUACAUAUUAAGUUAUAAAGCGUUCGCACUCAUUAUUUUUCGCAAAAAGUUUCGCCCAAAAUACAUAUAUUUUUUUAAUUUUUUCUGUGAAAAAAACUACUGUUAUAUUCAAUUUUAUCAUUAAAGUUGUUAGUUACAUGAACCUUAAAUUAACACAAACCGUAACUUAGCCAAGCCCAUAAUACAUAUUUCAUAUUUGUAUGAAAUUUAAAGUUUUUCCACUUAUUAUUUUUCGCUAAAAGUUUCUAAAUUGUAUUGUAGUUUGAACUUGCCCAUCAUUCAAUUUUUUAACUCCACAAUUAUUUGACCUUACCAAGCUUGAAAAUAUCCUUCCAUACAUAUUUAAUUUUCUCCAAGUAUGAUGAAGAUUUAAUCAAGAGCCUCCGGGAUCUUAAAGUGCAAGAAAGGUCCGGAAAAUUUUUAAAACCCCACUGUUUAAAGUUUUUUUGGACUUUCUUGCACUUUAAAAUCUUGGAUUGAUAUAUAUAUAUAUAAUCAUUAUUAGGUGCUAGUGUUCUCAUUUUUUUUUUUAAUGCAAACACCCUUUUAAGCCGUAGGGUUUAAUAACAUUAAAAACUAACUUUCAACUAGCUCUCUUAAAUUGUACGGCUUAAAAGCAUGUUAGCAUGAAAAAAUGAACGUGUCUGUACCAAAAAAGGACUAUAUAUAUUAUUUACUUUAUAUAGACAUACGUGCGCGCGCUCGCAUAUAUAUAUAUAUAUCAUUUUAAUAUAUUCCAUUACUUUAAUAAUCAAUUUAAAAUAGUUUGUGAUAUUUCCAGCUAUUUAUUUAUCUACUUUUAGUUAGUUAUUUACACCGAAUGAAGUGAUAGGGUCCAACUUUUAGUAUCCUUCUCAGCUGUUUGGGGUUAGUAAAUACUAAUUAGCUUAUUCGUCCCGAACAGCCGCGUAAAUGCUGUUAGAUUUCGGAGAGAUGCUGAGGAUGGUACAAGAUUUAUCAAAUUGUGGCGACAUUUUUAUACCUUUAGAAUUUCAAGAUUUUGAAGAAAUAAAUGGAAUCUGUUUUCCAUAAGUGAUCCACUAUCUAUCAGGAGGAAUUCUAAAAUACAUUACAGAUUAAUGAUUUUUCAUAAUAAAUAAACAUAUGUUAUAAUAUUAUUUAUUUAUCAUAUGACUGAUAUAAUACUUCUGAUAUAUUUUGAAAUUUUUAAUUCACCAAAGUUCAUUUUUAGCUUUUAAGGUUUUUAUGUGUGAGCCUCUCAGCAUGUUCCCCAACCUCCUCACGUGAAAAUAUUUCUAUGUACGGUUACAAGCUUUUCCAGAUUGUGAGUAUUCCGAAGCAAUCCAACUUGAAAAACAGCUGGUUCGUAGAAAACGACAGUUUACGAAGCUGGCCCUGCUGCCAUACAUAUGAUGAUGAAGACCAUUUUGCUUUAUGUCAAUUCCUCCAAGUUGAAAUCUUUCUCGGUCUGGGACACUUCCAACACAUAAAGUACUACUAGGCUAGAUGAUUUUAAAAAAUGUCAAGGUCCUUUAUCAAAUUUCAUUUGCAUUCAAGACCAACCCCCUUUGAUGAAAAUCAAUAAUUAAAGACUUUCCAAUGAGAAAUUAUUACGUCUUCAAAUCUCAAAAAACGCCAGAAUAUUAAUUCGCUACAUAUAAUCAAGAUAUCUCAUUGAGACGCAUUAAUAAAAAAUGUCAAAAUGCAUAGAAAGAGCAGACACACGGAUGAUGAAUUUACUCAUCUUUAUUAGUAUUUGAAUUUGAGAGACAGAAUGAAGUACAUGUCAAGAAUAUCAUAAAGAUGGAAACCGGAAGUCCUCCGCACAUAAACUUUGAAGAAACUGGAAAACGACUUUAUUCCAGAUAAUGCACACCAGAGUGACCAAAAUUCUCUUCAGUAACUAUGGAGAAAAUAUUAUUUUGCAUGCAUUUCACGUAACUGGAUCAAACUACUCCCCUGUUGGUUUGUCAGACCACAUUUUUAUGGUGCAAUAUAAACCAUCUUUUCAAAACACUUCGACAAUGUGAGAAACAAAUGAUUUUUAUAUAGUUGUUCAUAGCUAACUUUUGAUGGUUUAAUGAUCUGUAGAUUUUGUUUUAUGCUGUUCAAGGAAUGAUAUCCAAUUGUUCCUAAGAGUUCAUAGGCAGGGGCAUAUAUGCAUGAUUUGAUAUAAUUCUUGCAAUUUCUAAGUACUUGCUCUUUUCAUCCCUUCUAAGUUUUGAAAGAAAGGUCGAAAUAAACAGAGAAACAGGACAAACAGAAGAAGACUGAAUUAACAGAUCAACAAAGAUGGCAACUAACAAAUGGAAAAGUUCUCUUGUAAUCAAACUAUAGCAAACAGACAAUACCAUUGCCAUAUAUCUUAAUCAGUAGAUUGAUUCUCAACAUAUAUGUUAGGAUACAUUUGGUUGUUUAAUAGUUCGAAAUAAAGAGGAUGAGAUGGUUUCCACAUAAAAGUGCUGGGCCUUUCAAUGACAUUUUCAAGGAAUUAUAAAAUUCAAAAUAAAAAAAAAAAUAGCACAUUAUAAAGCCACACCGUCAAAAAAAUAAAUAAAUAAAUAAGUGAAGACCUUUAAUGAUAUAAAAAUAAAUAAAUAGAUAAGUCACUAAGACCUUUAAUGAUAUAAAAUAAGCAUAUAAAUCUCAUAACAAAACAUUAAAACUCAUUCUAAAAGUAAAAAUAAACUAGUGGUGUAUUCCAAACAAUUUAGAUGAAGCAAUAAAACAAGCCAAGAAAUCAAAUAAAAUGAAAUGAAAUUGAAUUAACCGGGACUUUGUUUUUCAAAUUCACAACUCGCUUGUAAUUAAAGUAAAAUGCCAAUGCCAUUAGGACACAUACAUCGUUGAAUAAGAUGAGGACCCCUCCAACAGCUGAAAGUAAAAUUUUCAUUCAUUAGUUUCAAUUAAAAUUAAAGCACACAGAGAUUUGCAGGGAAGCAAGAGAUUUAAUAAAUUUAACAGCAGCAAUUUAAUUUGACAGGACUUCCAUACAGUAAUGAAGUUAAAAACUAAUGAUUAACGAAUUUAGUUUGGUCCCAAAGCUGUUGAUCAUCUCUCUCUCCAUAGUAGAAGUUUACUCUCAGAGGCGCGUUUAAUUCUCCUUUAGUGAAAAUCUUCAUCUUGGGACAACCAAUUAUAGAUUCCUUGAAGGUGUAAUUGGCAGAGCAGAAACUUCUGAGACUGUCAGCAGAAACUUGUGAGACUACCCAAAUCAUACAGAUACAAAAUCUUCAAUUUGGUGAAAACAAUCUCUUCUUCAAAAUUUGCUGCUCCAUCUUCGUCAUUUAUCACCACCUCUCUCAUUGCUCUGCAUCCAUACACCAACAUUGAUAAGAGUCGCUGUAGAGUUUGGAGUGACAGAUUCGAUAAUGAUCAACUCCAAAUACUCGCCAAGAUCGCAAAUCAAACAACCAAGAUGCAAAAAGAAUCAAUCCAGAACAAAUCACAGAGAAACUUAAGAACCGAAAAGAAUUAAAGAAUUAGCAGCAAAGACAAAAGAUAUAACAGAUUUUGACAAUAAUGUACAUUUAGAAUUUCAAGGCAUUGAAUAAAGGAGUCCAAUUUGGAGUCUUGUUUCCACAAUUGCUUCAGAUGAUUAAAUUUGUGCAGAUCUAAAUGUUUUAUCAUUGUAAACUUCCUCACAUGUUUCUUCAAGUAUCCUCCAUUCGAAAAUACCUCUUCGCAUGAACAACGACGCCGUAUGAGAGUUUCCAGAUUAUGAAAUCUCUCAAGUAAAUCAAGUGGAAAACAAGUUGAGUCAUCAUCCACUGUUUGUAGUAGUUUAAGACUGCCAAAAAGGUGUCGUGGGAAAUCGCUCUGCAAAGUCAUCCUCGAGUCUUUUCCACUUAAUGCCAGUUGGGUAAGCUCUGAUCAUCAUCAAUCACGUAAUAACUUAUUAAGUCAAUUCAUAUUCUCUCAAAUAACUUUUAAUAAUCCAAUCAUACACAGUGACUUUAAUAUAAAUGCAUAAUAUUUUACAAAAAAGAAGAAAAAAUCGAAUUAGAGGUAAAAGUUAUUCUACGAUUUUAUUUUUUAUAUAUAUCUUGCAUGCUAUUCCCAAAAGCAAUCCCAAACGACCCUUAAAGCAAUUUUACAAAAGCGGCCCGUACAUGUAUUGCCAACUUUGUUAGGAAUGGCAAUGGAAAGGGGAGGGGAAGAGACUGAUCUCCCCGUACCCAUUCCCGAUAUUCUGCAUAUAUCCAUGUCCUCUUCCCAUUCCCGACAAAAUUACUUUAGGGAAUCCCCCUCCCCUCCCCAAAUAAUAAUAGGGGAUCCUUAAAGGUCCUCGAUUGUCGAAUAACUGAUACGUUUUUAGUUUUAAAUUUUAAUUUAAUCAUAUUAAAAUAAAAAAUAAAAAUAAAGUUUGACGAUAUAUCUUACAUUAACAUUAAUCUAUUACAAAAGUCACAUUACAAAGUAUAAAUCACCAUAAUAAUUAUCUUCGGCAAUCUUCAAAAUCAUAUAAUAAAAAAAAAAGAAAUUACUUUUAUAUCAACAAUGAGAUAAAUGAAAUGAAUAUAGAUACUUAAUCAAUAUUUCUAAUAAAAGUAUUUACCUCUUGUGUCUCCUACUCUUCUUGUUCUUCCUCGAGGAAUGUGACAAAUUGAGAGAUAGCCUCAGAUUUCAAAUUUAAAACAACAAAAAUAAUAUAAGUAAUGUAAAUUCUAAGUGAAAAUAUUAAUAAUUAUAUAAUAUAAUUACAAUGUAAAAUAAACUCAUACUGCCAUUGUAAGCUUGUAGUCAACUUUGACAACAUAUUAAAGCCUCCAAUGUGCUUGAAUAAAGCGUGUUACAGUACUCUAACACUGGUGCUAAAAGCUAAUUCAAAAGCAACAUUUGUAAUUAGAAUUGCCAAAAUAUCUCUAGCAAUUCAUAUACCCUCCUUAUGUUACUAACCACGUGACGGUAGAGAGCCAAUUGGCAUACUAUUAUUUUGACGGUAGAGUUAUAAAUUUGUUUCUAAAUAGAAAACUAUUUGCUGAAGUCAAUAUUUUCAAAACCAAAGUCCCAAAUUCUCUCUCGUGCGUGCCUGGCCAUCCUAAACCUUACUGGUAGCCGGAGAAUGGCGUAAAACGGCGGCGAUCUUCUUCUUCAUCUUAUUAUCUCUCUCAUCGUUUCAGGUAAGCUUGUGAUUAUGAGUUUCUUCUCUUUCUUAGCUUGUAAUUAUAGGUUUUGAUUUCUUUAAUUCGUAUUGUAACCAUUAAUGUCAAUUUUUGUCCCGCCGGCAAUAUUUCUUGUUCCUAGAAGUUGAAGCCCUUCUGUUCUUGUUCCAUUGGUGACUUUGCUCACUCAAAUUAAUUUUGUUCUGCGGAAUUUACAAAGUUCAAAUGGAUUCAUUUGGAUUACUAUUGAAUUUAGCUUUCAUUUCAACAUUCAUUCUAAUGUUUUACAAUCAUGUAUUUAGAUUUACUUUAAUUUUAUGUUUAAAGCUUCUACAAUGAAUAGCGGAGCUUGGGUUUUAGUUUCAUUUUCUAAUUAACUUCUUUUAGUUUAUCUUAUAUGCUCGCCAAGUGCUUGUUAUAUUGUCUGAUAAGUUAUAUAACAUUGCUGAUUCUAUAUUAGUAAUGUCAUGUUCCAUUUACGGAAAUUAUAGCACAAAAGUUUUUACAAUGGCUUGCAUCUACAAACUGAAUUGACUUGUAGAGUAAGAGCUUGGAUUAGUGUUAUGUUCUUGAAUAAAUGAAAGUUCAUAUUGUGUAAGAGCAUGUAGAUGUAAAGCAUCACUACCAUUUCUACAAAAUGCUUUCAUUCUGUUCAGAUGCUCCUCUUGAACUUUGAAAGGUGCCUCAUUCAAGUCCUAGCUAUAACUAAUAGCUCUGAUUGCUUAAGUUCCUGUGCUAGCUGAAACAGAUUUAUUUAAUUAAUUAAUUGUGUAUGUACUAAUUAUAUUGAAAGUAUAUGAAGAAAUUGUUUAACAUGAAUGACUUCUAAAUGACUUAAAAGCCUAAAGGAUAUGUCAAAUAAUGCUCAUUUCACUUGAACGAGCCUAAUACUUUUAUGUCUAUGAUUGUCAAUCUUGCUUAAGUGUUUCAGUUAAGUGGUUUACCUAACAGGGGAAAAAAUUUAAUGGAAAACUUUAGAGUUCGAACAGAAAUAUAGUUGACUGCAGAUAUAGUUAUUUUACGGUACAUAAAUCAUAUUGUCCUAUACUCAAUGUCCUACGACCUAUUUUAUUUUAUAUGGUCAUUCAUUUUUGCGAUGGUUUUUUGUGCUUAUGAGUAUGGAAAUAGUGGGAUUUGGUGUGGCAAACAAAAAUAUACAUAUAAUCAAGUUUCUUAAUCAUGUAUAUUGGUUUUGGGUAUGAAUGUUUUCCUAUUCUAGUUCUAGACAAAGUUUCUUCAUUUUGGUCUUCAGAUUUCCAGUAGGUUAAGUUAAGCAACUAUCAUAACUAGCUAGCUAGUUAUUGCCUGCCUUGUCGCCAUUACCGACGCCAUUACAUUGCAUGGCAUAAGGAAUAGUAACUAGGUGAUUAUUGGUGAUUCCUUGAGUUUAUUAUUGGCCAAACAAACAUAUUCGCCUUUACCCACAACUUAGUUUGAUUAGUUAUUAGAUAAUAAAGAGCCUUAAUCUAUGCAUUGCUUUAUUAUUUUUAUUUGGUUUUUCUUUCAACAAUAUUGUUGAUUUCUUAUAAAAAAUAUUCAUUGGUUUUUAAACACCUAAUCAUUGGCUAUAAUGAAGCUAAUUAAAACGGAGGCUUUGGAUCAAUUUCUGUUAACAACAUACAAAUGAGCAUAACCACCCCCCCCCCCCCCCCCCCAACCACCACCAAAAAAAAAAAAAACCAAAUAGGAAGACUUUGCAAGAUUCACAACCAGGUUACAUUUAAUUUAUUAAUUGUGUGUACGUACUAGUUAUUUGUUGAUAGAAUAGGAAGAAGUAUUUUAAUAUGAAUGGCUUAAAACUUAUUGCUCAGUAAACAUAAUGUGCAUCAGUGCUAGAAAAUGUAUUUAUUGUUUGUAAUUUUUUAUGGUUUUGCUUAAGAAAUGAAAUGUGAAAAAAUGCUACAUUUUAUUAGGAAUAAAUUGAAGAGAUUUAUGAUUUUUAUGUGUUAUUCAAGUUUCAGAUUCAAUUUUAAACUUUUGAUACAUGCAUUGAAAGCUUAAACUCCUUUAAGAAAUUAUUAAUAGACACAUGUUUUAUUAGUGUCAUCUUUUGGAUGAUAGUGAGGAUCUUAUGUCUAUUAAUAAUUCUUGAAUUAUCUAGGCUUGGACAGUUUGGUAAUGCAUAGAUUUCUAUGGCAGCUAGUGCCUGAAAUUUUUUUCCCACGUAAAAAUGGGUUUUUCCGCAGCUGCUCCUCAUGUUCUCUGGGUGCAUACUAGACAAAUGGGUGUCAUGUGUUGUUUUGGCAUAACACAUAAACACUCAUAUAUCUAUGUCGUGUACUUGAAGAACUAUAGGGAGAUGCUUCCGAAGUUUCUAUAAACGUAGAGGAAAACUUUAGAUACUUAAGAUUGAAGAAACUUAUGCAUUCUUGAGUGGGAUAUAUAGGACCACUUACCUUUUGUAAAUAUGAAGGGAAUGUUGGAUAUAUUGAUGGGAGUGGAGGAGCUGAGUGGGAUGAAUGUAAUCGGUUAUGAUUUUGCUGAGUUGACUUGGUUUUGAGUCUUGUAAUUUUGUUUAUAAAUGGAGUACUAUCUCCAAUGUUGGUUUAUAAAUAUGUUUCAGCUGGCUGACCUAAUUUUUUGUUUCUAGGUAACAGGCUUUAUAUAUCUGUAAUUGAUAGCCAAGUGAAGUUCUCAGCAGUGGGUGAGGAUAUUUCUUUACAGAAGGUAUUGCAAACUGUUUUUUAGAUUAAUUAUUAUUGUAUAUAUACUUUAAUUUUCACAUCUUUUUCUCUGAUUCUUGUGGCUUUGCUUGCUUCCAUAUAUAUAAAACCAUAAAAUUGUAUAAUAAUUUUUUUAUUAUAUUGCGAAACUGCGCACACAUGAAAAUAUCUUGUUUAGUAGUAGAAAUGAAGAAUUAAAGUGAUUUAUUUAACUAAUUUUUCUAGUGCAUUAAAAGGAGAUAGUCAUGGACCAGAGUUGGGUUGGUUUGCCAAAUAGAUAUCCAAUUCAUAUACUGAUGGGGUCAAAAAAUUUAUAGAUUUUGCAUUUGAGAAUGUUGUUGGUGAUAAAAGAAUUUAUUGCCCUUUAGAAGUGUCGUAAUAUCGAUAUUUCAUUAUAAGGAAAGUAGCAAGAGACCAUAUCAUUAUAAAUGGCUAUUGGUUAAAGUAUUAAAACUGGAUAUUGGAGGGUGAGCCAUCUUCAUCUUUGAAAUCUAACUAAGAAACAGGUUAGUCAUGACUCGGGUAGUGAUGCUAGUAUGCUUGGAAUGAUGCAUAAUGCAUCACGUAAUCAAAUGUUCAAGUCACACGCAGCAUUGUUAUGGACUAUCUCCGACUUUCUAGCAUAUGCCAACUUGUUUGGGUGGAGUAUUAAAGGUAAAUAAGCAUUUCUUGUUUGCCAACAAAACACUAGAUCUAAUUGGUUGAUACAUAGUAGAAAAUUGUCACGUGGGUCACCGUCGAUUUUUACCAACAAAUCAUAGGUUCCGAAAAUAUAGUGCCAUCUGAUAAAACUAGAGAGUGGGGACAAGCACCUUCUCGGUUGUCUGGAGCCGAGGUGAAAAACCAGUUCAGUAAUGUACUUAAGAUUGAAGACUUGAAAAGAGGAGAAAAGAGGAGAAUGAAUAAAAUGAAAGAAAUGAUAAGAUUACUUGGAAGAAGAAAAGCAUUUUUUAUGAACUAACGUAUUGGGAGUUCAAUUUGAUUCAUCAUAAUCUCGAUGUCAUGCACCGUUUUGAUUUUUGUUAUGAACUCAGAUCAAAAGUUUAAUGUGAUCAAAAUUUCUUAAAAAUAGUGAAAACGACUCCUCCUAAUAAUAUGGAAGAUGGCUAUAAAAGAUAAUUUCUUAAAAGUUUAAUGUGAUCAAAAUUGCUUGUGAACGCAAGGGUUUUAGUUACACUGUCAACGCUGUCAAUGUAGUGAUACAAUGAAGAUGAAGUAAAGCAUUAGUAGAAUAAUGAAGUUGACCAGUAACACAGUAAAGCAAAUUUUAUUCCAGAGCAUGAAAACUUUUAAACAGUAACACAGCUCUUAUUCCAGAGGCUGCACGCGAGUGACCUGAAUCUUCUUCAGAACUUUCAAAUUUUAUCAAGCAAAGCUUUCAAAAUCCUUUGCCUUCCUAAGUUAGGAAAGAUAGAUGUGGAGCAAACUAUUUUUUUUAGAUAUUUUCACUUUGGGCUGUCAGCCCGAGGAAGUAGGGGGGUCUGAGUUAUUCAACUGAAAAUGUCGGCCAAGUUCUUGUGUUAGUUUUAGUAUAUUGUGUACAAAUGAUACACUAACUUGAAUUUAUAUGCUUUUAUGACUAUUUGAUAAUCAAAUGGGUAAAUGACACGAAUAACUUUGAGUUUAAAAAUCUGGCCCUGAUGCCUGGUAGCCCUCCAACCUAUGAAGCACUAGAUGUUUUAAUGAUAAAACGACAAGACCAUUUAUCAAAUUUCUUGUGGAUAUAAAUACAUACACAUAGACGAGACCAACCUCCUCAAAUGAGAAUCAGAGUGAUUACAAGACCUUUCAAUGAGACAAUAAUACACCAUCAAAUCUCAAAAUACAAUAGAAAUUCAUGACAUAUAUAUAAUAAAAGACCACUCAUUGAGUCAUAUAUAUUGAGAAUAAAUUUUUUUUAAUACAUACAAAGAGCUUAGCUAGAAUGAAAUGUCUUUGGACUUGCGAUGAAAACAAAGGAAACAGACAUGUUGCAACUCACACUAUCACAGAUGUAGCGACACAAUGCAGUGAAUCACAAGAAGAUCACGAAGAUGGAAACGGGAACCCCUCAGAAUGUAAACUUUGAAUAGAGGAAAAAAGGAAAACGACCUUAUUCACAGAGGACGAGUGACUUAAAUCUUCAUCAGUAUCCAAACAUUCUGCAAUCAUAGAGUAGAGAAAUUUUAACAGGAACAGCAGAGAAAAUAUUAUGAAUAUGCACUGAUUACGUUUUUUUUUUUAAUUUUUUUAAUCCGAUUAAUGAUAUUCAGCUGUUCUUUAAUUAUGUGUUCAUAGGGAAGAACAUUUUCUAAGUACUUUCCUUGCCUUCUAACUUUCCAAGGAAAUAUAGGUGUGAAGAAAAGCAAACCCAAUGAACAAACAGAGCACAAAGUAAAAUAAAAGAACAGCAAUGAUGACGAUAAAUAAUUGGCAAAGAAAGAAAGGAAAAAGUAUGCACGUUUUCAAGGAUUUAUAAAAUACGAAGGCUUUUAAUGGAAUUUUAUCAUAAAAACGUAUGCAAGGAGUUAUAAAAUUUUAGAAGACGAGGGGAGCUCGCAAAAAAAAAAAAAAAAGACUCAAAUUAAACUAGACUAAAAAGACAUUCAAUUAUGCAAAAUCUGUCCAUAAAAGUCUGAAAGGAUCAUUAAAAUUGCAUUGCAAAUUUAACAGUAAACCGAGGGAUCCAUUCUAAAUAAUUCAGAUGAAAUUGCGAAACAAGCCAUGGGAUUAAAUAAAUGAAAUAAAAAUUAAUUACCAGUUGAGACUUUCUUCUAAAAAUUCGCAACUCCAAGUCAUAAGAAGCCUAUGAAAUUAGUCGUACUGCGUAGAGUAUGACGACGACACCGCCAACAGCUGAAAGUAAAAUUCUUAUUCAUCAAUUUAAACUUUUACUUUAUAAAAAAUAUCUUAUCUAUAUUGUAUUUAAGAAAGCAAAUUUUGUAAAAAUUUAUCAUGGGAGAUAGAGAGUAAUAUGUAUAGACGUACCUUCUCAGCAUGUAAUUGUUGUAUGGUUGUGUUUAGAUCAUUAUUAGCCCAGCGCCGUUGAUCCGCUGUCUCUCCAUAGCAGACGUUUACUCUUAGAGGCAUGAUUGAUUCUCCUGUAGUGAAAAUCUUCAUCUUGGGACAACCAAUCACACACAAAUCUUGCAAAGAUGGGAAUUUGAAGGUGUAAUUGGCAGAGCAGAAACUUGUGAGGCUAUCUAAAUCACGCAGUUCCAACGUCUUCAAUUUGCGGAAAACAAUCUCUUCUUUUUCAACUCCUUCUUUGUCAUUUAUUACCACCUCUGUCAUUGCUCUGCAUUCACGCAUACGCACUGUGACGAGUUGCACUAGAGUUUUUGCUGUGGAGGAUGUUACCAAGUGUAUCAAUUCCUUGCAACCGAAAGCUACAAUUUCGGUUAGGUUCCGAAAAGAUACCGAUGAUGAUGGCAAUAGAAUUAACAGACUUUGACAAUCAUAUACUUUUAGAAUUUCAAGAUACUGAAAAAUGGGGCCAAGUUUGGAGUCUUGUUUGCACAGCUGCUCAAGAUGAUAGUGCUGGUGCAGCUGUAAUUCUUUUAUCAUUGCCAACUUCCCCACAUGUUUCUCUAAGCAUCCUUCCAUCGAAAAUACCUCUUCGUGGAAUGAAAAAUUACACAGUAUGAGUAUUUCGAGACUGUGAAAUCUCUCAAGUACAUUCCAGAUUGGAAAACAAGCUGAGUCAUCGCCACCAAUAUUUAGUUGUUUAAGACUGCCAAAAAGGUGUUGGGGGAAAUCGGCCUGCAAAAUCAUCUUCACGUCUUUUCCAUUUAAUGUUAGGUCCUUCAAGUUGGGUAAGAUCUGAUCAUCAUCAAUCAUAAUAAUUAUUAAGGUCAAUUGAUGUUCUCUCAAAUGAUUUUAAGUAAUCCAAUCACACGCAGUGACUUUAUAGUAUUUGUUUUAUAUUAUAUUUUACACAAAAAAAUGAAUUAUUGAAAAAAAUUAUUAAAUGAUUUUUUAUAUGUUAAUUUUAGAGGUAAAAAAGAAAUUAAGGAAAAAAUUUUGAUUUAUACUGGCUGGAAAUUAUUUUAUUGCACAAUAAUAAAUUACUAAUUUAUUUUGUAAGUUCUUAUAUAUGGAAAGACUAAGUAUCUCCAAAAGGCUCUAUAAAUUUUACUCUUUCAAAUUUCUAUUUGCUUACCUAUGUGGCAAAUAGAAAAGUGAAAAAAUAUGUUAUUCUCCAAAAGACUCUUCAAAUAGAAAUGAAUUAAUAUUAUUUUAAUUAAAUAACUAUUUUUAAAAAAUAAAAAGUCAAUAGUAAUUAAAACACCUCUCUCUCUUUCUCCAACAAAAAGUAAUAAAAUAUAAAUUGAAGAGGGGGAAUGCAACUCUCCAAAUUUGAAGAGAGAUGAUCAUUUCUUAUUUGAAGAAUCUUAAUUGGAGUAUCUUUUGGAACUUUAAAUGCUGAUGUGGCUCUUCAAAUAAGUAAUAAAAUCUUAUUUAAAGAGUCUUUUGGUGAUGCUCUAAGGAUUCUUUUAUAAAUGCUAUACCUAAAAAAGUUCAUAUAAUUAUUAAUCUAUCAAUAAAUCCCUUAGUCUAGACUAGCAAAGAUUAUUGUAUAAUAAAAGUUUUCAAUUUAUUGAGUAUUAAUUUAUUGAUGCUUUGUCAUAUUUUUUAAAGUUCAAACUAAGCUAUUGAUAGAAAUCUAGAAAAUGGCUUCAUACAUUUUCCAACGGCAAUAGGGCCUGUUGUGCAGGAGUAUCAAGUUCAUCAUUCUCAAAAAAAAAAAAAAGAUUGAAUUAUUGAUAAAAUUUAUUAAAUGAUUUUUUAUAUGUUAAUUUUAGAGGUAAAAAAGAAAUUAGGGAAAAAAUGUUGAUUUAUACAGGCUCGAAAUUAUUUUAUUGCACAAUAAUAAAUUACUAAUUUAUUUUGUAAGUUCUUCUAUAUGGAAAGACUGAGGAUUCUUUUACAAAUGCUAUACCUAAAACAAUUCAUAUAAUUAUUAAUCUACCACAUUGAUCCCUUAGUCUAGACUAACAAAGAUUAUUGUAUAAUAAAAGUUUUUAAUUUAUUGAGUAUUAAUUUAUCGAUACUUUGUCAUAUUUUUCAAAGUUAAAAAUAAGCUAUUGAUAAAAAAUCUAGAAAAUGGCUUCAUACCUUUUCCAACGGCAAGGGGGGCAGUUGUGCAGGAAUACCAAGUUGAUCAUUCUCAUUAUUCUGCGAUAAAUCUGCAGCGAAUAUCUUUAAUUUGUCACAACCAUACACAUAAAGAAUUUCUAGCGCGGGCCAUUCCGAAGUAUGCAUUCCAGGGUACAAACAUCUAAGUUUUGGUAGAUCUUGGAGUCUCAGAGUGGUGAGCGGUGGAAAGACAAAAUGAGGGAUCACUUGAUCUGCUCUGUUUUCAGAAAUGAUCUCCUGUAAAUCCUUACAGAAGCGUAUAUCUAGGUGUUGGAGCUGCUUAAGGCUUCCGAUCAUAGACGCUGAAAAUAUGUAUUUUAAUUUAUGACAACGAUGCACAGUCAAUCGUGUUAAAUUUUGAAAGCGAGGAAACAUGACCGGAAGAUUAUUGUAGUGCCAAAUCUUGUCGACAUUAAUUUCAUAUAUCUCCAAAGCCUCCAAGUUAGGCAACGCAACCUAAAAAAAUAAGAAUUUCUCGUUAGAUCCAAUAUCCAUAUGGGAAGCACUUGUUGAAAUUUUCUUCUUUGAUUACAAAUUAAUGCAAGUCUGAAUCAAUUUCCAACUGACAGCUGAGUAUGCAUUCUAAUUCAUACUACUUGUUAAGAGCUCAAUUAGUGAGCGCGUGAGAUUCUUUUUAUCCUUUUUUCCAUUUUCUUUCAAAUCUUUAAAUGAUUUAAUUACGAAAAAUUAAAUGAUUAAGCCCAUUUUAGUUGACCAAUUUUCUUAAUUAUAUGAAUAAAAUCUGUUAUAUAUGAAGAAAAUGUUAGCCUACGCACCUUCUCGUUGAAAAGCAGAGUUGAAGUAUCCAAAGUGAUUUCGCUGGAGCUAUACGUAGUCGUCGAUUCCUCCUGCGACGCUGGUCUGUUUGGUGAUGCUGAAGGAGUCUUUACUUCACGGCAGAAAUUUGUAACCUCUGGAAGAUUCCCCAGACUCAAAUAUCUUAAUUGAGCAAACUCUAUCUUCUCAAUUGCAUUAUCAACUUCUUCCCCAAUUGCAAAAAUCUCUUUCAUCUUGCUGCAAUUAAUAACUGCAAUUCUCUCAAGUCUUGGAAGGCAUUUUGUAGUAGAGAGCCAAAAGAUAUUACUCAAUUUAUCACAACUAUAUGCUUCUAUGGUUUUGAGUUUGUUGAAAGACUCUACUUUGAGCCGAUCAAUACAUAUCCUCUCCAUGUUGAUCAAGUUGUGAAGGAUAAGUGACUCCAAAGGAGGAAAGGCAUCACAAGCGACCAUCUCCCUGGAAUCGACGAUACAAAAGAUGUCAGGAUUAUUUUGAACCCAGAGAAGCUUCAAUUGUGAAAAGCCCUCCGUGUCCAAAUUGAAAAGAACACUCUCGAUGCCUUGCAGCUUGUCCAACCAUAAGCAUUCAACGUUAUUGAUGCCCUGCAAUUUCAUGGAGCAAAUGUCCAUAAAAUCAAGCUUGAGCUUCAAUGCUCUUAAACUCUUGCGAUCUCUGUCGAUCACAAAGUGCUGCCAACUUUUAAACCAUCUGUGUCUAAAAAGCAUGGGAUGUGUGAAUAACCCAUUUCCAAUAUGUAUUUGGAACCUUUCGAGCUUUCUGGCCAAAAAGCCUUCUGGUAAAAUACUAUCAUUUUUAACAUCAAUUUCUAGAGUGGUUAGCCGAGGUAAAUGCAUCAAUUCAUCAAGGCUAGCAUUACUUCUUUUGCUGUUGGCUCUUUCAACCUCCCAUUCAAUGGAGCAAUUACCCAUAUACAAUUCUUCUAAUCGGAUUAAGCUUGAUAUGACAUUUGGGGCAAUAACUUUCAGACGGAAACAGUCUGUUAAAUCUAACAACCUUAGCUUAGUCAGUUGACCGAGUGCUUUAGGCAACUCUACAAUAUCAGAUUCCAAAAAGCUGAUGAUUUCUAGAUUUUCCAACUUUCCAAUAAUGGCUAUGUCUAUGCCUCCCAAAAUGCUUUGAUUAAGACAGAGUGUCUGAAGAUUUACUAGAAGACCAAUUGAAGAUGGCAAUGACAAUAACCGCAUUCUAGUCAAAUCCAAAACCCGAAGCUUUUUCGUCCUUUUGAAGAAGUUCUCAGGAAUAUUAGGCACAGCAAAAGAGUUCUUGGGAGACAUGAGUAGAAGUUCAAGUUGUAGAGAUUCGGACCCUUCAAGAAUGUCAUUAAUAAUACUAUCUUUUAAAGAAAUUGCAAGAUAUUUUUUUAAUUCAUCUGCAUUUGGCCAUUUCCAAUCAUCCUCAUUUCUCACCACAAAUCCAAUUUUGUCACGACAUGCAAUUGAAAUGGCAACAUCGCGAACAACGUCGUGCAUAGAAAAGUAUUUACUGCCACCAUCCUCAAGCAACAAACAAGAGUCUCUUAGUUGAUGGACCCAUGCAUCUAAUUUGUUAUGUGCAUCUUCUAGCUUGUGGACACUUUUAAAUACACCCCAGCCCAUGCUAUAUUUGAACAAGUCCAUAAUUGGUGCUGGCGUAAUAAGACUACACAGUAAAAAAGUUUUCUUGAGUUGCUCACCUCUUAAGUACUUGUAACUCAGCUCAAUUGUUGAGUAUGCCUCUGCUGGUACUCCUUCGUCGAAGCUCGCCUCUGAAGGCGUUCGGAGUUCUUGCAAGGCAUUCUUCCACACAGGCAGCUCUUUUUUUCUCAGUGCCUUUGCUACUGUGAUUAGGGCAAUAGGCAAACCUCCGCAUGCCUUGGCUACACUUGUUGCUGUAGAUUUUAACUCACGAUUUUCAACAUAAUCACCAGCCAUUAUCUUGAACAAACUCCAGGCUUCUUGUUCAUUUAAAAUGCCAAUCGAGAAGUUUUUUUCAGAUCCCAUCCUUAACAGCACAUCAAGAUCUCUUGUUGUGAAUAAUAAUUUACAUCCUCUGUGCUCAACUCCAAAAGGAACUCCAAUAGUCCCCAAAUCAAGAGGUUUCCAGAUGUUAUCCAGAAUCACAAGGAUCUUCUUCUCAUUCUUCAAUCUUUCAUAUAGUCUACUAGCUCUUCUAGACUCAGCUUCCUCGGACAACUGUAGGCCUAACGUUACCGCAAUUUCCUCUUGGAUCUUUUUUAUGUCUGGACUUUGGGUAACCUCCGAAAAAGCCACCAUAUCGUAAAGCUUGUCUUCAAUGGCUCGCCUUGCAAACUCCCGCACCAGUGUCGUCUUUCCAAUGCCGCCCAUGCCGUAGACGCCAAUGAUGCUGACAUCAACAUCGAUCAAUGCAUUUUGUAUGGCCUUCAAAGUAGAAAGUCUUGAUUCGAAGGCCUCGUAGCCUUUGUGAGACUUGAGCCAAAUCUCCUCCGGAAUGGUACGGUAGGAAAUUCUAUCAUCAAAUCUCCCAGCUUCUUCUCGGAGUUUAAAAAGGGCCUCCUUCUCUGUUUCUGCUUUCUUUCCAUGCUGAUAGCGAGUAAUCCAAUUAGGAAACAGCCCCAUGAGACAUCGUUCAUUUGCUUUCUCUUCGUCUUGAAUGAAUUUGGCUGCCUCCUCAAUGCUCUUGUUCGCAUUAACCAGCCAUUUCUCAACCUUCUCUUCAAUCUUUUCACUUUUUCUUUCAGCCUCAGAAACUCUGCGCUGAAUGCUUUCUCUUUCAUCCUUGAGCCCAUCGAGUUCUUCCUUGAGAUUCUCAAAGUUGGCAGCGGAGUUAUACCAAUAACUAAAUUCGCGUUGUGCGUGAGGAGACAAGCAGUUUACAAUGCUUUUCAAAAUGUCCAUUGUUUUUUUGGGUUGGGGGGGGGGGGGGGGGGGGGGGGGGGGGGGGGGGGGGGAGGGGGGGGAAGGGAACGAAAUAGAAAUAGAACAGGGUCAUCGACCGCGCAAUUGAUAAUCAAGUAGAAGCAAAACAAGGCAAAAUUGGAAAAAGAAAUGAUAUUUGUACAAAACAAGGGGAAAAUCAGUGUAACAGAAGAGAAUCAAAGUGUUUUUGAGAUCAGAAAAUUGAAUCAAGAAAAGGGUUGCUUGAUCCAAUGAAAUGCAAACAGCUGGUGGCAAAAGGGAACGAAGCUAAAUAAGAAAACGGCUAGCACGAGCAGUGACCACGAUAAAUAGAAGCAAAGUGUGUAUGAGAUCAAAAGACGAAAAUCAGGAGAGGUUUUCUUGACUGAGAAUUGAAGGCAAAGAGUAGGAGCUGACGAAUACGGGGAUCAAGAGGGAAAAACUGCUUGCUCGUAAAACUACUUUCAAGCGAAUCUGAUAAAAUUAUUUCAAUACUCAUGGGCGACUCCUUUUUAAACUGCAGAAGGAAAAAAAAAAAAAAAAAAAGAGUUCUGAAUUUCAAUAUAUUAAUUUUUAUCCUAAUUUAUGUUGAGAUUCGUAAUCUCGUCUCAAUGAUUAAUUAGUAGAUAUUCUUUCUAACAAAUAUGUGUUGAAUAGAUAUAUUUCUUGACUAUUAGUAAGUUAGAUAUAUUUUGGCAUAGGAAUGAAAGUACCAAGUUGUGUCAUAUUAGAAUAAAAAUUUGAGCUAAAAAUAUUUUUCUAUGACCUUUUAAUUAUUUGUCAGCAAAUAAUUAAGUCAUAUAAAAAAAUUAAUAAUCUGAAUUAGUCUUUAAGUAUUAUAAAUAUUAUUUUUAUUUUUAAUUAUAAUAUCAUUAUUUAAAAAUAAUUGCUUGACUUAUAUUAGUAACAUUACGAUUGUCAUAAAACAUGUGAUCCUGAUCCAAUAUCCAUUAUUUGUGAUCCUUAAUCAAUAAAAUAUCUAACAAUAUCUUCACCUAAAGUUUGAGACAUGUGAUCCUUAUUCCACUGCGUCAAUUACACUCCAGACCAAUGCUGCCGUCAUUAUCGAACGGUCGAUAUCCAACACUUGCACGAAGAUUCCAAGAAGUUGCGUGGCUGCCGACUUUUAGAUGCAAAGCCUCAUUGUGUCGAUGUUACACAAAAGAGAGCAAGUCCGGGUAAUUGCCGAAACUUAGAACUAAACAGUAGCUUAGUCAGAAAAUCAAACGCCAGUAACCGUUAAAAUGACCGAUAAAAAUAUAAAGAAACCAAAGCUUUAAAAGAAAUCAGCCAAAUCACGAAGAUUGAAGAGUAAAUCUAUGGUUUUAGAUUUUUAUUUUAUUUUUUUAGAUAAUAGAUAUUAUUUUGAUGAAUUUUUAAUAUUAGAAUAAUGUUAGGAAUUUCGAUAGUAGAUUUCUAACUUGAGAUCCAAUUGUUAUGUAUCAUUUUUUUAUUGGAUAAUGAAUUUCAUAACUAGUAAAAUUAAUAUUUCGAUCAUCUAAUAAAUGACUAUCAUAUCAGUUGAGACUCAAUUAUUGGGAUCCUUAACAUUGCUCUUACUAUUAAAUUGGACAUCUUAGCUAAAUCAAAUUAGAUUUUAGGCUUUUAUCCAACAUCUCUUUUUUUUUUUUUUUGGUCUAUUUGAAGUGAACGAAAUAAAAAUACAACAGGUUCAACGACUGGGCAAUUGAUAGUCAAGUAGAAACAAAUCAAGGCUAAAUGGGAAAGAGAAAUGAUAUUUGUGCAAAACAAGGAGAAAAUCAGUGUAACUGAAGAGAAUCAAAGUGCUUUUGAGAUAAAAAAAAAUUGAAGCAAGAAAAGGGUCGCUUGAUUGAAUGAAAAUGCUAAGAGCUGAUGGCAAAAGAGAACAAUGUUAAAUAAGAAAACAGCUAGCUCUAGCAGCGACCACAAUAAACAGAAAAGUUGAGAUGGAUUUACAAUAUUUCUGUCUUUCUUCAUGCUUUAACAAAUAUUGCUCUAUAAAAAAAAAUAUUGAGCGUUUUUAUUAUUGGAAUCACAAAAGACCUACACAAUAUAGCAAGUGACUAGGAAUAAAUAAGAAUAUAUAACUCUCUCUCUCAUUCUCACUCUAGCUUUUAAUUGUCACUCAAAACCCAUAAUUCUUCCUUAAAGUGUAAGCAAAUAAGAGAUGACAGCGUCUGGUUGUCAUACGCGCCUUUUAGUUUUCGGAUGACAUGGGGUACACUUCUUCUGUAAACCGAACACGACAUGUCGUACUCUUUGUUUUGAGAUCAUAUUUCAAACUCUUCAUGCUAUGAAUGAAAGAUAAACUACAAUCAUCAAAAUAUUUAGUGUUUAUUUGGUAAUGUAAUGUCAUAGUUGUUGUGAAUUGAAAUUAUUUAUGUAAGAUAAAAGGAUUUGGGUCAUCGUUUGUUAUUCUCUGGCAAUAUUGUUUGGCCGUGACUACUUGAAAUUAUUUCUGUAAGAUAAAAGGAUUUGGGUCAUUGUUUGUUAUUCUCUGGCAAUAUUGUCUGGCCGUGACUAUUUGUUAAAUAUUUAAAAAAUAAAUUUAUAUUUAUUAAGUAUAAAAAAAAUAAACAAACAAAAAUAAAAGGAAAAGUUUAUACAUUACAUAAAAUAAUAAGAACAAUAUCAAUAUUUCACACUCUAUAAUUGAGUGAUGUGUUGUCCAACUGCCAUACUGAUAAACAGUGAACUCGAAACUCAAGUACUACAAGUCGUUUAGAGGAUUCAGUCUCGGAUGACUUGUCACUUGUAGAAGUUCCUGAAGCCAGAACCGACAUAAUCUUAGUCAUCUGUUCUAUCUUUAGUAGUACACGUGGUUUGCACAUGUGUUGAAGCUAACUCUUGCUUGGAUCAAGAAACGACGUCUCUGAGUGCAGUUUCUUAAUCACACUUAAAUCAGCGUGUGACAAGCACGUGAGGCAGAGCUUCUUGGAUAGAUUUGGCGGGAAUGGUAGUUGGCGUAACAACCCAGAAACAGAGGAUAAAAAGGUGCAGGCUUUGUCAUCGUCUUCACAUGAUUUGGGAAACACUGAGAGUAGAGAGAAGAUAGAGAGAGAAAGGGGUUUACAAGUUCUUGUUCUCUGUAAAUCAAUUCCUAUUCUUGUAUUGUUUUGUGAACGAAAUAGUGAAAGACUGUUGCUUUGUUUCCAGUGGAUGUAAGCACCACUUCUUGGUGCUGAACCACUUAUGCUUGGUGUCUUGUUUGUGAUCUUGAAAACUUUGAUUCGUGUGUGUAUUUGUUGCUGAAUAGUCUGUGUUAAUCAUUCUUAAAACCAUCGAUACAGAACUAAGUGUCUUGGGGAGAAUUUGGUUAAUCUUAUCAAAGCCAAAUUCACAACACAUACAUUGGUCCCAAACAGAGACUUAAAUAUUAAAGUCCAAAGUUAUUGUGAUGAUGACUUAUAAUCGCCAAACUUGACAUAGGGGUAAUCAUGCAUUAUAAGGUGCUGAUUUCUUCCGAUCAGAACCUUAUUUUUCAUUUACAAAUAAAUAAAUGAUGUGACUUCACGGUUGGCGGGGUCCUUUGUGUCAUUUGGGCAUUUCACUAAAUGAUUGAUUGCAGCAGGAAGAUUCCUGGAAGUUGCCAUUUGCCAAUGCUACUAACAUUUUCAAACUUGGAAAACCCUUCAAUCAAUCUUUUAGUGGUAGGCUCUGGUAGCUUGGUUUGAUUAUGACAUAUGAUUAUUUGAUAAUAAAGCUAGAGGAUGUAUUAAUAUAAAAUUUGUUUAUUGGUGUUGAAGUUAAUUAUCUCAUUAAUAAUGGUAUAAAAAGUUAAUUACUAAGAAACACAUAGCAGUAUUCUGGGAUAUAAUUUUAUAUCAUAACUUUGUAAGUGUAUAAUUACGCAUUAAAUUAACAAAAUUAUUUUAAAAUAUUUCGUUAGAAAAAAUAAAUUAUAUUCUUUUUAUUUCAAAUAAUCUAUAAGUUAACUCAAAACAUAAUCAAGUUGAGAAUUAAAAUAAUGCUACUGUAUGAGAGGAUUUUUAUUUUUUCCCGAAGUUUCACUAGGAAAUUAUUGAUAUAUAGCUUUAUUCGGAUCAUCUGAGUUCAAACGACAAAUAAUUGAAAGACUAAAGUAAAUAGACCAGCCAACAACUUUGUACAGCAGAGUUCAAAAAUUAAGGUCAUGGUAUUGAGGUGUUUUGUCUUGAAAAGUACGGCAUAAUGAUAAAAUAAAAACUAUUAGUCUUUGGUAAGAUAUAACUUUUAAAUAAUAAUUUUCACAAAAAUACAAAGAAUAUUUUAUAAAGUACUUCUAUAGUGAGGAGACCCUCACUUUGUUAAAGUGAAAAUAUCAAUAAUAUACAAGAAACAUAUAUUCUAACAUAUUGAGAACUGUAUCUUUUUAAUCUAUUAGUGUAUUGAAAUAUGUGUUAUUUAGUUUGUUAGUGAUAUCAUCACUUUGUUAAAAUACGGAUGUCAGAACCAUUAUAUUUUAAAGUUUUACUUCAUUGCUUUAUUAAUCUUAUUACUAUUUCUCCUUUGCACUUCUAAAGAAACCAAUUAACCAAAGCUUUAAAAGAAAUCAGCCAAAUCACGAAGAUUGAAGAGUAAAUCUAUGGUUUUAGAUUUUUAUUUUAUUUUUUAGAUAAUAGAUAUUAUUUUGAUGAAUUUUUAAUAUUAGAAUAAUGUUAGAAAUUUCAAUAGUAGAAUUCUAACUUAGGACCCAAUUGUUAUGUGUCAUUAUUUUAUUAGAUAAUGAAUUUCAUAACUAGUAAAAUUAAUAUUUCGAUCAUCUAAUAAAUGACUAUCAUAUCAGUUGAGACUCAAUUAUUGGGAUCCUUAACAUUGCUCUUAGUAUUAAAUUGGACAUCUUAGCUAAAUCAGAUUAAAAAUCAAAUUAGAUUUUUUGCUUUUAUCCAACAUCUCUUUUUUUUUUUGGGGUCUAUUUGAAGUGAACGAAAUAAAAAUACAACAGGGUCAACGACUGGGUAAUUGAUAGUCAAGUAGAAGCAAAUCAAGGCUAAAUGGGAAAGAGAAAUGAUAUUUGUACAAAAUAAGGAGAAAAUCAAUGUAACAGAAUUACAGAAGAGAAUCAAAGUGCUUUUGAGAUCAGAAAUUGAAGCAAGAAAAGGGUCGCUUGAUCCAAUAAAAAUGCAAAGAGCUGAUGGCAAAAGGGAACAAAGUUAAAUAAGAAAAUAGCUAGCGCUAGCAGCGACCACAAUAAACAUAAAAAGUUGAGAUGGAUUUACAAUAUUUCUGUCUUUCUUCAUGCUUUAACAAAUAUUGCUCUAUAAAAAAAAUAUUGAGCAUUUUUAUUAUUGGAGUCACAAAAGACCUACACAAUAUAGCAAGUGACUAGGAAUAAGAAUAUAUAACUCUCUCUCUAAUUCUCACUCUAGCUUUUAAUUGUCACUCAAAACCCAGAAUUUAUCCUUAAAGUGUAAGCAAAUCAAAGAUGACAGCGUUUGGUUGUCAUACGUGCCUUUUAGUUUCUGGAUGACAUGGCGCACACUUCUUCUGGAAACCCAACACUACAUGUCGUACUCUUUUGUUUUGAGAUCGUAUUUCAAACUCUUCAUGCUAUGAAUGAAAGAUAAUCUACAAUCAUCAAAAUAUUUAGUGUUUAUUUGGUAAUGUAACGUCAUAGUUGUUGUGAAUUGAAGUUAUUUCUGUAAGAUAAAAGGAUUUGGGUCAUCGUUUGUUAUUAUCUGGCAAUAUUGUCUGGCCGUGACUAUUUGUUAAAUAUUAAAAAAAUAAAUUUAUAUUUAUUAAGUAUAAAAAAUAAAUAAACAAACAAAAAUAAAAGGAAAAGUUUAUACAUUACGUAAAAUAAUAAGAACAACAUCAAUAUUUCAUACUCUAUGAUUGAGUGAUGUGUUGUCCAACUGCCAUACAUUGGUCCCAAAUGGAGACUUAAAUAUCAAAGUCCAAAGUUAUUGUGAUGAUGACUUAUAAUCGCCAAACUUGACAUACGAGUAAUCAUGCAUUAUAAGGUGCUGAUUUCUUCCGAUCGGAACCUUAUUUUUCAUUUACAAAUAAAUAAAUGAUGUGACUUCAUGGUUGGCGGGGUCCUUUGUGUCAUUUGGGCAUUUCACUAAAUGAUUGAUUGUAGUAGGAAGAUUCCUGGAAGUUGCCAUUUGCCAAUGCUACUAACAUUUUCAAACUUGGAAAACCCUUCAAUCAAUCUUUUAGUGGUAGGCUCUGGUAGCUUGGUUUGAUUAUGACAUAUGAUUAUUUGAUAAUAAAGCUAGAGGAUGUAUUAAUAUAAAAUUUGUUUAUUGGUGUUGAAGUUAAUUAUCUCAUUAAUAAUGGUAUAAAAAGUUAAUUACUAAGAAACAAAUAGCAGUAGUUAAUUGGUGUCAUAUUAUUGGGAUUCUGGGAUAUAAUUUUAUAUCAUAACUUUGUAAGUGUAUACUUACUCAUCAAACUAAUAAAAUUAUUUAAAAAUUUCAGUUGGAAAAAAUAAAUUAUAUUAUUUUCAUUUCAAAUAAUCUAUAAGUUAACUCAAAACAUAAUCAAGCUGAGAAUUAAAAUAAUGCUACUGUAUGAGAGGAUUUUUAUUUUUUCCCGAAGUUUCACUAGGAAAUUAUUGACACAUAGCUUUAUUCGGAUCAUCUCAGUUCAAACGACAAAUAAUUGAAAGACUAAGCUAAAUAGACUAGCCAACAACUUUGCACAAGAGAGUUCAAAAAUUAAGGUCAUGGUAUUAAGGUGUUCUAUCUUGAAAAGUAUAGCGUAGUAAUAAAAUAAAAACUAAUAGUCUUUGGUAAGAUAUAACAUUUAAAUAAUAAUUUUCACAAAAAUACAAAGAAUAUUUAUAAAGUACUUCUAUAGUGAGGACACCCUCACUUUGUUAAAGUGAAAAUAUCAAUAAUAUACAAAAGACAUAUAUUUUAACACAUUAAAAAUUGUAUUUUUUUUUAUCUAUUGGUGUAUUGAAAUAUGUGUUAUUUAGUUUGUUAAUGAUAUCAUUACUUUGUUAAAAUGAGAAUGUCGUUACUAGAGAAUCAUUAUAUAUACAUAUAUAAAGUGCCUCUGUCCAAGACCUAGACUUUAUUAACAUUUAAGAAAGCAAAUAUAUUUUAUAUGGUAUAAUAGUGUAAUAACAUCACACAAUUAUAUCAUAUAGAGUAAUAGUUUUUCGAACUUUAAUAAAGUUCAAGAUUAUAGAAUGAAUGAUUUUUAUAUAUUAUAAAUUUUUUUAUCAUAAAUGGAGGACAAAAUUAACAUAUUUUCAAAUUAUAAUAAGUAUUUAUCAAAUAAUUUAACAUUGCAAUUUCUCCUAACUAGUAUAGUAAAUAAUACGACCUAGGAGAUACAUUCAAAGCAUUUCAUAAGUUAGUUGUUAAUAAUAAAUGAUAUAUGCAGCUCCAAUCAUCAUUGUACGGUGAGUAAUUUCCAGUUAUAAAUAGAUAUUACUCCCUUCCCAGCAAUUUUUGAUGACUUAAUUUAGUGGGAUCAAAAUCAACAUUGAAUUUUUGACCAGCUGCCAACAACUUGUGAGCAGUUCACAGUGGGUACUGCACAUGAUGCCUGUUUCUCCUUUUGCAUCUAUUUUUGUUGUUAACAUUAAUUUCAAUAGCAGCUCGUUAAUCCCAAUUGUUGAUUUGGGACUAGAUAAGAAUUUAUCUUGGAACUCCAAUUCUCCCAAUUAUUUUAGUUGACAAUAUAUUUAACAUUAUUAAUUGCAUAUUAUUUAAUUAUCAGUAUAUAAUAUUCUUUAAUUUUCUAAUUUUAUAGGAUUAGACACAAAAUUGAUUAUGCCUUUUGAAAUUUAAGGGUUAUGUCAAUUGAAUAGAAAACUUGGAGGUAAACUUGUGGAUGUUUUUGUUGAUUAUCAAUUUAUGCAUGAAUUUUUGUACGUUUACUUUGGUUUAUAAUUAUUACUUUUAAAUAUUUUUGUUGGUUUGAUUUAGGGUCAAUUUGGUAAUCCUGUAGCUUUUAAAAUAAUUACAAUUAGUUAUGCUGUAGAAAUUGAUCAAUCGUCAAGAGAAUCAGCUGAACAUUUAGUAAAAUUUAUUUUUAAAAGUACUUUUAGUUUUAAAAGCGUUGUAUGAAUAAAACUGUUACACUAAAAAUUAAAUGUAUUGCCCACAUGGGUAAAUAAAGCUAUAUAUUACAACUGUUACACUAAAAAUUAAAUGUAUCUUAAACCCAAACUUCUUCUUCCUUUUUUUUUUUACUAACAAAAUUAAAAACAAUAGUGAACACAUUCUUUAAUAAACAAUAAGUAAUAAAUAAAAUCGUGUUAAAUUUCUUAAAAACUUUCUUUCACGGUUUGCUAAAUAUUUUUAUUAGUAUUUUAAAUAAAUAAAAAUAGUUGAUUUAAUUUUUUUAAAUAAACUUAUUAGGUUCAUGUAAAGAUGUUUUUGUUAUUUUAAAAAGUGUAGAAAGUACUCCUAAAAAAAAGCGUAGAAAGUAAAACUUAAUUUUUUAAAUUUAUUUGCUGAGUGCAUAAAUAAUUGAGUGUUCAUAAUGAUUUUUAAAGUAUAGAUAGUCGGACCCUAAUUUUUUAAUAUAUGAAAAUUUUGCUAAUAUGUUAAUGAGAAUUAAAAAGAUAAUUAAGGGAGGCAAUCGAGACAUUCAGGAUAGUUAGGAUGGGACAUGAUUGUGAGUGGUUUGAUAUUGGUCCUAAUUUUGAUCACAAAUAUAUAAACAGGACGAGUUUAUCUCUACUGACAUUCCAUUUGAUAAUUAAGAUGAGAGCGGAAUUGUCAAAUCUCAAAUCAUCCUGAACCAUUGCCAUCAAAGGUACUCUCACUAAUAAUAUCUAAAGAAAAAUCUACAUCUAUUUCAUACUUUUUUUUUUUAAACGGAAAGAGCCUUCAUGGGGCUUGAAAUGUUAUCCCAAAUAGUAUUAAGAAUAUCAAGCCAUGAUUGGGUUUGAGACAAACAAAUAUUACAUAGUUAGGAUACGUAGUUAUAGUGUCCCAAUUUAUGUAGUAUCUAUCAUUUAGUGCACAUAUAAAAUAUUAAUCAGCUUAAUUAAUUUAUAAAAUUUAAAUCUAAUUAAUAAGUGAUACAUAAAAGCCAAGUGCAAUAUUGUAUAUGCAAAACAUGUUUGUGGAUCAUUACAAAACUUGCUCUUGAAAACAAGCAAGAAAGCUUAAUUAAGAACUUAAAACAAAAAGAAUUAGAUUGAAAACAGUCAAGCUUUAUUUUUUCAAGGAUGGAGCUUAUAAAUCUUCAAGUACCAACAUAUGCUUGGCCCAAUUGUUGUUAUUAAAAUUUCAAUAUACAUAUAUAAGUAUGAUAUAGCAAAAAUUUGAUGGUACAUAUCUCGGAAUAUACUAGUUCAUGGAUGCAUUUGAUUAUUGUUUCCAUAAAUUUGAACCGGGAAGGAUGACAUGAUAAAAUUUGAUUUUAUGGUAUGGUUGAUUUCAGAUCUCAUGCCCUCAUUUCUUAAGAUAAUCAAAUUUUCUCUGGCAUCUUUUGCAACUGUGGAAAUAUCAAUUAUGAUCAAUCAAAACGAUUUCAAAACCUUUUAACGAGACAUAUUUAUAAUACAAUAUUGUGAAAAUUACAACAAAAAAUUAAUUUAUUAAAUAAUAUAUUAUUAUCCAACGAGCACACAAAAAUGAAUUCGUACAAAUCUAAAAUACUUAGCAAUUUUCAAAUAGAAUUUACCAUGUACUACAAGAAAAUAGGGUAUAUGUGACCCCUAAUGUGAAUGCAAAUUUGCAAAAGCAGCCAUUACGCAUGCCACUAACUUCUAACUUUGCAACCUCGAGUUGCUUACUUGCUUUUGUUACCCUUUAUGUGACGGCCACACUGCUGUCACAUAUGUUACUAACCACGUGACGGUAAAGAGCCGUUCGGUAUAGCACUAUUUUAGAAAUUUAAAUUUAUUUCCAGUUAGAAAACUAUUCGCUGGAAUAGCCACCAUCGUAAACCUAACUGGUUGCCGGCGAACGGCGUAAAACACCGGGCAUCUUCUUCUUCAUCGUAUUCUCCCUUCAUCUUUUGAGGUAAGCUUGUGAUUAUGAGUUUCUUCUCUGACUUAGCUUGUAAUUAUAGAUUUUGAUUUUUUUUUUUAAAUUCGUAUUGUAGCCAUUAUUGUCAAUUUUUGUCCCGCCAGCAAUAUUUUUUUAUUCCUACAAGUUGAAGCCCCUGUGUUCUUGUUCCAUUGGUGAGUUUGCUCACUCAAAUUAAUUUUGUUCUGCGGAAUUUACAAAGUUCAAAUGGAUUCAUUUGAAUUACUAUUGAAUUUAGCUUUAAUUCCAACAUCCAUUCUAAUGUUUUGCUAUUAGAUUUAGUUUAAUUUUAUGUUUAAAGCAUCUACAAUGAAUAGCGGAGCUUGGGUUUUAGUUUCAUUUUCUGGAUAACUUGUUUUAGUUUAUCUUGUAUGCUCACCAAGUGCUUGUUAUAUUGUCUGAUAAGUUAUAUACAUUGCUGAUUCUAUAUUAAUAAUGUUACGUUCUAUUUUCAGAAAUUAUAAUACAAAAGUUUUUACAAUGGCGUGCAUCUACAAACUGAAUUGACUUGUAGAAUAAGAGCUUGCAGUAAAUGAAAGUUCAUAUUGUGUAAGAGCAUGGAGAUGUAAAGCAUCAUUACCAUAUCUACAAAGUGCUUUCAUUAUGGUCAGAUGCUCUUCUUGAACUUUGAAAGGUGCCUCGUUCAAGUCCUAGCUAUAACUACUAGCUUUGAUUAAUUAAGUUCCAAUACUAGCUGAAACAGAUUUAUUUAAUUAAUUAAUUGUGUAUAUACUAAUUAUAUUGAAAGUAUAUGAAACUUUUUUUUUUUUUAAACAUGAAUGACUUCUAAAUGACUUAAAAACCUAAAGGAUGUGUGAAAUAAUGCUCAUUUCACUUGAAUGAGCCUAUUAAUACUUUCUAUGAUUGUCAAUAUUGGCUUAAGCAUUUCAGUUAAGUGGUUUACCUAACAGAGAAAAAAAUUUAAUAGAAAACUUCAGAGUUCUAACAGAAAUAUAGUUCACUCUGCAGAUAUAGUUAUUUUACGGUAUACAAAUUAAGUUGUCCUAAUCUCAAUGUCCUGUGACCGAUUUUAUUUUAUAUAGUCAUUAAUUUUUGCCAUGGUUUUUUGUGUUUAUGAGUAUGAAAUAGUGGGAUUUGGUGUACCUUAGCAUCUUUUGAAAAUUCUCUUUAAGUAUGGCCAACAGAAAUAUACAUAUAAUCAAGUUUCUUAAUUGUGUAUAUUAGUUUUGGGUACGAAUGUUCCUAUUCUAGUUCUAGACAAAGCUUCUUUGUUUUGGUCUUCAGAUUUCCAGUAGGUUAAGUUAAUCAACUAUCAUAACUGGCUAGCUACUUAUUGUCUGCCUUGGCGCCAUUACCCAGGCCAUUAUAUUGCAUAGCAUAAGGAAUAGUGAUUAGGUGAUUAUUAGUGAUUUGUUGAGCUUAUUAUUGACCAAACAAACAUAUUCGCCUUUGCCCACAACCUAGUUUGAUUAGUUUUAGACCACAAAGAGCCUUGAUCUAUUCAUUGGCUUUAUUAUUUUUAUUUGGUUUUUCUUUCAACAAUAUUUUUGAUUUCUUAUAAAAAUAUUCAUUGGUUUUUAAACACCUAGUCAUUGGCUAUAUGAAGCAAAUUAAAACUGAGGCUUUGGAUCAAUUUCUUCUAACAAGAUACAAAUGAGCAUAACCUUUCUCCUCUAAGUAAUUUUUUUUAAUAUCCUUGAUUUGUAAGGAUCUGGAGGCCUGAAAUCCUCUAGAUUUUUUUUAACACUGUCAAUGUCCUUUUUAUUCUGAAAAGGAAAUAAAAGGUUUUAUCUUUCAUACCCUAAUAGUAGGCUGGCCUUGUCUUAACAUGGCUUCUUGAGGAUUUGCAAGAUUCAUAGUUCCCCCAACACACGCCCCCCAAAAAAAAAGAAGAAAAAGAAAGAAAAAAGAAAAAAGGAAGAUUUUGCAAGAUUCACCACCAGUUUUUUUUUUUAAUUUAUUAAUUGUGUGUACGUACUAGUUAUAUGUUGAAAGAAUAGGCAGAAGUAUUUCAACAUGAAUGACAUAAAACUUAUUGCUCAGUAAACAUAAUCUGCAUCAGUGGGAAAAUGUAUUUAUCGUUUGUAUUUUUUAUGGUUUUGCUUAAGAAAUGAUAUGUGAAAUAAUGCUACAUUGUAUCAGGAAUAAAUUGAAGAGAUUUAUGAUAUUUAUGUGUUAUUCAAAUUUCAGAUUCAAUUUUAAACUUUUGAUACGUGCAUUGAAAGCUUAGACUUGUUUAAGAAAUUAUUAAUAGACACAUGUUGUAUUAGUGUCAUCUUUGGAUGAUAGUGAGGAUCAUAUGUCUAUUAAUAAUUCUUGAAUUGUCCAGGCUUGGACAGUUUGGGAAUGCAUAGUUCUCUCUGGUAGCUAGUAGCUGAAGUUUUCUUCCCACGUAAAAAUGGCUUUUUCGGUAGCUGCUCCUCGUGUUCUCUGGGUACGUACUAGGUGAAUGGGUGUCAUGUGUUGUUUUGGCAUAACGCAUAAACACUUAUAUAGCUUUGUCGUGAGCUUGGAGAAUUAUAGGGAGAUGGUGCUGAAAUUUUUAUAAACGUAGAAGAAAACUUUAGGUACUUGAGAUUGAAAAAACAUAUGCAUUCUUGAGUGGGAUAUGUAGGAUUUAUCACUUACCUUUGGUAAAUAUGAAGGGAAUGUUGACUCCUUGAAAUAUGCCCAAACCCAUGGAGUAUCUAAAUAAGUCUGAAAACCAAACACUGUUACCUACUAGACGACAAAGCAGAAAAAUUUUCUUGACUCGCUCACCUUUUAAAUAAUUGAAACUCAGCUCAAUACUUGAAUAAGUUUCUGCAGGCACAUCUUCGAAGUUUACCAUUGAAGGCGUUCGGAGCUCUCGCAAGGCAUUCUUCCAUUCAUGGAGACUCUAGUUUCUCAGUGCCCUCAACGCAAUGGGCAAACCUCCAUAUGCCUUAACUACAUUAAUUGCUGUAGACUUGAACUUACAAUUUUCAACAUCAUCACCAUUCAUUAUCUUAAACAAUCUCCAGGCUUCUUGUUCAGUUAGAUUGCCAAUCAAAAAGUUAUCUUUGGAGUCCAUACUUAAAAGCACAUUAUUAUCUCUUGCUGUCAGCAAUAGUCUACAUCCUUUAUGAUUAUUUCCAAAAGGAAUUCCAACCGUCUCCAAAUCAAGAUGUUUCCAGAUAUUAUCUAGAAUCACAAGAAUCUUAUUCUCACUCUUCAAUCGUUCAUACAGCCUACUAGCUCUUCUAUAUUCAGCUUCAUCGGACAACUCCAGACCUAACUUCUCUGCAAUUUCCCCUUGAAUCUUUUUUAUCUCUGGAGUUUAUGAAACCUCUGAUAAAACCACCCCAUAAAACAGCUUUUUUCCCUGGCUUGCCUAGCAAACUCUUUCACCAGUGUGGUCUUUCCAAUGCCGCCUAUGCCGUACACCCCAAUAAUGCUGACAUUCGCCUCCGUCAAUGCAUUUUUAAUAGACUGCAAAGUAGAAAGUCUUGAUUCGAAGGCCUCGUAACCACUGCUAGACUUAAGCCAUAUCUCCUCCGGAAUGGUACGGUGGGAAACAGUAUCAAACUUCUUAACUUCUUCUCCAAGUUCAAUAAUGGCCUUCACCUCCGUCUCUGCUUUCUUGCUAAGCUGAUAGCGACUCUUCCAAUGAGGACUCAAGCCCUUGACACAGCGCUUAUUCGUUGACUCCUCAUCUUCAAUGAAUUUGGCUGCCCGGUCAAUGAUGCCGUUCGCACUUCGCAGUAACCAGCCACUUUUCAACCUUCUCUUCAAUCUCUUCCCCUUUUUCUUUCGCCUCUGAAACCCUGCGCUGAAUGCUCGUAUGUUCAACCUUCAACUUCUCCAUUUCCGCCUUGAUAUUCUCAAAGUUGGCAUUGUAGUUCCAAAUAAACAAGUUGGCGUGCAGUUGGAGGAGCCAAGCAUUUUACAAGUUCCAAGACGAUAGUCACAAUGAUUUCCAGCAUCUCGAAUCCUGACAAAAACGUAGAAGCGAAGAAAGCCAAAGGAAAGUAAAAACAAAGAGACAGCGAUAGGACAAGCAAUUGUGUUUUUCAGAUGAGAUGAAGGAAACAAGAAAAGGGUUUCUAUCACGACGUAAAGAGCUAAAAGAGCUGAUGGGUACAGAAUAAGAAAUGAGACUGAGGAGUGAGCAAAGCUAAAUAAUAACAGAACAAGAACAAUGACGAAUAGAAGAAACAGUAGCAAAGAGCCGUUUAGAUGAUUAGAAUGAAACUAAGCGACUGGAAAUAGUAGAUGGUAGACUAAAGAGAAAGUGAUUGAUUAUUUUAGGAGGCCAAUUAACGUAAUGACAGAUCCGGUUUCGAUGUUUGUAAUUUGAGUAUGAGGUAAAUCGAUUCUUUGUCGAGCCAGUCAAAUACAAAGGCAAAUUAGUAAAACACGAGCCAGCAACUUUUACUCACACAAAAGCCAAUAAUAUAUUGAGAUCACGCAACAUUGCAAUAAAGUUAUCAUCAAGUUGUAGCCUUCUUAUUCAAUCAAUUAUGGCAUUAUCUCUAGCUCUGUAUUUUUCAAAAAAAAAAUUAUUAUUCAAAAGAUGUCUGUCAUUAAUUUUUCAAUGAUUAAAAUUAUAAUUUUUGUUUAAUAUAUAUAACGUAAAAUUUUAAAAGAAUCAGACAUGCAUUAGGGUUAAAAUAAAAAAUAUGGAGGUAGCUUUUAACUAGGUAAUUGGCUCAACUAUGGAUCAGUGUGAGAUCACUAUUUUUCUUAUUAAAAAAAAUUCCAGCCAAACAAUUGUCGCAAAAUCUUAAUAUAAAUUACAAAAAAAGACAAUAUUUUCUAAAAUCAUAGCAAUAAUUUAUAUUUUGAAUACCUGUAAAUAAACCACUUAGAAAGCUUUCGAAACACGAAUAUUGUUGUCGUUUUUAAAGACUUGACAUUUUGGGUAAUCUGAAUUAACAAUGCACAUCACUUGUUUGUCACAAUGUCCAAAUAAAUAAUUUUAAAAAAAAGUUAUUUUCAUUCUUUCUUUUCAGGUAUCCUAAUUCCUUUUGCAGUUUGAUUCCUCUUUUCCUGAAUUUCACACAGCGCACCCACAUUUUUUGACCAUGUGCACCUCCCCCUAUUUCUAUUAAAAAAUCAACUAAUCUAACUGUUUAGGCUGUUAUAAAUUUAAAAGACUAUACUACCCUUAUUUUGAAUGAAUUGGGUAUAUAAGUACUAAAAUACCCUUACAACUAAUAAAAUUUAAAUCAAAAAGUAAAAAUUUAUUAUAAUAUUUUUAAAUUUAUAUGUAUACGAUUUUUUCCCGGAUUACAAACCCAAGAUUAUAAACCUAGUAAAUUACAAAAUCAGAGGCAAAGCAUGAUUCCAAUGUGAAAGAAAAAAAUCAAACACACAUUCAUCAGUACAUUACAAAAUAAAUCCGAUAAUCCCACCAAAACAAAUAAAACCCAAUAGAAAGAAACCCUAAACUAAUGAUACCAAAAUCCCUGAGAGCAAAUUUCAUUGUAAAAUUCUAUUACAAAAUAAAUUCAUACUAAGAAAAUUCAAUAAAAAGAAACCCAAUAAUCAAAAAUCUUAAAACUAAAGAUAUCAAACCCAAAAUUAAAUUAUAGAGGUGGCGAAAGAAAAAGGGUUUUUUUAAUUAUAUAUAUUAUUUUAAUCUUGUGUUAAUUACCAUUCUACCCUUCUUUCCGUUAACAUUAGAUUUGAAAGAAAUGAGGGUGGUGGACAUGGUCUGUAGAUUGGGGGCACAAUGCAAAAUGUCAAAACAAUUGGGGCUAAUGCUAAAUUACACAUUAUUUAAAUUAAAUUAUCCUAAUUGUAUUUUUAUUAAUUAAUUAACAAUUAGUUUCAUUACUAUGAUAGUUUUGUCACUAUGUUUGUUACCAUCUCUCAAAAAAAAAAAAAAUUACUUUUACAUGUCGAAUUGUGUAACAACGAUUUAAUGAAAAAUUAGAAAACAGCACGACAUCUCGUGGCUUAACAUGGUCAUCAUGAAUAUCCCUUAUUAUUAAAAAAUGAACAAACAAACUCUUUUUUAAUACAUGUAGUCCUUUUUUUUAUAUUUCAAAAUAGUUAAACAGAUCCUGAAUUUGUGUGUUCCUCAAUAAAUUUUCAUGAUCAUUUUUUAAAAUAAGGGAUUUUUGUGAUUAUUUUGCCACGUCCAAGGAUGCCGCUGUUCUUGUCACCAAAAAUUAUUCUCAUAAGAGUCAUGAUUAAUUGGACGUCAGCAAUGAGGGCAUGUAAUGAAAAAAAUUUGUUUUGCAUGGGAUCCAAUAAUUUUAAUUACAAUGGUGGUGACAGACCCAGCUGGAAAAUCAACUGAUUUUAGAAUUCUGUUGAAAAUUCUUUAAAUGAUCACUAUAUCUCUAGUUCGAUUAUAUCCUUAAGCUCAUUGAUUCUUUUGUAUUGAUUUUGUUACUUCUUUUCUAAGAAAUAUUAUAAGAACUGCUCAGGCUGUAAGAUUGAUAAGCUUAAAGAGUCGGAACGAGGCUUACCAGUUCGUAAGCUUUUAAUUAUUUGGAUUGCUGUGCUUGCAACUGGUAAAUUUUUCAACUUCAACUCGAUAUAAUGAUUUUGGAGAGAACCAUUUACAGUGAUUUUCAAUUCUUUUGUGAUUUUUUUUUUCAGUUCUGCCAGUCUCAUCUCUCUUUCCCUUCCUUUAUUUUAUGGUGAGUGGAUUAUUAUUGCCUUCAGCGCAGUGGUUAUUAGUGAGAAAAUUUAUAUUUUCCUAUCAAGCUUGGUGAUUUUCUGAGAAAUAUAAGAAAAGACAAGUUUUAUAUGUCAAAUAAUUCAUUGCUUUUUCACAGCAGUCAUUUAUGAUUUCUUUUCAGAUUAGGGAUUUUCACAUUGCAAAAAGGGAGGAAGAUAUUGGAUUCUAUGCUGGUUACGUGGGUGAGUUAUUCUAUGUUUUUUUUUAUCGUAUUUAAUAAAUGACACACAGUAUGGAGUCCGUCUUGGGUACGAAUGUCCACACCUUAUAAAGUGCUGACUCACGCCUUUACAACUCUGGGAAGACAUUCUACCGAGACUUUACAUCACUGUAAACGCACUGUACAAGAGCUUUACAAUACGGACCCGCGUCUUUACAACUUUAAAGGGCCAAGUCUAUGCUUUAAAAAGUACAUAUGUUCGCACCUGGAAACGAUUUACAUAUGUAUGUAUAUAUGUAUAUAUGUAUGUAUGUGUGUGUAUAUAUAUGUAUGUAUGUAUGUGUGUGUGUGUGUGUGUAUGUAUGUACGACCAAUAAAACAGUUCAAAUUCCUCGAGAAGUUAUCCUAACAAGCAUCUUAAUACCUUGAUGAAAUUGAAGGGUCUUAAUACAUGCUUGGCAGAGCUCUAACAUCUGUUUUGUGGGGAAUGGUGGCUGACCGCUGUGGUCGAAAGCCUGUAAUAAUAAUAGGAAGCAUCACAGUGUUAGUGACUUCUAUUUUCAUAUGAUCAAGCUUGAAAUUGAUGAUACUUCGGCAAUUUCUGGAUUUCUUGUCUGUCUUAAAAUGCUCACAGGGUUAUUUUUAACACUCUUUUUGGGCUUAGUGUGAAUUUCUGGAUGGCCAUAGCUACAAGGUUUCUCCUUGGGGCUUUGAAUGGUUUACUUGGACCAAUAAAGGUAUUGAUUGGGGGUAUUUGUUGAUAAUUCCAAUUUAAUUCCUGCAAAUAUUUGUGCUCAAACUUCUCUUACACCACGAGGCAUAUGCAUGUGAAAUAUUGCGCGAUCAGCACCAAACUUAUUACGAAACCAAAAAUGUUACUUGUUUUCUGUACUUGCUUUCGCAUGCAUCACCCCCACAAAACUGCUUGACGAUUGUCCUCAUUUUGAACUUACUAUAGGUUUCAUUCUCCUUGUUUUUCAACUUACUCUGUACCCUUACGUCGAGAGGAUUAUUGGGCCAAUAAUCAUAACACGAAUUGCAGGGGGUAAUAUUUUGAACACCUCAUGCGGCAUUUGGACCAUUUGAUAGUUUGUUUCAAACAUAUCUGUUUAUAAAAUACUUUUCUUCAUGGUUUUGGUCCCAUAACUUUCUAUGUAUGUACAGGUUUUAUCGAUACCGCUUUUGACAAGUUACACUUACAUAGCAAUGCUAUCUGGGUUCAGCCUUGCCUUUUUGAUAAACUGUGCUUCUGUGAUGAAGAAUGUUUUAUCUGUAAGUGGAUAUCCUAAUCAUUGAUCCAUAUACUAAGGUUAUAUUAUCCAUCAGCAAGUAUGUAUAAAAUUAUUUUGUCUUUUUUAUUAGAAUUUUUGUAAUUCUUUUUUACUUUUCCUGAAUUGUAGCAUCAGGUGUCUAUAAUAACUGGAUCGUUCCUUCUGCAAAUCAGAGCAGUGGUAAAUAUAUUUUCUUUUGUUUGUUUAGUACAUUUCCAUGCUUUCAGCUUUUUCAAAUUUUGUAUGUGCCAAAGUUUAAAUUAAUUGGUUGGUUUAUGGUAUAAUAACAGGUAUGAUAAUUUACUAAUGAAAUUUCUCACUAGUUUGUGAAUUACUUGGUGCUAAUUAGCUUAAUCAGCUGCUUAAACUAAAGUGCAGGUAACCAGAUGAUUUUUUUCAUUCUGAAUUCGGUGGAGGCACUUGGAGUAAUAUUGACAUUCAAACCGUUUCUAACUCAACGUGCCCCGUGAGUGGAGAAAAGAUGCAUCUGUUGAAAUAUUCAAAUAUAUAUCAAGCAAAUUAAAGCUUUCAAAAUCUUUCAACAAUUUGAUUGUUUGAUGUGGUUGCCACUUGCCAUAUUUUGUGUUACUUUUCUAAAGGCUUAAAUAUGAAAAUGGUUGUUGGUGCUCACGCCAAUUGAUUGCUGGUAACAUUAAUUGUGCAGUACUUGUCAGAACUACCACAAUUUAUCUUCACAAUGAUGCUAGCUAGAAAGAAAAUUUCAUGUUAAGUAAAAUAUUGAAGCCAUAAAGAGUCUUAUUCCAGAGCCUCAUUAAGUACUAAGUUUUCUGCCAUGCUUUCAAAGUUUACAAAUUCGAAGCUUGGGGAUUCUGUAACAAUGGAGGAUAAAAAUUAUAUAAGAAUAUUUUUUGUACAAUUUUCAUACGACCAGACAGAAGCGAGCAUAAUUUUUUGAUCAUAACUCAGAUCAAAAGACCUUCAAUGAUGUAUAAUAUGCACAUAAAGCUAGCUCAGAACCAGACAUUAAAACUUAUGAUGAAAGGGAAACAUAGAUGUUGAGAUUGAAAACAUAGAGAAAUUUUUUUAAAAAAUCUGAAAUUUUAUUAAUAGAAGUUUGAAUAACAAAAUUAGGGUAUUGGACCCUUUUUAUACAAAUUCUAAAUAUUAUGUAUUUAUCAAAAUAGGCAAACUUGAAAUAUUAUUACAUAAUAACGUUCUCCUAACUGAAAUAAAAAAAAUAAAACAAAUCAUACUUAAAAUCUUAUAUUUAGAGAAAAAAUAUAAAAAUAUUGAAAAUAAUAAGAAAAAUAAGAAAAUAACUUAAACUUUGUAAAAUAACUACGAAAUAAACAGAAUUUCUUGCCGAAUAGAUACCCGCUCAAGUUAUGAUCUAGGAGUGAUAUCCUACUCAUCCUAUGCAACCAUCAGCUGCAUCAACUUCAUUCCAAAAUUAACAAAUAAACCAACUGACGCAUUGCAAAUAAUAAGAUGAAACGAUAAAAUAAACCUAGAGAUCAAACAACACAAGGUAAUAUAUUAAAAAGCCUAUGGGAUCAAAACACAUCGUACUAUGUCGAGAGAGAUGACGACUCCUCCAACAGCAGAAAAUAAAUUCUUUCAUUCAUUAAUUUAAAGUAAAUUUGGUGCUCCAUCUUCUUCUCCGUCACCUAUUACCACCUCUGUCAUUGCCCUGCAUCCAGCUACCUUCAUUGAUACGAGCCGCACUAGACUUUCUGCUGUAGUGGACGGAUGUUACAAUUCCUUGCAAUGGAAAAUCAACAGUUCUGUUAGAUUCCCAAAAGAUAUAGAUGAUCAUGGGAAUAGACUUAAAUGCUUGUAAAAUAGUCGUAGAAUGUCAAGAUAUUUAAAAUGGAGUCCAGUUUGGAGUUGCUUCAAUGAUUAAGUCUGGACAGGAUUAACCAUUUUAUCAGUGCCUACUUCCCCACUUGUUUUUAGCAGUAUCCGGCUUGAUUUAAGAAUCUCUUUGUAUGAACUAUAUUACCCAAAAAAAAAAAAAAUCUUAUUUCAAAUGAUGCACAGGAGAAGAGUUACUUGAAUCUUCAUCAGUAUCCAGACAUUCUACAAUCACAGAGUAAAGAGUUCUAGCAGGAAAAACUGAGAAAACAACGUACUUCUAUAGUUUUUCACAAUAUUUCCAACGUUUUCAAACAAUAUUUCCACAAUAUAGUUUUUCAUAGCGAAGAGUUUUGCUUUGGUGGUCUAAGGAUUUGUUCUAGGCAUAAUGCUCUGAUUAGAUUUUGUUUAUUUUUAAUUUUUUAUCCGAUGAAUGAUUUUCAGCUGGUCUUAAUUAUGUGUUCAUAGGGAAGAGCAUUUGGAAAGAUCAUCAAAAAAAAAAAAAAAAAAAGUUUCCAAAGAAAGAUAGGUGUGAAGCAAACCAAACUAAAUGAACAAACUAAAAUAACAGAACAGCAAUGAUGUUUUCAAGGAAUUAUAAAAUAUGAAGGCUUUUAAUGAAAUUUUAUCAUACAAAGUAUGCAAGGAAUUAUAAAAUUUUAGAAAACAAGGGGAACUCUCAAAAAAAGAAAAAAAGAAAAAAAUACUCAAAUUAAACUAGACUAGAAGACAUUCAAUGAUGCAAAAUCUGUCCACAAAAGUCUGAACGAAUCAUUAAAAUUGCAUUCCAAAUUUAACAGUAAGCCGAUUGACCCAUUCUAAAUAAUUCAUAUGAAAUUGCGAAACAAGCCAUGAGAUCAAAUAAAUGAAAUAAAAAAUAAUUACCAGCUGAGGCUUUCUUCUAAAAUUCACAACUCCCAAGUCAUAAGAAGCCUAUGAAAUUAGUACUGGGUAGAGAUCGCCGACUGCACCGCCAACAGCUGAAAAUAAAAUUCUUAUUCAUCAAUUUAAACUUUUACUUUAUAACAAAUAUCUUAUCUAUAUUUUAUUAAAAAAAAAAAUUGUAAAAUGUUUCCAUGGGAGAUAGAGAGUACUAUGUAUAUCCGUACCUUUUCAGCAUGUAAUUGUUGUAUGGUUGUGUUUAGAUCAUUAUUGGUCCAAAGCAAUCGAUCCUCUGUCUCUCCAUAGCAGACGUUUACUCUUGGAGGCGUGAUUGAUUCUCCUGUAGUGAAAAUCUUCAUCUUGGGACAACCAAUCACCCACAAAUCUUGCAAAGAUGGGAAUUUGAAGGUGUAGUUGGCAGAGCUGAAACUUGUGAAGCUAUCUAAAUCAAACAGUUCCAACGUCUUCAAUUUGCUAAAAACAAUCUCUUCUUUUUCAACUCCAUCUUUGUCAUUUAUUACCACCUCUGUCAUUGCUCUGCAUCCACAUACUUGCACUUUGACGAGUUGCACUAGAGUUUUUGCUGUGGAGGAUGUUACCAAGUGUAUCAAUCCCUUGCAACCGAAAGCCACCAGAGCUGUUAGGUUCUGAAAAGAUACCGAUGAUGAUGGCAAUAGAAUUAACAGACUUUGACAAUGAUGUACUUUUAGAAUUUCAAGAUACUGAAAAAUGGGGCCAAGUUUGGAGUCUUGUUUGCACAGCUGCUUCAGAUGAUAGUGCCGGUUCAGCUGUAAUUUUUUUAUCAUUGCCAACUUCCCCACAUGUUUCUCUAAGCUUCCUUCCUCCGAAAAUACCUCUUCGUUGAAUGAAAAAAAACACAGUAUGAGCAUUUCCAGAUUGUGAAAUCUCUCCAGUACGUUCCAGACUGGAAAACAAGCUGAGUCAUCUCCAGCAAUCUCUAGUUGUUUAAGACUGCCAAAAAGGUGUUGUGGGAAAUCGGCCUGCAAAAUCAUCUUCACAUCUUUUCCACUUAGUGAUAGUUCCUUCAAGUUGGGUACGAUCUGAUCAUCAUCAAUCAUAAUAACUAAUGAGGUCAAUUGAUGAUCUACGGUCACACGCAGUGACUUUAUAGUAUUUGUUUUAUAUUAUAUUUUUUUAAAAAAAUUGAAUUAUUGAUAAAAUUUAUUUUAUAUGUUAAUUUUAGAGGUAAAAAAGAAAUUAGGGAAAAAAGGUUGAUUUAUACUGGCUCGAAAUUAUUUUAUUGCACAAUAAUAAAUUACUAAUUUAUUUUGUAAGUUCUUCUAUAUGGAAAGACUAAGGAUUCUUUUAUAAAUGCUAUACCUAAAACAGUUCAUAUAAUUAUUAAUCUACCACAUUGAUCUCUUAGGUAAUGUUUAUAUAAUUAUGGCAAGGCAUGAUUAAAUUGAUCAUUUGUUUGGUAACAACUUUAUUAAUCGGGUUCUGGCAGAUUUUCUUGGUCACAAAAGCGUCAAGAUGCUGGUUUCCUCCCAGGUAUGAUGAUAUACUAAUGAAAAUUCCCACUAGUUUGUGAGUUGCUUUGUGCUAAUUAGCUUAAUUAGCUGCUUAAAUUAAAGUGCAGAUAACCAGGUGAUUUUUUUCAUUCUGAAUUUGGUGGAGGCACUUGGAGUAAUAUUGACAUUCAAACCGUUUCUAACUCAACGUGCCCCGUGAGUAGAAAAGAUGCUCUGUUGAAAUAUUCAAAUAUCUAUCAAGCAAAUUAAAGCUUUCUAAAUCUAUCAACAAUUUGAUUAUUUGAUGUGGUUGCCACUUGCCAUAUUUUGUGCUACUGUUCUAAAGGCUUAAAUAUGAACAUGGUUUUUGGUGCCCACGCCAAUUGAUUGCUGGUAACAUUAAUUUAUCUUCACAAUGAUGCUAUCUACAAAGAAAUUUUCAUAUCAAGUAAAAUAUUGAAGCCACAAAGAGUCUUAUUCCGGAGCCUUAUUAAGUACUAUGUUUUCUGCCAUGCUUUCAAAGUUUACACAUUCGAAGCUUGGGGAUUCUGUAAUAAUAGAGGACAAAAAUUUUAUAAGAAUAUUAUUUUGUACAAUUUUCAUACAACUGACAAAAGCAAGCAUAAUUUUUUUAUCUUAACUCAGACCAAAAGACCUUCAAUGAUGUAAAAUAUGCACAUAAAGCUAGCUCAGAACCAGACAAUAGAACUUAUGAUGAAACGGAAACAUAAACGUUGAGAUUAAAAACAUCGAGAAACACCCUUUCAAAAAAAAAAAAAAAAAAUCGAGAAACACAGCUUUUGAAAAGUCUGAAAUUUUAUUAAUAGAAGUCUGAAUAACAAAAUUAAGGUUUUGAACCCUUUUUAUACUAAUCCUAAAUAUUACGAAUUUAUUAAAAUAAGCAAACCUGAAAUAUUAUUACAUAAUAAGGUUCUCCUAACUGGAAUAAGAAAAAUAAAAUAAAUCGUAUUUAAAAUCUUAUAUCUAAAAAUAAAAUAUAUAAAAAUCUUGAAAAUAAUAUGGAAAAAUAAGAAAAUAUCUUAAACUUGUAAAAUAACUAUGAAAUAAACAAAAUUUCUGGUUGGACCAUGAGGCCAAUAGGGUGUCAUAGUAUUAGAUUAAUGGUAUAUUAUACGCCCUAGAUAGAUACUAUAGCUCAAUUUAUGAUCUCGGAGUGAUAUCCUACUCAUCCUAUGCAACCAUCGUCUGCAUCAACUUCAUUCCAAAAUAAACAAUAAACGAAUUGACGCAUUGCAAAUAAUUUAGAUGAAACGAUAAAAUAAACCUAGAGAUCAAAUAAAAUGAAAUGAAAAUGAUAGUUACCUCGGACUUUCUUCUUCAAAUUUCGCAGCACUAUGUAAUAAAUUAAAAAGCCUAUGGCAUCAGAACAUAUCGUACUGCGUCAAGAGAGACGACGACUCCUCCAACAGCUGAAAAUAAAUUCUCUCAUUCGUUAAUUUAAAGUAAAAUUUGUAAAUUUAGGUACUUGCUGAAGAAACGUGUUUUCAUUUCUUAAAUAAAGCAUUAUACAUUGAGAGUUAUUUAUAGAUGCAGAGGCUACAUUUUUUCAAAGAUUACAUAUGUGAAUACGGAAGGAAAUGUGUCAAUCCGUUCGGCGCGAAUCAUCCGUUCGGCGCGAAUCUUGUCUUUGACAAGUGCAGAUUACCCCUUUGACAAGUGCAGAUUCUGUCUUUGAAAGCUUCAUUCAAUGUCGUUUUAUUUGAUUUUCAACACUCCCCCUCAAGCUGGUGCAUAGAUGUCUUUCAUACCCAACUUGUCUAGGAAUUUUGUAAAUGCCCUGCUUGAAAUGGCCUUCGUUAAAAUAUCUGCAAGUUGAUCUUCUGAUCGAAUUUUCGGCAGUUCUAAGAUUUUUUCAUCUAAUUUCUCCUUGAUGAAAAAUCUAUCUACCUCCACAUGUUUUGUUCGAUCGUGUUGAACUGGGUUAUGAGCAAUAUCUCGUGCAGCUUUGUUGUCACAGUAUAGUUGUAUUGGUUGUUGUGAUGGAUAGCCCAUAUCGUUUAAGAUAAAACUUAUCCAUAGCCCUUCACAUAUCCCAAGGGCCAUGCCUCGAUAUUCUGCUUCAGCGCUCGAACGGGCAACGACAUGUUGUUUCUUGCUUCUCCAUGUGAUAAGGUUUCCUCCCACAAAGGUAAAGUAUCCUGAAGUAGAGCGUCUAUCACUAACUGACACGGCCCAAUCUGCAUCAGUAUAAACUUCUAUGUUGCUGUAAUCUUCAUUUUUGGAAAGUAAGAUUCCUUUUCCUGGAUUUGUCUUCAGGUACCUCAGGAUCCGCAUUACUGCUUUCAUGUGUUGUUCUCCGGGAUUAUGCAUAAACUGGCUUACAACACUCAAUGCAUAAGCAAGAUCUGGCCUUGUGUGGGACAAGUACAUCAAUCUUCCAAUCAGCCUUUGAUAUCUUCCUUUGUCUACUGGAACUUGGUCUGAAGUAAUACAAAACUUCAGUCCUUCUUCUAUUGGGGUGUCAAUAGGCUGACAAGCUGUCAUUCCCGUUUCGUGCAAUAGAUCUAAGGCAUAUUUCCUUUGAGACAGAAAGAUUCCUCCCUUAGAUCGAGAAACCUCAAUUCCAAGAAAGUAUUUUAAGGCACCUAAAUCCUUCAUCUCAAACUCUCUUGACAAGUACUUAUGAAGAGCCUCUGUUUCUUCCUCGUCGUUGCCUGUAACUACCAUAUCAUCCACAUAGACAAUAAGGGCAGUGAUUUUACCUUGUCGUUUUUUAAUGAAUAAGGUAUGAUCUGAAUUGCUUUGGUUAUAUCCAAAACGAACCAUAGCCUUUGUGAAUUUCCCGAACCAUGCUCUUGGGGAUUGCUUCAACCCAUACAAUGAUUUCUUCAAUUUGCAUACUUUCUGAUUGAGUCGUUCUGGUCCACUGCAUCCUGGUGGCAGAUCCAUAUAAAUUUCUUCAGACAGGUCUCCAUGGAGGAAAGCAUUCUUUACAUCGAACUGUUGCACUGGCCAAUCCAAGUUGACUGCUAAUGAUAAUAAGAUACGAAUAGUAUUAAUUUUUGCUACCGGUGCAAACGUAUCAGUAUAAUCAAUCUCGUAGGUUUGGGUGUAACCCUUAGCUACGAGUCUUGCUUUGUAUCGUUCAAUAGAGCCAUCUGCUUUGUAUUUUAUAGUGUAGAUCCAUCGACAACCCACUAGUUUCUUUCCUGGUGGAAGAUCAACUAGUUCCCAUGUUUGAUUUUUCUGAAGAGAUCUCAUUUCAUCAUUCAUAGCCGCUUUCCACUUUGGAUCUUUUAAAGCUUCCUGCACACUGUUAGGAAUAGAUACAGCAGAUAAUUGAUUCACAAAUGACUGAUUUGAUUCUGACAAGCAAUGGUUAGACACAAAAUGACUUAUAGGGUAUUUGACUAUACUAGAGAAGUCAGGCUCAUAUGUGGGUUUAGGGAUACCUCUAUUUUGACGCUGGGGAAGAAUUCUUCUGAUUGGACUUGUGGUAGGAACAUCCUCUGCAGACGAUUGGUUAGGUAUUUCUUCAUGUGACUCAUUCUCGAUUGCAGUUGUGUCUGAGUUAUUGUGCUCCCCAAAUGUGUCUUCACAUAUCUUAGCCUGCGAAUUAUCACCAUUUGCUUUUCCAGUAUCUUGAAGGUUUACUAUCUCAAUGGAAGAUUGACUUUCUUCAGGUGGAAGAUAUGUAAGAGUAUGAAUUUCCUCUUCAUUAUACUCCCCCUGAAAUUCAGACUCUGACAAGUAGUACAUGAUAUCUUCAUGAAAAACGACAUCCAUGGUGAUGUAUAUUUUUCUUGAUGGUGGAUGAUAGCAUCGGUAUCCCUUUUGAUGUAAGGCAUACCCUACAAACACACAACGUAGUGCUCGAGGAGAUAAUUUUUCUUGUUGCGGCAAAUGAACGAAGGCAACACAGCCAAACACAUGUGGGGGCAGAUUCGGCACAUUUGGUGACAUAAUUGCAUCAUUCAGAACUUGGAAAGAAGUCUGGAAUCCAAGGGAGCUUGAAGGUGUUCGAUUGAUCAAGUAUGUUGCGGAUGCCAGUGCUUCUCCCCAAUAAGAUAAUGGCAUGUGGGCUUGGAUUAGUGAUGCUCGAACAACUUCUAGUAAAUGUCUGUUUUUUCGUUCAGCAACGCCAUUUUGUUGGGGUGUCCCCACACAAGUGGUUUGAUGGACAGAUCCUUGUGAUUUCAAAAACUGUUGAAUUGCUGUGCUCAUAUACUCGCCUCCAUUAUCAGUAUGUAGAACUCGAAUUUGUGUCUGAAAUUGAGUUGUCACCAUCUUAUGAAAUCUUUGAAAUAAAGAGUUUACUUCGUCUUUCGAUUUCAUCAGAAAAAUCCAUGUCAUUCUGCUACAAUCAUCAAUAAAUGUAACAAACCAACGAGCACCUCCAAUUGUAGAAACUUUAGAUGGCCCCCAUACAUCAGAAUGUACUACCAUAAAAGGAACUGGAUUUUUAUUUAAGGACAAUGGAAAAGUAGUUCGAUGGCUUUUUGAAAGUUCACAAACAUCACAUUUAAAGUUACAAACAUCAAAUUUCAGAAACAAACUAGGAAAUAAUUUUUUUAAGUAACCAAAUGACACAUGCCCUAAACGUCUAUGCCAUAACCAAAUUUCUGAUUUCCCUUUUUUUAUGGAACUAUCUGCGACUAGUGCAGGGCUUAGCUUUCCAGUGUUUGUUGAUGACAUCUCCAAGUAGUACAAGUUGCCUCGUCUAAUACCAUAACCAAUCGUUUGCUUCGUUUGGAUGUCCUUAAACACACAAUGAUCAGGCCAAAAAAUUACAACACAUGAUAAGUAAGUGGUUAAUUGAGACACAGAUAAAAGAUUAUAAUCUAAAGAUGGAACAAUUAACACAGCGUCUAAAUUUAAUUCAUUUGUGAGUCGUAAAGAUCCUUCCCCAAUAACUGAGGUUGUGGUUCCAUUUGCAGUGGAAAUAUGUUUUUGUGAAGAUGGUUUCAAUUGAGAAACUUGUCGAGAAUCAAAAGUCAUAUGAUCAGUUGCCCCAGAAUCAGUUAUCCAUGUACUAUUAAUAACAGGUGUAAGAGUUUUAAGGGCCUUACCUGGACUGACAGAGGUUGCGAUUUGCACUGAAGAUUCUUUUUUAAGAUCUGUAGUGGAUGUGGAUUCAGCUACUGCAGUUUUUGAUCCAUGCUUGGUGUUCUUCUUUCGAGUAUCCCACCAGUCAGGAUAUCCAAUGAUUUCAAAACAUUGUUCUUUCGUAUGACCCUUCUUUCUACAAUGAGUGCAAUGGAGUGAUGACUUGUCAACAAACUUCCUUUGAGGUUGCUGUCGUGCUAUCAUAGCAGACGUUUCUGAGUCGACCUUCUUGUUUAGUUUGCUUUGCCAUAUAUCUUCUCUUCGGAUCAGAGAAUAACAUUCUUCUAAGUCUGGAAUAAUGUCUUUUCGUAGAAUUUCUCCACGAACUUGGUCAAAUUCUUCAUCUAGCCCAGCAAGAAAAAUGUGCACUCUCAAUCUUUCAACAGACCUUCUGUAUAUUACAACAUCUUCUGGAUCCUUCAUGACCACUUUAUCUCGGUGAUCAAGUUCUCGAAAUAUUUCGACCAAUUCUCCAUAGAAUUUAGAGAGUGGUUGUCCAUUUUGCUUGGUAGAGAAUGCCUUUUGGUUUAGAGUGAAAACUUGUAAUUCAUCGCUUCCAUCAUAGAAGGCUUUUGAUAAUGCAUCACAGAUUUCGUAGGCUGUAGAAAUUCGUAAAUAUUGCUUCAUGAUCUCCGGAGACAUGGAUAUGAGUAACAAUCUUUUUACUUUUUGGUUCUCACUAUACCAUUUCUCAUAUUCCUUUUAAGAUUCCUCAAAUGGCUUUGUGCUGCUACGAAUAUAUGAGAGUUUUUCUCUUUCUGCAAGAUGCAUUUCCAUUAUUUGAGACCAAACAUCGUAGUUUGUCUCAGUGAGGAUAAUUCCAGCAUUAAAUACUCCAUCAGAUUGAACAGAUUGAAUGACAACAGGACUAGAUUCAGUUGGAGUUUUCUCCAUUUUUUUUGUUUUUGUUUUUUUUUUCUUUUUCUUUUUUCUCUUUUUUUUCUUUUUUUUUGUUUUCUUUUUUUUUUUGUUUUUUUUCCCGUCUAGAUUGAAAGAAGAAAAAAAAAAUAACCUUUUUAGGUAACAAAACGACAGGUCGUUUAGCCACUGCUUACCAAACCGACAUGUCGGUUAUGGUGGAAUAUAAACGACAUGUCGUUUUACUCCUGCUGCACUUCUGGAAACUAAGCGUCACGUCGUUUUAUCUCUAAUUUAGAAAAGACAUAUCGGUUUUAAUAUAACACAAAACGACACGUCGGUUUUUGACUGCUGCACUUCUGAGAUAAAAAUGACAUGUCGGCUGACGUCUUCUUCAACCUCUGGAGCGCGUGAGGGCGCGUGAAUGAUGACAGAGGUGCGUGGUUGACUGGCCGUGGCUUCGGUUGGCGCGUGGGAGCGCGUGGGAAUGUGUUUAAAUGCGAAAGUUUUACAGUUUCCUCACUAAAAACUGAGAAAUUUUAUGGUGUUCUUGGUUUUGGACGAACACACUCUCGGAAAAUUGAUGGGAUUGUUGAUAAAUUUGUAAACUCAAGUUUUUUACGUAUUGGUGGCUUGUUUCUUGAUCGGCAUGGAUAUCUGUAAUGGUAGGAAUGGGUUUAAGAAAGAAAAUGGUGGGAAAAAUGGUUGUGGGAGGAAUUUGGUUUCCUCUGUUUUUGUUACAAACAGAGCAACGGAACUUGAAGAAACUUGAGCGUAUUCAUGGCUCUGAUACCAUGAAGAAACGUGUUUUCAUUUCUUAAAUAAAGCAUUAUACAUUGAGAGUUAUUUAUAGAUGCAGAGGCUACAUUUUUUCAAAGAUUACAUAUGUGAAUACGGAAGGAAAUGUGUCAAUCCGUUCGGCGCGAAUCUUGUCUUUGACAAGUGCAGAUUAACCCUUUGACAAGUGCAGAUUCUGUCUUUAAAAGCUUCAUUCAAUGUUGUUUUAUUUGAUUCUCAACACUUGCACAUAGAGAUUUGCAAGGGGAGCGAGAGAUUCAAUAGCAGCAAUUUAAUUUGACGGGACUUUCAUUGAAUAAUGAAAUUAAAAACUAACGAUUAUUGAAUUUUUUAUAUUCUCUUAACUCUUGUGGAAAUGUCAGCUCUAAAUAGGACAGCUUCAAGAAUCUUUAUCUGAAAGUGUAAUUGGCAGAGCAGAAACUUGUGACACUAUCUAAAUCACAAAGACUCAACGUCUUCAAUUUGCUGAAAACAAUCUCUCGUUUUGAAUUUACAUUUGGAGCUCCAUCUUCUUCUUCGUCACCUAUUACCAUAUCUGUCAUUGCCCUGCAUCCAGCCACCUUCACUGAUACGAGCCGCACUAGACUUUUAGCUGCAGUGGAUUUUACAAUUCUUUGCAAUGGAAAACCACCAGUUCUGUUAGAUUCCCACAAGAUAUAGAUGAUCAUGGCAAUAGACUUAAAAGAUUUUUACAUGCAGUAAUAUACUCUUAAGUGGUGUUUGGUUGGGAGGAGAGAAUAGAAGAAAGGAAAGUAAUUUAAAUGCUCUUUUUAUUUCCAUUAUUUGGUUUGACAAAAUAGAUAAGAAUUUAAUUUCCAUUAGAAUUUGAAUUCCACACCAAGUAGUGAAAAAUUUAAAUUCCUCUUAUGUUAAAAACUAAAGUUUCCAAAAUUAUCCUUCAAAUUUUUAACUUGUUUAAUGUCAUUAAUAAUUAUUAUUUAUAAUUUUAUUUUAUUGAUUUAAUAUUAUAAAUAGACCUCCACCGGUAAGUCGCCGGACCACUGUCGGACUUCACCGGACCACCGCUGAACUUUCGCCAGACCAUUGCCGAACUUCCACCGGAAAGUCGCCGGACUUCCACCGGAAUAUAGUUUUUCAUAGCGAAGAGCUUUACUUUGAUGGCUUAAGGAUUUGUUCUAGGCAUACUGCUGUGAUUAGAUUUCGUUUAUUUUUAACUUUUUUUAAUCUUUUAUCCGAUGAAUGAUUUUCAGCUGUUCUUAAUUAUUUGUUCAUAGGGAAGAGCAUUUUCUAAGUACUUCCUUGCCUUCUAAGUUUCCGAAGAAAGAUAGGUGUGAAGCAAAGCAAACCAAACCAAAUGAACAAACAGAGCACAAACUAAAAUAACAGAACAGCAAUGAUGACAAUAAAUAAUUGGCAAAAAAAGAAAAGAAAAAAGCAUGCACAUUUUCAAGGAAAUAUAAAAUAUAAAGCUUUUAAUGAAAUUUUAUCAUAAAAAGUAUGCAAGUAUUUAACAAGAUGUUUGGAACGAUAGAAAAUGAAAGAAAAUUGAUUAAGAAGAUUCUGGAACAAUCAUAAUUCUUAUUGAUGAAACUGAUCAAAAUCGUACAUUGUGAACGAGCUCAGCACUAUUUAUAGUUACACACAUGCUGAUUAGAAAGUGUAGAGCUCAAAACUGCAAUAUUAACAAACUAAUUAACCUUCCAAUCAUAUUAAGCCAGCUGGACAGUUAGUUACAACCAAUCAGUACAAAUAACAACCUAAUCCAGCUUGGCAACUUUGUUACACAUCAUCAGCCAGCUCAGCUUAGCAAACUUACACUCUUAACAGCAAGGAAUUAUAAAAUUUUAGAAAACAAGGGGAACCCUAAAAAAAAAACUCAAAUUAAACUAGGCUAAAAGACAUUCAAUGAUGCAAAAUCUGUCCAUAAAAUUCUGAACGAAUCAUUAAAAUAGCAUUCCAAAUUUAACAGUAAACCGAGUGACCCAUUCUAAAUAAUUCAGAUGAAAUUGUGAAACAAGCCAUGAGAUCAAAUAAAUGAAAUAAAAAUUCGCAACUCCAAGUCAUAAGAAGCCUAUGAAAUUAGUCGUAAUGCGUAGACAACGACGACGGCACCGCCAACAGCUGAAAAUAAGAUUCUUAUUCAUCAAUUUAAACUUUUACUUUAUAACAAACAUCUUAUCUAUAUUUUAUUUAAAAAAAGCAAAUUUUGUAAAAUUUUUCCAUGGGAGAUAGAGAGUAAUAUGUAUAUACGUACCUUCUCAGCAUGUAAUUGUUGUAUGGUUGUGUUCAGAUCAUUAUUAGCCCAGCGCCGUUGAUCCGCUGUCUCUCCAUAGCAGACGUUUACUCUUGGAGGCGUGAUUGAUUCUCCUGUAGUGAAAAUCUUCAUCUUGGGACAACCAAUCACCCACAAAUCUUGCAAAGAUGGGAAUUUGAAGGUGUAGUUGGCAGAGCUGAAACUUGUGAAGCUAUCUAAAUCAAACAGUUCCAACGUCUUCAAUUUGCUAAAAACAAUCUCUUCUUUUUCAACUCCAUCUUUGUCAUUUAUUACCACCUCUGUCAUUGCUCUGCAUCCACAUACUUGCACUUUGACGAGUUGCACUAGAGUUUUUGCUGUGGAGGAUGUUACCAAGUGUAUCAAUCCCUUGCAACCGAAAGCCACCAGAGCUGUUAGGUUCUGAAAAGAUACCGAUGAUGAUGGCAAUAGAAUUAACAGACUUUGACAAUGAUGUACUUUUAGAAUUUCAAGAUACUGAAAAAUGGGGCCAAGUUUGGAGUCUUGUUUGCACAGGUGCUUCAGAUGAUAGUGCCGUUUUAGCUCUAAUGUUUUUAUCAUUGCCAACUUCCCCACAUGUUUCUCUAAGCUUCCUUCCUCCGAAAAUACCUCUUCGUUGAAUGAAAAAAAACACAGUAUGAGCAUUUCCAGAUUGUGAAAUCUCUCCAGUACGUUCCAGACUGGAAAACAAGCUGAGUCAUCUCCAGCAAUCUCUAGUUGUUUAAGACUGCCAAAAAGGUGUUGUGGGAAAUCGGCCUGCAAAAUCAUCUUCACAUCUUUUCCACUUAGUGAUAGUUCCUUCAAGUUGGGUACGAUCUGAUCAUCAUCAAUCAUAAUAACUAAUGAGGUCAAUUGAUGAUCUACGGUCACAUGCAGUGACUUUAUAGUAUUUGUUUUAUAUUAUAUUUUAAAAAAAAUUGAAUUAUUGAUAAAAUUUAUUUUAUAUGUUAAUUUUAGAGGUAAAAAAGAAAUUAGGGAAAAAAGGUUGAUUUAUACUGACUCGAAAUUAUUUUAUUGCACAAUAAUAAAUUACUAAUUUAUUUAGUAAGUUCUUCUAUAUGGAAAGAUUAAGGAUUCUUUUAUAAAUGCUAUACCUAAAACAGUUCAUAUAAUUAUUAAUCUACCACAUUGAUCCCUUAGUCUAGACUAGCAAAGAUUAUUGUAUAAUAAAAAUUUUUAAUUUAUUGAGUAUUAAUUUAUCGAUGCUUUGUCAUAUUUUUCAAAGUUAAAAAUAAGCUAUUGAUAAAAAAUCUAGAAAAUGACUUCAUACCUUUUCCAACGGCAAUAGGAGCUGUUGUGCAGGAAUACCAAGUUGAUCAUUCUCAUUAUUCUGCGAUAAAUCAGCGAAUAUCUUUAAUUUGUCACAACGAUACACUAAAAGACUUUCUAGCGCGGGCCAUUCCAAAGUAUGCAUUCCAGGGUACAAACAUCUAAGUUUUGGUAGAUGUUGGAGUCUCAGAGUGGUGAGCUGUGGAAAGACAAAAUAAGGGAUCACUUGAUCUGCUCUGUUUUCAGAAAUGAUCUCCUGUAAAUCCUCACAGAAGCGUAUAUCUAGGUGUUGGAGCUGCUUAAGGCUUCCGAUCAUAGACGCUGAAAAUAGGUAUUUUAAUUUGUGACAAUGCCGCACAGUCAAUCGUGUUAAAUUUUGAAAGCGAGGAAACAUGACCGGAAGAUGAUUGUAGUGCCAAAUCUUGUCGACAUUAAUUUCAGAUAUCUCCAAAGCCUCCAAGUUAGGCAACGCAACCUAAAAAAAAGAAGAAUUUCUCGUUACAUCCAAUAUGCAUAUGAGAAGCACUUGUUGAAAUUUUCGUCUUCGAUUACAAAUUAAUGCAAGUCAAAACCAAUUUCUAACUGACAGAUAAGUAUGCAUUCUAAUUCAUACUACUUGUUAAGAGCUCAAUUAGUGAGCGCGUGAGAUUCUUUUUAUCCUUUUUUUUCCAUUUUCUUUCAAUUCUUUAAAUGAUUUAAUUAUUUUCCACGUAUGACAACAAAACAGAACGCAUGAUAGAAUAAAGUCUGUUAUAUAUAUAUAUAUAUAUAAAGAAAAUGUUAGCCUACGCACCUUCUCGUUGAAAAGCAGAGUUGAAGUAUCCAAAGUGAUUUCGCUGGAGCUAUACGUAGUCGUCGAUUCCUCUUGCGACGCUGGUCUGUUUGGUGAUGCUGAAGGAGUCUUUACUUCACGGCAAAAACUUGUAACCUCUGGAAGAUUCCCCAGACUCAAAGAUCUUAAUUGAGCAAACUCUAUCUUCUCAAUUGCAUUAUCAACUUCUUCCCCAAUUGCAAAAAUCUCUUUCAUCUUGCUGCAAUUAAUAACUGCAAUUCUCUCAAGUCUUGGAAGGCAUUUUGUUGUAGAGAGCCAAAAGAUAUUACUCAAUUUUUCACAAUUAUAUGUUUGUAUGAUUUUGAGUUCGUUGAAGGACUCUACUUUGAGCCGAUCAAUACAUAUCCUCUCCAUGUUGAUCAAAUUGUGAAGGCCAAGUGACUCCAAAAGAGGAAAGGCAUCACAAGCGACCAUCGCCCUUGAAUCGACGAUGCAAAAGAAGUCAGGAUUAUUUUGAACCCAGACAAGCUUCAAUUGUGAAAAGCCCUCCGUGUCCAAAUUGAAAAGAACGUUCUUGAUCCCUCGCAGCUUGUCCAACAAUAAGUAUUCAACGUUAUUGACGCCCUGCAAUUUCAUGGAGCAAAUGUCCGUAAAAGCAAGCUUGAGCUUCAAUGCUCUUAAACUCUUGCGAUCACUGUCGAUCAAAAAGUGCUGCCAACUUUCAAACCAAUUUUGUCCAGCAAUCAUGGGAUGUGUGAAUAACACAUUUCCAAUAUUUAUUUUGAACCUUUCGAGCUUUCUGGCCAAAAAGCCUUCUGGUAACAUACUCUCAUUUUUAACAUCAAUUUCUAGAGUGGUUAGCCGAGGUAAAUGCAUCAAUUCAUCAAGGCUAGCAUUACUUCUUUUGCUGUUGGCUCUUUCAACCUCCCAUUCAAUGGAGCAAUUACCCAUAUACAAUUCUUCUAAUCGGAUUAAGCUUGAUAUGACAUUUGGGGCAAUAACUUUCAGACGGAAACAGUCUGUUAAAUCUAACAGCCUUAGCUUAGUCAGUUGACCCAGUGCUUUAGGCAACUCUACAAUAUCAGACCGCACGAAGCUGAGGAUUUCUAGGUUUUCCAACUUUCCAAUAAUGGCUACGUCUAUGCCUCUGAAAAUGCUUUGAUCAAGACAAAGUGUCUGAAGAUUUACUAGAAGACCAAUUGAAGAUGGCAAUGACAAUAACCGCAUUCUAGUCAAAUCCAAAACCCGAAGCUUUUUCGUCCUUUUGAAGAAGUUCUCAGGAAUAUUAGGCACAGCAAAAGAGUUCUUGGGAGACAUGAGUAGAAGUUCAAGUUGUAGAGAUUCGGACCCUUCAGGAAUGUCAUUAAUAACACUAUCUUUUAAAGAAAUUGCAAGAUAUUUUUUUAAUUCAUCUGCAUUUGGCCAUUUCCAAUCAUCCUCAUUUCUCACCACAAAUCCAAUUUUGUCACGACAUGCAAUUGAAAUGGCAACAUCGCGAACAACGUCGUGCAUAGAAAAGUAUUUACUGCCACCAUCCUCAAGCAACAAACAAGAGUCUCUUAGUUGAUGGACCCAUGCAUCUAAUUUGUUAUGUGCAUCUUCUAGCUUGUGGACACUUUUAAAUACACCCCAGAGCAUGCUAUAUUUGAACAAGUCCAUAAUUGGUGCUGGCGUAAUAAGACUACACAGUAAAAAAGUUUUCUUGAGUUGCUCACCUCUUAAGUACUUGUAACUCAGCUCAAUUGUUGAGUAUGCCUCUGCUGGUACUCCUUCGUCGAAGCUUGCCUCUGAAGGCGUUUGGAGUUCUUGCAAGACAUUCUUCCACACAGGCAGCUCUUUUUUUCUCAGUGCCUUUGCUACUGUGGUUAGGGCAAUAGGCAAACCUCCGCAUGCCUUGGCUACACUUGUUGCUGUAGAUUUUAACUCACGAUUUUCCACAUAAUCACCUGCCAUUAUCUUGAACAAUUUCCAGGCUUCUUGUUCAUUUAAAAUGCCAAUCGAGAAGUUUUUUUCAGAUUCCAUCCUUAACAGCACAUCAAGAUCUCUUGUUGUGAAUAAUAAUUUGCAUCCUCUGUGCUCAACUCCAAAAGGAAUUCCAAUAGUCCCCAAAUCAAGAGGUUUCCAGAUGUUAUCCAGAAUCACAAGGAUCUUCUUCUCAUUCUUCAAUCUUUCAUAUAGUCUACUAGCUCUUCUAGACUCAGCUUCCUCGGACAACUGUAGGCCUAACGUUACCGCAAUUUCCUCUUGGAUCUUUUUUAUGUCUGGACUUUGGGUAACCUCCGAAAAAGCCACCAUAUCGUAAAGCUUGUCUUCAAUUGCUCGCCUUGCAAACUCCCGCACCAGUGUCGUCUUUCCAAUGCCGCCCAUGCCGUAGACGCCAAUGAUGCUGACAUCAACAUCGAUCAAUGCAUUUUGUAUGGCCUUCAAAGUAGAAAGUCUUGAUUCGAAGGCCUCGUAGCCUUUGUGAGACUUGAGCCAAAUCUCCUCCGGAAUGGUACGGUAGGAAAUUCUAUCAUCAAAUCUCCCAGCUUCUUCUCGGAGUUUAAAAAGGGCCUCCUUCUCUGUUUCUGCUUUCUUUCCAUGCUGAUAGCGAGUAAUCCAAUUAGGAAACAGCCCCAUGAGACAUCGUUCAUUUGCUUUCUCUUCGUCUUGAAUGAAUUUGGCUGCCUCCUCAAUGCUCUUGUUCGCAUUAACCAGCCAUUUCUCAACCUUCUCUUCAAUCUUUUCACUUUUUCUUUCAGCCUCAGAAACUCUGCGCUGAAUGCUUUCUCUUUCAUCCUUGAGCCCAUCGAGUUCUUCCUUGAGAUUCUCAAAGUUGGCAGCGGAGUUAUACCAAUAACUAAAUUCGCGUUGUGCGUGAGGAGACAAGCAGUUUACAAUGCUUUUCAAAAUGUCCAUUUUUUUUUUUUGGUUGGGGGGGGGGGGGGGGACGAAAUAGAAAUAGAACAGGGUCAACGACCGCGCAAUUGAUAAUCAAGUAGAAGCAAAACUAGGCAAAAUUGGAAAAAUAAAUUAUAUUUGUACAAAACAAGGGGAAAAUCAGUGUAACAGAAGAGAAUCAAAGUGUUUUUGAGAUCAGAAAAUUGAACCAAGAAAAGGGUUGCUUGAUCCAAUGAAAAAGCAAAGAGCUGAUGGCAAAAGGGAACAAAGAUAAAUAAGAAAACGGCUAGUACGAGCAGCGACCACGAUGAACAGAAGCAAAGUGUUUAUGAGAUCAAAAGACGAAAAUCAGGAGAGGUUUUCUUGACUGAGAAUUGAAGGCAAAGAGUAGGAGCUGACGAAUACGGGGAUCAAGAGGGAAAAACUGCUUGCUCGUAAAACUACUUUCAAGCGAAUCUGAUAAAAUUAUUUCAAUACUCAUGGGCGACUCCUUUUUAAACUGCAGAAGGAAAAAAAAAAAAAAAAGAGUUCUGAAUUUCAAUAUAUUAAUUUUUAUCCUAAUUUAUGUUGAGAUUCGUAAUCUCGUCUCAAUGAUUAAUUAGUAGAUAAUCUUUCUAACAAAUAUGUGUUGAAUAGAUAUAUUUCUUGACUAUUAGUAAGUUAGAUAUAUUUUAGCAUAGGAAUGAAAGUACCAAGUUGUGUCAUAUUAGAAUAAAAAUGUGAGCUAAAAAUAAUUUUCUAUGACCUUUUAAUUAUUUGUCAGCAAAUAAUUAAGUCAUAUAAAAAAAUUAAUAAUCUGAAUUAGUCUUUAAGUAUUAUAAAUAUUUUUUUUUAUUUUUAAUUAUAAUAUCAUUAUUUAAAAAUAAUUGCUUGACUUAUAUUAGUAACAUUACGAUUGUCAUAAAACAUGUGAUCCUCAUCCAAUAUCCAUUAUUUGUGAUCCUUAAUCAAUAAAAUAUCUAACAAUAUCUUCACCUAAAGUUUGAGACAUGUGAUCCUUAUUCCACUGCGUCAAAACAAGGAGAAAAUCAGUGUAACUGAAGAGAAUCAAAGUGCUUUUGAGAUCAGAAAUUGAAGCAAGAAAAGGGUCGCUUGAUCCAAUGAAAAUGCUAAGAGCUGAUGGUAAAAGGGAACAAAGUUAAAUAAGAAAACAGCUAGUGCUAGCAUCGACCACAAUAAACAGAAAAUUUGAGAUGGAUUUACAAUAUUUCUGCCUUUCUUUAUGCUUUAACAAAUAUUGCUCUAUCAAAAAAAAUAUUUAGCAUUUUAUUAUUGGAGUCACAAAAGACCUACACAAUAUAGCAAGUGCUAGGAAUAAAUAAGAAUAUAUAACUCUCUCUCUAAUUCUCACUCUAGCUUUUAAUUGUCACUCAAAACCCAGAAUUCAUCCUUAAAGUGUAAGCAAAUCAGAGAUGACAGCGUCUGGUUGUCAUACGUGCCUUUUAGUUUUCGGAUGACAUGGCGUACACUUCUUCUGUAAAUCGAACAUGACAUGUCGUACUCUUUGUUUUGAGAUCAUAUUUCAAACUCUUCAUGCUAUGAAUGAAAGAUAAACUACAAUCAUCAAAAUAUUUAGUGUUUAUUUGGUAAUGUAACAUCAUAGUUGUUGUGAAUUGAAAUUAUUUAUGUAAGAUAAAAGGAUUUGGGUCAUCGUUUGUUAUUCUCUAGCAAUAUUGUUUGGCCGUGACUAUUUGUUAAAUAUUAAAAAAAUAAAUUUAUAUUUAUUAAGUACAAAAAAUAAAUAAACAAACAAAAAUAAAAGGAAAAGUUUAUGCAUUACAUAAAAUAAUAAGAACAAUAUCAAUAUUUCACACUCUAUAAUUGACUGAUGAGUUGUCCAACUACCAUACAUUGGUCCCAGAGACUUAAAUAUUAAAGUCCAAAGUUAUUGUGAUGAUGACUUAUAAUUGCCAAACUUGACAUACGGGUAAUCAUGCAUUAUAUAAGGUGCUGAUUUCUUCCGAUCGGAACUUUAUUUUUCAUUUACAAAUAAAUAAAUGAUGUGACUUAACGGGUGGCGGGGUCCUUUGUGCCAUUUGUGUAUUUCACUGAAUAGUUGAUUCAACUUGAUUGCAGCAGAAAGAUUCCUGGAAGUUGCCAUUUGCCAAUGCUACUAACAUUUUCAAACUUGGAAAACCCUUCAAUCAAUCUUUUAGUGGUAGGCUCUGGUAGCUUGCUUUGAUUAUGACAUAUGAUUAUUUGAUAAUAAAGCUAGAGGAUGUAUUAAUAUAAAAUUUGUUUAUUGGUGUUGAAGUUAAUUAUCUCAUUAAUAAUAAUAUAAAAAGUUAAUUACUAAGAAACACAUAGCAGUAUUCUAGGAUAUAAUUUUAUAUCAUAACUUUGUAAGUGUAUAAUUCCUCAUUAAAUUAACAAAAUUAUUUUAAAAUAUUUAGUUAGAAAAAAUAAAAUAUUUUACAAUACCUCCCUUCAGAUUGCACAAAUUACAUAAAAAAAAAAAAUUGCUUUAUGUAUAAAACUUUCAAACAAAUUGGGCCAAAAUCUAACUUUACCAAGUUUAGAGUAAUUUUGGGCUCUACAUUCCAUUUCCGACAAACGAAUUUUCUUUAUCACCAAGGUAUGAUACUUUUCAUAUUUAUCCAACGGCUCGUCAAUGACAAUACCUUUGUAAAAAGUACUUAUUUUCAAUAGUAUAUUGUGGAAAUGUCUGGUCGGUAAUACAACUAUUUCUUAUAGUGUAAAAAUGAUACACUAAGCGUUCACAUUUUGAUGAGUAAAUUAAGGAUUUCAAGAUGAAGUACAUAAUUAGAUUAAUGCUAAGAAACUGAAGUUUGAUCGAUUGAAAACGAAAAUAAUAAUAAAGGUAAUUAAGAAAAUGAACAAUAUAUGCAGAAGCGGCUCCUUAUUAGGACUUCUAGAUUUUCUCUUGGGCUUUCCUUAUUAUUGUUAAAAAAUGACACGAAGAACUUUGAGUUUAAAAAUCUGGCCCUGAUGCCUGGUAGCCCUCCAACAUAUGAAGCACCAGAUGUUUUGAUGAGAAUAUGACAAGACCAUUUAUCAAAUUUCUUGUGGAUAUAAAUACGUACACAUGGACGAGACCAACCUCCUCAAAUGAGAAUCAGAGUGAUUACAAGACCUUGCAAUGAGACAAUGAUACACCUUCAAAUGUCAAAAUACAAUAGAAAUUCACGACAUAUAUAUAAUAAAAGACCUCUCAUUGAGUCAUAUAUAUUGAGAAUAAAAAUGUUAUAAUACAUACACAAAGCUUAGCUAGAAUAAAAUGUCUUUGAACUUGCGAUGAUCAAAUAAAGAAAACAGACAGGUUGUAACUCACACUAUCACAAGAAGAUCACGAAGAUGGAAAUAGGAACCCGACAGAAUGGAAAUUUUGAAUAGAGGAAAAAAGAAAAACGACCUUAUUCACAUAAGAAGAGUGACUCAAAUCUUCUUCAGUAUCCAGACAUUCUGCAAUCAUAGAGUAGAGAAAUUUUAACAGGAACAGCAGAGAAAAUAUUAUGAAUAUGCUAUAGACCAAUAUACUUGUUCAUAGCUAACGUUUGAUGGUUUAAAGAUUUGUUCUAGGAAUAAUGGGCUGAUUACUUUUUUUUUAUUUUAAUUUUUUUUUAAUCCAAUGAAUGAUAUUCAGCUGUUAAUUAUGUGUUCAUAGGGAAGAACAUUUUCUAAGUACUUUCCUUGCCUUCUAACUUUCCGAAAAGCAAACCCAAUGAACAAACAGAGCACAAACUAAAAUAAAAGAACAGCAAUGAUGACAAUAAAUAAUUGGCAAAGAAAAAAGGAAAAAGUAUGCACGUUUUCAAGGAAUUAUAAAAUAUGAAGGCUUUUAAUGAAAUUUUAUCAUAAAAAGUAUGCAAGGAAUUAUAAAAAUUUAGAAUUUUUGGAAUUUUUAAUGCACCAAAGUUCAUUUUUAGCUUUUAAGGUUUUUAUGUGUGAGCCUCUCAGCAUGUUCCCCAACCUCCUCACGUGAAAAUAUUUCUAUGCACGGUUACAAGCUUUUCCAGAUUGUGAGUAUUCCGAAGCAAUCCAACUUGAAAAACAGCUGGUUCGUAGAAAAUGACAGUUUACGAAGCUGGCCCUGCUGCCAUACAUAUGAUGAUGAAGACCAUUUUGCUUUAUGUCAAUUCCUCCAAGUUGAAAUCUUUCUCGGUCUGGGACACUUCCAACACAUAAUGUACUACUAGGCCAGAUGAUUUUAAAAAAUGUCAAGGUCCUUUAUCAAAUUUCAUUUGCAUUCAAGACCAAUCCCCUUUGAUGAAAAUCAAUAAUUAAAGGCUUUCCAAUGAGAAAUUAUUACGUCUUCAAAUCUCAAAAAACGCCAGAAUAUUAAUUCGCUACAUAUAAUCAAGAUAUCUCAUUGAGACGCAUUAAUAAAAAAUGUCAAAAUGCAUAGAAAGAGCAGACACACGGAUGAUGAAUUUACUCAUCUUUAUUAGUAUUUGAACUUGAGAGACAGAAUGAAGUACAUGUCAAGAAUAUCAUAAAGAUGGAAACCGGAAGUCCUCCGCACAUAAACUUUGAAGAAACUGGAAAACGACUUUAUUCCAGAUAAUGCACACCAGAGUGACCAAAAUUCUCUUCAGUAACUAUAGAGAAAAUAUUAUUUUGCAUGCAUUUCACGUAACUGGAUCAAACUACUCUCCUGUUGGUUUAUCAGACCACAUUUUUAUGGUGCAAUAUAAACCAUCUUUUCAAAACGCUUUUACCAUGUGAGAAAUAUACGCAUUAAAUUUCAUAAACUAAAAACUCCAAUUGUCAAAAAAAAAAAAAAGGGUGAGAAACUCAGUAGAAUUUACAACUUCUCAGACUCACGAAAAGGUGAGAAACAAAUGAUUUUUAUAUAGUUGUUCAUAGCUAACUUUUGAUGGUUUAAUGAUCUGUAGAUUUUGUUUUAUGCUAUUCAAGGAAUGAUAUCCAAUUGUUCCUAAGAGUUCAUAGGCAGGGGCAUAUAUGCAUGAUUUGAUAUAAUUCUUGCAAUUUCUAAGUACUUGCUCUUUCCAUCCCUUCUAAGUUUUGAAAGAAAGGUCGAAAUAAACAGAGAAACAGGACAAACAGAAGAAGACUGAAUUAACAGAUCAACAAAGAUGGCAACUAACAAAUGGAAAGUUCUCUUGUAAUCAAACUAUAGCAAACAGAUGACACCAUUACAAUAUAUCUUAAUGAGUAGAUUGAUUCUAAACAUAUAUGUUAGGAUACAUUUGGUUGUUUAAUAGUUUGAAAUAAGGAGGAUGGGAUGGUUUCCACAUAAAAGUGCUGUCCCUUUCAAUGACAUUUUCAAAGAAUUAUAAAAUUCAAAAUAAAAAAAAAAUUAGCAAAUUAUAAAGCCACACCGUCAAAAAAAUAAAUAAAUAGAUAAGUUAAGACCUUUAAUGAUAUAAAAAUAAAUAAAUAGAGAAGUCACUAGGACCUUUAAUGAUAUAAAAUAAGCAUAUAAAUCUCAGAACAAAACAUUAAAAUUCAUUCUAAAAAUAAACUAGUGGUGUAUUCCAAACAAUUUAGAUGAAGCGAUAAAACAAGCCAAGAGAUCGAAUAAAAUGAAAUGAAAUUGAAUUAACUGGGACUUUGUUUUCCAAAUUCACAACUCGCUUGUAAUUAAAGUAAAAUGCCAAUGCCAUUAGGACAUAUACAUCAUUGAAUAAGAUGAGGACCCCUCCAACAGCUGAAAGUAAAAUUUUCAUUCAUUAGUUUCAAUUAAAAGUAAAGCACACAGAGAUUUGCAGGGAAGCAAGAGAUUUAAUAAAUUUAACAGCAGCAAUUUAAUUUGACAGGACUUCCAUACAGUAAUGAAGUUAAAAACUAAUGAUUAACGAAUUUAGUUUGGUCCCAAAGCUGUUGAUCAUCUCUCUCUCCAUAGUAGAAGUUUACUCUCAGAGGCGCGUUUAAUUCUCCUUUAGUGAAAAUCUUCAUCUUGGGACAACCAAUUAUAGAUAAAUCUUCCAAAGAUGGGAAUUUGAAGGUGUAAUUGGCAGAGCAUACAAAAUCUUCAAUUUGGCGAAAACAACUCUUCUUUUAAAUUUGCUGCUCCAUCUUCGUCAUUUAUCACCACCUCUCUCAUUUCUCUGCAUCCACAUACCACCAUUGAUAAUAGUCGCUCUAGACUUUUUGCUGUGGAGGAGGUUGCUAAGCUCAUCAAAUUCCUUGCAACGAAGAACUAGAAGUUCUUUUAGGUUCCCAAAAGAUACCGAUGAUGAUGGCCAUAGAUAUAACAGAUUUUGACAAUAAUGUACAUUUAGAAUUUCAAGGCAUUGAACAAAGGAGUCCAAUUUGGAGUCUUGUUUCCACAAUUGCUUCAGAUGAUUAAAUUUGUGCAGAUCUAAAUGUUUUAUCAUUGUAAACUUCCUCACAUGUUUCUUCAAGUAUCCUCCAUUCGAAAAUACAUCUUCGCAUGAACAACGACGCCGUAUGAGAGUUUCCAGAUUAUGAAAUCUCUCAAGUAAAUCAAGUGGAAAACAAGUUGAGUCAUCAUCCACUGUUUGUAGUAGUUUAAGACUCCCAAAAAGGUGUUGUGGGAAAUCGCUCUGCAAAGUCAUCCUCGAGUCUUUUCCACUUAAUGCCCGUUCCUCCUAAGUUGGGUAAGCUCUGAUCAUCAUCAAUCACGUAAUAACUUAUUAAGUCAAUUCAUAUUCUCUCAAAUGACUUUUAAUAAUCCAAUCAUACACAGUGACUUUAAUAUAAAUGCAUAAUAUUUUACAAAAAAGAAGAAAAAAUCGAAUUAGAGGUAAAAGUUAUUCUACGAUUUUAUUUUUUAUAUAUAUCUUGCAUGCUAUUCCCAAAAGCAAUCCCAAACGGCCCUUAAAGCAAUUUUACAAAAGUGGCCGGUACAUAUAUUGCCAACUUUGUUAGGAAUGGCAAUGGGAAGGGGAGGGGAAGAGACCGACCUCCCCGUACCCAUUCCCGAUAUUCUGCAUAUAUCCCCAUCCUCUCCCCAUUCCAGACAAAAUUGCUUUAGGGAAUCCCUCUCCCCUCCCCAAAUAAUAAUAGGGGAUCCCUGAAGGUCCUCGAUCCUCGAAUAACUAAUACGUUUUUAGUUUUAAAUUUUAAUUUAAUCAUAUUAAAAUAAAAAAUUUAAAUAAAAAUAAAGUUUGACGAUAUAUCUUACAUUAACAUUAAUCUAUUAAAAAAGUCACAUUACAAAGUAUAAAUCACCAUAAUAAUUAUCUUCGGCAAUCUUCAAAAUCAUAUAAUAAAAAAAAAGAAAUUACUUUUAUAUCAACAAUAAGAUAAAUGAAAUGAAUAUAGAUACUUAAUCAAUAUUUCUAAUAAAAGUAUUCACCUCAUGCGUCUCCUACUCUUCUUGUUCUUCCUCGAGGAAUGUGACAAAUUGAGAGAUAGCCUUAGAUUUCAAGUUUAAAACAAUAAAAAUAAUAUAAGUAAUGUAAAUUCUAAGUGAAAAUAUUAAUAAUUAUAUAAUAUAAUUACAAUGUAAAAUAAACUCAUACUACCAUUGUAAGCUUGUAGUCAACUUUGACAACUUAUUAAAGCCUCCAAUGUGCUUGAAUAAAGCGUGUUACGAUACUCUACCACAGGUGCUAAAAGCUAAUUCAGAAGCAACAUUUGUAAUUAGAAUUGCCAAAAUAUCUCUAGCAAUUCGUGCCAAUAUAGGAUAUCUAUAGACAUUUGUUUUACACCAACUCAAAAUAUUAAAAUCUUUCAUCCGUGGCAUAACUUUUUCAUCCAAAUAUUAAUGUAGUCAAUUAGGCCUAAAGUUUAAUAAUAUAAUUAUUUUAAUUUUUUUAUUUAUACUAAUAUUUAAUAUUUUAUUAUUUAUAUUUUAUUAUUUAUUUACAAAUAAUUUUAAAAAAAUUAAAAUUAAAAUUAAAAAAUUGGAAGGGGAUAGGGAUUCCGCUGCAUCCCCGUCCUUUUUUUGAAUAAGAAAUUGGGUAAAAAAACUAUUUCCGUCGCUUUUCUAAAUAAAAAAUUAAGUAAAAAAUUAUGUACCCUCCUGAAUUGGGAAAAUCUCGAGGGUCAUGUCCCCGCGGGAAUAUCUGCCAUUCCAAAACUUUGUAACAGCCACUUGCUUUUGUGACCGUUUAUGUGACGGCUAGACUGCUCUCACUUAUGUUACUAACCACGUGACGGUAGAGAGCCAAUUGGCAUACUAUUAUUUUGACGGUAGAGUUAUAAAUUUGUUUCUAAAUAGAAAACUAUUUGCUGGAGUCAAUAUUUUGAAGACCAAAGUCCCAAAUUCUCUCUCGUGCCUGGCCAGCAUCCUAAACCUUACUGGUAGCCGGAGAAUGGCGUAAAACGGCGGCGAUCUUCUUCUUCAUCUUAUUCUCUCUCUCAUCGUUUCAGGUAAGCUUGUGAUUAUGAGUUUCUUCGCUUUCUUAGCUUGUAAUUAUAGGUUUUGAUUUCUUUAAUUCGUUUUGUAGCCAUUAAUGUCAAUUUUUGUCCCACCGGCAAUGUUUUUUGUUCCUAGAAGUUGAAGCCCUUCUGUUCUUGUGCCAUUGGUGAGUUUGCUCACUCAAAUUAAUUUUGUUCUGCGGAGUUUACAAAGUUCAAAUGGACUCAUUUGGAUUACUAUUGAAUUUAGCUUUAAUUCCAACAUCCAUUCUAAUGUUUUGCCAUUAGAUUUACUUUAAUUUUAUCUUUAAAGCUUCUACAAUGAAUAGCGGAGCUUGGGUUUUAGUUUCAAUUUCUAAUUAACUUGUUUUAGUUUAUCUUAUAUGCUCGCCAAGUGCUUGUUAUAUUGUCUGAUAAGUUAUAUAACAUUGCUGAUUCUAUAUUAGUAAUGUCAUGUUCCAUUUUCGGAAAUUAUAACACAAAAGUUUUUACAAUGGCUUGCAUCUACAAACUGAAUUGACUUGUAGAGUAAGAGCUUGGAUUAGUGUUAUGUUCUUGAAUAAAUGAAAGUUCAUAUUGUGUAAGAGCAUGUAGAUGUAAAGCAUCACUACCAUUUCUACAAACUGCUUUCAUUCUGUUCAGAUGCUCCUCUUGAACUUUGAAAGGUGCCUCAUUCAAGUCCUAGCUGUAACUACUAGCUCUGAUUGCUUAAGUUCCUGUGCUAGCUGAAACAGAUUUAUUUAAUUAAUUAAUUGUGUAUGUACUAAUUAUAUUGAACGUAUAUGAAGAAAUUGUUUAACAUGAAUGACUUCUAAAUGACUUAAAAGCCUAAAGGAUAUGUGAAAUAAUGCUCAUUUCACUUGAACGAGCCUAUUAAUACUUGUAUGUCUGAUGGUUGUCGAAGCCAACAAAAAUAAAUUCAUACUCUAAAUAAAUUGUGUAUAGUGAUUGAGCAAGGUCAUGUCCACAGAGAUCGGUAAUUAUUUAAAUCCUUUUGAAACGUAAAACGUAAAAUGGGGGAAUUGUUGACAAUAAUAAAAAUCAAAUUAAAAUAACAAGAAUGCAAAUUAAAGUUGUAAUUCAAAUUAGAGAAAGCUCUGGUUGAAGGAAUUAAUUCAGCUUGAUUCGACUACUGAUCAUUGAUUCAAAUAUAGAUUAUUAUUACUUAUGAAUAGACCGGUUAUAGCUACUGAGACCCUCUAAUAGCCAAUCUCUCCUUAACUAGUCGAUAACCAAGGUACGACUGUUGGUUAUUUCCCUAAUCAAUAGACAACCCUAGAUACGAUCAUAGGAUUUAAUCAAUUGACAGCCUGAAAAACCAGAGAGACCCAAAUCCUAAUCAACACAUACGAUGAUUCAUUUAAAUUAGAUUGUUUAUUCUCACAACACAACUCUCUGCUAUGUUAUUUGUCACAAACAUUAAAUUCUUCAUACGAUGAAUCCUUUAAUUGACAAUAGAUUAAGUUGAUAAUUAAAUAGUGGCCAAUUACCUAAUUAACAAACAUAAUCAUGAAAAUAAUUCAGAGAAUAAACAAAUACCCAAAAAGUAAUAAAACAAUUAAAGCAUAAAAUAGAUCUCACAAUAGUGAUGAAUCAAAGCUUCAUUAUCCUUCAACCAGAAAAAUAUAUUUAGUUCUUCAUAGAGAGAAGAGAAAAGUUUAGAUCUAGGGUUUCUUUCUCUUCUCUUCAAAAGUCCCAUUUUUCACAAUAGAUUCCUCUCUUAAAUACUCUCUCUCUCUUCUCCUCUAGAAUUCUAUUUAAAAUAAAAUACUAAUAUAUGAAAUAUUAAAUUCGUAAUUACAAAAAUAACCAAAAAUACAAAACACGUUAAACUAAAAACUGUAGGUCCGUAGUUGCAGCACGCGCCCACGCGUUAUCAACAAAGUUCUUCUGACGCUCAUAAUUUCUCCAAGAAAGCAAUCAUCUUUAAACAUCAUCUUAUAGCUCAAUUUUAUCACAAAUCAAUAGAAUUGCACCUACAAAAGUAAAACACAAGUAAAUUAUCAUUAUUAAGUGCAAAACAUCAAUAUUAAGGGAAGUAAACAAUGCAAAACUAGUGCAUAAAUUGCACUCUAACAAAUUCCCCCACACAAAGAUGAUGCUUGUCCUCAAGCAUAUAACUCAAGACUAAUCCCAAAUCUCCACUCAAUUCUCAUCUCAACUCAUCCAAAAACAAUUUUAAGCAAGUAUACCUCAAGAAAUUAAGUCGAUCAACAUUCGAGAGACAAGGAUUUUAAAGCAUAGAAUCUCAUAAGAUAGAAUAAGAACAUUCAACCACCAAGAAGAUCCAUUCAAAAUUCAAGUGCAACAAGAUUUAAUAGCCCUCUCAUUGACCUCACUCCAUGCACUCAAAGUGUUUAGGGUGUCAUUUAUUCACUCAAAUCAAAUCAAAGAAUGUUAUUACCAUAAACUUGCUUAUAUAUCACAUCUCAAUCCACAAAACAUGAAUUAAAUGCAAAAAUCUAAGGGUCUUAAAAGGUUGUAACGGGGUUAAAUGGGUUAAAUGAAAAAGAAAAGUUUAUGAAAGAAAAAGAGAUCAAAAUGAGAAGAAUGAACUCAUUGAACGAACUUUAUGAUAUCGAAACGCUUAUUUCUACACAAGUCACCAAGAAUGUAAACAUUUUUUUUUCUUUUUCUUUUUUUUUUUCAAUUUUUUUUUUCGAUUUUUCUUUUUCUUUUUCUUUUUUUUUUUGAAUCAAACAAAAGAAACGAACCUUGCACAAUUUAAUUCAGGCAUAAUGCUUGUUGAUCUAAUUGAGAAACUUUAAUACAAGGUAGAAAAAGCAACAAAAUAUAUACAAAAUAUAUCCACACAAUGAGUCCAAAAAUCUCCUUAAAUUGAGGCUCAAAAAGAAGAAAAAUGGUUAAGUAGACGGAGAGAAUUAGAUGGGUAAUGGUUAAGGCUCAAACAAAGAUAGUAAAUCAAGGUCUUCGGGUAGAGAAAAAAAAAUGCGAGAAUAGAAAAAUGGUAAAUGGUUUGCCCUUAUCAUUUUAAUGCAAAAAAUCCGUAAUGUGGCUUCAACAUGCAUAACAAAGCAAGUUCUAGAAUAAACAAACUAAGAUUGAUAUUCACAUAACAAAAAUAAUAGAGCAAAGUGGUUGCUCAUAGGCUCAAAUCCUCACAAAGUUGGUAAAUUUGCCAUCAAAUCAUGUGCACUCUUCAAAUGAAUCAACCAUCAAUAGUGGUGUAGAAUGAGAAGAAGGUAUGAUUGAGAUAUGAAAGGAAAGGUAAAAAGGAUAAUAAGCGAGAAAGAUGUAUGUAGUAAAAAAAAUGAAUGAUAAAAUGUGAGUGAUGAAAGAGUAUGAUAGAAUAAAAAUAUAUGUAAAUAAUUUGAGGUAGAUGGGAAAAGAGUAGUGAGAGAGAAAGGAAAAGAAAAUUAAUAAUAUAUGAAGCAUACUAACUCCAAAAUCAUUUAAGGAUGAGUAGAGUGAAAAUAAUAAUUCCAAACAUCAAUAAUGUAAAAAAAUCCCUCCCCCACACCAAGAACUUACAUUGUCCUCAAUGUAAGAUAAUCAAAGCUCACAUAAAAAUUAAAGCGUAAGGAUAAAAGAUUAAAGACAAAAAAAAAAAAAAACUUCCCUGAAUUAUGAGCUUUGAUCCACAUAACGUCUAUGGGCUUGGCAGAAAUGGUGGGGUAAAUCCCACACUCUCGAAGUAUGCGGCCAAAUUCUGCUCCAUCUUGUUCAGCUUGUGCUCCAUUUUCUCUAACUGAAUGCUCAAAGGUGGUGCGGAUGUAGAAGGAAUAGUUGGCGGGGCAGCAGUGUCGUCGUCAAACUCGUCAUCAGAGGUAGCACCACUCCUAGCAUAAAGCUUCUUCGGAGGUUGAGUGGGUCCUGGUUCAGUAAAAUGAAAUCUCCCCUCCUUGAAUUCGACCAUACCUGUUCUUUCAAACACAGACAUAUCCAAAAAUUCCUUUUUGCAAGCAGGAUGCAAAUCAUUAUUGUCAGGAUCAAGCACACAUAGGUUUAUAGCUAACAGAGUAAUGUAUGGACCAAGAAAUAAAGUUCUAUACCGUUUAAGCACACUUUGAAAUUGAUCCGCUAACCAAAAACCUAAAUUAGGCCUCACAUCAUUUAACAUGCACCAGAUAAAAUAACAUUCAGUUUUAGAGAAAACUCCUGAGUGAUCUUUCUUACCGAAAAAAUUAUAUGCUAAGAAUCGAUGCACACAUUUCAAAACAGGAUCACGUAAGAAAGAACUCUUUGAUUUACUCGGGUCAUAGGCAUUGUGAUCAAUAGAUAAAUUACGCCAAAGACCAUAAGGCUCAAAAUUUUCGCUAAAGUCACAAGUUGUUCCUAAAUAUGCAUCACUAGAAGAAUAAUCAUCAUCAAUGAAUCCUAAAGCUAGGUUAAAAUCCGUGAUAGAGUGUAAAAAAUUUCGUCCCAUUAACCUAAACUUAAUGACAUCCGGGGUAUGCAAAGUAAAAUCAUUCGGCAUAUUAAAUUGAAAAGUAGCAUAAAACUUCCUAAUCAACUCAACAUAACCCAAACAAUCAACAUCAACAAACUUAUGUGACCCAAUCUUAUCUAUCAAAGAAUCAAAAUUAUCCUUAACAUUCAAUUUUUCAAGAGUCGGGUAAUGAAUAUACUUAGCUGGAAGUAUUUUGCGCGUGGAAAUAUCUUUGUACCUCUCUUUCUCUUGUUGAGUCGCGAAUGCGAGGCACUCUUUGAGAUUGGAUUCCGCAAGUGGCAAAACACUCAUGCCUUUUCCAUGUUUCGAUCUUUGUCUCACGGCUUGGCGUGAAUAUGAAAUUGUGUUCCAUGGAACCGUAGUGGGAGCGGCAAUCUUAGAUUUCUUUGCGACGAGUGUCUUUUUAGAUGACUUGGAAGUAGAUGCUUUCCUCUUCGGCAUUGUUACAAUAAUUGCACUCACGGAUUUCGAUUUACCUGGCUGGAAUACAGGGCGUAGGUUGGAUCUGCGUUGCGUUGCUGCUUGGCUGGAGCUUGCUGCGCAGGUUGGGGCUGGUUGCGCGCUGCUGCUGGUUGUGUUGCGCGCUGCUGCUGGUUGUGUUGCGUGAUGCUGCGCGCUGCGGGUGGAAUUGGUUGCGCGCUGCUGGGGCUGGAUUCGGGUUGCGCGCGGGGGCUGGGGAUGCUGGUGCGCGCUGCGGGUGGGACUAAUGCGCUGCGCUGAGGCUAAUUCGCGUUGCUGGGGCUGCGUUGUGGGAUGCUGGUGCUGUGUUGCGUUGCGCGCGGCUGCUGCUGCUGCAUGGCUGCGGCUGCUGCUGCUGCGGGUGAAAACGAUAAUCAACAGUGAAUUUUUAUUUUAUUUUUUUGAAUUAGGGAUUUAUGAACAGUGAUUUGUGAUUUUUGUUUUUUUUUUGUUUUUUUUAAAUAAAAAAAAUAUGUAUAUAUAAAAGAAAGAAAAGAAGGAAAAAAAAUAAUAUUUUUUUUUUUGUGAUGAAUCACUUUGAGACACUAAAAAUUUCAGAAGUACUUUUCUAAUAAGCACGUGGGCACGCCUUAAAACCAUUUUAUUUUAAAAAUCACAGAAGUACUUAUUAGUUAAGACGUGGGCACGCCUUAUCAAAAAUUUUCUUCUGACCAAAAUAAGCAAACACAUUAAAAAAAAAUGAAUCAAAAUUAAAAGAAGAUAUAACAAAAACCAAAAUAAAUAAAUCAUUUGGGUUGCCUCCCAAAAAGCGUCUUUGUUUUAUGUCUUUGGCUAGACACAUUUAUGCAUCAAUCUCCAUAAUUGGGACUCUCGAGAGCCACAUCCUCCACAAUAUUCACAAAAAAACCUUCAUAAAAAGGUUUUAAGCGAUGACCAUUAACCUUAAAAAUUUUGUCAGAGGUCGGACUUCGAAUCUCAACUGCACCAUGAGGGAAAACAUUAGUAACAAUAAAAGGUCCAACCCAGCAAGAACGUAAUUUACCCGGAAAAAGUUUAAGCUUAGAAUGAAAAAGAAGAACUUUUUGACCAACAGAGAACUCCUUUCUCAAAAUCAUUCUAUCAUGAAAUGUCUUCGUUUUUUCCUUGUAAAUAACUUCCUGCACUAUAGGGUUAAUAACAUCCACAGAAAAUACCGAAUGUUCCUCACUAGGAUAUUUCAUGGCAUCAUUCAUAUUGAAUUCUAUAACCUCUCCAUCAAACUCCAUAGUGAGAGUCCCUUUAUGUACAUCCAUUUUAGUCCUAGCAGUCUUAAGAAAAGGUCUUCCUAGCAAAAUUGGGACAAAAUUGGAGGAGUUAUCCUCUUCCAUAUCAAGUGCAUAAAAAUCAGCAGGAAAAACCAACUCAUUAACUUGUACUAAGACAUCUUCUAAUACCCCAUCAGGAUAUGCAUUAGACCUAUCAACUAGUUGAAUUAUCACGCCAGUUUCUUUUAAUGGACCAACAUUCAAAGAUGAAUAAAUGGAACGAGGCAUGACAUUAAUAGAAGCUCCUAGAUCUAACAAAGCCUUUUCAAUUCUAACACUACCAAUUUUACAAGGGAUAGUAAACAUACCUGGAUCCUUGCACUUAGAGGUAGUUUCUUUUGGAGAACUGCUGAAACAUUCUCCCCCAUGUGAACUUUUUCAUCUCCUCUUAAUUUUCUCUUAGAGGUGCACAGUUCCUUAAGGACUUUAGCAUAUCGAGGUAUUUGUUUUAUAGCAUCUAAUAAAGGAAUAUUUACCUCAACCUUGCGAAAUGUCUCAAGGAUGUCUUUCUCUUGUUCCUCCUUCUUGGAUAUUGCAAACCGGCUUGGAAAAGGAGGAGGUAUCACAAUAGGUAGGGGUUUCGCUCUGGUGGGUUGCGCAUCUUGAGAUUUAGGCAUCAAUUCAUUCUUCUCAAGCUCAUCUUCUACAUGCUUUGUCACUUUCUUACUAGGCUCUUGCAACUCCUUCCCACUUCUAAGGAUGACAGCACUAACGUUUUUCUUUGGAUUCACCUCAGAUUGUGAAGGCAAUCUCCCUAAUACUUGAGACUCCAGAAGGCUCACUGUAGUCGCCAAUUGACUCAUUUGGUUCUCCAAAUUCUGAAUGCUUGUUGUAGUUGCCUGCUGAAAUUGUUGAGUGUUAGUCGCAAGUGAUUUAACAAUUUCUUCAAGAGAUAUACCUGACUUAGAGUUUGAUUGUGGAGGUGCUGGUUGUCUUGGUGGAUACUAUUGUGGGAAUCCUGACGGCCUAACUCCAUAGCUGAAGUUGGGGUGAUCCUUCCAUCCCGGAUUGUAUGUUUAUGCAUAAGGAUCAUACCUCCUCUGAGGCAUGCCUGGAAAUCCUCCAACUGCAUUGGUUUGUUCAACGGGUUCUUCUUGAAGUGUAGGACACAUAUCAGUUGAAUGACCCAUAUUGUAACAAAUGCCACAAGUCUUCACCUGUUGCACAUUACCUACAACAAACUUUUCCACAAGAGAAGUAAGUUUAUCUAAACUUUGUCCAAUAGAAGAAAUAUUUACCUCAUUUACCUUCCUUGAAGUGAGAUCUUGCCUGCUGCCAAAUUGUUGUGCGUUGGCAGCCAUAUUUGAUAUCAGCUCCUUUGCUUGAGUAGGGGUCUUGUUCACCAACACGCCUCCACUAGCAGCAUCUAUCAUACUCCUAUCCAUCAAUGACAGUCCUUCGUAAAAAUAUUGAAUAAGAUGUUGAUCAGAAAUCUGAUGCUGAGGACAGCUGGCACACAAUUGUUUGAAUCGCUCCCAAUACUCAUACAAAGUCUCCCCAGGAAGUUGUCUGAUCCCACAAAUGUCUUUUCUGAUGUUAGCAGCUCUUGAAGCAGGAAAGUAAUUCUCGAGGAAUUGCUUGUUCAAACCAUUCCACGUUGUAAUUGAUCCAGGAGGCAAGUAGUACAACCAGUCUUUAGCUAGUCCAUCUAAAGAGAAAGGAAAAACACGCAGCUUAAUCUGCUCUUCAGUCACGCCUUGUGGUCUCAUACUUGAACACACAACAUGAAACUCCUUAAGAUGUUUAUGAGGAUCUGCACCUGCAAAACCAUGAAACUUGGGUAAUAAAUGAAUAAGACCAGACUUUAAUUCAAAAUUUACCUCCAAGUCUACAUAUUGAAUGCAGAGUGGUUGUUGACUCAAGUCUGGUUCAGCUAACUCUCUAAGAGUUCUUUCUACAGGUGCAGGUCUAUCUAUCAUUUGUUCUUCUGAAUCGCUAGAUGAUUCAACUAAAUCAGGCACUGUAUCUAUUUCAGAAAGCAAAGGCGACGAGGAUCGUUACUUAGCUCGCUUCGUCUGCUGUCUCAGCUGGCGAGCUGUCUUCUCAAUUUCAGGAUCAAACGAAAGUGUACCUGUACGAGAAGAACGAACCAUACACCAAGUAAAACGUAAAAAGGAUUAAAUAAAUGACACCAAUCCCCGACAACGGCGCCAAAAUUUGAUGGUUGUCGAAGCCAACAAAAAUAAAUUCCUACUCUAAAUAAAUUGUGUAUAGUGAUUGAGCAGGGUCGUGUCCACAGAGAUCGGUAUUUAAAUCCUUUUGAAACGUAAAACGUAAAAUGGAAGAAUUGUUGAUAAUAAUAAAAAUCAAAUUAAAAUAACAAGAAUGAAAAUUAAAGUUGUAAUUCAAAUUAGAGAAAGCUCUGGUUGAAGGAAUUAAGUCAGCUUGAUUCGACUACUGAUCAUUGAUUCAAAUAUAGAUUAUUAUUACUUAUGAAUAGACCGGUUAUAGCUACUGAGACCCUCUAAUAGCCAAUCUCACCUUAACUAGUCGAUAACCAAGGUACGACCGUUGGUUAUUUCCCUAAUCAAUAGACAACCCUAGAUACGAUCAUAGGAUUUAAUCAAUUGACAGCCUGAAAAACCAGAGAGACCCAAAUUCUAAUCAACACAUACGAUGAUUAAUUUAAAUUAGAUUGUUUAUUAUCACAACACAACUCUCUGCUAUGUUAUUUGUCACAAACAUUAAAUUUUUCAUACGAUGAAUCCUUUAAUUGACAAUAGAUUAAGUUGAUAAUUAAAUAGUGGCCAAUUACCUAAUUAACAAACAUAAUCAUGAAAAUAAUUCAGAGAAUAAACAAAUACCCAAAAAGCAAUAAAACAAUUAAAGCAUAAAAUAGAUCUCACAGAAGUGAUGAAUCAAAGCUUCAUUAUCCUUCAACCAGAAAAAUAGGUUUAGUUCUUCAUAGAGAGAAGAGAAAAGUUUAGAUCUAGGGUUUCUUUCUCUUCUCUCCAAAAGUCCCCUUUUUCACAAUAGAUUCCUCUCUUAAAUACUCUCUCUCUCUUCUCCUCUAGAAUUCUAUUUAAAAUAAAAUACUAAUAUCUGAAAUAUUAAAUUCGUAAUUACAAAAAUAACCAAAAAUACAAAACACGUUAAACUAAAAACUGUAGGUCCGUAGUUGACAGCACGCGCCCACGCCUUAUCAACAAAGUUCUUCUGACGCUCAUAAUUUCUCCAAGAGAACAAUCAUCUUUAAACAUCAUCUUAUAGCUCAAUUUUAUCACAAAUCAAUAGAAUUGCAUCUACAAAAGUAAAACACAAGUAAAUCAUCAUUAUUAAGUGCAAAACAUCGAUAUUAAGGGAAGUAAACAAUGCAAAACUAGUGCAUAAAUUGCACUCUAACAAUGUCUAUGAUUGUCAAUCUUGCUUUAAGUGUUUCAGUUAAGUGGUUUACCUAACAGGGAAAAAAAUUUAAUGGAAAACUUUAGAGUUCUAACAGAAAUAUAGUUGACUGCAGAUAUAGCUAUUUUGCAGUACAUAAAUUAUGUUGUCCUAUUCUCAAUGUCCUACGACCUAUUUUAUUUUAUAUGGUCAUUCAUUUUUGCGAUGGUUUUUUGUGCUUAUGAGUAUGGAAAUAGUGGGAUUUGGUGUGGCAAACAAAAAUAUACAUAUAAUCAAGUUUCUUAAUCAUGUAUAUUGGUUUUGGGUAUGAAUGUUUUCCUAUUCUAGUUCUAGGCAAAGUUUCUUCAUUUUGGUCUUCAGAUUUCCAGUAGGUUAAGUUAAGCAACUAUCAUAACUAGCUAGCUAGUUAUUGCCUGCCUUGUCGCCAUUACAUUGCAUGGCAUAAGGAAUAGUAACUAGGUGAUUAUUGGUGAUUCGUUGAGUUUAUUAUUGGCCAAACUAACAUAUUCGCCUUUACCCACAACUUAGUUUGAUUAGAUAUUAGAUAAUAAAGAGCCUUAAUCUAUGCAUUGCUUUAUUAUUUUUAUUUGGUUUUUCUUUCAACAAUAUUGUUGAUUUCUUAUAAAAAAUAUUCAUUGGUUUUUAAACACCUAAUCAUUGGCUAUGAUGAAGCUAAUUAAAACGAAGGCUUUGGAUCAAUUUCUUCUAACAACAUACAAAUGAGCAUAACCACCCCCUCCCCCCGAACCCAAAAAAAAAAAAAAAAAAAGGAAGACUUUGCAAGAUUCACAACCAGGUUACAUUUAAUUUAUUAAUUGUGUGUACGUACUAGUUAUUUGUUGAUAGAAUAGGAAGAAGUAUUUUAAUAUGAAUGACUUAAAACUUGUUGCUCAGUAAACAUAAUGUGCAUCAGUGCUAGAAAAUGUAUUUAUUGUUUGUAAUUUUUUAUGGUUUUGCUUAAGAAAUGAAAUGUGAAAAAAUGCUACAUUGUAUUAGGAAUAAAUUGAAGAGAUUUAUGAUUUUUAUGUGUUAUUCAAGUUUCAGAUUCAAUUUUAAACUUUUGAUACAUGCAUUGAAAGCUUAAACUCCUUUAAGAAAUUAUUAAUAGACACAUGUUUUAUUAGUGUCAUCUUUUGGAUGAUAGUGAGGAUCUUAUGUCUAUUAAUAAUUCUUGAAUUAUCUAGGCUUGGACAGUUUGGUAAUGCAUAGUUUUCUAUGGUAGCUAGUGCCUGAAAUUUUUUUCCCACGUAAAAAUGGGUUUUUCAGCAGCUGCUCCUCAUGUUCUCUGGGUGCAUACUAGACAAAUGGGUGUCAUGUGUUGUUUUGGCAUAACACAUAAACACUCAUAUAUCUAUGUCGCGUACUUGAAGAACUAUAGGGAGAUGCUUCCGAAGUUUCUAUAAACGUAGAGGAAAACUUUAGAUACUUAAGAUUGAAGAAACUUAUGCAUUCUUGAGUGGGAUAUAUAGGACCACUUACCUUUUGUAAAUAUGAAGGGAAUGUUGGAUAUAUUGAUGGGAGUGGAGGAGCUGAGUGGGAUGAAUGUAAUCGGUUAUGAUUUUGCUGAGUCGACUUGGUUUUGAGUCUUGUAAUUUUGUUUAUAAAUGGAGUACUAUCUCCAAUGUUGGUUUAUAAAUAUGUUUCAGCUGGCUGACCUAAUUUUUUGUUUCUAGGUAACAGGCUUUAUAUAUCUGUAAUUGAUAGCCAAGUGAAGUUCUCAGCAGUGGGUAACAGGCUUUACAGAAGAAUACUAUAAAUAAUUCUUGAAUUAUCUAUGCUUAUUGACCAUAGAUCAAAACAAUCUCUUCCUUUUCAACCCCAUCUCUGUCAUUGCUCUGCAUCCGUAUACAUAAAGUGAUAUGAGUCGCACUAGAGUUUUUGCUGUGGAGGAUGUUACUAAGUGUAUCAAUUUCUUGCAACCGAAAGCUACAAGUUUUGUUAGGUUCCCAAAAGAUACCGAUGAUGAUGGCAAUAGAAUUAACAGACUUUGACAAUAAUAUACUCUUAGAAUUUCAAGAUACUGAAAAAUGGGGGCAAGUUUGGAGUCUUGUUUGCACAGCUGCCUCAGAUGAUAGUGCCGGUGCAGCUUUAAUUCUUUUAUCAUUGCCAACUUCCCCACAUGUUUCUCUCAGCAUCCUUCCUUCGAAAAUUCCUCUUCGUUGAAUGAAAAAUAAACCAGUGCGAGUAUUUCGAGAUUGUGAAAUCUCUCCAGUACGUUCCAGAUUGGAAAACAAGCUGAGUCAUCUCCGGCAAUCUCUAGUUGUUUAAGACUGCCAAAAAGGUGUUGUGGGAAAUCGGCCUGCAAAAUCAUCUUCACAUCUUUUCCACUUAGUGAUAGUUCCUUCAAGUUGGGUACGAUCUGAUCAUCAUCAAUCAUAAUAACUAAUGAGGUCAAUUGAUGUUCUUUCAAAUGAUUUUGAGUAAUCCAAUCACGCAGUGACUUUAUAGUAUUUAUUUUAUAUUAAUUUUACCCCUAAAAAAAUUGAAUUAGUGAUAAAAUUCAUUAUAUGAUUUUUUUAUAUGUUAGUUUUAGAGGUAAUAAAGAAAUUAGGGAAAAAAACGAAAUUAUUUUAUUGCACGAUAGUAGACUCUUGCUUCUCAGUGCCUUUGCCACUGUAGUCAAGGCAAUGGGCAAACCUCCACACAACCUGGCGACGUCUGUUGCUGUAGAUUCCAACUCACGAUUUUCAACAUCAUCACCGGCCAUCAUCUUAAACAAUCUCCAGGCUUCUUCUUCAUUUAAAUUGUUAAUCAAGAAGUUGUCUUUAGAUCCCAUUUUUAAGAGGACGCCACGAUCUCUUGCUGUCAGCAGUAGUUUGCAGCCUUUAUGAUCUUCUCCAAAAGGAAUUCCAACUGUCUCCAAGUCAAGGUGCUUCCAGAUGUUAUCUAAAACCACAAGGAUCUUCUUCUCAUUUCUCAAUCGCUCAAAUAGUUUACAUGCUCUUCUAGAUUCAACUUCCUCGUGCAACUCCAGGCCCAACUUCUCGGCAAUUUCCUGUUGAAUCCUUUUUAUGUCUGGAAUUUGGGAAACCUCUGAAAAGACCACCAUAUCAAAGAGCUCGUCUUCCAUAGCUUGCCUGGCGACCUUCUUCACCAGUGUCGUCUUUCCAAUGCCGCCCAUGCCGUACACCCCAAUGAUGCUGACACUAACAUCGAUCAAUGCGUUUUUUACAACUGACUUCAUCAACAAAGCUUUUGUGAAUAUGCGUUACAUUACAACUGCGAUAUCCUUUCACUGUAUAUUCAUACAGUGGCAGGCCAUGUGACGUUGUGACCCAUGUGCUAGCUUUCACUAUUCAUAUUAUUUUUUUACACGGUGUUUAACAAAAUCUUCACGUAAAGAUUUCAGACGCGUGAUCCUAAUUCAGUAUGCAUUAUUUAUUUAUAAAAUGAAAAUAAAAAGAUAAAAGGAUGUGACUUAACUUGCUAUCAGUGCGGAUCCAGGACUUAAUAUUAUUUCGGGUUAAAUUUUAUAUUUUAAAAUUUAUAUUUUGAAGUGAACAUAAAAAUUUAUAAGUAGAAAGAAGUAUAUUAAAUGAGGGGAGAUAUGGAGAGCUUUAUCCCUAUGAAUAUGUAUUAUAAACGAAAAUAAUUGUAAGAAAAGAGUAGAAACCAAAAGGCAAUUCAAAUAUCAAAACAUUAUUUUUCAAUUAUGGAAUCCGAUAUUGCAACCUAUAAUAACAUGUAAUUAUAUAAGGAUUAAUAAAUCAAUUAAGAAUUUCAAACUAAAUUAGAUCAGUACAUGUGAUUAAAAUUAAUUAAAGAUUACAAGUAAAACUUUUUUGUUUGAAGUCAAGUACUAAAUUACCAAGCUUAAAUAAAUUUAAAAAAUUAAAAUUCAUUCAUUCUUUCGAAUUAUAAAAGUAUUAUUAAUAAAAAAUUUAGUAAUAAACUAAAUUCAAUUCAACAAAAAGUUAUUUGGAUAUCGUUGUUUCAUUGCCAGUGCACUAACUUUCUUUAUAGAAGUAGAUGUUGAUGAUUCUUCUAUUAAAGUUCCUCAAAAUACCUAAAUUUUAUUUUCUAACUUCUUCUCGUAGUUAAUGUAACUAAUAAAUAGAAUCUAAAAAAUCACAUAAAAUGUUUAUGAAAAUGUUGAUAAUUGUUACUAUUUAUUGUUUUCGUAAGUACUUUUAAUGCUAGUGACGAUGUUAUAUUACAUUGAUUUAUAUUUUUUUUCAAUUAGAAGUUUUUUAAAAUAAAUUAAAGCGAUAAUAAUACUUUAGCUCCUAAUGUUUUCAAUCUAUCCACUAAGUAUAUAAUUUAAUCAUUUUAUAAAAUAAGUCACUAAUUUCAAUUGGAAAUAAUACAAUUUAAUUAGGGAUAUAUUUGAAUAUAAAAUAAUAGCCCAAUUGUUAUACUAAAUUGAUGAAAAUAUAAGGGUAAUUGAGUUAGGGAAAUAUUUGAAUAUAAAGUAAAAACUCUAUUGUUAAACUAAAUUGAUGAAAACAUAAGGAUACUUGAGUUAGGGACAUAUAUGAAAACAAAAUAAAAACUCUAUUUUUAUAAAAAAAUUAUAAGAAAACAAGGUGUAUAAAUGAUUUUUUCUGUGCUAGACCAAGCUACAACCCAGUCUAGCCCAACUGUAGGUCCGCCACUACUUGCUAUUUACAUACAGACAUGUAGCCCUUAUUCUAAUAUCUAUAGGAAAAGACACUUAUACUCCAAGAUUUGAAGAAAUGGUCACGUAGAUCUCUAAGUUUUCAGUAACCAAAAUUUCUUUUUGACUAUAAUACUUUUUGUACAUAGUAAAUAAAAAAUGACUUUAAGAUUUUUUUUAAUAAAUAUAAAUAUAACUUAAAUAGUUUAAUCUGUCUAAUAGACUAAUAAUAUUAGAAUAUUUUUAAUAUAUAAAAUAUUUUUUAAAUAAAAACAUUAUAUUUAUUUUAAUAAUAUAUUUUUAUUUAUCAUAAAAAUAUCAAAUAAAUCAUUGGGGUUAAAUAGAAUUUAAAAUUAAUAAAACACAUCUCAUUAAUAAAAUAUAUCUCAUGUAGUAAUAAUAUUGAAAUUAUUUUAUAUAAUAUUUAAAAAAUUUAUAAAAUUUAUAAAAUUUAUAAAAUUUAUUUUAAUAUUAUGUUCUUAUUUAUUAUAAAAUUUAGUCUAAUAUAAUAUAAGAUUGUUAAGUAUAUAAAUAUUUUCCUAAAUUGAAGUUGUUUUAAAAUGUUAAUAUUUUAUGUUUAUUUCAAUAUUAUAUUUCUAUUUAUUAUAAAACAUAGGAGUCAAUUUUUUUGAGUUAAUAGAGUCAAAUGUAUUAUAGUCGAAAGAGGUAUUGGUAUUCCUUAUUAAAAAUUUAGGGGUCUACAUGACUAUUUGCCAAACCUUAGGUGUAACGUCCUUUUCUCCAAAAUUGAUUCUCUAUAGGUAUUUCAUGAAGGAAAAUGAUAUUUACAAUGAAUCAAACCCCGGACUAGUUAAAAUGCAUUAUUUCAGCUUAAAUAAUGGUAAAUAUUUGUUCAGUCUCUAUAUUUUGAAUUAAGUACCGUUUAGUCCCUCAAGACACCUUUGUCAGUAAGCACAAUAUAAUCCUACCCUUACUUUUUCUUUGAUUUUAUAAUAACAUGCUUGCAACAAUAUUCUUAGAUAUGUUAAUGUAAAGAAAAAUUUAAAUUUAUCAAAUCAGCCUUAAAAGUAAAAUACAAAUUAGUUGUUAUUAUUAUUAAUAAAAUAAUAAAAUAAUAAAAUAAUAAAAUAAUAAUAACAAUAAUUAACAUUAAUUAAAAUAAUAAAGUUAAUAUAUUAUAUAACAAAAAAAACAAUAUUUACAUUUAUCAAAUUUUCAUGUGUUUAAAAAAAAUUAUGUGAUAUUACAUUAUUAUCUUUACACAAUCAAUCAUUUUUAUGAUCAAGUUAGGCUAAUGGAUCAAGCUUUAAAAAAUUUAAAACAAUAGGAGUUAUAUAAAUAAAUAUUUAAAAAAUUUUGUUUUAUGAUAUUAUAAUAAACAGUAAAGAUUUAAGUCUUAAUAACCAAUUGAACACAUCUCAACCGUUGACAGUAGCGGCUCGACCUCUAGGCAACUUAAGCGGUUGUCUAGAGCCCCGCUUUACAUUAAGGUCCUAUGAAAUGAUUAUUUUGUAUAUAAAAGGGAAAAGUGAAUUUAAAAGUCAUUACUAUGCAUUUAAUUUGUUAUUAUUUUGUAAUUAUCUUUUUCUAAAUAAACUAUCAAAUUCCUAUAAAGUUUAUUUAAUGUAGUACUUAGUAGUUUUAAUUCCUACAAAACCGAUAAAUUAAUAGUUUCAAUCCUACAAAUUCUCUAUUUAAUUGUUAGAAUUAAUAUGUUAUAAUUAAAAAGUUUUAUAUUCAUUUUAAACCUCUAUAAAAGCCCCACAUUUUAUUACUUAUCUAUUAAAUUUUUCCUCUAAUAAUCAAGACACGAUAUGUUGUUAGUGUUUGAGAGAAAGAAAGACAGAGAUGGAAAAAAUCAUGCUUCCUCUACUUUCCACUCAAGAAGAAAAAAAAAAAUCUAAUAAUUUUCUCUAUACUCUAUGGCUAUUGGUCAUUACUUAAAUCCUCAAAUAAUUAAUAUAAAUAUAAAGUUAAUUCAUGAUUUCAUCUCAAAUUCCAGAUUUUAUCUUUUUAUUAUUCUCUUAAUUAGUUGUGUUAUUUACUUGUUCUUAUUUUUUUUCAAUAUAUUCUUUUAUUCAUCUACUUUUUUUUGUAUGCUUGUUUUAUCUAUUUUGAAAUAAAAUUAUAUCGAAAAACUUUAGAAAAUAGAAAAAUUAGUUUAAUCUAGAAAAGGAGUAGUAAAAAAGAUGUAAUUUGAGUUGAAGAACAAUAAGUGAAAAUAUUAUAAUUGAAUUAAAAUUUAAUAGAUAACCCUAAUUUUUUUAUAAGAACUAAUUAAAAUCAUUUGCCUAGGGCCCCAAAUAUGGUUGAGUCGGCCCUGACCGUUGAACACUUUAGCUAUUAGAUUCAUCAGUUGAAUUAGAAAAAUAUAAAAUUUGGGGUACCGUGCAACUGUUGCAAGGUAGGCGGACACGUUAUAUUUAAUAUAGAAUAAAUAAACUAAAUAUGUGUAAAGAAUAUAGGUUAUUAACCUUGCAAUACUUCAAAAAAUUAUAAAAUAAAAAAGGUGAAAUUUCAAAAUAAGGAACUGUAAAAAGUAUUAGGUUCUAAAAUUUUAUUAUUUUAAUAUUACAAAACUUUACUUUUUUAUAACAUUUUUGUUUUUAAUAUUAGUUGACAUGUUAGUUUAUUUGUAUAUAAAAUAUGUUAAUUUACCUAUAAAAUACUAAUAUUACUCUUGAAAUUUAAGGAAGCCAUUUUAAUUUUUUAAAAUUUUAAAUGUAGCCCAACAAAGUCAUAGAAAUAUAAAUAAAGAAUAGCAUAAAAGGAAGUUAGUUUAAUUUUUUGAAGAAUACUUCAAAAGCAUUUGAGUUUUAUGUUUCUUGAGAAUUAUACCUUUUUGUUUUUUAGAUAUUUGAGCUUGUGAAUCUUGUUGUAAUGAUAAUUUAUUAUUUAUUCUUGAUUAAAAAUAAUUGAAUAGUAAAUUUAUUGGUUUCUAAUUACUCUUUUAAAUGUAGGGCGAUUGCUUAAUUUUUAUUAUGUUACCCUAAAUUUUUUGAUGAUGGCUAAUCAACCACUGCAAAAGACUCUACCAUGAUUAUUUUUACUUUCUCUACAUCCCUCUAGACCAUCAUCACUCAAAGAAUUAAGAGUCCAUUUGGCAUACUGUAUUAUAUUAUACUGUAUUGCAUUAUUUAAUAUAGGUAUAUUGUAUUAUGUUAUAUUACAUUAGUACUAAAUUAUAAUAAUAUUUGUACAACAUUUGGUAAUUGGUAUUACAUUGUACUGCAUUAAUUUUAUAUUAAUAUUAUACUAACAUUAUUUAAAUUUAUUAUUAAUUAUAUUAAAUUAUUAUUUUUAUAUAAAUAUAAUAUGAUAUAAUAAAAUAAUAUGAUAGUAUAAUUUAAUUUUAUAUUUUUAUUUAUUAUUAUAAUAAAUAAAAAUAUAAUAAAAAUAUAUUUAAUGCUUAAUUAAGGUAAAAUAAUAAUAAUAACAAUAGUAUUACUUUAAACAAAAAAAUCUAUAAAGUUUAAAGAUGAUGAUGAUGAUGUUGACGACAUUAAUAAUAACAUAACAAUUAAAAUAAUAAAACAAAUAAAUUUUAAUGAUAUUAAUAUUAAUAAAAUAAUAAUAACAAUAAUUAAAAUAAUAAAAUUAAUAUAUUUUAAUAAUAGUAAUAAAAAUAAUAUUAAUGACAGUAAUAAAAUUAAUAAAUAAUAAUAAUGACUUAAUUAAAAAUAAUCAUAAUAAUUAAAAUAAUAAAUUUUGAUGAUAAUAAUAAUAAUAUUAUUAUUAUUCUUAUUAAUAUAAUAAUAAUGACAUUAAUAAAUAAUACUAAUAAUAACAGUCAAAUGUUUUUGAAAAACCAUUUUAUCCCAAAAAAAGGGACUUAUAUAUAAAAUUUUGUAACUUCUAAUGUCUAUUCAAUUUUUUCAUAAAAUAUAAGGUAGUGCAGUGUAAUUAAUAAAAAAGACAAAAUUCGGUGGUAUGCUGCAAUUGUUGCAACAUAGUUUCAUCUUUAUUUGUGAUCCUAAAGUUUGAGAUAUGUGAUCCUUAUUCUAUUGUGUCAAUUAUAGUCCAGUCCAAUGCCGCCAUCAUUAUCGAACAGUCGAUAUCCAACACUUGCACGAAGAUUCCAAGAAGUUGUGUGGCUGCCGACUUUUAAAUGCUAAGCCUUAUUGUGUCGAAGAUACACAAAACAGAGCAGUCCAGGUAAUUGCCAAAACUUAGAACUAAACAGUAGCUUAGUCAGAAAAUCAAACAAGUACCAAUAAAAUGACUGAUAAAAAUAUAAAGAAAUCAGUCAAAUCACGAAGAUUGAAGAGUAAAUCAAUGGUUUUAGAUUUUUAUUUUUUUUUUUAGAUAAUAGAUAUUAUUUUGAUGAAUUUUUUAAUAUUAGAAUAAUGUUAGGAAUUCCAAUAGUAGAAUUCUAGCUUAAGACCCAAUUAUUAUGUGUCAUUUUUUUAUUGGAUAAUGAAUUUCAUAACUAAUAAAAUUAAUAUUUCGAUCAUUUAAUAAAUGACUACCAUAUUAGUUGAGACUCAAUUAUUAGGAUCAUUAACAUUGCUCUUAGUAUUAAAUUGGACAUCUUAUCCAAAUCAGAUUAAAAAUCAAAUUAGAUUUUAAGCUUUUAUUCAACAUCUCCUUUUUUUUUUUUUUUUUUGGUCUAUUUGAAGUGAACAAAAUAAAAAUACAUUAGGGUCAACGACUGGGCAAUUGAUAGUCAAGUAUUUUGUUGUUUUUGCUACCUUGAAUUAAAUUUUCUCAAUUAGAUCAACAAGCAUUAAGCUUGAAUUAAAUUAUGCAAGGUUCAUUUCUUUUGUUUGAUGCAAAAAAAGAAAAAAAAGAAAAAAAAAUGUUUACAUUCUUGGCGACUUGAGUAGAAAUAAGCGUUUUGAUAUCAUAAGGUUCAUUCAAUGAGUUCAUUCUUCCCAUUUUGAUCUCUUUUUCUUUCAUAGACAUUUCUUUUUCAUUUAACCCCAUUACAACAUUUCUAAGACCCUUAGAUUUUUGCAUUUAAUUCAUGUUUUAUGGAUUGAGAUGUGAUAUAUGAGCAAGCUCAUGAUAAUAGCAUUCUUUGAUUUGAUUUGAGUGCAUAAAUGAUACCUUAAACACUUUGAGUACAUGGAGUGAAGUUAAUGAGAGGGCUAUUAAAUCUUGUUGCACUUGAAUUUUGAAUGGAUAUUUGAUAACUCUAGGAAAUGAGAGUUAUUACAUCAAUUCUAGACUUGAAUCAAGGUCACUUAGAGAACAAAUAAAGUGUUUUUAUUACAUUUUGGGUACCUUUUUGCAUAAACAUUCAUUUUAGUUGAGUCUAAUAAAUUUUGCUUGAAUCAUAGUAAUUUGUGCUAAAAACAGGUUUUAAAUUGUAGGUUUUAAAUUCGUGAGAGGAUGUUGAGGCAUUAGAAGAGCAAGAGGAGGAAGGAAGUUGGCCACAAAAGAAGUAAAGCACAAUCGGGAAUAAAACAGUAUUGUAGCAGCUGUUAGAGCAACCAGUGCUAUAACAAUCUUGGAGCAAUGCGGGAGAAAACUUAGGCGCGAGUCAGCCACAAAAUCGUGAUCUGCAUGUUUCCUAAUUCAAGCAUAUGCACGCUCAUAGGCUUUGGUUUAACCUAAUUUGCAAUAUAAAAAAGAGGCGUGCAGCACAUAGAAAGGCGGCAAGGAAUUAUCAUAAAAAAUAAUUACAAAGGCAAGAAGAAGGAGAUCAAGAUUAAAGAGUGCUAUUCGGAAACAAAAGGAGAGAGCCGUGCAGAAUUAUUUGCCUUUCAUCGUGCUCAACUUAUAUUUUCUCUUUUUCCUUGAAUUGUUGGGAUGUAUUCCGAGUUCAACAUAUUUGUGUUUAUUUUUCUCAUCCAGAUUAUGAACUAAAUUUACUUGUGGUUGAGUGAAAAAUAAUCCAAUGGGUUCUUGACUAUUCUUUUAUGUUGUUAUGGUAAUGUUGUAGCAUUAUACUCUAGUAGUUUUUAUGAAUACAACUGUUGUUUCGGUUCACCACCCAUUUAAUAGUUUCAGUUAAGAUAGAGCAGCAAAAGGGCAUGUCUUAGCGGACAUUAUUAGAGUAUUACUUGUUCUUAAGUCGAGUUUCCUGGAAUAUGUUAUCUUGAAUCCCAUAAGGGCAAUACUUGAAGUUAAGAUUUGUGACACUCUAGACAUAGGUGUUCACCUUGUAGGGUAGAGAGAUUAAAGGUUAUAAUGCCAUACCAUAAAUAUAUGAGCAACUGGUCAUUGUUAGUAGAUUUAAAAGUAUGAAAUUUCCAACAUGCGAUAGCUGCGGAUGCAGAUUUAUUCUACCCAUUGCUGCAGCACUUAUUGAAACAAUUGGUGCUAAUUUGGUAAACAACAGUCACCCCAUUAGGAGAGUUUGAUCAUUCAACUACUAUAUUUUCAAUUGAAUCUUAGACACAUUUAACUUAGUUUACUUCAUUACAGUAUUGUUUUAUUUUCAUCUCUCAUAAUUAUUAGUUACAGCAGAAUUAUUUGACAAUUGUUUGUUUCGAUCUUUAAUUGAUUUGCACUAUUGUGAUUGUUUUAGCAUUUUGAGUAACAGCAAUCCCUGUGGAGACGAUCUUGAAUACUCAUCACUUUAUUACUUGUUGUGUAUACUUGCACAUUGGCAUUGAUAAUAAUUGCUUAUAGAAAUUAACCAACAAGUUUUUGGCGCCGUUGCUGGGGAUUGAUUGUUUAUUUUUGAAGUGUGAAGUAAAUCUUGAUAGCGCCAAAUCUGAUUUGAUUUAUUCUAUUUAUUGGCAGAUCGGUACAUGCAUGUGUAAAGACAAAUCUGUGGUAUUCUAAUUCGAUCCUGAGAUUGAAAGGACUGUCAGGAGAUUACGAAGAGAACAAAGGAAUUCAGAAAUUGCUUCAAGCAUGAAUAAUUUACAAGAUGCAGGAAAUUUGAAUCCUCACGGGCCCUUACAACCAGUGAACAUUCAAGAAGAGCAGAAUGACCAUGCUAACGGGAGACAGCCAGGCAAUAACAAUAUUAUUUACAUGGCUGAUGACAGAGACAGAGCUAUAAGAGACUAUGUUGUGCUAACUCCUCAAGUUAUAUAUCCUGGCAUCAUCAGACCUGAAGUAGACGCUGCCAAUUUUGAGUUGAAGCCAGUGAUGUUUCAAAUGUUGCAAACUGUUGGGCAUUUUAUUGGAUUACCAAAUGAAGAUCCUCAUCUCCAUCUUAAAUUGUUCUUGGAAGUAAGUGAUGCUUUCAAGAUUGCUGAAGCAACACAAGAUGCCUUAAGGCUGCGGCUUUUCCCUUAUUCCUUAAGAGAUCGAGCAAGAGUAUGGUUAAAUUCGUUACCAUCUGAUUCCAUCACUACAUGGAAUGAAUUGGCUGAUAAAUUCUUAAUGAAAUAUUUCCCACCGACAAAAAAAUGCGAAGUUGAGGAAUGAGAUUACUUCCUUCCAUCAACUUGAAGAUGAAAGUUUGUACGAGGCUUGGGAAAGAUUCAAGGAAUUGCUCAGAAGGUGUCCUCAUCAUGGUAUCCCUUGUUGCAUUCAAUUGGAAACUUUUUACAAUGGGUUGAAUCCAAGUACAAGGUUAAUGGUGGAUGCUUCAGCAAAUGGAGCUCUGUUAUCCAAAUCUUACACUGAAGCCUAUGAAAUUCUGGAAAGAAUUGCCAACAAUAAUUACCAGUGGCCUUCAGCCAGGCAACCAGCAGCAAGAGGAUCAGCAGGGGUACAUAACAUUGAAACAAUUACAGCUUUAUCAGCUCAAGUAACCUCAUUGACUAACAUGGUAAAAGCCAUGACAGCUGCUCCAGCAACAGUAAAGCAAGUUACUGAACUUUCUUGUGUCUACUGUGGUGAAGAACAUGAUUUUGAUAAUUGUCUUGGAAAUCCAGCCUCAGUAAACUAUGUGGGUAACUUCAAUCGACAACCUCAGAACAACCCAUAUUCAAAUACUUACAACCCAAGCUGGAAACAACACCCAAAUUUCUCAUGGAGCAGUCAAAAUCGAAAUGCUCCAGCAUUGAAUGGACUAAGUACAAACACACAACCACUUAGUUUUCAUUAGCAAAGUCAAGGGCAAAAGCAUAUUAGUCAGGAUCCAAUCACUUCACUAGAAACACUGAUUAAGGAGUAUAUUGCAAAGAAUGAAGCAAUUGUGCAAAGUCAAGCUGUAUCUUUAAGAAACCUUGAGAACCAAAUGGGACAACUAGCUACAGCAAUGAGCAGCAGAACUCAAGGAAGCCAACCUAGCAACACAGAAGACCCUAGGAGAGAGGGCAAAAAAGAAGUUACAACACCAGUAGUUACAACUUGCACAAAAUCAAACAAACAAAGUUUAAUAUCCCCUGAAGUUACCCAGCAGUUUAGACAUCCACCACCUUUCCUACAAAGGUUCCAGAAGCAAAAAUAAGACAAGCAGUUCAGCAAAUUCCUGGAAGUGCUGAAAUAAUUGCACAUAAACAUACAUUUUGUGGAAGAUUUGGAGCAAACGCCAAAUUAUGUUAAAUUUCUAAAAGAUAUCUUGGCACGAAAAAGAAGGCUGGGAGAGUUUGAAACUGUUGCUUUAACACAAGAAAGCAGUCAUAUGCUCCAGAGCAAAAUUCCCACAAAAUUGAAAGAUCCAGGGAGUUUUACAAUACCUUGUUCUAUAGGAACUAGAUAUGCUGGCAGAGCACUUUGUGACUUGGGAGCUAGUAUUAAUCUGAUGCCAUUAUCUGUAUUUAAGCAACUGGGAGUAAGGGAGUGCAGACCAACAACAGUCACUCUGCAAUUAGCUGACAGAUCUCAUGCAUACCCUGAAGGAAAGAUAGAGGAUGUAUUGGUGAAGGUUGACAAAUUCAUCUUUCCAGUGGAUUUCAUUGUGUUGGACUUUGAAGCCGACAAAGAGGUACCCAUUAUACUUGGAAGACCUUUUCUAGCAACUGGAAAAACUCUGAUAGAUGUGCAGAAAGGAGAGCUCACCAUGAGAGUGAAUGAUCAGCAAGUCACAUUUAAUGUGCUAGAGGCAAUGAGAAACCCUAGAAGAUUGUAAUUUCCUAAGUGUAGUGGAUCUUGUUGUAGCAGACAGAAUGGACAGAUGCUGCAGUAAUAUACUUGACAAAGUCACCACCUUUGAGGAUGUUGAAGAGGAAGAUGUUGCAGCAAUCCAAACAGAUUGGAUGGACAAACAACAAUCUGAUAGGUACAACAGGUUUAUUGAACACCUGAAUCUUUUAGACAUGGAAGUAAAAACAACUUUACCAUCUAUUGAAUCACCUCAUAAUUUUGAGUUAAAAUUGUUACCUUCACAUUUAAAGUAUGCUUAUCUUGGUCAAAACAACACACUCCCUGUAAUCAUUUCUUCUACUUUGGAUGCAGGUCAAGAACAUAGUUUAGUAGAUUUGCUGGGAAAAUACAGAAGAGCAAUUGGAUGGACCAUGGCAGAUAUAAGGGGGAUAAGCCCAUCCAUCUGUAUGCAUAAAAUCCUAUUAGAGGAUUGUUCCAGCAAUUCGGUGGAACACCAGAGAAGGCUGAAUCCUAUUAUGAAAGAAGUGGUGAAGAAGGAAAUCAUCAAAUGGCUAGAUGCUGGAAUCAUAUACCCAAUAUCAGACAGUUCAUGGGUAAGCCCAGUUCAGUGUGUUCCAAAGAAAAGAGGGAUAAUAGUAAUGGCUAAUGAGAAUAAUGAACUUAUUCCUACAAGGACAGUGACUGGAUGAAGAGUGUGUAUGGAUUACAAGAAGCUUAACAAAGCCACAAGGAAAGACCAUUUCCCACUUCCAUUCAUAGAUCAGAUGUUGGACAGACUUACUGGAAAACAGUACUACUGUUUCUUAGAUGGGUAUUCAGGCUACAACCAGAUUGCUAUAGUUCCAGAGGAUCAAGAGAAGACUACAUUUACUUGUCCUUAUGGAACAUUUGCCUUCAGAAGAAUGCCAUUUGGGCUAUGCAAUGCUCCAGCAACUUUUCAGAUAUGCAUGAUGUCUAUAUUUUCUAAUAUGGUAGAGCAAACUUUGGAAGUUUUCAUGGAUGACUUCUCAGUUUUUGGAGAAACAUACAAUGAUUGUUUACACAACUUGGAAGAAGUUCUUAAAAGAUGUGAGAUGACCAACUUAGUACUCAAUUGGGAAAAGUGCCAUUUCAUGGUGCAAGAAGGAAUAGUGCUGGGUCACAAGAUAUCCAAGGAUGGUAUUGAGGUAAACAAAGCCAAGUUAGAGGUAAUAGAUAAACUGCCACCUCCAACUUCAGCAAAGGGUGUUAGGAGUUUUUUGGGUCAUGCUGGAUUCUACAGAAGAUUCAUUAAGAAUUUCUCCAAUGUAGCUAAACCUCUGUGUUCAUUGCUGGAGCAUAACAAACCAUUUCACUUUGAUACAGAGUGCCUUAAGGCAUUUGGAGAAUUAAAGAAAGCUCUUAUCAUUGCUCCAGUAGUUAUAUCUCCAUAGUGGACUUUACCAUUUGAAUUGAUGUGUGAUGCUAGUGAUCAUUCUGUGGGGGCAGUAUUAGGGCAAAGAAAGGAUAAGGUUUUUCAUUCCAUAUACUAUGCAAGCAAAACGUUCACUCCAACUCAGAUCAAUUACACAACUACAGAGAAAGAGUUGCUAGUAGUAGUUUUACUUUUGACAAAUUCAGAGCUUACCUGGUGGGUACCAAAGUAACUGUUUACACAAACCAUGCAGCCAUCAAAUAUUUAAUUUCAAAGAAGGAUGCCAAACCAAGAUUAAUCAGAUGGAUCUUAUUGCUUCAAGAAUUUGAUCUGGAAAUUAAAGAUAGAAAGGGGACUAAGAAUCAAGUGGCAGACCACUUGUCACGGUUGGAAUCAGACACUAGUACAUUGACAAGGAAGGACAUCACCGAAACUUUUUCUGAUGAACAGUUGUUGGUAAUACAGCAAGCACAGAUGCUGCAGCAGUCAGAAUCUCCAUGGUAUGCAGACUUUGCUAACUACUUAGUAAGUGGGUUGCUACCACCUGAGCUGAAGUUUUAAGAGAAAAAUAAAUUUCUUCAUGAUGUUAGAAGUUAUCAGUGGGAUGACUCACAUUUAUAUAAGCUAUGCUCAGAUCAAGUAAUAAGAAGAUGUGUUGCAGCAGAAGAAAUACCUCAUAUACUGGAGUCAUGUCAUGCUGCAGCAUAUGGAGGAUAUUUUGGUGGUCACAGAGCAACUGCCAAAGUUAUGCAAUCAGGUUAUUAUUGGCCCACUAUCUUUAAAGAUGCUUAUGAAUUUGUUAAAUGUUGUGAUAUGUGUCAAAGGACAGGGAACAUAACUAGCAGACAUGAGAUGCCUUUGACUAACAUAUUGGAAGUGGAAGUUUUUUAUGUUUGGGAAAUAGAUUUCAUGGGACCUUUUCCCCCAUCCUUUGGGAACUUAUAUAUCAUUGUUGCUGUAGAUUAUGUCUCCAAGUGGGUAGAAGCUGCAGCAUUACCUACCAAUGAUGCUAAAACAGUGGUGACUUUUCUUCAAAAAAAUGUUUUCUCUAGGUUUGGCACUCCUAGAGCAAUUAUUAGUGAUGAAGGCACACAUUUUUGCAACAAAAUCUUUGCUGCAGCAAUGAUGAAAUAUGGAGUCAGACACAAGAUAGCAACAGCAUAUCACCCACAAUCCAAUGGUCAGGCUGAAGUGUCCAACAGAGAAAUUAAAAAGAUCUUAGAAAAAGUGGUGAACCCAAAAAGGAAGGAUUGGUCUUUACAUUUGCAUGACUCUCUAUGGGCCUACAGAACAACAUACAAAACUCCACUCGACAUGUCUCCUUACCGAAUUGUUUAUGGCAAAGCAUGUCAUUUGCCACUAGAGCUAGAGUACAAAGCCCAUUGGGCAUUAAAGAAAUUAAAUUAGGAUAUGCAUGCUGCAGCAGGGCAAAGGAAACUUCAACUUUGUGAGCUUGAUGAAUUACGGCUGUUUUCAUAUGACAAUGCAAGAAUCUAUAAAGAGAGAACAAAACACUGGCACGACAAGCAUAUUCAACACAGGAAAUUCACCCCUGGUCAAUUAGUGUUACUCCACAAUACAAGACUAAGAUUAUUUCCAGGAAAGCUCAAGUCAAGAUGGUCUGGCCCGUUUAAGUUGUUAAAAUCUUACCUUCAUGGAGCUGUUGAUCUUCUAGAUGAACAAACAGGCCACGAGUUCAAGGUUAAUGGACACAGGGUUAAGCAUUACAUACAUCCAGCAGCAGAAUGUUCAAAGGAGGUGUUACUCCUUAAAGAACCUAGCUAUUGAACAAAGAAGGAAGGUCAUGCUGAAGGACCUUAAAUCAAGCGCUUCAUGGGAGGCAGCCCAUUGAGGAGAUAGCCACUUCAAACCAAGUUUGAUAGCCUUUGGUUUUGUAGACAGCUUUCUCUCUUUGCCAUCUUAUUUAAUUUCUGUUUUUCUAUGAUUAGCCCUUAUUUUCAUCCAUUUACAUUAUUGCAUUCUUUACUUUCACUUUAAUUUGCUAUAUCUAUUUCUUUUAAUAAAUUUUAGACUUAAUGUUAGUAAGUGUGAUAAUUGAAUUUCAUAUUGACAAGUGAGAGUGAAUGGUGGCAGAAUUCAGAGGUGAAUCACGUGUUAGAAGCUUUUAGUGGGGAGUCUGUAUCCGUUGUUAGAAUAAGCGAAUGGGUGCUGCAGCAGCUAAUUUUACCGUUACAGUAAAUUAAAAGCUGGAGCCUUUCACUUACCGUUGGAGAUAAAAUCGUGACAGAUGGAUGCAUGGACAUGGAUAGAAAAUUGAGGAAACCAAUCUAUGAAAUUAAAGCUUUAAUUUCAUUGGCCGAUAAUUUUGGGGAUAUGGACAUUUAAUUCAAAUAUUUUAUUCCCUCAAUUAUCUCUCGUUACCGUAUUUAUCUUCAAAUUAAAGUCCAUUAUAAAAAAGAAUCACUGUGCUUAGUGCUCUACGCCACUAUUCCCCAUCUCCUUCGCAAAGACAACUCUAAAAACUCUUAAACUCUUUUUCUCUUUUUAUUCUCAGGAACAGUAGCUUCAAUUUGUUAUUGCUACAGCAAUGCCGAGAUACAAGAAAAUAGUCAGUCGCCUCAAAGAUCUAUCACGAUUCCAGAGUUACCACGCUGAAGAAAAAUAUGAAGAAUUCAUAGAGCCACGUCGGAUUCUGGAAGAAAAAAGGGUUUCAAUUCCCAGACCAACUCACGGGAAUUGUGCAAACCAUUCAUAAUGCUAUAGCAAAGCGAGGAUGGUUAGAGUUUUGCAACCACCCUCGCGAUCCUGUGUUGCCUGUAGUCAAAGAAUUUUACGCCAAUUUGGUGUUCGUCUUGACGCUAGAGAUGAACAUGUAAAAAAUGAUGGUGCCUGUACGGCACGUACCAUUGAGAGAGUUGCUGGUGAGAGUGCUGGAACAACCACUGAACCAGCUGCUAUCACUGGAGCAAGACGAGCCAUUGGUUUAGAACAGACUAUCCAGGUACUCAGCAAUAGUAUAACUCAAUGUGUGGAAGCUCAACAGAGGGAAAAUGGUCGAUUUUGGAGCUAUCUACAGCACUUGGAUAACCAACUACACCAAUUUGAUCUGUACAUGAAACGCACUCACUGGAACUUCCCUGAUGCACUGCUCCAGCAGUUCCAUUUUGCCAUAAACACCACAGGUGCUCCAGCAGCAGCCAGUGAAGAAGCCACUCCUUCAGAUGAACCAGCAGAGGACGCUGCCACUGAGCUACAAGCAGCAGUCGACUCAGAAGAGGCUGAACCGUCUGAUCCACCUGAGGACGAAGGUGACAAGUCUGAGACUGAUAGCUCACCCUCAGAGGCAGAGGAUAACUCAGAGAAAGAAAGUGAGGAACCAACCAUCCCAAGCUAGCCCAAAACUAGAAAAAAGCAUAUUAUUCAAGAAGAAGAAGAGGAAGACCUUGAAGAGGAGCUGCCUAUUCCAGUCUUUAAGGGUAAGAGGAAGGAUAAGGGUAAAGCAAAAUUGGCAACCCCUCCAGCCUCUGAAGAUGAAAUGGAGCAAGUCGAUGCUGAGUUGGCUGCUGCAGCAGCCAGAGCUAUGCCUACACCUGAGCAAGCCUAGCAACUACUUGCGGUUAUUGCUGCCAUCACCGCUGAGGGCCAGGCAGCUGAUGCAUUGACUCAAAAGCCUCCACAGCAAACUCCUGACCAGCCUAUCCGCACCAGUCCAAGACAAUCCAGCAAAUGAAAAGGCAGUACGUCUACAGGUACUGCUACAACAACCCCAGCCACCACUCCUCUCACCAGCCCCGCAGCGAAAAAGACAAAGACAUUGCCAGCCACUUCCCCAAAAGCUUCACCAAAGGAUAAGCUGCGCAGUGCGUCCAAGAAGCGCUGAUAGCAUCCUGUCAUGUGCUGCAGUCCCCACCACAGGGGAGUACUCUUUCCUUACUAGUGCAUUAAAAAAAAAAAAUUCAAUUUGUGUGUCAUUGUUAUGUUUGCUUGUGAGGACACAGCAACUCUCAAGUUUGGGGCGGGUUGUGUUCCCAAAUGCAUAUGUUUAUGUUUGUAUGCAUGUGUUUAUGUUUGUGUGGUGUGGAGCUCUAUUAUCUAAUAUUUGUGUAUGGAUUUGAAAGCCUAAUGAAGAUAAAUUGAGUGCUAUUCAAUAUAUAUAUGCCAAGUAGAGAUAGUUAUAGAUGAAAGUGAAAUUCUGUCCCGACACUUAGACUUUGGUUGAAUUGUACGAGACUGUUAGAGCAAAGCCAAAAGAAGAGAAAAGAUCUCAAGUUUGGGGGGGGGGGGUAGAAGCAAGUUUGAAUAACUGUGAUAUCUAUGGAAUACAAUUUGUUCCAAUGACUCAAGUUGCUGAGUAACCAUAUCUGAGUAUGUACCCCAUAUGCAGACUUGUGUUCAAAGGUAGCGAGAGUUAUGAGCAAUGCUGCACCAUAUAUAUAUAUAUAUAUAUAUAAAGAAAUCAUCUGUCUAAGGCAUUGAGUAGUUAGGUCUGUUCAUGAGCCCCAUGUUCAGCCUUGAGUAAAAGAUACUUCUAGAUAAGAUUACCUUACAAUUACUGGUGCAGCAACUCUAAUCUGGGCAUGGUUUGAUUAAUUGGGUGUCAUCAUUACAAUUGAUUGACAUUCACAUGAAAGAUAAAUGUUACAGUGAGGAGGUUAAAUAUUUCCUAGUUUGUCAAUCCUAAAAUAAUCACAGUUGAGUAUGUGAAAGUUAUGAUUACCCCAUUUAUGAAUGAAGUGUUCUCACUGUUGAAAUUCAUGCAAUCCCUUGGUGAUGCUAUAGCAUAUCUAGAAUUCAACCGAAAGAGCACACACACACACUAUGGACAGAAAGAAGCUUAAGUCUAGGACUAAUUUACUAUGGUCAUCUUGCUUGAUUGAGAAUAUGAUCUAAAGGUGGAAGAAUCCUUGCAAAGUUGAUAAAAGAGUUAAAUUUGUGUAAAGUGUUAGUAUGUGUCAUUACUUGAGGACAAGUAAUAGUUUAAGUUUGGGGGUGUGAUAACUCUAGGAAAUGAGAGUUAUUACAUCAAUUCUAGACUUGAAUCAAGGUCACUUAGAGAACAAAUAAGGUGUUUUUAUUACAUUUUGGGUACCUUUUGCAUAAACAUUCAUUUUAGUUGAGUUUAAUAAGUUUUGCUUGAAUCAUAGUAAUUUGUGCUAAAAACAGGUUUUAAAUUGUAGGUUUUAAAUUCGUGAGAGGAUGUUGAGGCAUUAGAAGAGCAAGAGGAGGAAGGAAGUUGGCCACAAAAGAAGUAAAGCACAAUCAGGAAUAAAACAGUGUUGUAGCAGCUGUUAGAGCAACCAGUGCUGUAGCAAUCUGGGAGCAAUGCGGGAGAAAACUUAGGCGCGAGUCAGCCACAAAAUCGUGAUCUGCAUGUUUCCUAAUUCAAGCAUAUGCACGCUCAUGGGCUUUGGUUUAACCUAAUUUACAAUAUAAAAAGGAGGCGUGCACCACAUAGAAAGGCGGCAAGGAAUUAUCAUAAAAAAUAAUUACGAAGGCAAGAAGAAGAAGAUCAAGAUUAAAGAGUGUUAUUCGGAAACAAAAGGAGAGAGUCGUGCAGAAUUAAUAGUUUCAGUUAAGAUAGAGCAGCAAAAGGGCAUGUCUUAGCGGACAUUAUUAGAGUAUUACUUGUUCUUAAGUCGAGUUUCCUGGAUUAGGUUAUCUUGAAUCCCAUAAGGGCAAUACUUGAAGUUAAGAUUUGUGACACUUUAGACAUAGGUGUUCACCUUGUAGGGUAGAGAGAUUAAAGGUUAUAAUGCCAUACCAUAAAUAUAUGAGCAACUGGUCAUUGUUAGUAGAUUUAAAGGUAUGAGAUUUCCAACAUGCGAUAGCUGCGGAUGCAGAUUUAUUCUACCCAUUGCUGCAGCACUUAUUGAAACAACUGGUGCUAAUUUGGUAAACAACAGUCACCCCAUUAGGAGAGUUUGAUCAUUCAACUACUAUAUUCUCAAUUGAAUCUUAGACACAUUUAACUUAGUUUACUUCAUUACAGUAUUGUUUUAUUUUCAUCUCUCAUAAUUAUUAGUUACAGUAGAAUUAUUCGAUAAUUGUUUAUUUCGGUCUUUAAUUGAUUUGCACUAUUGUGAUUGCUUUAGCAUUUUGAGUAACAUCAAUCCCCGUGGAGACGAUCUUGAAUAGUCAUCACUUUAUUACUUGUUGUGUAUACUUGCACAUUGGCAUUGAUAAUAAUUGCUUACAGAAAUUAACCAACAAUAUUCUUGGUGGUUGAUUUUGUUUUUUUAUACUAGCUUAUGAGAUCCUAUGCUUUAAAAUUCUUGUCUCUCGAAUGUUGAUUGAUUUAAAUUCUUGAGGUAUGCUUGCUUAAGAUUAUUUUUGGAUGAGUUGAGAUGAGAAUUGAGUGGAGAUUUGGGAUUAGUCUUGAGUUAUAUGCUUGAGGACAAGCAUUAUCUUGGUGUGGGGGAAUUUGUUAGAGUACAAUUUAUGCACUAGUUUUGCAUUGUUUACCUCCUUUAAUAUCGAUGUUUUGCACUUAAUAAUAGUGAUUUACUUGUGUUUUAUUUUUGUAGGUGCAAUUCGAUUGAUUGGUGCUAAAAUUGAGCUACAAGAUGAUGUUAGAGGAUGAUUGUUUUCCUGGAGAAAUUAUGAGCUUCAGAAGAACUUUGUUGAUAAGGCGUGGGCGCGUGCUGUCAACUAAGGACCUGCAGUUUUUAUUUUAACGUGUUUUGUCUCUUUGUUUAUUUUUGUAAUUUUGAAUUUAAUAUUUAGAUAAUAUUUUAGAUAUUAGUAUUUUAUUUUUGGAAAAACUCUAUAAGAGAAAGGAGACGUGAAAAACAAAGGAGGAUGAGAUUUUUAAAAAAAGAAAAAGAAACCCUAGAUCUAAAUUUUUCUCUUCUCUCUAUGAAGAACUAACCUAUUAUUCUGGUUGAAGGUUAAUAAAGCUUUGAUUCGUCAUUACUGGGAGAUCUUUCUUAUGCUUUAAUUGUUUUAUUACUUUUUGGGUAUUUGUUUAUUCUCUAAAUUAUGGUUAUGAUUAUGUUUGUUAAUUAGAUAAUUGGCCACUAUUUAAUUAUCAACUUAAUCUAUUGUCAAUUAAAAGAUUCAUCGUAUGAAGAUUUUAAUGUUUGUGACAAAUAGCAUAGCAAUGCGUUGUGUUAUGAGAAUAAACAAUCUAAUUUAAAUGAACCAUCGUAUGCGUUUGUUGAUUAGGAUUUGGGUCUCUUUGGUUUUUCAGGUUGUCAAUUGAUUAAACCCUAUGAUCGUAUCUAGGGUUGUCUAUUGAUUAGGGAAAUAACCAAUGGUCGUACCUUGGUUAUCGACUAGUUAAUGAGAGAUUAACUAUUAGAGGGUCUCAGUAGCUAUAAUCGGUCUAUUCAUAAGUAGUAAUGAUUUAUAUUUGAAUCAAUGAUCAGUAGUCGAAUCAAGCUGAGUUAAUUCCUUCAACUAGAGCUUUUCUCAAUUUGAAUUACACAUUUAAUUUGCAUUCUUGUUAUUUUAAUUUGAUUUUUAUUAUUGUCAAAAAUCCCCCCAUUUUGUAUUUUACAUUUUAAAAGGAUUCAAAUAAUUACCGAUCUCUGUGGACACGACCCUGCUCAAUCACUAUACACAAUUUAUUUAGAGUAGGUAUUUAGUUUUGCUGGCUUCGACAACCAUUAAUAUUAAAAAAUAAAUUUAUAUUUAUCAAGUAUAAAAAAUAAAUAGACAAACAAAAAUAAUAUGUUACCUAAAAUAAUGACAAUAUCAAUAUUUAACACUCUAUAAUUUAGUGAUGUGUUGUCCAACUGCCAUACAUUGGUCCCAAACAGAGCCUUAAAUAUCAAAGUCCAAAGUUAUUGUGAUGAUGACUUAUAAUCGCCAAACUUGACAUACGGGUAAUCAUGCAUUAUAAGGUGCUGAUUUCUUACUAUCAGAACCUUAUUUGUCAUCUAUAAAUAAAUAAAUGAUGUGACUUCACGGUUGGCGGGGUCCUUUGUAUCUCCUUUUGCAUCUACUUUUGUUGUUAACAUUACUUUCAAAAGCAGCUCGUUAUGUAUGCAACAUUUCAAAAUUAAUCUAAAAAAAACAAAAAUUAGUUCAGCUGACUAAAUUUGAAAGCAUGGAUUUGCUGUCGAUUAAAAACCGUUUUGUAGGGAAAAUUUUUGGAUUGCAAUUCUCAUAUAAUACAUAGAAUUAUCAUAAUUUAUAAAUUUUAUUUUCGCUUUUCUGUGGUAGUAAGUCAGACUCCUUAGUGACAAUUUAAUUUGAAAAAAUAAAAUCAUAAAUAAGAAUUAUUCGAUAAGAAUUAAAAUAAUUGAUAAAUAUUUGAGACGUGCAAUUUUGGAAGAUUCGAUUUCUAAUAGGAGGGGAAUUUAAAUUUUACAGCCUUUGGUGAGGAAUCCAAAAUGCACAAUUUGAUGAAAAUUAAAUUUCAAUAGAAAUUGAAUUCCCAUAUAUUAGUGAAAACCAAACAACAGAAAAGUGAAAUGAAUUUGAAUUUAUUUCCUUCCUCUCUUCUCCCUCCAACUAAAUACCAUUGAAAUCCAAAGGUAUGGGAUUUGUUUCGGAGUUUAAGAUUGAAAUUAAUCCCAAUUGUUGAUUUGGGACUAGAUAAGAAUUUAUCUUGGAACUCCAAUUCUCCCAAUUAUUUUAGUUGACAAUAUGUUUAACAUUAUUUUUUUAACAUUAUUAAUUGCAUAUUAUUUAAUUGUCAGUAUAUAAUAUUCUUUAAUUUUCUAAUUUAUAGGAUUAGACGCAAAAUUGAUUAUGGCUUUUGAAAUUUAAGUGUUAUGUCAAUUGAAUAGAAAACAUGGAGUAAAAAUUUUGGAUGCUUUUGUUGAUUAUCAAUUUAUGCAUGAAUUUUUGUACAUUUACUUUGGUUUAUUAUUAUUACUUUUAAACAUUUUUAUUAGUUUGGUUUAGGGUCAGUUUGGUAAUCCUGUAGCUUUUACAAUAAUUACAAUUAGCUAUGCUGUAGAAAUUGAUCAAUCGUGAGGAGAAUCAGCUGAACAUUUAGUAAAAUUUAUUUUUAAAAGUACUUUUAGUUUUAAAAACAGUCGUAUGUAUUUCUUAAAUCUUAUUGUUAAACUGGUGCAAGAAUAUAAAUGAUGAAUUGGACAUAAUGCGAAAUAAAAUUUAUUUACAAACAUGUAUAUAAAAUAUUUUUAUUAUGUACAUAUAAUUAUUGAUAACUAAAAUAAAUAUUUUAUAUUAUUAAAUUUUAUUCUCUAUUUUGUUAUCUCAAUAUAAUUGGUAAUAAUAAUAAUCUUUUUAAAGUUAAUGAUUUUAUUUCUUAAUUAAUAAAGAUAAUUUUGGAUUUUUAUUAUAUAAUGAGAAUAUAUAUAUAGAAUUGGAUUAAGUAUAGAAGUGAUUCUCAAAACCAGAUUUUGAAAAACUAUUCAUUCCCUACUUUUCAAAAUCUAAUGUAUGAUGAAAUGAUUUUGCCAAAACUAAUUACUAAAAAAAUUUAUAAAACACUAAGAAUUAACUUUUACUUUUUAAAAUCACUUUUAAGCUUCCCAAAAACAAUCCUAAGGGCCUUUAUUUGGGUGGUGUUGGAACUUGUAACUUUUGGAUCUUUUAGCUUUUAUUGGUUUGACACAACUGUUACACUAAAAAUUAAAUGCAUCUUAAACCCCAAACUUCUUCUUCUUCUUUUUUGAUUGCACAAAAUUAAAAACAAUAGUGAACACAUUCUUUAAUAAACAAUAAGUAAUAACUAAAAUUGCGUUAAAGAAUUUAGUUGAUAUAUAAAUUGAUUUCAAUGUUGUAUAUGCUAAAUUUCUUAAAAGUUUUCUUUCACAAUCUGCUGCAUAGUUUUAUUAGUAUUUUGAAUAAAUAAAAAUAAUUGAUUUAUAUUUUUUUAAAGAAACUUAUUAGGUUCAUGUAAAGAUGUUUUUUUUUUUAUUUUAAAAAAGUGUACAAAGUAAAACUUAAUUUUUUAAAUUUAUUAGAUGAGUGCAUAUAAUAUUUGAGUGUUCAUAGUAAUUUUUAAAGCAUAGAUAGUCGGGCCCUAAUAUUUUUAAUAUACGGAAAUUUUGCUAAUAUGUUAAUGAGAAUUAAAAUGAUAAUUAAGGGAGGCAUUCGAGACAGUCAGGAUAGUUAGGAUGGGACAUCAUUGUGAGCGGUUUGAGAUUGGUCCUAAUUUUGAUCACAAAUAUAUAAACUGGAUGAGUGUAUCCAUACUUACAUUCCAUUUGAUAAUUAAGAUAAAUGUGGAAUUGUCAAAUCCCAAAUCAUCCCAGACCAUUGCCACCAAAGGUACUCUCACUAAUAAUAUCUAAAGAAUAAUCUACAUCUAUUUCAUACUUUUUUUUUAACGGAAAGAGCCCUCAUGUGGCUUGAAAUGUUAUCCUAAAUAAUAUUCAGAAUAUCAUACCAUGAUUGGGUUUGUGACAAACAAAUAUUACAUAGUUGGAAUACGUAGUUACUAGUGUCCCAAUUUAUGCAGUAUCUAUCAUUUAGUGCACAUAUAAAGUAUUAAUCAGCUUAAUUAAUUUAUAAAAUUUAAAUCUAAUUAAUAAGUGACACAUAAAUGCCAAGUGCAAUAUAUGCAAAUCAUGUUUGUCGAUCAUUACAAAACUGGCUCUUGAAAACAAGCAAGAAAGCUUAAUUAAGAACUUAAAACAAAAAGAAUUAGAUCGAGAACAGUCAAGCCUUAUUUUUUCAAGGAUGGAGCUUAUAAAUCUUCAAGUACCAACAUAUGCUUGCCCCAGUUGUUGUUAUUAAAAUUUUAAUAUAUAUAUACACACACACACACACACACACACACAUAAAAAAGUAUGACAUAGCAAAAAUUUGAUGGUACAUAUGUCGGAAUAUACUAGUUCAUGGAUGCAUUUGAUUAUUGUUUCCAUAAAUUUGAACCAAGAAGGAUGACUCGAUAAAAAUUGAUUUUACGGUAUGGUUGAUUUCAAUCUCAUGCACUCAUUUCUUAAGAUAAUCAAAUUUUCUCUGGCAUCUUUUGCAACUGUGGAAAUAUCAAUUAUGAUCAAUCAAAAGGAUUUCAAAAACUUUCAACGAGACAUAUUUAUAAUACAAUAUUGUGAAAAUUACACCAAAAAUUUUAUUUAUUAUAUAUUAUUAUCCAACCAGCACACAAAAAUGAAUUCGUACAAAUCUAAAAUACUUAGCAAUUUUCAAAUAGAAUUUACCAUGUACUACAAGAAAAUAGGGUAUAUGUGACCCCUAAUGUGAAAAUAGGGUAUAUGUGACCCCUAAUAGAAUUUGUUGAACCUAGACCAGACUUAAUAUCCAAUCAAGAAUCUCCAGGAUCUAGCUGAACUCUCUAAUCAAGAUCUAAAGAAUGGUUAAUCAAUUCACAGAAAAGAAUCACCCAGAAACAGUAUGCAAAGAACAACAAAUAUAAGUGGUUCGGCUGAAAGAGCCUACAUCCACUGAAGAACAGACCAACAGCUUUUCACCAUUAACAAAGAACAAGUUACAAGUUUAGAGAUGAAGUUACAAGCAAUACAUUCCCUGAUUUUCCAGUCCUUAAGACUACUUAUACUAGCUUAAAGGCCCUCACAAAGACCCCCUGUCAACCAGCUGUAAUCUAGGUUUGUUAGCUAACAAACCCAGAAUUCUCCCGCCUAUUGUAACUGACUUUAACAGCUUCCAGGACACGUGUUGAAUUCUUACAAACAGCAAGCCCCAAAACGACAUUCUUUCAUGCCGUUCAGAGUAAGUGGAAGCACGUGACAUUUACGUGCUUCACUUAAAGCUUUGGGUGACGACCAAAGUUUGUCAUACAGGCUUGUAUCCUUUACAGCUGACAUGUCGUAUACCAACAUGACCACAAACUGACAUGACGGUUGAUCUUCUGGAAAUCAGUUUAAAGCUCAUACUUUAACAUUCUCCACCUUGAGCUUGAAACUCUCAUGACCUGCUCAUCUUCUCUCCCACCAUCUGUAUUUUAAUUAUCACAGAUGCCAGCCAAAUCCAAACAGAAUUUGAAUUUAGCCCCUGAAAUAGCUUUAGUUAACAUAUCUGCAACAUUGUCAUCUGUAUGGAUUUUCUGAAGCAUCACAGUUGCUUUUGAGACUUCCAGCCUGAUGAAGUGCACCUUAAUGUCAAUGUGUUUGGUUCUUUUAUGGUGAGUUUGAUUCUUACUUAGACAUAUAGCACUUUGGCUAUCACAAUGUAUCACCACAGACCUCUGAUUGACUCCAAGCUCCUUCAACAUACCCUUCAGCCAUAUUGCCUCUUUUAUGGCUUCAGCAUCUUUUAUGGCUUCAGCAGCAGCUGUGUACUUUGCUUCAGUUGUGGACAAAGCCACAACACUUUGUAGUUGUGAUUUCCAGUUUAUUGUGCAGUUGUUGAAUGUGAACAGAUACCCAGUUAGAGACCUUCUUCUAUCCAAGUCUCCUGCAUAAUCAGCAUCCACAUAUCCUACAAUUAAACUGUCAUCUCUUCUCUGUCCCCCAUAUAUCAGACCAUGCCCAGAAGUUCCCCUUAGAUACCUGAGUAUCCACUUUACAGCCUUCCAAUGUUCUUUUUCAGGAUUGGACAUAUACCUACUAACCACACUGACUGCAUGUGCUAUGUCAGGUCUGGUGAGUACCAUAGCAUACAUUAAGCAGCCUACAGAACUUGCAUAAGGAAUUUUCAUCAUUUUAGACUUGUCAGCAUUAGCUUUUGGGCACUGCUGCUCUGAUAAUCUGAAGUGGGCUGGUAAUGGUGUUUGCACUGGUUUGGCAGUAGCCAUGUCAAACUUAUCAAGUACUCUCCUGAUGUAUUCCUCAUGUGUAAGAAACAAGGUGCCAGAUUUCCAAUCUCUGAUUAGUUGCAUUCCAAGUAUUUUCUUAGUUGGUCCCAGAUCCUUCAUCUCAAAUUCACCUUUGAGUUGUUGUUUCAGAACUUUAUUUGUUCCAUGCUCUUACUAGCAAUAAGCAUGUCAUCCACAUAUAGAAUCAGAUAAACCAUUUCCCCUGAUAUCUCUUUGUAAUAAACACAGCAAUCUAGAUUACAUAUUUGAAAACAAAUUUUCAUCAUAAAGCUGUCAAACCUGAGAUACCAUUGUCUUGGAGACUGCUUGAGGCCAUAAAGUGAUUUCUUCAGAAGGCAUACCCAAUCACCAUUUGACUAGUCUUCAAAGCCUUCAGGUUGAGACAUUAUUAUUUGUUCUUCAAGCUCACCAUGUAAAAAUGCAGUCUUAACAUCCAUCUGUUCAAGAUGCAUGCUAUGAACUGCAACCAGUGCUAGGAUCAUUCUUAUUGAGGUAUGCCUAACUACAGGUGAGUAGACUUCUGUAAAAUCUAUCCCUUCCUUCUGUGUGUAGCCUUUGGCAACCAGCCUAGCCUUAUAUCUCAUGGAUUCAAUCCCUGGUAUACCCUGCUCGACCUUGUAAACCCAUUUGCAGCCUACUACCCUUUUGUUUUCUGGUCUUUUUACAAGCUCCCAAGAGUUAUUCUUGUGUAAUGACUCCAUUUCAUCCUUCAUAGCUUUUAUCCACUUGUCUGCAUCUUUUCCUGAAACAGCUUCUCUGAAGGUUUUAGGUUCAUCAUUGUCUAGUUCAUGGGCUGCUGUUAGAGCAUAUGCUAUCAAAUCUGGAUAUGCAAACCUCUUAGGUGUUUUGAUAAUUCUCCUUUGUCUGUCUCUUGCCAGCUGAUAGUCUUGAAUAUCUGUAUAAGUUCCAGAAGUUUCACUAAUAUCUUUAGUUUCUUCUCUCUCCAUGUCUUCAGCUUCAUCAUGGUAGUUCAGAGUUGAUUUACCUUUCAACUCCAUCUUCAAAUGUUGUCCCUGUGAGUCCACUCCUCCUUCUGGUUUAGCAGGAUCUUUUUUAUGUCUUUUCAUCAGCAUCUCUGACUCAUUGAAGACUACAUCUCGGCUAACUAUACACUUUGGUGGCCUCAUUUCAGUGCACCAGAGCUUAUAACCUUUGACACCUUCAGGAUACCCUAGGAAUACACAUUUCAGUGCUCUUGGCUCCAGCUUCCCUUGCUUGACAUGUGCAUAAUCUGGACAACUAAAAAUCUUUAGAUUUGUAUAAUUUGUUGUUCUUCCUGACCACAUCUCUACUGGUGUCUUGAAGUUUAAGGCACUGGAUGGGCUUCUAUUCACUAGAUAAUAUGUUGUCAUCAAAGUUUCAGCCCACAAUGUUUGAGGAAGCUUUGAAUGAAUCAGUAAACAUAUGACCUUAUCCAUCAAAGUCUUGUUCAUUCUUUCUGCUAACCCAUUUUGCUGUGGGGUGUAAUUCACUGUUUUGUGUCUUGCUAUGCCAUUGAGUUUAUAGAAAUCAUCAAACUGUUGAUUGCAGAAUUCAAGCCCAUUAUCAGUCCUCAGUCUCUUAAUCUUCCUACUACUCUGAGUUUCUACCAAUGCUUUCCAUUGUUUAAACCUCUCAAAGACUUCAUCCUUGCCUUUCAAGACAUAAACCCAUACCAUUCUCGAGUAAUCAUCUAUAAAGAAGAGAAAGUAUUUUGCUCCACCUAGAGAGACAGUAUGUGAUGGCCCCUACAGAUCUGAAUGGAUGUAAUCUAGGGUCCCUUUUGUGUUAUGCACUGCAGUUUUGAAACUAGUUCUUGAGGAUUUGCCUAGGACACAUACCUCACAGAACUCCAGAGACCCCAACUUAUCAUCCCCUAAGACUCCCUGUUUUUCUAAAAUUUUUAGCCCCUUCUCACUCAUAUGUCAUAACCUUAGAUGCCAUAUGAGAGUUUUAUCCAAACCCAGACUUGCUGAAAUACUGACAUCUCCAGUUACAGUAGUGCCUUGAAGCACAUAUAAGCCAUUUUGCUUAUUCCCUUUCAUUAUCACUAUAGACCCUCUAACAACCUUCAUUACUCCAGAUUCAACUUUAAUGGAGCAUCCAACCUGAUCUAGAGUGCCUAGAGAUAUUAAAUUCCUCUUUAAAUCAGGAAUAUGCCUUACCUCUCUUAGCUCCCUAAUCAUCCCAUCAAACAUCUUAAAUCUAAUGGUUCCUAACCCAACAACCUUACACAUUGUGUUAUUCCCCAUUAGAACCUCACCUCCAUUAAAAGAAUUAUAAGUAGUAAAAAGAUUUUGAUCAGGGCACAUGUGAUAUGAACAUCCAGAAUCAUGAAUCCACUUACUGUUUGUCUGAGUUUCAGAAGCCAAAAGUACACCAGCUGAGUCAUAGCCCUCAUCCUCGGAUGCAACAGCAGCAUCACCAUUAUUUCCAUGCCCUUCCUUACCCUUGUUCUUUCUGUCUGGACAGUCCCUCUUGAAAUUCCCUUCUUUAUGGUAGUGAAAGCAUUUCAUAUUUUUAUUCUUGGACUUUGACUUGUCUCUUUUCUUCCCUUUGUUGUAUUCUCUCUUUUCAGGUCUUCAUCUUGCCAUCAGACCUUCCCCAGCUUUUGUUUCUGACCUCUUUGUGACUUCUUUAUAACUGAGAGAAUCCUUUACAUCAGCCAUCGAUAUUGACUGCCUUCCAUAGAGCAGUGUAUCUACAAAGUGUUCAUAGGAUGGUGGGAGAGAUGAUAAUAAGAUUAUUGCCUUGUCUUCAUCCUCUAGACUCACAUUUAUAUCUUCAAGAUCCAGGAUGAUCCUGUUAAAGCUAUCAAUGUGAGUUGCCAAAGAACUUCCUUCCUCCAUUUGCAAAGUAUAUGGCCUCUUUUUGGUACAAAGUCUUUUGGUUAGAGACUUCUUGGUAUAUAGGUCUUCAAGCUUUUUCCAGAGGCCUGCAGCAGUAGUUUGAUCUCCCACUUCCCUAAGAACUCCAUCUCCCAGACUCAAGAUUAGAGUGUUAUGAUCUUUAUCCAAAGCAUCUAGCAUUUCUUCAUCAAAAAGCUUGCUGGGUUUCUUUUCAGAUCUUGGAUCACCCAAAGUAUCCUCCAGCCCCUGAUGAACCAACAGAGCUCUCAUCUUGAGCCGCCAUAGAUGGAAGUCAUUUUCUCCAGUGAAUUUUUCUACCUCAAACUUAGAGGUUCUCAUUUCUUGGAUCAAAGAUCAGAGAUAAGGCUCUGAUACCAAUUUGUUGAACCUAGACCAGACUUAAUAUCCAAUCAAGAAUCUCCAGGAUCUAGUUGAACUCUCUAAUCAAGAUCUAAAGAAUGGUUAAUCAAUUCACAGAAAAAAAUCACCCAGAAAUAGUAUGCAAAGAACAACAAAUAUAAGUGGUUCGGCUGAAAGAGCCUACAUCCACUGAAGAACAGAGCAACAGCUUUUCACCAUUAACAAAGAACAAGUUACAAGUUUAGAGACGAAGUUACAAGCAAUACAUUCCCUGAUUUUCCAGUCCUUAAGACUACUUAUACUAGCUUAAAGGCCCUCACAAAGACCCCCUGUCAACCAGCUGUAAUCUAGGUUUGUUAGCUAACAAACCCAGAAUUCUCCUGCCUAUUGUAACUGACUUUAACAGCUUCCAGGACACGUGUUGAAUUCUUACAAACAGCAAGCCCCAAAACGACAUUCUUUCAUGCCGUUCAGAGUAAGUGGAAGCACGUGACAUUUACGUGCUUCACUUAAAGCUUUGGCUGACGACCAAAGUUUAUCAUACAGGCUUGUAUCCUUUACAGCUGACAUGUCGUAUACCAACAUGACCACAAACUAACAUGACGGUUGAUCUUCUGGAAAUCAGUUGAAAGCUCAUACUUUAACAUAUAUCACUAACUUCUAACUUUGUAACCCCGAGUUGCUUUUGUUACCCUUUAUGUGACUGCCACACUGCUGUCACAUAUGUUAUUAACCACGUGACGGUAAAGAGCCGUUCGGUAUACUACUAUUUUACAAUUUUAAAUUUAUUUCCAGUUAGAAAACUAUUCGCUGGACUCCGUGUUACAUAUGCCACCAUCGUAAACCUAACUGGUUGCCGGCGAACGGCGUAAAACACCGGCCAUCUUCUUCUUCAUCGUAUUCUCCCUUCAUCUUUUGUUCGUAUUAUAGCCGUUAUUGUCAAUUUUUGUCCCGCCAGCAAUAUUUUUUUAUUCCUACAAGUUGAAGCACCCGUGCUCUUGUUCCAUUGAUGAGUUUGCUCACUCAAAUUAAUUUUGUUCUGUAGAAUUUACAAAGUUCAAAUGGAUUCAUUUGAAUUUAGCUUUAAUUAUGUAUGUCAAUUAUGUAUUUAGAUUAUGAAUUUAGCCGUUAUUGUCAAUUAUGUAUUUAGAUUUACUUUAAUUUUAUGCUUAAAGCUUCUACAUUGCUGAUUCUAUAUUAAUAAUGUUAUGUUCUAUUUUCAGAAAUUAUAAUACAAAAGUUUUUACAAUGUUGUGCAUCUACAAACUGAAUUGACUUGUAGAAUAAGAGCUUGGAGUAGUGUUAUGUUCUUGAAUAAAUGAAUGUUCAUAUUGUGUAAGAGCAUGUAGAUGUAAAGCAUCAUUACCAUAUCUACAAAGUGCUUUCAUUCUGUUCAGAUGCUCUUCUUGAACUUUGAAAGGUGCCUCGUUCAAGUCCUAGCUAUAACUACUAGUUUUGAUUAAUUAAGUUCCUGUACUAGCUGAAACAGAUUUAUUUAAUUAAUUAAUUGUGUAUGUACUAAUUAUAUUGAAAGUAUAUGAAUUUUUUUUUUAAAACAUGAAUGACUUCUAAAUGACUUAAAAACCUAAAGGAUGUGUGAAAUAAUGCUCAUUUCACUUGAAUGAACCCAUUAAUACUUUUAUGUCUAUGAUUGUCAAUAUUGGCUUAAGCAUUUCAGCUAAGUGGUUUACCUAACAGAGAAAAAAAUUUAAUAGAAAACUUCAGAGUUCUAACAGAAAUAUAGUUCACUAUGCAGAUAUAGUUAUUUUACGGUAUACAAAUCAAGUUGUCCUAAUCUCAAUGUCCUAUGACCGAUUUUAUUUUAUAUAGUCAUUAAUUUUUGCCAUGGUUUUUUGUGUUUAUGAGUAUGAAAUAGUGGGAUUUGGUGUACCUUAGCAUCUUUUGAAAAUUCUCUUUAUGUGUGGCCAACAGAAUAUAAUCAAGUUUCUUAAUCGUGUAUAUUAGUUUUGGGUAUGAAUGUUCCUAUUCUAGUUCUAGGCAAAGCUUCUUCAUUUUGGUCUUCAGAUUUCCAGUAGGUUAAGUUAAUCAACUAUCACAACUGACUAGCUAGUUAUUGUCUGCCUUGGCGCCAUUACCCAGGCCAUUAUAUUGCAUAGCAUAAGGAAUAGUGAUUAGGUGAUUAUUAGUGAUUUGUUGAGCUUAUUAUUGACCAAACAAACAUAUUCGCCUUUGCCCACAACUUAGUUUGAUUAGUUAUUAGACCUUAAAGAGCCUUGAUCUAUUCAUUGGCUUUAUUAUUUUUAUUUGGUUUUUCUUUCAACAAUAUUGUUGAUUUCUUAUAAAAAUAUUCAUUGGUUUUUAAACACCUAAUCAUUGGCUAUAUGAAGCUAAUUAAAACUGAGGCUUUGGAUCAAUUUCUUCUAACAGGAUACAAAUGAGCAUAACCUAUCUCCUCUAAGUAAAUUUUUUUAAUAUCCUUGAUUUGUAAGGAUCUGGAGGCCUGAAAUCCUCUAGAUUUUUUUUAACACUGUCAAUGUUCUUUUUAUUCUGAAAAGGAAAUAAAAGGUUUUAUCUUUCAUACCCUAAUAGUAAGCUGACCUUGUCUUACCCGAGGAUUUGCAAGAUUCAUAGUGCCCCCCCCCCCCCCCCCCCAAAAAAAAAAAAAACACAAAUAGGAAGAUUUUGCAAGAUUCACCACCAGGUUUUUUUUCAUUUAUUAAUUGUGUGUACGUACUAGUUAUAUGUUGAAAGAAUAGGAAGAAGUAUUUCAACAUGAAUGAAUGACUUAAAACUUAUUGCUCAGUAAACAUAAUCUGCAUCAGUGCGAAAAUGUAUUUAUCGGUUGUAUUUUUUAUGGUUUUGCUUAAGAAAUGAUAUGUGAAAUAAUGCUACAUUGUAUCAGGAAUAAAUUGAAGAGAUUUAUGAUAUUUAUGUGUUAUUCAAAUUUCAGAUUCAAUUUUAAAUACGUGCAUUGAAAGCUUAGACUUGUUUAAGAAAUUAUUAAUAGACACAUGUUUUAUUAGUGUCAUCUUUGGAUGAUAGUGAGGUUCAUAUGUCUAUUAAUAAUUCUUGAAUUGUCCAGGCUUGGGCAGUUUGGGAAUGCAUAGUUCUCUCUGGUAGCUAGUAGCUGAAGUUUUUUUCGCAAGUAAAAAUGGGUUUUUCGGUAGCUGCUCCUCGUGUUCUCUGGGUACGUACUAGGUGAAUGGGUGUCAUGUGUUGUUUUGGCAUAACGCAUAAACACUUAUAUAGCUAUGUUGUGUGCUUCGAGAAUUAUAGGGAGAUGGUGCCGAAAUUUUUAUAAACGUAGAAGAAAACUUUAGGUACUUGAGAUUGAAGAAACUUAUGCAUUCUUGAGUGGGAUAUGUAGGAUUACUUACCUUUUGUAAAUAUGAAGGGAAUGUUGGAUAUAUUGAGGAUAGUGUAGGAGCUGAGUUGGAUGAAUGUAAUUGGUCAUGAUUUUGCUGAGCUGACCUUGGUUUUGAGCUUGUAAUUUUGUUUGUAAAUGGAGUGCUAUCUCCAAUGUUGGUUUAUAAAAAUGUUUCAGGACUUGCUGACCUAAUUUUUUUUUUCCUAGGUUACAGGCUUUAUAUAUCUGUAAUUGAUAGCCAAGUGAAGUUCUCAGCACUUGGCGAGGAUAUUUCUUUACAGAAGGUAUUGGAAACUGUUUUUUACAUUAAUUAUUGUUGUAUAUAUACUUUGAUUUUCACAUCUUUUUCUCUGAUUCUUGUGGCUUUGCUUGCUUUCAUAUAUGUAAAUUCUAAUGAAAUUAACCAUAAAAUUGUAAAAUGAUCUUUUUAUUAUAUUGCAAAACCGUGCACACACGAAAAUAUCUUGUUUAGUAGUAGAAAUGAAGAACUAAAAUGAUUUACUUAACUAAUUUUUGUAGCGCAUUAAAAGGAGAUAGUCAUGGACAAGUGUUGGGCUGGUUUGCCAAAUAGAUAUCCAAGUCAUAUACUGAUGGGGUUGAAAAUUUUAUAGAUUUUGCAUUUGAGAAUGUUGUUGAUGAUGAUAUGAUUGGAAUGAUACACUGCAUCACGUAAUCAAAUGUUCAAGUUACACGCAGCAUUGUUAUGGAUUAUCAGUCACUUUCUAGUAUUGCCAACUUGUCUGGGUGGAGUAUUAAAGGUAAAUAAGCAUGUCUUGUUUGCCAACAAAACACUAGAUCUAAUUGGUUGAUACAUAGUAGAAAAUUUUGUCACGUGGGUCACCGUCGAUUUUUACCAACAAAUCAUAGGUUUCGAAAAUAUAGUUUCUUUUGAUAAAACUAGAGAGUAGGGACAAGCACCUUCUUGGUUGUCUGGAACUGAAGUGAAAAAGCAGUUUAAUAUACUUACUGAGUAUAAGAUUGAAGACUUGAAAAGAGAAAUGAUAAGAUUACUUGGAAGAAGAACAGCAUUUUUUUAUGAACUACCGUAUUCAUCAUGAUCUUGUUGUCAUGCACUGCUUUGAUUUUUGUUAUGAACUCAGAUCAAAAGUUUAAUGUGAUCAAAAUUUCUUAAAAAUAGUGAAAACGACUCCUCCUAAUAAUAUGGAAGAUGGCUAUAAAAGAUAAAAGGAAAGGCUUAAAAAGAAAAGCCAUGCCUGUCAAAAAAAAAUAAAAAAAUUGGCAGCGUCAAAUUUAUAACAAAAAUCAAAACGGUUUUGAGAGUGUAUUAAAAUACAUUUAGAGUGGGAGCUGUGUUGUUUUUUGAAGGUAGAAUGAUUGUGAGAUAUUUGUCGACGAAGCCAAAACCAAAGAUGAAGCCCAUAGAGCUCAAAACUCCACCGGAGCAAAUUCAGACAAUUACGAGGGUUAUGUUUGACAUAGUCAAGGAACACAGUCCUCUCACCGUUGCCGAAACUUGGGAAUGCGUCAAGGUGUGUGUAUCUGUUAAAUUGAAUUUCAACCCGUUUGAUCUGUAAUUAUAAUUAAUCCAAUCGAUCUGACAGUGAUCACUAGUAGUUGUUUUACAUUUUCAGCAAGCUGGAGCGAGUGGAUUGACGGCCAAAAGCCACAUGAAGAUUGUGUUGAGAUGGAUGAGGGACAGACAAAAGCUCAGGUUCGUCUGCAAUCACGUGGGCCCUCAUAAGCAAAUCCUGUACACAACUUGGUUCACCAAACCCGACAACUUGAAGCAGCCAAAAUCAGGGAAUGAUGCUUCUAUGUCACAACCCUAGAAAUUUCAAACACGGUGAAGAUGAAGUAAAGCAUAAGUAGAACAAUGAAGAUGGUAGCCCCUCAGCAUGUAAACUUUUCAACAGUAACACAGCUCUUAUUCCAGAGGCUGCACAGAAGAGCGACCUGAGUCCCCUUCAAAACUUUCAAAUUUUUAUCAAGUAAAGCUUUCAAAUUUCUCAACAAAUUGAUUAUUUGUGUGGUUGCCACAUUUUGUGCAACUGCCAUUCGUGUUCAAGUUCAAAUUCCUUGCCUAGUAAGUUAGGGAAGAGAGAUGUGAAGCAAACAGGGAAACAGAACAAACCGGCCAAAUUUAAAAUGACAGAACAGUAAUGAUGGCAAUUAACAAACUAAUAGCAAUAUUACAUUUGAUUCUUUAGCCCAAUUGUUCCUUCUGUCAGCAUUCUUCAAAAGUUUUUGAAAAUUAGAUGUGAAGCAAACAAAAUAAAACAAAUUUAGACAACAGAAGCCCUGUAUUCAGCAUCAUAUAUAUACCUUGAAUACCUAAUAUAAUAAAUUUCACAUCUAAAAUACUAGAAAUUUCAAACAGUACCAGCAAUAGAAUAAUGACAACGACAACAAUAACAGAAAAUUACAAGAUUGCUGAUAAAAUUUCAUUUGCAUGGAUGUAUAACAAAAAUUCUGUGAUUUAAUGUGCGUUCAUGCAUGCAAGUCCUAACGUUCCUGUGAUCACAAAAUGAAACUGAAGAUAAAUCAGAACAACUACCAAACCUCUGACUGAAAGUUCAAAAGAAUUUAUAUUCAAAAUGUCAAAAUAUACUGGAAAUUUAUUGCACAUAUUACAAGAAGCAGUACACACCAAUGGUAAAUUGAUACAUCGUUUUUGAACUUAACAAAGUCAAAUGAAAGAAACACGACGGAGGGUUAAUGUAAAAGUGAAUACCCUCAGCAUGUAAACUUAACUUCAAAGGACGGAGCACAAGUUUCACAGAAAAGUAGCUCUUAUUCCUGAUGCUGCAAACACACAGGAGUGACCUCAAUCUUCUUCAUAACUUGGGAAUUCUGCAAUUAUAGAGCACGACAUUGAGCAUGAACUAGAAAAAAUAUUUAUUUUGUACAAUUUUCAUAUAACUUGACUAACCAAGAUUAAUUUCGUGGUAAUGUAUUGAGUCAUUAAUUCAUAUGUUUUUAAAUAUUUUUAAAAAACUAAUUUCUCAAUUUGAAAUGGCCCAUAAAAAUUAUUCUCAUAUAAAAACUAAAUUUGACAGACCCCUCGAUUAAAGCAGGGGAAAAGGCUUUCCACAUGAAAAUGUUGUUUGUCACUUUGAAUGAUAUUUUGAAGGGAUUUCAUUCUAAAAAUAAAAUACCUGGGACCUCAUUCUUCAAAAUUGACAACUCGCCAGGUAUUAAAAGCGUAUGAGAUCAGUACUGCGACGAGUAAGAAGACGACCCCUCCAACAGCUGAAAACAAAAUUCGCAUUCAUCAAUUUAAAUUAAAAUUCAUAUUAUGAAACUAAAACUAAUGAUUAGUGAAUUUUCGAGGAAUUUAAUAAGAUUCUCAGAUAUAAACGUGAUAACAAAUUCACUCAUCAAUAACAAAUAAUCUAACAGUUAUCCGUACCUUUUCUUGAUGUAAUUGUUGUAUGGUUGUGUUAAGGUCAUUAUUAGACCAACGCAGGUUGUCCUCUCUCUGCCCGUACCGGACGUUUACUCUGACAUGGGUACUUAAUUCUCCUGAAGUGAAAAUCUUCAUCUUGGGACAACCAAUCACAGCAAGAUAUUCCAAAGAUGGGAAUUUGAAGGCGUAAUUGCCAGAGGAGAAGCUUGUGAGACUAUCUAAAUCAAACAGGGACAACGUAGUCAGUUUGCUGAAAACAAUCUCUUCUUUUAAAUUUGCUGUUUCAUCUUCGUCACUUAUUACGACUUCUGUGAUUGCUCUGCAUCCAAAUACACCCAAUGAUACGAGUCGCUCUAGACUUUUUGCUGUGGAGGAUGUUAGUAAGUUCAUCAAUUUCUUGCAAGCACAAGCUUGCAGGCGUGUGAGAUUCUGAAAAGAUACCGAUGAUGAUGGCAAUAGACUUAACAGAUUUUGACAGUAAUAUGCUCUUAGAAUUUCAAGAUGUUGAAAAAUCAAGUCCGGCUGUUUGGAAUCGUGUUUCCACAGUUGCUGCAGAUGAUUAAGUCUGGUCAGGUGUAACAUUUUUAUCAGUGCCAGCUUCCUCGCAUGUGUCUCCAAAUAUCCUUCAUUUGAAAAUACCACUUCGUACGAACAAUCCGACAGGUGGAGAAAUUCCAGAUUGUGAAACCUCUCAAGUAAACCAAGUGGAAAGCAAGCUAAGUCAUCAUCCCCAACCUGUAGUCGUUUGAGACUGCCAAAGAGGUGUUGUGGGAAAUCGCCUUGCAAAAUCAUCGUGAUGUCUUUUCCACUUAAUGCCAGUUCCUCCAAGUUGGGUAAGAUCUGAUCAUCAUCAAGCACAAAUUAUUAACUUAGCACAUUGAUCCCUAAUUCGAGACUGGCAAAAUUCAUUGUUAUAUACACACACAUAUAUAUAUAGUAUUUAUUAAAAUUUCUGGUCUGUGAGUAAGAAACAACAAAGACAACUGACAAAAAAUCUAAAAGUUGGUUUCAUACCUUCUUGAACGAGAAUAGGGGCUGUUGUGCCGGAACACCAAAUUGAUCAUUCUCGUUAUUCUGGGAUAACGUCAUUUUAUCACAAUUACACGCCUCCAAUAUUUUUAGUGCUGGCCAUUCCGAUGUAUGCAUUCCAGGGUAUAAACAUCUAAGUUCUGGUAGACCUUCGAGUUUCAGAGUGGUCACCCGUGGAAAGACAAAAUAAGCGGUCACUUGAUCUGUUCUGUUUUCAGAAAUGAUUUCUUGUAAACUCUUACAUAACCGUAUCUCCAGGUGUUGGAGUUGCUCAAGGCUUUGGAUCGUAGAAGCUGAAAAUAUGUAUUUUAAUUUGUCACAGCCCCACACUAUCAAUCGUGUCAAACUUCGAAGGCAAGGAACCAUGGCCGGAAGUUGAUUGUAAUGCCAAAUCUCGUCGACAUUAAUAGCAUUCAGCUCCAAAGCCUCCAAAUUUGGCAACACUACCUAAAGAUAAUUUUGUCGUUAGAUCCAAUAUCCAUAUAAGAAGUGCUUAUUGAGAGCUUAAUUAGUGAGUGUAUGAGAUUUUUUUUUUUUGCAUUUUCUUUUUCUAAAUGAUUUAAUUUUUUUUCACUUAUGGCAUCAAAUGCAAGUUCAUGAUAGAAUAAAAAAAAAAAUGCAAUAUCCAUAUGAAAAGGACUUGUGUGGUCCAGUUUGGGAUUAUGGAUGCUGAUUAAAUAAGUUGCUCCUGCUGUACGGAUGCAAUAAGUAGUUGAUUAAAAAAGCAGUUAGCUGUUUGGUAAACUGUGUUGUUGCAGUUGCUGUGAGUUUGAAAAGCAAUGUACAUGCGUUUGGUAAAUUUUAUUACAAACGUGUUAUUUUAUCAUAUAAUGACCAAAAUAUAUAUAAGUUUAAAUUUCCGUUUAUUUUUUUUAAGCAUGUUUAAUAAUCUUUAGAUAUGUCAUUUUCUUUUUAAAAUACGUAAAAUUAUAUUAAGUGAAAAAACUUAAUAAUUUGUUACAUAAAAUAUGAUAAAAAUUUAUACUAGUAUAUGAUCCAAAUAAAAUAAAAAAAGUAAUAUGCAUUACUUUCACAUUAAACUUGUUGCAAUAAACACCAUGACUAUAGAAAAUAUAAAUAGAUUGAAUGUUAAAAGCUAUGGUUAUAAAAUUGAUUUUAAAAGUUAUGAUUAAUUUUCAUGUGAAAUUGUUUAUAGUUCAAAAAAAAUUUACAUAAUUACAUGCAAGUCUUUUUUAAUCUUAUUAUAGAAAAUACAAGUAUAAUAUAAAAAAUAUGAACUUACUAAAUCAAAACUUUGAUAUUAGAGAGAAUAUAUAGUAGUUGUGGUGGUAAUAUGAUAUCUAAUAACUUAUAUAUUAGAGUGUAUGGAAAUAUAUGACAUAAUUAUUUUUGUUAAAAUAUUAAUUAAGGUUAUAAUAGAAACUUUAAAAAGAUGUGAUAGCUUAUUUAAUAAGCUGCUUAUGAAAAGUAACUCCCUAUCUGCUUUUAAAAGUUAAUGUCAAAAUAGAGAAAAUUAUAAAAUAAACAGUUUUUACAAAAUUUAACAAAUACUAUUUUUGUCACAGAUUAUGAAAUAGACAGUUUAUUGAGUUUUAACCUCAAUUCCAAACAGGGGCCACAAUAUCCACAUGACAAGCACUUAUUGAGAGCUUAAUUUGUGAAUAUAUGAGAUUUUUUUUUCUUUUUCUAAAUGAUUUAAUUUUUUUGCACAUAUGGCAUCAAAUGCGAGUGCAUGAUAGAAUAAAGGAAAAAAAAAAAAAAAGAAUGCAUUACCCUACGCACCUUCUCGUUGAAAAGCAGAGUUGAAGUAUCCGAACUGAUCUCGUUGGAACUAGCUAUCAAUUCCUCUUGCGACUCUUGUCUGUUUGGUGAUGUGGAAGGAGUCUUCACUUCACGGCAAAACCUUGUAACCUUUGGAAGCGUUCCCAGACUCAAAGAUCUUAGUUGACCAAACUCUAUCGUCUCAUCAACAUCGACAUCAGCUUCUCCUCCAGUUGCAAAAAUCUCUUCCAUGCUGCUGCAAUUGAGAACUGCAAUCCUCUCAAGUCUUGGAAGGCAUUUUGUACUACUAGAGAGCCAGAAGAUAUUACUCAUCUCAUCACAAUUUUCCACUUUUAUGGUUUGGAGUUCAUUGAAGGACUCUAUUGUGAGUCGAUCAAUACAUAUCCUCUCCAUAUUGAUCAAAUUGUGAAGAGUAAGGGACUCCAAAAGAGGAAAGGCGACACAAGGUUCUCUCUCCAUUGAAUCGGCAAUACACAGGAAGUCUGGAUUAUUUUGAACAUGGAGAUGCUUCAAUUGUGAAAAGCCCUCAGUGUCCAAUUCGAAAACAACAUUCUUGAUUCCUUGCAACUUAUCUAAACAUAAGUAUUCAACGUUAUUGAUGCCCUGCAACUUCUCGGAGCAAAUGGCCAUAGAAUCAAGCUUGAGCUUCAAUGUUCUUAAACUCUCAUGAUUACUGAUUGUUAGAGCAGCUCAUUAUGCUGAACAGAAGAAGGUGAAGACUAAGAUGAAGAAAAUACAGAGCAAGUUACAGGGCAAGUGUGUCAGCAGUGCCAGCUCAGCUAACAGCUCAGCAGAUUAGUUAAAGAUGGUUGUAAGCAUGAUGUGCAUUGUACUGAAGUUAGUUAGCUUUGAUUACAGUUAGUCUUUGGAUUAGUUAAAUGAAGUUACCGUGAUUGCAUUGUAUAUAAACAGGUGAUGCUUUGUAAUCAAAAGUUAAGCAAAAUAAAAAUCAAAGUUUGUUAAGGAAAUAUCUCCAGAAUUAUCAAUUCAUUUUCUUAGUAACCAAACAACUUUAUUUCAUUUUUCUUUCAUGGUAUCAGAGCAAGGUUAAUGGCUAGUUCCAGUAGCACAACAUCAAAUCCAAAUCAAAUGAAUAUAAAUCAAUCAUCACAUAUCUCCUUUUCGUUCAGCACUCCAGUCAAAUUGGAUCGAUCAAAUUUCAUGAUUUGGCGAAAGCAAGUUCUUACUACAAUAAGAGGAAAUCGUCUUGAAGAUUUUAUUUCUGGAAAUCAAAUCAUACCAGAACAAUACAUUUCUAAUACAGUAGCUGAUGGAUCAGUACAGAGAAUCACGAAUCCAGCUUACAUCAACUGGCGAGCUCAGGAUCAAACUUUGCUUGGCUGGAUUUUGUCAUCCAUAAGUGAAGGUAUCUUAAAUACUGUUCUUAAUUGCGAAAAUUCAUUUGAAGCAUGGAGAUCAAUUGAAAAACAAUUUGGAGUACAAUCUGAGGCUAGAGUAUUGCAAUUGAGGUAUGAAAUGAAUGUCCUUAGAAAAGAGAAUAUGUCUGUUGAGGAGUACUGUUUAAAAGUAAAAGCUGUUGCUGAUAAGCUUGCUUGUGCUGGUAGCCCUGUGUCUGAGAAAGAUCUGCUAAUGCAAAUUUUGAAUGGCCUAGGACCUGGAUUUCUAGAUCUUGCUUCAAUAAUUACUGCUAAUAGAAUGUCGUAUGAUGAUGCUUAUGCAUUACUCUUAACACAUGAGGCAAGAAUGGAACAAAAUCAUAAUACUAAAGAUCUUUUUAGUGCAAACUAUGGGAUGAUGAAUGCUAACUACUCUCAGUUUAGAGGAAAUAAUAAGAGAGGUGGUUAUAGUGGAUAUCAAGGGCAAUUUAAUGCUGGAAAUAGGAAUCAAAAUGGAGGAAGAGGAAUGUUUUUCAAUUCAUUCUCAAGAGGUUUUCCAGCUGGUGGAUAUACUGGUAAUGCUGGUGGCAGAGGACAGCAAAUGAAUGCAUAUGCUUAUAAACCUGUGCUUAACAACAGGCAUAAUUUCAAUAUGAAUCAUGGCUCAACUUCAAUGUCCAAUGGAAAUGGAUCUGAUGAUAAUGUGCUUAUCUGUCAAAUCUGUCAUAAAGCUGGACAUGCAGCUGAUGUUUGUUGGCACAGACACUUUGAUGGCUAUGCUCCUCAACCCAGACAAUUUGGAAGGGGCAGAGGGCAUAAGUCUGCUUAUAUGGCUAACUUUGAUCCACAAAUUGGCUUUACUUCACAAUUUGAAGAUUCGUUUGCUACAGAAUAUCCUGGUUAUCAUGGGUACCAUCCACCUGAUAUGAAUGCAUCAGUUGCAUCAGUAAGUCAUCACUCAUCUGAUAUGCAUUCUGUACCUGGAGCAGCUUAUAUUGCAAAUUUUGAAGGACCAGCUGAUGAAGGGUGGUAUCUUGAUAGUGGAGCUACGCAUCACAUCACUAACAACAUGGCCAAUAUGCAUAUCAGAGAUCAAUUCAGUGGAGCAGAUCAGCUCAUUAUUGGAAAUGGACAAGGUUUGCCCAUAACUCAUGUUGGUGAUGCAUCCUUUCUCUUUAAAAGUUCCAAUUCUACACACAAACACUCACCUAUAGUACUUAAAGAUAUUCUGUUGGUGCCUUCCAUUACCAAAAAUUUGUUAAGUAUCUCGAAGCUUACCACUGAUAACAACUUGUCUGUUGAAUUUCUUGGAAAUGUUUGUUUUGUGAAGGAUUCUCUGAGGGGACAGGUACUUCUGCAGGGUCUUGCUGAGAAAGGGUUAUACAGGCUGUUAUUGAAAUCAUCAUCAUCCUCUCAGUUAUCAUCAUCUUUUCUUUCUCACAUGUGUUCCAAUAAACCUUUGUCUAUGCUUUCUUGUUGUUGUUUCAAUUCUGUUCCUUCUGGAGUUGUUACAGAAUCUCAGAAAUCAUGUAAUCAAACUGAUGAUUCAUCUUGUAAAACUUCAGUUAAUAAAGCUAUUUUGCUUCAUAGAAAGUUUGGUCAUCCCAAUCAUCAAAUAUUAACUCAUAUACUCAAAACAGCAAAAUCUAUUCAUUUACCUGCAUAUCAAAAGCAACAAAUGCAUCAGCACAUCUGUGAGGCCUGUCAAAUGGGCAAAACACAUAAACUUCAUUUUCCUAUUACUGAAACCAAAACCUCCAAAACUCUAGAACUUAUACACACUGAUUUAUGGGGUCCUUCUCCCAUUAUUUCUAGAGAUGGUUAUCAGUAUUAUAUAAGUUUUGUAGAUGACUACAGCAGGUAUACAUGGAUUUAUCAUUUGAAGCUAAAGUCUGAGGCAUUAGAAGUCUUUAAGCUCUUUAAACUGCAGGUUGAAAAUCAGUUUAGCACAACCAUUAAGAUGAUGCAAUCUGAUUGGUGGGGAGAGUAUAGACCAUUCACUGAGUUUUUAAGCCAAUUUGGUAUCAUCUUUAGACAUCCUUGUCCUUAUACUCAUCAUCAAAAUGGGUUAGUUGAAAGGAAGCAUAGACAUAUUGUUGAAUUGGGUCUGACUCUCUUAGCUCAAGCUCAACUUCCCUUUAAGUUCUGGUGGGAUGCAUUUCAUACUGCUGUAUAUCACAUCAACAGACUUCCAUCUCCUGUUUUGCACCUUUUAACCCCAUAUGAAAAGACAUUCAAACACAAACCUGAUUAUGAUUUUCUCAGAUGUUUUGGGUGUUCUUGUUAUCCUUACUUGAGAGAUUACAAUAAACAUAAAUUUGCCUACCAUUCUAGUAAGUGCAUAUUCAUUGGUUACAGUCCUUCACAUAAGGGCUACAAAUGUUUACACCCUUCAGGUCGAGUCUAUGUGGCAAGACAUGUUACCUUUGAUGAAUCAGUUUUUCCUUAUGCCACUGAGUUUGUUUUUCAUAGUCAUGCUAAAACUGAUUCUCAAAUUUCUCAUUCCCAUACACCACAGCAAAUCCAUCAUAUCUCUUCUUUGCCUGUCAAUAACAGCACUGGUAAUCUGAACUCUGUAAGAUCUGGAAGCAGCAGUUCAAGUCACUCAGAUCAUCUAGAACAGACAGCAACUGAUCAGAAUUCACAACAAGCUACCAUAAAUGACAGGUCACCUUUUCAUACAUGUCCAACAAUUGUUGAAUCUAUACAAAAUAUUCCAGAACCUCCACAUCACUCUUUGCCUAUACAAAGUCACCAUCCUAGCAACACCUCUUUCUAUCCAUAUACACAACCAAAUACACAUCAGAUGAUAACCAGAAGUAAAGCAGGGAUUUUCAAACCCAAAAUUUAUACUGCUGUGCUUACUCACAAGGAACCAGAUACUGUGCAAGAAGCAUUAAAUGAUUCAAAGUGGCUACAAGCUAUGAGGGAGGAAUAUGAUGCCUUGAUUAAGAAUAAUACAUGGACAUUGGUUCCAAGACAAGCUGAUCAGCAUGUGGUUGGAAAUAAAUGGGUGUAUAGAAUCAAAUAUAAUACAGAUGGAAGUAUAGCUAAGUAUAAAGCUAGACUUGUUGCAAAGGGUUUUCAGCAAGUGGCAGGGAUUAACUAUUUUGAGACAUUUAGUCCAGUUGUGAAGUCAGCUACAGUUAGAGUAAUACUUAGCUUGGCAGUGAUGAAUCAGUGGAGAAUAAGGCAAGUGGAUGUCAAUAAUGCCUUUUUGAAUGGAGAGCUAACAGAAGAAGUUUUCAUGUCUCAACCUGAUGGCUUUAUUGAUGCUCAGAGAUCUGAUUUUGUAUGCAAAUUACACAAGUCUCUGUAUGGGCUCAAGCAAGCUCCUAGAGCCUGGUAUGACAAGCUUAAAGGAUGCUUAAUAAGCUGGGGUUUCACUACUACUAGUUCUGACACCUCAUUGUUUGUUAGGAAGAUCAAGACAUCUAUGAUCAUAGUUCUUAUAUAUGUUGAUGACAUACUGAUCACAGGUCCAAACACUGAGGAGCUGGAAGGUUUCAUAACUGAAUUCAGCAAAACUUUUGCUCUAAAGGAUCUGGGAGUGUUAUCUUAUUUCCUUGGAAUUGAGGUAUUAUAUGAUGCAGAUUGUAUGUACUUGUCACAGAGAAAGUAUAUCAGAGAUUUGUUAUCGAAGGUAGAAAUGACUGAAUGUAAGGGCAUUGAUACACCCAUGAGUACUGGCUCUAAACUGCAAAAGAUAGUUCAGGGGGAACUUGGAUACUAUCUUGAAGAUCCAACUCAUUAUAGAAGCAUAGUUGGAGGAAUGCAGUACCUGAUACUUACCAGACCUGAGAUUGCGUUUGCUGUAAACAAGCUCAGUCAGUAUGUAGCUGCACCAACACUACAACAUCUAAUGGCAUGCAAGAGAGUUCUAAGAUAUCUGAAGGCAACUCAAGAUUAUGGUUUAAAAUUUUUCAGAGAAGGAAGCUUAACACUCACUAGUUUUACUGAUGCAGAUUGGGCAUGUGACUUAGAUGAUAGGAAAUCAGUUGGUGCUUAUUGCAUUUAUUUAGGCAAUAAUUUGAUAUCCUGGUCUUCUAAGAAACAAUCAGUGAUAACCAGAUCAAGUGCCGAGAGUGAGUAUAGAGCUUUGGCAUCAGUGAGUGCAGAGCUGACAUGGUUACAAUCCUUAUUUUCUGAGUUGGGAUUAAGUUGCAUAGAAAAGCCAAUCAUAUGGUGUGACAACAUUAGUGCCACUGAACUAGCAAAGAAUCUUGUGUAUCAUUCAAGAACAAAGCAUAUCGAAAUUGAUAUGCACUUCAUUAGGAAUAAGGUUCUUGCUGGUGAGUUGAUUAUUCACUAUGUACCAAGUGAAGAACAGAUUGCAGACAUAAUGACCAAGCCUCUCUCAUUUGUAAGGUUUAACUACUUGAGGUCCAAACUCAAUGUCCAUCUUUGUCCUCUGAGUUUGAGGGGGGCUGUUAGAGCAGCUCAUUAUGCUGAACAGAAGAAGGUGAAGACUAAGAUGAAGAAAAUACAGAGCAAGUUACAGGGCAAGUGUGUCAGCAGUGCCAGCUCAGCUAACAGCUCAGCAGAUUAGUUAAAGAUGGUUGUAAGCAUGAUGUGCAUUGUACUGAAGUUAGUUAGCUUUGAUUACAGUUAGUCUUUGGAUUAGUUAAAUGAAGUUACCGUGAUUGCAUUGUAUAUAAACAGGUGAUGCUUUGUAAUCAAAAGUUAAGCAAAAUAAAAAUCAAAGUUUGUUAAGGAAAUAUCUCCAGAAUUAUCAAUUCAUUUUCUUAGUAACCAAACAACUUUAUUUCAUUUUUCUUUCACUGAUCAUAAAGUGCUGCCGACAUUCAAACCAGUCGUUCCCAAUAACCUUGGUAGAGUCGAAUGAUGCAUCUCCUAUUGAUAUAUCAAACCUUUCCAGCUUUUUGGAAAAAAAGCCAUCCGGUAAAAUGCUAUCGUUUUUAACAUCUAUUUCUAAAGUGGUCAAUCGCCUCAAAUGCAUCAAUUCGUCGAGGGUGGCAUUACUUCUUUCACUAUUGGCUUUUUCAACUUCCCAUUCAACAGGGGAAUUACCCAUAUACAGUUCUUCCAAUCGAGUGAAGCUUGAUAAGAUGUUGGGCAAAAUAAAUUUUAGUUGCAAACAAUCUCUUAAAUCUAGCAGCCUUAACUUAGUCAGUUGACCUAGUUCGUAAGGCAACCGUACAAUAUCAGACCUUAAAAAGCUAAGGAUUUCUAGAUUCUUCAACUUCCCAAUUAUGGCUAUGUCUCCCAACAUGCUUUGUACUAGACACAGUGUUUGAAGAUUUGCUAGAAGAUCGAUUGAAGAUGGCAAUGAAAAUAAUCGCAUUCCUGUCAAAUCCACAACUCGAAGCUUUUUCAUCCCUUUGAAAAAGUUCUCAGGGAUAUUGAGCUCGACAAAAGAGUCUUUGGGAUGAAUAAGUAAAAAUUCAAGUUGCGGACAUUCCAAUUCCUUAGAAACUUCAUGAAUGCUACUAUACAGUAAAGAGAUUGCAGAGCAUUUUUUAAGUGCAUCCUCAUCUGGCCACUCCCACACAACCUCACUUCUCACCAAGAAAACAUGUUGUUCUCGACAUGCAAUUGAAAUGGCAACAUCGCAGACAACAUCAUGCAUAGAAAAUUGUUCAUUACUAUCACCCUCAAGCAAAAAACAACAAUCUCUAAGUUCAUGGAGCAAUGCAUAUAAUUUGUUUCGUGCAUCUACCAUCCUGUUGACUCCUUGAAAUAUGCCCAAACCCAUAGAGUACCUAAACAAGUCUAGAAACCAAAAACUGUUACCUAUUAGACUACAGAGAAGAAAAUUUUUCUUGAGUUGCUCACCUUUUAAAUACUUGAAACUCAGCUCAAUACUUGAAUAAGUCUCUGCAGGCACACCUUCGAAGUUUACCAUUGAAGGCGUUUGGAGUUCUCGCAAGGCAUUCUUCCAUUCAUGCAGAGUCUUGUUUCUCAGUGCCCUUGCCACUGUAGUCAAGGCAAUGGGCAAACCUCCACAUGCCUGGGCUACAUUAAUUGCUAUAGACUUGAACUUACAAUUGUCAACAUCAUCACCAAUCAUUAUCUUAAACAAUCUCCAAGCUUCUUCUUCAUUUAGAUUGCCAAUCAAAAAGUUAUCUUUGGAGCCCAUACUUAAUAGUACAUUAUUAUCUCUUGCUGUGAGCAAUAGUCUACAUCCUUUAUGAUCAUUUCCAAAAGGAAUUCCAAUCGUCUCCAAAUCAAGAUGUUUCCAGAUAUUAUCUAGAAUCACAAGAAUCUUAUUCUCAUUCUUCAAUCGUUCAUACAGCCUGCUGGCUCUUCUAUAUUCAGCUUCAUCGGACAACUCCAGACCUAACUUCUCUGCAAUUUCCCCUUGUAUCUUUUUUAUGUCUGGAGUUUGUGAAACCUCUGAAAAAACCACACGAUCAAACAGCUUCUUUUCCCUGGCUUGCCUAGCAAACUCCUUCACCAGUGUCGUCUUUCCAAUGCCGCCCAUGCCGUACACCCCAAUAAUGCUGACGUUCACAUCAGUCAACACAUUUUGUAUAGACUUCAAAGUAGAAACUCUUGAUUCGAAGGCCUCGUAACCUUUGUUAGACUUAAGCCAUAUCUCCUCCGGAAUGGCACGGUGGGAAACGAUAUCAAACUUCUUAACUUCUUCUCCAAGUUCAACAAGGGCCUUCACCUCUGUCUCUGCUUUCUUGCUAAGCUGAUAGCGGGUCUUCAAAUUAGGACACAAGCCCUUGAGACAGCGCUUAUUUGUUGACUCUUCAUCUUCAACGAAUUUGGCUGCCCGGUCAAUGAUGCCGUUAGCACUAACCAGCCACUUCUCAACCUUCUCUUCAAUCUCUUCCCCUUUUUCUUUCGCCUCUGAAACUCUGCGCUGAAUGCUCGUACGUUCAACCUUCAACUUCUCCAUUUCCGCCUUGAGAUUCUCAAGGUUGGCAUUGUAGUUCCGCUUGCGCAAAUAAACAAGUUGGCGUUCUGUUGGAGGAGCCAAGCAUUUUACAAGUUCCAAAAUGAGAGUAACAAUGAUUUCCAGCAUCUUGAAUCCUGACAACAAUGUAGAAAUGAAGAAGGCCAAAGGACAGUAAGAACAGAGAGACAACGAUACGACAAGCAGUUAUGGAGCUAAAAAUAAAUAACAAACAAACAGAAGCAAAGUGUUUUUCGAAUGAGAAGAAGGAAGCAAGAAAAGGGUUUCUAUUUAGAUUAAGAAUGAAUGUAAAGAAGUGACAAAGAUGUCACAUAAUGUAAUUAAGUACUGAAUCCAAAUCCUAUCCUAAAUGGUUAGAUAAAAAUAAGGGAAUGAAAAGAGUAAUGGUAGAUUAAUUUAUGAGGCCAAUUAACGAAACGACAGAUCUGGUUUCCAUGUUUGUAAUUUAAGUGUAUGAGUACGAGGUGAACCAACUCUUUGUCGAGUCAAGCAAUUAGAAGGAGAAAUUACUAAAACAAGAACCAGCAACUUUUACUCACACAAGAGCUAAUAAUGUAUUGAGAUUGUGCAGAGUAAUACAAAACCUUAAAACUAGUAUAAUAAAUUUGUCAUCAAGUUUUAGCCUUCUUCUUCAACCAAUUACAGCACUAUCUUGAGCUCUGAGUUUCUUUUUUUAAAAUUUUUCAAAAGAUCUUUGUCAUUAGUUUUUCAAUGAUAAAAAUUAUAUUUUUAUCUCAUAAAAUAUAAAAUUUUAAAAAAAUCAAACAUAUAUUAUAGGUUUGUUUGAGAUUAUUUUUAAAGGCUCAAAAGUCACUUUUUAAAGUUAAAUGUUAAUUUUGGUAUUUGGUAAAAUUUUUAGAAAUCACCUUUGGUAAAAUCACUUAUCCCACAACAAAUUUCGGAAAGCAAAAAAGGAAUAGUUUGUCAAAAUCUAAUUUUGAUAACCAGUUUUAUACUUAAUAUAAUUCUAUAUACAACCUUAUAUAUAUUAUAAAAAAAAAAUAUCCUUAUUAUUUAGGAAAUAAAAUUAUUAAUUUUAAAGAUAUUUUAACAAUUACAUUGAGAUAACAAAAUAAAAAUAAAAUUAAUAAUAUAAAAUAUCUAUUUCUGUUAUCAAUUAUUAUAUAUACAAGAUAAAAAAAAUAUGUUAUAUACAUGUUUAUAAAUGUAUAAAUAAAUUUUAUCUAACAUUAUGUUCAAUUAAGUCAUUUACAUUAAUAGCACUUUUACAAGUAAAUUUUCCUAAAUGUUUAACUGAUUAUCUUCACAGUGAUUAUUUCCACAACAUAACUACCAGAAAUUAUUGUAAAAGAUACAACAUUACCAAAAAAAUAUUGAGGUACAUUUUAAUUAAGUAAUUGACUUAAUUAUGAAUCAAUUUAUUAUUUUCAUCUGUGUUAUCUAAACCAGCUCAUUAAUGAGAUCACUCUUUUUCUUAAAUAAAAUAUUCCUGCCAAACAAUUGUUGCAAAAUUUCAAAUAUAAAUUACAAACAGCAAAAUUUUCUAAAGUCAUAACAAUUAUUUAUGUUUUGAAGGGUCCAGCUAGCUUGCAACCGUGAUUUGGUACCCCAUUUUUUGUCUUUUUGUGAUCCAACCAUUAGAUCCAACCCAAAAGUUGUAAAAGCUAUUCCAACGGCAAGGAUGCAAUUACUUAGUUAUUAACGCUGAAGCCCCUCUUGUUUCAUAAAAAAAAGAAAAGGUUAAAUUUCAAGAUUUUGACACAUAAGUCCAUCAAAAUAUUUUAUGAUUUUUAUAUGAGUCCAGGUAAUUUAAUAAAUGAAUAUAUUUAGAUAUACAAAAAUAUGGAUGGAUUAUUUUAACUUGCUAAAAUACUCCCCACAUCCAUUUAUUUAAAAUAUCAAUUACAAAAAAUCCCAUUUUUUAGUAUAAUUUUUUUAAAAAUAAAAUACCCAUUUAAUGUUUUACCAUUUAAGAUAGUGUUACUUAUAAGGAUAAAUAAUUAUUUUAACUAAAUAAAUGAAACUUAACUUUUAUUUCUAUAAAUUUGCUCAACAUCAUAUAACCUUAUAAUUGUUAGCAUAAGAUAUAAAUUUAGUCUAAAAAAUUUAUUCAAAGGGUCCCCUUAGGGCAAAAAAUUAAUUAUCAUAUGAUAAUUUGGUUGGCACAAACUCUAUUAUUCUUAAUUUACUUAUCCAUGCCAAACACUAUAUUGGAAUUAAAUUUUAGUAAAAUAAACAUAUGUCAACAUCUUUAACCGCAUUCAACUGACCCUAAUUGUUUAGAUUUUGUUAUAGAGAGCAAGAUAUAGUUCUUUUCUUAUUAUAGUAGUAAAAAUAAAUAAAAAUAAACACAAUAGAUUUCUUUUAAGAGAAUGCAAGCAUUAUUUUUAUGAGAUUUUGUGUUCAAGAAAUUAAUCUAAUUAUGUGGUUAGAAGACUCUCUAUUUUGUGAUAUUUUAGAAGAAUUAUAUGUUGGAUAAAUGAAUAAAUUAAGAUCAAAGCAAAACAAAAAUGAUUGAGAAGAAAACCGAGAGAGAAUAAUUUUUUAAAUUUUAAAAUUUUCAUUUUUUAAUUGGGGUUUAUUUUGUAAAAUUAUUGCAAUUUAUAGUUUUUAAUAUUACCAAAAACAGUAGAGAUUGCUAAAGAAAAUGCCAAACAAAUUUUUUAGAAUUAUAAAAUUAUUAUAUUUUAAUUAGGGCUUGUUGUGUAAAAUUUUUAAAAUUUAUAGUUUUUAUUAUUUACCAAAAACAAUGAGGAUUGUUAAAGAAAAUGUCAAAAUUGGGUGUUUGGUAUAACGGAGGCAAAGUAGUUUCGUCCUGUUUUGAAUACAUGUAACUAAACCACAUUGAAAGUUGUCAAAACAGGAGGACCUAAUGUUAGUAAAAUUAUUUUUCAAGCAAAUGCAGUGACGAAUUUGGUUUCAUGUUUCACCCUCGAUAACUUAAUUUUCAUAUCUAACAAAUCAUCCAUAUUAUUAACAAUAUCAUCACCAACCAUAAUCUACCUAAACAUAAACUAAACAUAACACAUACAUAUAACUAUAUACAUACCGAAUCAGGAAAACAAUGAGAGCUACACGUAUCCGGCUCCACAAUUCCUUGUUGAUACCCUUGUGCUUCUAAAAUUAUCAACCAAUUAUAAAAAUUAGCUUAGGCGCAACUUUACCCCUUUUUUUUGGAAAACUUAACUAUAAAUAAAGUAUACAAAUCUCUAAAUUAACUUUUUUCCCAUGAAAUUCAGCAUAAAUAGAAAUAGAAUUAUAGAAAUCUUACUUCCUUUUAUGAGAAAUCCAACUUAUAUAUUUGAGACCUCUCUCUCUAAGCACGCGCUUCCUCUCUCUGUAUACUUUCCACCUUUAAAUUCUCCUCAUUAAAUCUGUCUAAAUGAAUUUAGCAGUCUCCCAGUUUCUUUAGCAUUUUUCUCCGUGAAAAUAAGUGAAAAGCGAAAGUGAUUUGAUUAUUUUAAUGUAUGACAGAUCUGGUUUCCCAUCUCCGUAAUUUAAGUGUAUCAAAUUGUCGAGUCAGUCAAAUAUAAAAGACAAAUUACUAAACCAAGCAGAGCCAAAAAAAAAAAAAAAUUCCAAUUAAAUAAUCAUCAAGUCUUUUUCAAUUAAAAUAGGGAGUGCAGAACAACUGUCGAGAGAUAAUCAUUGUUUAUGGAGCCAUAUUAUAUUUUCGAUUAAAAUAUUUGCGCGUGAACAAUUGGCAGAAUUCGUAUAAAUUGUUGUAAGGUCUAUUAUAAUUAACAAGCGGAAUGGCCAAUGGAUGAAGAACCACUGUAAUUUCGUUUAUGAAUUUAAAAUGCUAAAGAAACUGGACAUCAACGCUAAAUGUUAGCCUGCGGUCCUUGCCUCAGUUUCUUUCAGGCGUUACUCUGGGUAGUUGAUAUACUGACCGUCCCUUUAUCAAUUAAUAAUCGAAAUAGGUUAAAAUAUGAAUGGAUUGGAAUGGUAUGACUUGGAAAUGGGAUGACAAUCAGAUUAAUUUAUUCAUUUAAACUGAGAAAUUAGAAUCAAAAUAAAUUAUAUUGUUAUUGAUAUAUUUACUUUAUCUUAAAAUUAUGAUAAGUUGUUACGAGUUAUUAAUAUGCCUUAUUUUUUAUUAUAAUAAUUAUUAUUUAUUAUAACAUUUUUCAUAUAAUAAUAAUAAUAAUAAUAAUAAUAAUUAAUAUUGAAAAAAUUUUAUUGUUAAUAAUAAAGUAUCAUUAGAGUACUAGACAAGCUCACCACGUCUAAGCUAAGUGAAGAAAUAGACUUCAUCAACAAAGCUUUUGUGAAUAUGCGUUACAUUACAACUGCGAUAUCCUUUCACUGUAUAUUCAUACAGUGGCAGGCCAUGUGACAUUGUGACCCAUGUGCUAGCUUUCACUAGUCAUAUUAUUUUUUUACACGGUGUUUAACAAAAUCUUCACGUAAAGAUUUCAGACGCGUGAUCCUAAUUCAAUAUGCAUUAUUUAUUUAUUUAUAAAAUGAAAAUAAAAAGAUAAAAGGAUGUGACUUAACUUGCUAUCAGUGCGGAUCCAGGACUUAAUAUUAUUUCGGGUUAAAUUUUAAAAUUUAUAUUUUGAAGUGAACAUAAAAAUUUAUAAAUAAAAAGAAGUAUAUUAAAUGAGGGGAGACAUGGAGAGCUUUAUCCCUAUGAAUAUGUAUUAUAAACAAAAAUAAUUAUAAGAAAAGAAUAGAAACCAAAAGGCAAUUCAAAUAUCAAAACACUAUUUUUCAAUUAUGAAAUCCGACAUUGCAACCUAAUAACAUGUAAUUAUAUAAGGAUUAAUAAAUCAAUUAAGAAUUUCAAACUAAAUUAGAUCAGUACAUGUAAUUAAAAUUAAUUAAAGAUUUCAAGUAAAACUUUUAUGUUUGAAGUCAAGUACUAAAUUACCAAGCUUAAAUAAAUUUAAAAAAUUAAAAUUCAUUCAUUCUUUCGAAUUAUAAAAGUAUCAUUAGUCAAAAGUUUUAGUAAUAAACUAAACUCAAUUCAACAAAAAGUUAUUUGGAUAUCGUUGUUUCAUUGCCAGUGCACUGACUUUCUUUAUAGAAGUAUAUGUUAAUGAUUCUUCUAUUAAAGCUCUUCAAAAUACCUAAAUUUUAUUUUCUAACUUCUUCUCGUAGUUAAUGUAACUAAUAAAUAGAAUCUGAAAAUUCACAUAAAAUAUUUAUGAAAAUGUUGAUAAUUGUUACUAUAUGUUGUUUUCGUAAGUACUUUUAAUGCUAGUAACGAUGUUAUAUUACAUUGAUUUAUAUUUUUUUCAAUUAGAAGUUUUUUAAAAUAAAUUAAAGCAAUAAUAAUAUUUUAGCUCCCUAAUGUUUUCAAUCUAUCCAAUAAGUAUAUAAUUUAAUCAUUUUAUAAAAUAAGUCACUAAUUUCAAUUGGAAAUAAUACAAUUGAAUUAGGGACAUAUUUGAAUAUAAAAUAAUAGCUCAAUUGUUAUACUAAAUUGAUGAAAAUAUAAGGGUAAUUGAGUUAGGAAAAUAUUUGAAUAUAAAGUAAAAACUUUAUUGUUAAACUAAAUUGAUGAAAACAUAAGAAUACUUGAGUUAGGGACAUAUAUGAAAACAAAAUAACAACUCUAUUAUUAUAAAAAAUUUAUAAGAAAACAAGGUGUAUAAAUGAUUUUUUCUGUUCUAGACCAAGCUACAGCCUAGUCUAGCCAGCUGUAGGUCUCCCACUACUUGCUAUUUACAUACAGACAUGUGGCCCUUAUUCUAAUAUCUAUAGGAAAAGACACCUAUACUCCAAGAUUUGAAGAAAGAUUUGAAGAAAUAGUCACGUAGAUCUCUAAGUUUUCAGUAACCACAAUUUCUCUUUGACUAUAAUAUUUUUUGUACUUAGAAAAAAAAAUGACUUUAGAUUUUUUUAAUAAAUAUAAAUAUAAGUUAAAUAGUUUAAUUUGUCUAAUAGACUAAUAAUAUUAGAAUAUUUUUAAUAUAUAAAAUAAUUUUUAAAUAAAAAAUAUUAUAUUUAUUUUAAUAAUAUAUUUUUAUUUAUCAUAAAAAUAUUAAAUAAAUCUUUGGGGUUAAAUAGAAUUUAAAAUUAAUAAAACACAUCUCAUUAAUAAAAUAUAUCUCAUGUACUAAUAAUAUUGAAAUUAUUUUAAUAUAAAAUUUAUUUUAAAAUAAAAAUAAAUUUAGAAUAUUGAAAAAUUUUAUAAAAUUUAUUUUAAUAUUAUGUUCUUAUUUAUUAUAAAAUUUAGUCUAAUAUAAUGUAAGAUUGUAAAGUAUAAAAAUAUUUUCCUAAAUUGAAGUUGUUUUAAAAUGUUAAUAUUUUAUGUUUAUUUCAAUAUUAUAUUUCUAUUUAUUAUAAAUCAUAGGAGUCAAUUUUUUUCAGUUAAUAGAAUCAAAGGGUAUUAUAGUCAAAAGAGGUAUUGGUAUUCCUUAUUAAAAAUUUAGGCGUCUACAUGACUAUUUCCCAAACCUUAGGGUGUAACUUUCUUUUCUCCAAAAUUUAUGAUUCUCUGUAGGUAUUUCAUGAAGGAAAACGAUAUUUACACUGAAUCAAAUCCCGAACUAAUUAAAAUGCACUAUUUCAGCUUAAAUAAUGGUAAAUAUUUGUUUAGUCUCUAUAUUUUGAAUUAAGUACCGUUUAGUCCCUCAAGACACCUUUUUCAGUAAGCACAAUAUAAUCCUACCCUUACUUUUUCUUUGAUUCUAUAAUAACAUGCUUGCAACAAUAUUUUUAGAUAUGUUAAUGUAAAGAAAAAUUUAAAUUUAUCAAAUCAGCCUUAAAAGAAAAAUACAAAUUAGUUGUUAUUAUUAUUAAUAAAAUAAUAAAAUAAUAAAAUAAUAAUAACAAUAAUUAACAUUAAUUAAAAUAAUAAAGUUAAUAUAUUAUAUAAAAAAUAAUAUUUACAUUUAUCAAUUUUUCAUGUGUUCAAAAUUUUUUAUGUGAUAUUACAUUAUUAUCUUUACACCAUCAAUCAUUUUUAUGAUCAAGUUAGGCUAAUGGAUCAAACUUUAAAAAAUUUAAAACAAUAGGAGUUAUAUAAAUAAAUAUUUAAAAAAUUUUGUUUUUAUGAUAUUAUAAUAAACGGUAGAGACUUAAGUGUUAAUAACCAAUUGAACACGUUGAACACUUUAGCUAUUAGAUCUGGCUAAAUUAGAAAAAGACAAAAUUUAGGGUACCGUGCAACUGUUGCAAGGUAGGCGGACCCGUUAUAUUUAAUAUAGAAUAAAUAAACUAAAUAUGUGUAAAGAAUCUAGGUUAGUAACCUUGCAAUACUUCAGAAAAUUAUAAAAUACAAAAGGUGAAAUUUCAAAAUAAGGAAUUGUAAAAAGUGUUAGGUUCUAAAAUUUUAUUAUUUUAAUAUUACAAAAAUUUACUUUUUUAUUACAUUUUUAUUUUUAAUAUUAGUUGACAUUUUAGUUUAUUUGUAUAUAAUAUAUGUUAAUUUACCUAUAAAAUACUAAUAUUACUCUUGAAAUUUAAAGAAGUCAUUUUAAUUUUUAAAAAUUUUAAAUGUAGCCCAACAAAGUCAUAGAAAUAUAAAUAAAGAAUAACAUAAAAGGAAGUUAAUUUAAUUUUUUUAAGAAUAUUUCAAAAGCAUUUGAGUUUUAUGUUUCUUGAGAAUUAUACCAUUUUUUUUUAGAUAUUUGAGCUUGUGAAACUUGUUGUAAUGAUAAUUUAUUAUUUAUUCUUGAUUAAAAAUAAUUGAAUAGUAAAUUUAUUGGCUUCUAAUUACUCUUUUAAAUGUAGGGUGGUUGCUUAAUUUUUAUUAUGUUUCCUUAAACUUUUUGAUGAUGGCUAAUCAACCAUUGCAAAAGACUCUACCUGAUUAUUGUUUCCUUAAACUUUUUGAUGAUGGCUAAUCAACCAUUGCAAAAGACUCUAGCAUGAUUAUUUUUACUUUCUCUACAUCCCUCUAGACCAUCAUCACUCAAAGAAUUAAGGGUUCACUUGGCAUACUGUAUUAUACUAUACUGUAUUGCAUUAUUUAAUAUGGGUAUAUUGUAUUAUGUUAUAUUACAUUAGUAAUAAAUUAUAAUAAUAUUUGUACAACAUUUGGUAAUUGGUAUUACAUUGUACUGCAUUAAUUUUAUAUUAAUAUUAAACUAACAUUAUUUAAAUUUAUUAUUAAUUAUAUUAAAUUAUUAUUUUUAUAUUAAUUAUUUUUAUAUAAAUAUAAUAUGAUAUAAUAAAAUAAUAUGAUAGUAUAAUUUACUUUUAUGUUUUUAUUUAUUAUAAUAAAAAUAAAAAUAUAUUUAAUGCUCAAUUAAGGUAAAAUAAUAAUAAUAACAAUAGUAUUACUUAAAAAAAAAUCUAUAAAGUUUAAUGAUGAUCAUGAUGUUGACGACAUUAAUAAUAACAUAACAAUUAAAAUAAUAAAACUAAUAAAUUUUAAUAAUGUUAAUAUUAAUAAAAUAAUAAUAACAAUAAUUAACAUUAAUUAAAAUAAUAAAGUUAAUAUAUUUUAAUAAUAGUAAUAAAAUUAAUAUUAAUGACAGUAAUAAAAUUAAUAAAUAAUAAUAUGACUUAAUUAAAAUAAUUAUAACAAUUAAAAUCAUAAAUUUUAACAAUAAUAAUAAUAAUAAUAAUAUUAUUAUUAUUAAUAUAAUAAUAAUGACAUUAAUAAAUAAUACUAAUAAUAACAUUCAAAUUUUUUUUAAAGCUAUUUUAUCCCAAAAAAGGGACUUAUAUAUAAAAUUUUGUAAAUUCUAGUGUCUAUUCAAAAUUUUCAUAAAAUAUAAGAUAGUGCAGUGUAAUUAAUAAAAAAAAGACAAAAUGAUAUGCUGCAACCGUUGCAACAUAUUUUCAUCCUUGUUUGUGAUCCUUAAUCAAUAAAAUAUCUGACAAUAUCUUCGCCAAAAGUUUAAGACAUGUGAUCCUUAUUCCACAGCGUCAAUGAAACUCCAGUCAAAUGCUGCCAUCAUUAUUGAACAGUCGAUAUCCAGCACGUGCACGAAGAUUCCAAGAAGUUGCAUGGCUAUCGACUUUUAGAUGCUAAGCCUCAUUGCGUUGAUGAUACACAAAACAGACGGUCAAGGUAAUUGCCAAAACUUAGAACUAAACAGUAGCUUAGUCAGAAAAUCAAACGCCAGUACCGGUAAAAUGACCGAUAAAAAUAUAAGGACAUAAAAAUUUUAAAGUUUUACUUUAUUGCUUUUUUAAUCUUAUUACUAUUUCUCCUUGCACUUCUAAAGAAACCAAAGCUUUAAAAGAAAUCAGCCAAAUCACAAAGAUUGAAGAGUAAAUCUAUGGUUUUAAAUUUUUAUUUUAUUUUUUUAGAUAAUAGAUAUUAUUUUGAUGAAUUUUUUAAUAUUAGAAUAAUGUUAGGAAUUCUAACAGUAGAAUUCUAACUUGGAACCCAAUUGAUAUGUGUCAUUUUUUCAUUGGAUAAUGAAUUUCAUCACUAGUAAAAUUAAUAUUUGGAUCAUCUAAUAAAUGACUACCAUAUCAAUUGGGACUCAAUUAUUGGGAUCCUUAAAAUUGCUCUUAGUAUUAUAUUGGACAUCUUAGCUAAAUCAAAUUAAAAAUUAAAUUAGAUUUUAGGCUUUAUUCAACAUCUCUUUUUGUCUUUUUUUUGGUCUAUUUGAAGUGAACGAAAUAAAAAUACAAUAGGGUCAACGACUGGGCAAUUGAUAGUCAAGUAGAAGCAAAUCAAGGCUAAAUGGGAAAGAGAAAUUAUAUUAGUGCAAAACAAGGAGAAAAACAGUGUAACAGAAGAGAAUCAAAGUGCUUUUGAGAUCAGAAAUUGAAACAAGAAAAGGGUCGCUUGAUCCAAUGAAAAUGCAAAGAGCUGACGGCAAAAGGGAAUAAAGUUAAAUAAGAAAAUAGCUAGCGCUAGCAGCAACCACAAUAAACAGAAAAUUUGAGAUGGAUUUACAAUAUUUCUGCCUUUCUUCAUGCUUUAACAAAUAUUGCUUUAUAAAAAAAAAGAAAUUGAGCGUUUUUAUUAUUGGAGUCACAAAAGACCUACACAAUAUAGCAAGUGACUGGGAAUAAAUAAAAAUAUAUAACUGAUAAGUGCAUAUUUUCCAUAUAUUUUGUUAUUAAUUUCUCCAUCUUUUUCUUGAUUUGAUCUUAAAUAUUCUAGUUAUUUUAGUUAAUUUUUAAUUAAUUGUAUUAUUUUAUUGAAUAGGGAAUUAAUUGGAGAUUGUGGAUAAAAAGGGCAUGAAGAAAUUCAAAUUGAGAAGGAAUAAGGAUUAAAUUGGAAAAGGAUUUCAAUUAGAAUGGAAAAAGGAUUUCUUUAUUCUUGUUGGAGAAGAAUUCGGUCAACUAGCUUUAUAAAAGGGGAGCUGCUGGAUGAAAAAAAAGGAGGAGAAUAUUCGGCAGCCAAGAGGAUUUGAGGAACUAGCAGCCGAAAGAAGGAAAAGCAAGGGAGAAACCGAAAAGGAAUUGAAGAAAAAGGCAGCUGCUUGAAUUAAUCUCCAUGAUUGGUUUUGUCAAUUCUCUUAUUUCCAAUUCAAUUAUGUUAGGCUAGAUUUUUAUUUGGUUGAGGGUGAAUUCAAAACCCUAAACAUGCUAUGCAAUUAAAUUUAAAUUCUAUCAUUUAAUUUAUUUAAUUGAGAUUGUUUAUGUUCUUCUAUAAUUAAUGUUCAUGGUUUGUUCUUGUUUUAUUUGAGUGGCCAAUUAGAUAGGACUUGAAUAAAUUUUAUUGCUAGAUUAAAAUUCUUGAUCCGUAAUUAUCUUGAUAUUUUAAUUAUUAGUAACAUGUUGGAAUUAGUGAUUUCAAUUAAAGAACAUAACCUAGGUUAAAUAAUCCGAGCUUGUGUGUUUAUUGCCUAGAUCAACCUAAUAUCUUUCUCUGUUUAAUGCUUCCAUUAUCUUAAAUUUAAAGAGCUUGUUUUAAAUUAUUUAAUGGUUAGAGAUUAGGUGAAGAGCUUAUUUUGCCUAACGACACACUAAGGAAAGAUUGAGACUAACAGAGCUUAUUGUUGUCUACGGUUGAUAGUUUUAAUAUAAAUUAAUGAUAGAAUUGAUAUAUUAUGUGCAUGUUUGGUGGUGGCGAAUGAUCCUUUAACCAAAGUUUUCAUCAUUAAUAUUUCUUUCUCCUUUAAUUAGAGUUUUUAUUAAAUUCUUGUUCGUAGUUUUAAUUUCUUUACUUCUUACUAUUUAGUUAAAAAUUCAUAAACCCCCUCUUUUAUUUAUAAUUGGUAAUUUCCUUAGUUAGAUUAAUUUAUAUUAUUAUUACUACUAUUAUUUUAUUUUAAAUCUUGCUUUAGAGUUGAUAAUAAAUAUAACUACAUAGUCUUUGUGGGAUCGAUCCUUACUCGCUCUGUACUAAUUAUUUAUAUUAGUGGUAAGGUUAUAAAUUUGGUGCACCUUAACGACACUACCAAAUUUUUGUAACUCUCUCUCUAAUUCUCACUCUAGCUUUUAAUUGUCACUCAAAACCCAGAAUUCAUCCUUAAAGUGUAAGCAAAUCAGAGAUGACAACGUCUGGCUGUCAUACGUGCCUUUUAGUUUUCGGAUGACAUGGCGUACACUUCUUCUGUAAACCGAACACGACAUGUCGUACUCUUUGUUUUGAGAUCAUAUUUCAAACUCUUCAUGCUAUGAAUGAAAGAUAAACUACAAUCAUAAACAUAUUUAGUGUUUAUUUGGUAAUGUAACGUUAUAGUUGUUGUGAAUUGAAAUUAUUUCUGUAAAAUAAAAGGAAUAUUUAUAAUAGUAUAAAAGGAAUAUUAAUAGAGGAUGUAUUAAUAUAAAAUUUGUUUAUUGGUGUUGAAGUUAAUUAUCUCAUUAAUAAUACUAUAAAAAUUUUAAUUACUAAGAAACACAUAGCAGUAGUUAAUUGGUGUCAUAUUAUUGGGAUUCAGGGAUAUAAUUUUAUAUCAUAACUUUGUAAGUGUAUAAUUACUCAUUAAAUUAAGAAAAUUAUUUAAAAAUAUUUAGUUGGAAAAAAUAAAUUAUAUUCUUUUUAUUUCAAAUAAUCUAUAAGUUAACUCAAAACAUAAUCAAGCUGAGAAUUAAAAUAAUGCUACUAUAUGAGAGGAUUUUUAUUUUUUCCCGAAGUUUCACUAGGAAAUUAUUGAUAUAUAGCUUUAUUCGGAUCAUCUCAGUUCAAACAACAAAUAAUUGAAAGACUAAGCUAAAUAGACCAGCCAACAACUUUGUGCAAGAGAGUUCAAAAAUUAAGGUCAUGGUAUUGAGGUGUUCUGUCUUGAAAAGUACAGCAUAGUGAUAAAAUAAAAACUAUUAAUCUAUGGUAAGGUAUGACUUUUAAAUAAUAAUUUUCACAAAAAUACAAAGAAUAUUUAUAAAGUACUUCUAUAGUGAGGAGAUCCUUACUUUGUUAAAGUAAAAAUAUCAAUAAUAUAAAAAAACAUAUAUUUUAACACAUUAAGAACUGUAUUUUCUUAAUCUAUUGGUGUAUUGAAAUAUGUGUUAUUUAGUUUGUUAGUGACAUCAUCACUUUGUUAAAAUAAAGAUGUCGUCACUAGAGAAUCAUUAUAUAUACAUAUAUAUAAAGUGUUUCUCUCCAAAACCUAGACUUUAUUAAAAUUUAAGAAAGCAAAUAUAUUUUAUAUGGUAUAAUAGUGUAAUAACAUCACACAAUUAUAUCAUAUAGAGUAAUAGUUUUUGGAACUUUAAUAAAGUUCAAGAUUAUAGAAUGAAUGAUUUAUAUAUAUUAUAAUUUUUUUAUCAUAGAGUGGAGGACAAAAUUAACAUAUUUUCUAAAUUAUAAUAAGUAAUUAUCAAAUAAUUUAACAUUGUAUUUCUCCUAACUAGUAUAGUAAAUAUGACCUAGGAGGUACAUUCAAAGCAUUUCAUAAGUUAGUUGUUAAUAAUAAAUGAUACAUGCAGCUCCAAUCAUCAUUGUACGGUGAGUAAUUUCCAGUUAUAAAUAGAUAUUACUCCCUUCUCAGCAAUUUUUUAUGGCUUAAUUUAGUGGGAUCAAAUCAAAAUCAACAUUGAAUAGUCAAAAUAUUAAUGACCAAACAGACCCAGAUAGAAUAAUAUUAAAUGUAGUUAUCUCAAACAAGAUAGAAUAAUAAUUGAUAAGGUAGGUGUAUGAGUGUGUGUGAUGUGUACUCUUUAUGCCAUUGUGUAUAUAUAUAUAUUUGUUUUUUUUUUCUAUUUCGCGUGGUUCCACCAUGCAUAAUUGAAGGGCUUCAAAUUCUUAAACGUUCGGUCACCGAAAUUGAAAUCCCAAUGGAACAAGUAAUUAAGCAUGUUAAUUCAACAAGAUUCACUCCCUUUAUUACUUAAAAGUUAUUUUCGCUUUUGAUAUUGAUACUUAUUUUUACAUUUGCAUGCACUAGGGCAGACGCGAAGCUAAAGGUGGGCUAACCCAGGCAGCAGCCUCGGUUAGCUUUUUGAAAAAAAAUAAUUAAUUAUAAUUUAUAAAUUUAUUUUAUUAAUAUAUAUAAAAAAUAAAAAUAAAUCUAAUAUUUGAUAAUAUUUUUCUUAUUUACAUUGUAUUUUUAUAAUUUUAUGGUUAGAUUUUUAUGUAUAUAGUGUGCUUAAUUUCGUUUAUAUAAAACAAAUUUUUUGAAAAGUAAAUUUCAUUUUUUAAAAAAAUCUAGCCCACCCAAAAAAAUACGCUAGCUUCGCCACUGCACUAGGGACAUAUUAAUCAGGUGGGUUAUAUUACAACCAGAGGAUUUAAAUUUGAUUUAAGAUAUGUGGGGUCUGCUUUUGGAUUUAGAAAAUUUGCCCAUUAAGAGUUGAAACCAAGUGACCUACCGUUAGAUUAGAUUAAUAGUGAUUUCUUGUAGUAAACAUUUGUGAAUUUGAAAUAUGUGAAUUCUAUCCUGGUGAUACAAAACAAGCUUCUUGUACACGAGAACUAUUUGUUUUUAUGAUUUGGAAACCAAUCUAUAAAGAUGAAUUAAGUUGGCAUAAUGGUACAAAGCAACUUUAAUUUUUCAAUAAAUUCAAAAGUUGGCAGGUUGGUUGUGAUUAUUAUCUUUUCUUUUUUACUAUUUAAACUACAAUUAAUUGAAUCCAAAGACUAAAGGGUUGGAUCGAGAAGAAACUAAUUUUAAGUAGACAUUCCGGCGAAAAUCACUCCCAUGAUCGAGACACUCAUGCAAUCAAUACAAAAAAUGGACACAAAAAUUGUCUACUUAAGUUUGGUUGAAUGAUUUUAAAAAUAGUUUUAUUUGUUUCACACUCGAAUUUGUAUUUUGAAAAAGAGUGGGAGUUAAAAAUUGAUUUACACUUUAUCAAUUACUCUAUUUUAAAAAGAAAUAAAUAUUAAAAAAAUAAAAACAUUAAUUUCUUGUUUGUUUGUACUUACCAUUGUAGGAUAAAUAAAGUGGUUGACAAAAAUUAGAUAUCUUAAAAAUAAAUUCUAAAUUUAUAACUAAUGUAUAAUGAUUUCAAUUCACAUGUUUCAAUCCCAAAUAAAUUCUCCUUUGGUUAUUUGAAUCUUAGCACGGUAAGAUUUCAUUCUCUUGUAUGCAUUUGUGUAAACUUCUCCCUUUACCUUUAUCAUUUUAUCAACUGUAUUGAUUGCCAAACAACUUUAGGGUUUAGGCAUGAAUCACACAAGGGAAUGAUAUUGUGGCAAUUUUUUCCCCCUUCUUUCUUCUUUUUGAAAAAAAAAAUUAAUUAUAGCUUUGCUUUGAUGGGUAGAAGACUAGAAGACCAAUUAAUUUCUUUUUGUUGCGUGGUGAUAAUAAUGGUGAAAAUUGCUAUGUGCGUGUUGGUGAUUGCAUUGCUAAUCACAUAUUGCUUCCCAUCAUGGAGACAAAGGGGACCCCUCUAUCAAAGCUAGCUGUUGAAAUAUCAUACCCAAAAUCACAUGAAUUCAAAGGUUGAAUGGGAAAACGAUCUUGCUUCUUUGUAUGUUUUAUUUUAUUUAAAGACUUAUUUUUCCCAUAAGAGAUAAGCUUGGAUCUAUCUUUCCUUUUAAUCAUUUUAGCCUCCAACUCCCAUCUUUUUCAAAAGUUUCGUUUAGCCCAUUUUGAAUGGCAAGGUAAGCUUCAAUCAACGCUACAAGUUCUAGUGAUUCCCGUCAAUAUUCGAUUGCAUGUAUGUAGCUUUGAAUGCUCAAAUUUAUUUUAUUUAUUAGUUGUUAUCACUUAUCAUUUUCUUUUUAAUAAUGAGAUUUGGGCAUUUUCUUUUUAAUAAUGAGAUUUGGGUCCCUAGAUGGUGAUUAGCCAACAGUCUAGUUAUGAGAAAUUAAUGUCUUAAUUACAAUGACAAAAAAAGGCAAGUGGGGAUCUCAUUUGCCAUUAGGUAACACAACAUCUUCAGCAUUGGAGCUUUUCUUCCUUUCUCUCCUUCUUUCUUUCUUUCUCAAAAUAAUUGAAAAUCUAAUGCAAUACAAUUAAAUUGAUCAACGAUCUAAUUUAAUCAAUACAUUAUAUUAAGAUAUUUAAAAUAAAAUCGGUUCAAAUGGAAUGAGAAAUUCUACUCACAAAAUAACAACAUUUAUUCCCGAAUUCAAAUAACCUUGGAUUCCAAAUGCAUUCAAGACUAGCCAGGCUGCAUAUCCAAGAAGAAAACAAAAUCAAAACUUUAGCCACAAACAUAUACGUGUGUGUGUAUGUGUGUGUGUAUAUAUGUGUGUGUGUGUCUGUGUAUAUAGAGAGAGAGAGAGUUCUUUCACUAGGUUCAUUUGCGUGAAACUUUUUGAUCAUUUAGGUUUAAGACUAUAUCAUAUAUCCUAUUGCAUGAACAUUGAUUAAUAUGAAUGAGUCAAACCCACUAAGCUUGUAACAAAAUCUUUUCAUAGUUACUAGAGAAUAUUUAUAUUUUUUUCAAACAUUAAUAAAAUUAUUGAAUUGCUUUAUUUAUAGUAUGUAUACAAUUAAUAGUGUAUGGAUUUUUUUAUCUAUUGGUAUAUUGAAAUAUGUGUUAUUUAGUUUGUUAGUGAUAUCAUCACUUUGUUAAAAUGAGAAUGUCCUUACUAGAGAAUCAUUAUAUAUACAUAUAUAAAGUGCUUGUGCUUCUAUCCAAGACCUAGAUUUUAUUAAAAUUUAAUAAAGCAAAUAUAUUUUAUAUGGUAUAAUAGUGUAAUAACAUCACACUAUUAUAUCAUAUAGAGUAAUAGUUUUUCGAUUUUUUUAAAGUUCAAGAUUAUAGAAUGAAUGAUUUAUAUAAAUUAUAAUUUUUUUAUCAUAAAUGGAGGCGAAAAUUAACAUAUUUUCAAAUUAUAAUAAGUAUUUAUCAAAUAAUUUAACAUUGUAAUUUCUCCUAACUAGUAUAGUAAAUAAUAUGACCUAGGAGGUACAUUCAAAGCAUUUCAUAAGUUAGUUGUUAAUAAUAAAUGAUAUAUGCAGCUCCAAUUAAUCAUCAUUGUACGGUGAGUAAUUUCCAGUUAUAAAUAGAUAUUACUCCCUUCCCAGCAAUUUUUGAUGGCUUAAUUUUGUGGGAUCAAAAUCAACAUUGAAUGUCAAAAUAUUAAUGGCCAAACAGACCAGCUGCCAACAACUUAUUCCAAUGUGAGUAGUUCACAGUGGGUACUGCACAUGAUGCUUGUUUCUCCUUUUGCAUCUAUUUUUGUUGUUAACAUUAAUUUCAAUAGCAGCUCUUUAAUCCCAAUUGUUGAUUUGGGACUAGAUAAGAAUUUAUCUUGGAACUCCAAUUCUCCCAAUUAUUUUAGUUGACAAUAUGUUUAACAUUAUUUUUUUAACAUUAUUAAUUACAUAUUAUUUAAUUAUCAGUAUAUAAUAUUCUUUAAUUUUCUAAUUUUAUAGGAUUAGACACAAAAUUGAUUAUGCCUUUUGAAAUUUAAGGGUUAUGUCAAUUGAAUAGAAAACUUGGAGUUAAACUUGUGGAUGUUUUUGUUGAUUAUCAAUUUAUGCAUGAAUUUUUGUACGUUUAUUUGGCUUAUUAUUAUUACUUUUAAACAUUUUUAUUGGUUUGAUUUAGGGUCAGUUUGGUAAUUCUAUAGCUUUUAAAAUAAUUACAGUUAGCUAUGCUGUAGAAAUUGAUCAAUCGUCAAGAGAAUCAGCUGAACAUUUAGUAAAAUUUAUUUUUAAAAGUACUUUUAGUUUUAAAAGCGUCGCAUGUGUUUCGUAAGUUAUAUACAUUGCUGAUUCUAUAUUAAUAAUGUUAUGUUCUAUUUUCAGAAAUUAUAAUACAAAAGUUUUUACAAUGGCGUGCAUCUACAAACUGAAUUGACUUGUAGAAUAAGAGCUUGGAGUAGUGUUAUGUUCUUGAAUAAAUGAAAGUUCAUAUGGUGUAAGAGCAUGUAGAUGUAAAGUGUCAUUACCAUUUCUAUAAAGGACUUUCAUUCUGUUCGGAUGCUCCUCUUGAACUCUGAAGGGUGCUUCAUUCAUAACACACAUAAUUUAUGCCAGGGAAGAGAAGAUGCCAAAAAAGUUGAAGGUGAUCAUUCAUAACUUUUCAGAAAGUUGUUGCAAAACAGAAAUCACCCAUCACGAUCGGUCGUACAAGUGUCUGCUACGAGUGCAGCAAAACGUUUGUCACGCUAGUUGUGCUAAAUGGACCUCUCCUGUGUGCCUCUAAAAUCAAUGCAUGUGAUCAUGUCGGUGAUUCAAUGGCUGGUGGGGAUGAGUCCACUCAAAUUCUGAAACUAAUCAGGUGAAAUAUAAACCCUUUUUGUCUCCUUCUUUAAUUGUAUGUUUUACUAUCCAUGUUUUACCCAAAAAAAUUGUAGGUUUACACUUUGCAAUCAAAUUUUGUAGUUGUGCUUUUUUCUUGCUUUUAUCCUAAUAAGCAAAAAAUCUAAUUAAUCCUAAUUAAAGGUGUUUUAAAAUUUAAAUAGAGAAAGUACCAUUGAGAUUUGAGAGAAAAUGAAUCGAUUGAUUUACUUCACAGUAUGAAUACACAGAGAGUUCGCUUGCUUUAUAUGCAGUAAUCUAACCAACUUGUUAACUAAGCUACUAUUCCCAGCAAAUCAAGCUAACCAAUCCCACUACUCAGCUUGUCUACUACAGAUCACAGAACCACUUGGGCUGAGCCGUAAUUCCAUGUCAUCAGUCUGUGCAACAACCUCAUUGAUCACUUGUUGUGCUGACUAUCGAACAACAGUGUGCCUCUUUAACAUAAUAGACUAAGCUCGUAUGCAUAGGAAUGGAUCUUUUAUUAUUGUCAUUAACUAUCUGUCCCUAAGGGUUUGGUUGAGUGAUUUAUUCCUUUAGUUGGCCCUCCCAAUCUUUUGGAUUGUUAUUGUCAUUAAAUAUCGGUCCCUAACUGCGUGAUGUAAGUACUUUCUAGAAGAUAUCUAAAUGGUAAAGCGACAUUACCAUUUCUAUAAAGGACUUUCAUUCUGUUCAGAUGCUCCUCUUGAACUCUGUAAUUCAGAUCCUAGCUAUAACUACUAGCUUUGAUUAAUUAAUUUCCUGUACUAGCUGAAACAGAUUUAUUUAUUUAAAUAAUUGUGUAUGUACUAAUUAUAAUGAAAGUAUAUGAAGAAAUUUUUUAACAUGAAUGACUUCUAAAUGACUUAAAAACCUAAACAAAUAAUGCUCAUUUCACUUGAACGAGCCUAUUAAUACUUGUAUGUCUAUGAUUUUUAAUAUUGGCUUAAGCGUUUCAGUUAAAUGGUUUACAUAAGAGGGAAAAAAAUUUAAUGGAAAACUUUAGAGUUCUAACAGAAAUAUAAUUGACUAUGCAGAUAUAGUUAUUUUAUGGUAUACAAAUCAUGUUGCCUUAAUCUCAAUGUCCUAUGACCUAUUUUAUUUUAUAUAGUCAUUCCUUUUGGCCAUGGCUUUUUGUUUUUAUGAGUACGGAAAUAGUGGGAUUUGGUGUAUCUUAGCAUCUUUGGAAAAUUCUCUUUAAAUGUGGCAAACAAAAAUAUACAUAUAAUCAAGUUUCUUAAUCAACUAUCAUAACUGGCUAGCUAGUUCUUGCCUGCCUUGCUGCCAUUACCCAGGCCAUUACAUUGCAUAGCAUAAGGAAUAGUGAUUAGGUGAUUAUUAGUGACUCGUUGAGCUUAUUAUUGACCAAACAAAUAUAUUUGCCUUUACCCACAACUUAGUUUGAUUAGUUAUUAGACCAUAAAGAGCGUAAAUCUGUUCAUUGGCUUUGUUAUUUUUGUUUGGUUUUUCUUUCAACAAUACUGUUAAUUUCUUAUAAAAAUAUUCAUUGGUUUUUAAACACCUAAUCAUUGGCUAUAAUGAAGCUAAUUGAAACUGAGGCUUUGGAUCAAUUCCUUCUGGCAAGAUACAAAUGAGCAUAACCUAUAUCCUCUAAGUAAAUUUUUCUAAUAUGCUUGAUUUGUUAGUAUCCGGAGGCUUGAAUCCUCUAGAUUUUUUUAACACUGUCAAUGUUCUUUUUACUCUGAAAAGGGAAAAAAAAGGUUAUAUCUUUCAUACCCUAAUAAUAAGUUGUCCUUGACUUAACAUGCCUUCCUGAGGAUUUGCAAGAUUCACAAGCAGCUCAACAACACCCCCCCCCAAAAAAAAGCAAAUACGAAGAUUUUGCAAGAUUCACAACCAGGUUAUAUUUAAUUUAUUAAUUGUGUGCACGUACUAGUUAUAUGUUGAAAGAAUAGGAAAAAGUAUUUUAACAUGAAUGACUUAAAACUUAUUGCUCAGUAAACUUAAUCUGCAUCAGUGCUAGAUAAUGUAUUUAUUGUUUGUAUUUUUUAUGGAUUUGCUUAAGAAAUGAUAUGCGAAAUAAUGCUAUAUUGUAUUAGGAAUAAAUUGAAGAGAUUUAUGAUAUUUAUGUGUUUUUAAAUUUCAGAUUGAAUUUUAAACUUUCAAUACAUGCAUUGAAAGCUUAGAUCGUUUAAGAAAUUAUUAAUAGACACAUGUUUUAUUAGUGUCAUCUUUGGAUGAUAGCGAGGAUCAUAUGUCUAUUAAUAAUUCUUGAAUUGUCUAGGCUUGAACUGUUUGGGAAUGCAUAGUUUUCUACGGUGGCUAGUAGCUGAAGUUUUUUUCCCACGUAAAAAUGGGUUUUUCGCUAGCUACUUCUCAUCUUCUUUGGGUGCAUACUAGAUAACACAUACACACUCAUAUAUCUAUGUCGUGUGCUAGGAGAACUAUUGGGAGAUGCUGCCGAAAUUCCUAUAAACGUAGAAGAAAACUUUAAAGUACUUGAGAUUGAAGAGACUUAUGCAUUCUUGAGAGGGAUAUAUGGGACCACUUACCUUUUGUAAAUAUGAAGGGAGUGUUGGACAUAUUGAUGGGAGUGAAGGAGCUGAGUUGGAUGGAUGUAAUUGGUUAUGGUUUUGCUGAGUUAACUUGGUUUUGACCUAGUAGUUUUGUUUAUAAAUGGAGUACUAUCUCCAAUGUUGGUUUAUAAAUAUGUUUCAGCUGGCUGACCUAAUUUUUUGUUUCUAGGUAACAGGCUUUAUAUCUGUAAUUGAUAGCCAACCGAAGUUCUCAGCUGUGGGUGAGGAUAUUUCUUUACAGAAGGUAUUGGAAACUGUUUUUUACAUUAAUUAUUGUGGUAUUUAUACUUGAAAAUCUUUUUCUCUGAUUCUUGUCGCUUUGCUUGCUUUCAUAUGUAUAAAUUCUAAUGAAAUUAACCAUAAAAUUGUAUAAUGAUUUUUUUUAAUUAUAUUGCAAAACUGUGCACACACGAAAAUAUCUUGGUCAUUAGUAGAAAUGAAGAACUAAAAUGAUUUAUCUAACUAAUUUUUGUAGUGCAUUAAAAGGAGAUGAAAAUGGAGAAGAGUUGGGUUGGUUUGGCAAAUAGAUAUCCAAGUUAUAGAUUUUGUAUUUGAGAAUGUUGUUGGUAAUGCAAGAAUUUAUUAUCCUUGUAAGGAGUGUCGAAUAUUUUGUUUUAAGGGAAGUAUCAAGAGACCAUAUCAUUAUAAAUGGUUUUUGGUUAAAAUAUUAAAACUGGAUAUUGCAUAGUGAGCCAUCUUCAUCUUUGGAAUCUAGCCAAGAAACAAGUUGGUCGUGACUCAGGUGCUGAUGAUGAUAUGAUUGGAAUGAUACAUGAUACAUCACAUAAUCAAAUGUUCAAUUCACACGCAGCAUUGUUAUGGACUAUCAGUGACUUUCUAGCAUAUGCCAACUUGUUUGAGUGGAGUAUUAAAGGUAAAUAAGCAUUUCUUGUUUGCCAACAAAACACUAGAUCUAAUUGGUUGAUACAUAGUCGAAAAUUUUGUCACGUCGGUAAUGUCGAUUUUUACCGACGAAUCAUAGGUUUUGAAAAUAUAGUGCCUUUUGAUAAAAGUAGAGAGUGGGGACAAGCACCUUCUCGGAUGUCUGGAGCUGAAGUGAAAAAGCAGUUGAGUAAUAUACUUACUGAGUUUAAGAUUGAAGACUUGAAAAGAGGAGAAUGAGUAAAAUGAGAGAAAUGAUAAGAUUACUUGGAAGAAGAAAAGCAUAUUUUAUGAACUACCGUGUUGGGAGUCCAAUUUGAUUCAUCAUAAUCUUGAUCUCAUGGGCUGUUUUGAUUUUUGUUAUGAACUCUGAUCAAAAGUUUAAUUUGAUCAAAAUUUCUUAAAAAUAGUGAAAACGACUCCUCCUAAUAACAUGGACGAUGGCUAUAACAGAUAAAAGGAAAGGAUUAAAAAGAAAAGCUAUGCCUGUUAAAAAAAGAAAAAAAAUUGGUGGCGUCAAGUUUAUAACAAAAAUUAAAACGGUGCGUUUGAGAGUGUAUAAAAUACAUUUAGAAUGGGAGCUGUGUUGUUUUUUGAAGGUAGAAUGAUUGUGAGAUAUUUGUCGACGAAGCCGAAAUCAAAGAUGAAGCCCAUAGAGCUCAAAACUCCACCAGAGCAAACUCAAGACAAUUAUUGACAUAGUCAAUGAUUGUAUUUGACAUAGUCAAGGAACAGGGUCCUCUCACUGUUGUCGAAACAUGGGAACGCGUCAAGGUGUGUGCAUCUGAUUGAGUGUGUUUUACAUUCAAUGAUCACUGAUCAUAAUACUAGUAGUUGUUUUACAUUUUCAGCAAGCAGGAGCGAGUGGAUUGACGGGCAAAAGCCACAUGAAGAUUGAGUGUGUUGAGUAAGCAAAUCCUGUGCACAAGUUGGUUCACCAAACCCAACAACUUGAAGCAACCAAAAUCAGGGAAUGAUCCUUCUCCGUGAUGGAAGUAAAGCACCAGUGAUGGAAGCUCCUCAGCAUGUAAACUUUUCAACAGUAGCACAGCUCUUAUUCCAGAGGCUGCACAGAAGAGCGACCUGAAUCCUCUUCAAAACUUUCAAAUUUUUAUCAAGUAAAGCUUUCAAAAUUUCUCAGCAAAUAGAUUAUUCAAAUGAAAGAAACACAAGGGAGUGACCUGAAUCCUCUUCAAAUCAGGAAAUUUAUUGCAUAAAUUACAAGAAGCAGUACACACCAAUGGUAAAUUGAUAAAUCGUUUUUUAACUUAAUAUAGUCAAAUGAAAGAAACACAGCGGAGGGUUAAUAUAACACUUUCAAAGCUGCAUUAGUAAUACGUUAAAGUGAAUACCCUCAGCAUGUAAACUUAACUUCAAAGGACGGAGCACAAGUUUCACAGAAAAGUAGCUCUUAUUCCUGAUGCUGCAAACACAGAGGAGUGUCCUCAAUCUUCUUCAUAACUUGGGAAUUCUGCAAUUAUAGAGCACGACAUUGAGCAUGAACUAUAAAAAAUAUUUAUUUUCUACAAUUUUCAUAUAACCUGACUAACCAAGAUUAAUUUUGUGGUAAUGUAUUGGGUCAUUAAUUCAUAUGUUUUUACUGUCAUCACUUUAGAAAAAACUAAUUUCUCAAUGUGAAAUGGCCCAUAAAAAGUAUUCUCAUUUAAAAACUAAAUUUGACAAACCCCUCGAUUAAAGCAGGGGAGAGAAAAGAAAAAAAAAAGAUCUGAAGGCUUUCCACAUGAAAAUGUUGUCACUUUGGAUGAUAUUUUCAAGGGAUUUCAUUCUAAAAAUAAAAUACCUGGGACCUUAUUCUUCAAAUUGACAGCUAGCCCAGUACUAAACGCGUAUGAGAUCAGUACUGUACUGUGACAAGUAACGAGACGACCCCUCCAACAGCUGAAAAUAUAAUUCGGAUUCAUCAAUUUAAAUUAAAAUUCAUAUUAUGAAAUAAAAACUAAUGAUUAAUGAAUUUUCGAGGAAUUUAAUAAGAUUCUCAUAUAUAAACGUGAUAAAAAAUUCUCUCGUCAAUAACAAAUAUUCUAACAGUUACCCGUACCUUUUCUUGAUGUAAUUGUUGUAUGAUUGUGUUAAGGUCAUUAUUAGACCAACGCCGUUUGUCCUCACUCCUUCCGUACCAGACGUUUACUCUCGGAGGCGUGCUUAAUUCUCCUUUGGUGAAAAUCUUCAUCUUGGGACAACUAAUCACCCACAAAUCUUGCAAAGAUGGGAAUUUGAAGGCGUAAUUGCCAGAGGAGAAGCUUGUGAGGCUGUCUAAAUCAAACAGGGACAACGUACUCAAUUUGCUGAAAACAAUCUCUUCUUCUAUAUUUGCUGUUUCAUCUUCGUCACUUAUUACGACUUCUGUGAUUGCUCUGCAUCCAAAUACACCCAAUGAUACGAGUCGCUCUAGACUUUUUGCUGUGGAGGAUGUUAGUAAGUUCAUCAAUUUCUUGCAAGCAAAAGCUUGCAGGCGUGUGAGAUUCCGAAAAGAUACCGAUGAUGAUGGCAAUAGACUUAACAGAUUUUGACAGUGAAAUGCUCUUAGAGUUUGAAGAUGUUGAAAAAUGAAGUCCGGCUGCUUGGAAUCGUGUUUCCAUAGUUGCUGCAGACGAUUAAGUCUGGUCAGGUCUAACCUUUUUAUCAGUGCCAGCUUCCUCGCAUGUGUCUCCAAAUAUCCUUCAUUUGAAAAUACCACUUCGUAUGAACAAUCCGACAGGAAGAGAAGUUCCAGAUUGUGAAACUUCUCAAGUAAACCAAGUGGAAAGCAAGCUAAGUCAUCAUCCCGAACCCGUAGUCGUUGAAGACUGCCAAAGAGGUGUUGUGGGAAAUCGUCUUGCAAAAUCAUCGUGAUGUCUUUUCCACUUAAUGCCAGUCCCUCCAAGUUGGGUAAGAUCUGAUCAUCAUCAAGCACAAAUUAUUAUCUUAGCACAUUGAUCCCUAAUUCCAGACUGGCAAAAUUCAUUGUGUAAUCAAAGUUUCAAUGAUCUAACUAACAUAUAUAUAUAUAUAUAGGUAUUUAUUAAAAUUCAUUGUGUAAUGCCAAAUCUCGUCGACAUUAAUAGCAUUCAGCUCCAAAGCCUCCAAAUUUGGCAACACUGCCUAAAGAUAAUUUUCUCUUUAGAUCCAAUAUCCAUAUAAGAAGUGCUUAUUGAGAGCUUAAUUAGUGAGUGUAUGAGAUUUUUUUUUUCAUUUUCUUUUUCUAAAUGAUUUUUUUUUUUUUUUUUUUUUUUUUGCACAUAUAGCAUCAAAUGCAAGUGCAUGAUAGAAUAAAAAAAAUGCAAUAUCCAUAUGAAAAACACUUGUGUGGGCCAAUUUGGUAUUACAGUUGCUGAUUAAAUAAAUUGCUUCUGCUGUACGGAUGUAAUAAGUAAUUGAUUAAAAAAGCAGGUAGGUGUUUGGUGAAUUAUGUUGUUUCAGUUGAUAUGAGUUUGAAAAGCAGCGUACAUGCGUUUGGUAAAUUUUAUUUUAAACUUGUUAUUUUAUCAUAUAAUGACCAAAAUAGACAUAAGUUUAAAUUACCUUUUAUUUUUUUGAAGUAUGUUUAAUAAUGUUUAGAUGUGUCAUUUUCUUUUUAAAACACGUAAAUUAUAUUAAGUGAAAAAACUUAAUAAUUUCUUACAUAAAAUACGAUAAAAAUUUAUACUAGUAUAUAAUCCAAAUAAAAUAAAAAAGUAAUAUGUAUUACUUUCAAAUUAAACUUGUUGCAAUAAACACCAUGACUAUAGAAAAAAUAUAAAUAUAUUGAAUGUUAAAAGCUAUGGUUAUGAAAUUGAUUUUUAAAGUUAUGAUUAAUUUUCAUGUAUAGUUCAAAAAAAAUUUAUAUAAUUACAUGCAAGUCUUUUUAAAUUUUAUUAUAGAAAAUACAAGUAUAAAUUGUAUAAUAUAAAAAAAAAUAUGAACUUAUUAGAUCAAAACUUUGAUAUUAGAGAGAAUAUAUAGUAGUUGUGGUGGUAAUAUGAUAUCUGAUGACUUAUAUAUUAGAGUGUAUGGAAAUAUAUGACAUAAUUAUCUUUGUUAAAAUAUUAAUAAGGUUAUGAUAGGAACUUUAAAAAGAUAUGGUAGCUUAUUUAAUAAGCUGCUCAUGAAAAGCAAUCUCUAUCUGCUUUUAAAAGUUACUGUCAAAAUGGAGAAAAUUAUAAAAUAAGAGUUUUUAUAAAAUUUACCAAACACUAUUUUUGUCACAGAUUAUGAAAUAGACAGUUUAUUGAGUUUUAACCUCAAUCCCAAACGGGGUCACAAUGCCACAUGAGAAGCACUUAUUGAGAGCUUAAUUUGUGAUUGCAGUUUUUACAAAAUUUACCAAACACUAUUUUUGUCACAGAUUAUGAAAUAGACAGUUUAUUGAGUUUUAACCUCAAUCCCAAACGGGGUCACAAUAGCCACAUGAGAAGCACUUAUUGAGAGCUUAAUUUUGUGAUUGCAUGAGUUUUUUUUAUUUAUUUUCUUUUUCUAAAUGAUUUAAUUUUUUUGCACAUAUGGCAUCAAAUGCGAGUGCAUUAUAGAAUAAAGGAAAAAAAAAGAAAAAGAAUGCAUUAGCCUACGCACCUUCUCGUUAAAAAGCAGAGUUGAAGUAUCCGAACUGAUCUCGUUGGAACUAGCUGUCAAUACCUCUUGUGACUCUUGUCUGUUUGGUGAUGUGGAAGGAGUCUUCACUUCACGGCAAAACCUUGUAACCUUUGGAAGCUUUCCCUGAGUCAAAGAUCUUAAUUGAUCAAACUCUAUCUUUUCAUCAACAUCAACAUCAGCUUCUCCUCCAGUUGCAAAAAUUUCUUCCAUGCUGCUGCAAUUGAUAACUGCAAUCCUCUCAAGUCUUGGAAGGCAUUUUGUACUACGAGAGAGCCAGAAGAUAUUACUCAACUCAUCACAAUUUUCCACUUUUAUGGUUUUGAGUUCAUUGAAGGACUCUUUUUUGAGUCGAUCAAUACAUAUCCUCUCCAUAUUGGUCAAAUUGUGAAGAGUAAGGGACUCCAAAAGAGGAAAGGCGAUACAAGGUUCCAAUUCUAAAACAACAUUCCUGAUUCCUUGCAACUUAUCCAAACAUAAGUAUUCAACGUUAUUGAUGCCCUGCAACUUCUUGGAGCAAAUGGCCAUAGAAUCAAGCUUGAGCUUCAAUGUUCUUAAACUCUCAUGAUUACUGAUCAUAAAGUGCGGCCGACUUUGAAACCAGUCCUUCCCAAUAACAUUGGUAGAGUCAAAAGAUCCAUCUCCUAUUGAUAUAUCAAACCUUUCCAGCUUUUUGGUAAAAAAGCCAUCUGGUAAAAUGCUAUCAUUUUUAACAUCUAUUUUUAAGGCGGUCAGUCGCUGCAAAUGCAUCAAUUCAUCGAGGCUGGCAUUACUUCUUUCACUAUUGGCUUUUCUCACUUCCCAUUCAAUAGAGCAGUUACCCAUAUACAGUUCUUCCAAUCGAGUGAAGCUUGAUAAGAUAUUGGGCACAAUAAAUUUUAGUUGCAAGCAAUCUGUUAAAUCUAGCAUCCUUAACUUAGUCAGUUGACCUAGUUCGUCAGGCAACAGUACAAUAUCAGACUUUACAAAGCUAAGGAUUUCUAGAUUCUUCAACUUUCCAACUAUGGCUAUGUCUCCCAACAUGCUUUGAUCAAGACACGGUGUUUGAAGAUUUGCUAGAAGACCGAUUGAAGAUGGCAAUGAAAAUAAUCGCACUCUUGUCAAAUCUACGACUCGAAGCUUUUUCAUCCCUUUGAAAAAGUUGUCAGGAAUAUUGACCUCGGAAAAAGUGAUUUGGGGAUCAAUAUAUAAAAAUUCAAGUUGCAGACAUUCAAAUUCCUCAGAGACUUCAUGAAUGCUACUAUUUAAUAAAGAGAUUGCAGAGCAUUUUUUAAGUGCAUCCUCAUCAGGCCACUCCCACACAACCUCAUUUCUCACCAAGAAAACAUGUUGGUCUCGACAUGCAAUUGAUACGGCAACAUCGCAGACAACAUCAUGCAUGGAAAAUUGUUCACUGCUAUCACCCUCAAGCAAUAAACAAGAGUCUCUAAGUUCAUGGACCAAUGCAUAUAAUUUGUUUCGUGCAUCUACCAUCCUGUUGACUCCUUGAAAUAUGCCCAAACCCAUGGAGUAUUUAAACAAGUCUGUAAACCAAAAACUGUUACCUAUUAGACUACAGAGCAGAAAAAUUUUCUUGAGUUGCUCACCUUUUAAAUACUUGAAACUCAGUUCAAUACUUGAAUAAGUCUCUGCAGGCACACCUUCGAAGUUUACCACUGAAGGCGUUUGGAGUUCUCGCAAGGCAUUCUUCCACUCAUGCAGACUCUUGUUUCUCAGUGCCCUCGCUACUGUAGUCAAGGCAAUGGGCAAACCUCCACAUGCCUGGGCUACAUUAAUUGCUGUAGACUUGAACUUACAAUUUUCAACAUCAUCACUAUUCAUUAUCUUCAACAAUCUCCAAGCUUCUUCUUCAUCUAGAUUGCCAAUCAAGAAGUUAUCUUUGGAGCCCAUACUUAAUAGUACAUUAUUGUCUCUUGCUGUCAGCAGUAGUCUACAUCCUUUAUGAUCAUUUCCGAAGGGACUUCCAACCGUCUCCAAAUCAACAUGUUUCCAGAUAUUAUCUAGAAUCACAAGAAUCUUAUUCUCACUCUUCAAUCGUUCAUACAGCUUGCUAGCUCUUCUAUAUUCAGCUUCAUCGGACAACUUCUCUGCAAUUUCCCCUCGAAUCUUUUUUACCUCUGGAGUUUAUGAAACCUCUGAAAAAACCACCCGAUCAAACAGCUUCUUUUCCCUGGCUUGCCUAGCAAACUCCUUCACCAGUGUGGUCUUUCCAAUGCCGCCUAUGCCGUACACCCCAAUAAUGCUGACAUUCGCCUCCGUCAAUGCAUUUUUUAUAGACUGCAAAGUAGAAAGUCUUGAUUCGAAGGCCUCGUAACCAUUGCUAGACUUAAGCCAUAUCUCCUCCCGAAUGGUACGGUGGGAAACAGUAUCAAACUUCUUAACUUCUUCUCCAAGUCAAUAAUGGCCUUCACCUCCGUCUCUGCUUUCUUGCCAAGCUGAUAGCGGGUCUUCAAAUUAGGACACAAGCCCUUGAGACAGCGCUUAUUUGUUGACUCCUCAUCUUCAAUGAAUUUGGCUGCCGGUCAAUGAUGCCGUUCGCACUAACCUGCCACUUUUCAACGUUCUCUUCAAUCUCUUCCCCUUUUUCUUCCGCCUCUGAAACUCUGUGCUGAAUGCUCGUACGUUCAACCUUCAACUUCUCCAUUUCCGCCUUGAUAUUCUCAAAGUUGGCAUUGUAGUUCCGCUUUCGCAAAUGCACAAGUUGGCGUUCAGUUGGAGGAGCCAAGCAUUUUACAAGUUCCAAGACGAUAGUCACAAUGAUUUCCAGCAUCUCGAAUCCUGACAAAAACGUAGAAGCGAAGAAAGCCAAAGGAAAGUAAAAACAAAGAGACAGCGAUAGGACAGGCAGUUCGUGUUUUUCAGAUGAAAUGCAGGAAACAAGAAAACGGUUUCUAUCACGACGUAAAGAGCUAAAAGAGCUGAUGGGUGCAGAAUAAGAAAUGAGACUGAGUGAGCAAAGCUAAAUAAUAACAGAACAAGAACAAUGAUGAAUAGAAGAAACAGUAGCAAAGAGCCGUUUAGAUGAUUAGAAUGAAACUAAGCGACUGGAAAGAGCCGAUGGUAGACUAAAGAGAAAGUGAUUGAUUAUUUUAGGAGGCCAAUUAACGUAAUGACAGAUCCGGUUUCGAUGUUUGUAAUUUGAGUAUGAGGUAAAUCGAUUCUUUGUCGAGCCAGUCAAAUACAAAGGCAAAUUAGUAAAACACGAGCCAGCAACUUUUACUCACACAAAAGCCAAUAAUAUAUUGAGAUCACGCAACAUUGCAAUAAAGUUAUCAUCAAGUUGUAGCCUUCUUAUUCAAUCAAUUAUAGCAUUAUCUCUAGCUCUGUAUUUUUCAAAAAAAAAUUAUUCAAAAGAUGUCUGUCAUUAAUUUUUCAAUGAUUAAAAUUAUAAUUUUUGUUUAAUAUAUAAAACGUAAAAUUUUAAAAGAAUCAGACAUGCAUUAGGGUAAAAAUAAAAAAUAUGGAGGUAGCUUUUAACUAGGUAAUUGGCUCAACUAUGGAUCAGUGUGACAUUUUAGUAUUAAGCAAACGGAACUUUUUUUUAAUUAAAUUAAUCUCAAAGUGAUAGGCUUCUCAUGAAUCAUGUAAUGUUGUCGUUUUUAAAGACUUGACAUUUUGGGGUAAUCAUAAUUAACAAUGCACAUCACUUGUUUGUCACAAUGUCCAAAUAAAUAAUUUUAAAAAAAAAAGUUAUUUUCAUUCUUUCUUUUCAGGUAUCCUAAUUCCUUUUGCAGUUUGAUUCCUCUUUUCCUGAAUUUUGUUCCUUCCAUUAAACUAAUAAUUUAUUUAAGGAUAAUUAAGCAUCAGCCCUCAAUUGUUCAGUAUUUCACACAGUGCACCCACAUCUUUUGACCAUGUGCACCUCCCCCUAUUUCUAUUAAAAAAUCAACUAAUCUAACUAUUUAGGCUGUUAUAAAUUUAAAAGACUAUACUACCCCUAUUUUGAAAUGAAUUGGGUAUAUAAGUACUAAAAUACCCUCACAACUAAUAAAAUUUAAAUCAAAAAGUAAAAAUUUAUUAUAAUAUUUUUAAAAUUAUAUGGAAACAAUUUUUUUUUCCGGAUUACGAACCCAAGAUUAUAACCUAGUAAAUUACAAAAUCAGAGGCAAAGCAUGAUUCCAAUGUGAAAGAAAAAAAAUCAAACAUUCAUCAGUACAUUACAAAAUAAGUCCAAUAAUCCCACUAGAAUAAAUAAAACCCAAUAGAAAGAAACCCUAAACUAAUGAUACCAAAAUCCAUGAGAGCAAAUUUCAUUGUAAAAUUCUAUUACAAAAUAAAUUUAUAUUAAGAAAAUUCGAUAAAAAGAAACCCAAUAAUCAAAAAUCUUAAAACUAAAGAUAUCAAACCCAAAAUUAAAUUAUAGAGGCGGCGAAGGAAAAAGGGUUUUUUUUUUAAUUAUAUAUAUUAUUUUAAUCUUGUGUUAAUUACCAUUCUACCCUUCUUUCCGUUAACAUUAGAUUUGAAAGAAAUGAGGGUGGUGGACAUGGUCGGAAGAUUGGGGGGCACAAUGCAAAAUGUCGAAACAAUUGUGGCUAAUGCUAAAUUACACAUUAUUUAAAUUAAAUUAUCCUAAUUGUAUUUGACUGUGACUGUGACCGGAACCGCUACAAUCACUUAGUAUUUUUAUUAAUUAAUUGACAAUAAUUUCAUCAUUAGACGGUACUAUGAUAGUUUUGUCACUAUGUUUGUUACCAUCUCUCAAAAAAAAAAAAUUACUUUUACAUGACGAAUUGUGUAACAACGAUUUAAUGAAAAAUAAAAAAACAGCACGACAUCUCGUGGCUUAACAUGGUAAUCAUGAAUAUCCCUUAUUUUCAAAUAUAUAUAUAGACCUCUUUUUGUAUUUAAAAAUAGUUACAUAGAUCCUGAAUUUGUGUGUCCGUGGAUAAAUUUUCAUGAUCAUUUUUUAAAAUAAGGGAUUUUUGUGACUAUUUUGUCACGUCCGAGGAUGCCGCCGUUCUUGUCACCAAAAAUUAUUCUCAUAAGAGUAAUGAUUAAUUGGACGUCAGCAAUGAGGGCAUGUAAUGAAAAAAAUUUGUUUUGGAUGGGAUCCAAUAAUUUUAAUUACCAUGGUGGUGACAGACCCAGUUGCAAAAUCAACUGAUUUUACAAUUCUAUUGAAAAUUCUUUAAAUGAUCACUUAUCUAGUUCUACUAUAUCCUUAAGCAUAUUGAUUUUGUUACUUAUUUUCUAGUACUUAUAUUUAGGCAUUGAAAUUGGAUUGCAUAACUAAGACGAUUACUUGAGCUGAAAAUUUUUCAAGUAUGGUGGAGGGGAAAGUGAGAGAGUCGCGGCUGAAGAAGAAAUAUUAUGAGAACUGCUAAGGCUAUAAGGCUGAUAAGCUUAAAGAGUCGGAACGAGGCUUACCAAUUCGCAAGCUUUUAUAAUUUGGAUUGUUGUGCUUGCAACUGGUAAAUUUUUCAACUUCAACUCGAUAUAAUGAUUUUUGAGAGAACCAUUUGUUGAUGCUGAAAUCUGCUCGUCCUUUUCCCGACCAGAUCUUUACACCAACGUUUAUGUAGUCAAUAGUGAGGAUGUCAAUUUCUUCUUGCUUCAACGAUCGCUCUAGUCACUGAAGUUGGAAUUGUCCUUCCUUCUCCCACUGAGCCUGCGUUCACAAAAGUAGAUAAGAGACGCCGGUGGUUUUACCGGCGUAAACCCUCCGAUGCCUAAGUUAGCACAAGGUGUUUACGGGAAAACGGUGCAAUUUGGAUUCGAUAAGUUGCUUAUAAUUGGCUCACAGUUUGUAUUAAAAAUGGUCUGGUUGCAAUUUGGUAGAGUUUUCCCUUCUCUCAAUUUUUAUGUCCCUUUCUUCAUUGAUUUCUUCCUCUUUUAUAGCCGUUGUCCCACGUUUCCGUUCACCCUUCAUCCCCCCUUAUCUCGGGUAGUGGCAGCCCCUCAUGGGACUCCAACCGCCAUAUCGUGGGUAAACGUGGGACACUGUGUCUCCCUCGACGGUUCUGGGCAUAGCGCAACUGUCGUGCUUUCGUGAGAUCGUGUUCCCGCUCUUUGGAGAAUGGGUAUAUGCUCGGUAUAUGUCUCUGGUCGGCCCAUGUUUGUAGAGGGCUCAUUAUCAGUGUUCUGCUCGUAUCAUUUGGCUGAGGUGAUCCAUGCUGGGGUGGGGGUGAUGGCCUGUCUGUGCUGGUGCUCUUAUUUACUCAACACCAGUCCCCCAAUUUCUGAUCUUGCGAGUGAAACGAGUUGAGAGUAGAAAUUGAAGUCUGCUCGUAUCUUAUCGAUCCUGGGAACUACCCAUCUGGUUCUCAUGUUAUUGUGGUGGGUCUGAGGUUCCAUCUCUCGUUUAAGGAGAUAUCGACCUUAAUAUGGGCCUUGACGAAUGUAUCUAGUAUCUACUUGAGCUUACAUCUCGUCGAGCCUUUUAUAACGGUUAGUGACGUGGCGCUUCCCGACUCUUUGUAUUUGAAAUUCGAAACGACGGGCUAUCCAUCCUCGAUAUACGGUGAGUGAGCUGGCAUCCCUAUCACUCAAACGCUUCCAUUUCCCCCUUUUUGUUUCAAAUCCCUAAACUAAAGUCAUCCUCGUUUUGCUUAUUCGCUUCUCCACCGGAAGACAACUCCUUCGAACUUUAUUCACACUUUCCGCGUCUGGGAUCUCCAUUUGCUGGGUCUUUUCUCUGUUACAGCAACGCUUAUCAGUGCCAGUCCAUUCCAGGUAUAGCCUUUAACCUCUUCUCUGGUUGUUGUUGAUUGGGUUUUGUAUUGUGGGUUCUGUGUUUGUCCCUUUUUUGUAUCCAUACUCUUAGAUAUUUUGUGCUUUCCCUUCUUAAACUUCGGUAUGUCCAACCGAAAAGGAAAAAGAAUUAUAGUCGAGAGCGAUGAAGAAAUAGAGGAUUCAUAUCCUCAUUUGUUUGGACCCAAUGAUCUUCUUCACUCCUCUCGCAGUGUAGGUCCCUCCUAUCAUAGGGAUACCCCUGAAUACCCUCGUCCCUUGGCCACUUCACCCUCCCCUGAAUUAGAGCUUGUAGGAAAUAGAGGUGGACCUGCGUCGGGCUCUAGUGAAAAUCAUGGUUCUGGUGGGGUUGGGGUUCCUGAAGAAGUGGGUGAUGGUAAGGGGAGCAGUUCUGAACCAAGCAGACCCCCUCAGAAGAGAAACCUCGGCCAUAGGGUGGAGGCAGAUUCUUACCCUAUUGAUUACAUAGCUUGUGCCACCACCCCAACUGACCAGUUCAAACUUAGGAAUCUUUACAACAUUCCCGAGGAGGUUCUCCUUGUAAUUCCUGGGAAAGACGACGUUCCUAGUCGGCCUCCGAGGGGGUAUGUGACGAUGCACCUGGAGAGUUUCAAACUAGGAGCUCGGCUGCCCCUUCAGCGCUACUUUGCCAAGAUACUGGGUGGUAUGCACCUGGCCCCAUGUUAGCUACACCCAAAUGGGUGGAGGGUUCUCUCAGCUAUGUAUGUGCUAUGGGAGAGGUGCGGAUCAGAGGAACCUUUCCUUGUUGAAGUAAAGCAUCUGUACCAACUGCGGAGUAGCCCAAAGGAAGCGGGUUGUUACUACUUCAUGUCCAGCUCUGCAAAGAGGAAGCCGAUUACCGGGUUUCCUUCUUCAUGUAAAAAUUGGAAGAACAAAUUCUUCUUUACUAGAGGAAAUUGGUGUCUAGCAGCCCGGUCGCUUGGUGGUGAUAUUCACCUUCCAACGCGCUUUGUCACCCCAGGUCGUUUAUUUAUUGCCUAUUUUCUUUCUCCAAUCGUCACUUAUUGGGUUCUUUAACCUUGUUUGCUAUUUCAGAGUCGUGGAGUUUGAUCGAGGGGAUUGAAGAGAGACCUUUGCUCCAGGUAGAGACUGCUUUGGUGAACGCGUCUACCUGCCAAGAUCUUUUGUCGUCAACAAACCUGGUCGGGUGGCGCUCAGUGGACAUAGCUGUCGGAAUGGACAAUAAGAUCCUCAGUGCAAUGACCAGAAAGCGUGGUCGGGCUUCAAGUAGCCCCAGUAACCCUCCUCCCCCUUCGAAGAAAACCAAUGUUGGUCCAUCCAAGGCUUCUGCUCCUGCUCUGCUCCCUCCUCCACCUCGAAAGAAUGGAGGAGAGAAGGUGACUACCAAGAGUCCUGAGGUCAGUAUUCAUUCAGGAGAUCGAUCCUCUCCUCUUCCACCUCGGGAUCAAGGUGACUAUCUAACCCCAUAUCAGAUGGACUAUGGGAAGUCCGUGGGGCCUAAAAUGAUUAAGAACAUCGAGAGCAUUAAUCUUGGUGAAUUGGCUGGUUCUGUCCAGCAGGUCUCCUUCAAGCUGGUUACUUUGGUGUCUUGUUAUAAGAACAGGGCCAUACGUCAUGAGAGGAGGCUUCAGACUAAUAACCAGGACCUGAAGAAGAAAGUUGAGUUUGUCGACCGCUCGAAGGAGAAGCUGCUUGAUCUGCACAAGCAAAUCAUGGACCUGGAGGAGAAAAUGGCCAUGGCUGAGUCCACCUCCAUCAAACUUGAGAAUGAGUUAGGUGAUCUGAAGUCUGAUCUCCAGGCCACUCAGAGUGAGUGGGACACCUUGAAGACGGCUCUUGAGGGAGAAAUCAAAUCUCUGAGUGAGCAGUUGGCCGAGGCGAAAGGCAAAUCUGCUGAUGUGGAUGAUCGGCUGGAUGCAGAGUAUGACUCUGGGGUUGCUUUCUACUAUAAAUGCAUUAUGUCUGUGCUUAAGGAAGAGUAUCCAGAGCUUAAUAUGAGCAAGCUUGAAGCUGGAGUGCAGAGGUAUAUGGCCGAGGUCGAUCAGGGGGACAAGGAGCAGGGUGACCAAGACCAGGUGGAGGCUCCCUUAGGUGGGGUGCAGGAGGAGGAAGCAGGGGAUCGUGCUCCUGAAGUAGGUCAAGGGUCAGUGCUUCCUCCCCCCGAUGCUGCUGAUCCUCUUCCUCUUGAGAUUGCUGAUCUUUCAGUUGCUGAGGUUGCUGAACCUCCUAAUCUUUAGGCUUAUUUUUGUAUGAAUUUUCAUUUUGUUUGCAAACGCUCGGAUGUUUAUAAAUUUUUGGAUGCUUUCUAUCGGCCUUUCUAUCUGGUUUUUUGCUCAUGGAUUGUUUUUGCAAAUUAACUUGACAACUUAUUUGAUUUUGCCUGCUGGCUCUUUGGUGGACCGAGCAGGAAUAUGCGCUUACUUGCCUUAGUAGAAUUUCAUAAAACUGCCUGCUGGUCCUUUCGGCGACCGAGCAGGAAUAAGCACUUGCUUGCCUUAGUAGAACUUCACAAAAUUACCUGCUGGUCUUUUGUUGACCGAGCAGGAAUAGGCACUUGUUUGCCUUAGUAGAAUUUUGUAGAAUUGCUUGCUGGUCUUUCGUUGACCGAGCAGGAAUAGGCACUUGUUUGCCUUAGUAGAAUUUUAUAAGAUGCCUGCUGGUCUUUCGUUGACCGAGCAGGAAUAGGCACUUGUUUGCCUUAGUAGAAUUUUGUAAGAUUGCCUGCUGGUCUUUCGUUGACCGAGCAGGAAUAGGCACUUGUUUGCCUUAGUAGAAUUUUAUAGAAUUGUCUGCUGGUCUUUCGUUGACCGAGCAGGAAUAGGCACUUAUUUGCCUUAGUAGAAUUUUGUAAGAUUGUCUGCUGGUCUUUCGUUGACCGAGCAGGAAUAGGCACUUGUUUGCCUUAGUAUAAUUUAAUGGGCUUGCUAGCAGGGGGAUUUCAUGCUGAAUUCAUCUUUAUUAAAACUUGAAUACAUUACAAAAAUGCGAAAUAUAUGCGUGUGCAACAAGUCAUCAUGCAUUUAAUAGAAAUAAUUUAUCAAAAUAAAGACUUAGUAGAGCACUUUGCUUACUGGAAAUACUUCUUCAUGUGCUCGGCGUUCCACGACCUCUUCACGUCUCGUCCAUUUGAGUACGCUAGCUUGUAAGCUCCUGGUCCAGUCACUCGUAUCACCCUGUACGGGCCUUCCCAUUUCGGGCCAAGAGCUCCAUGGUUAGGAUCCCUAGUGUUUUGGUUCACCUUCCUAAGUACCCAAUCCCUUGCUCGGAACUGCCUCACGCGUACGUUCUUGUUGUAAUAACGCAUGACUCUUUGCUAACACUGGGCCACUUUCUGCGAGGCCCCUUCCCUUUUCUCCUCUAGCAGGUCCAGGCUCAAGCAGAUCUGCUCGUCGUUUUGCUCCUCAUUGAAGUAUUCUGUCCGAUGUGUCCCCACUCCAAUUUCUGCUGGGACUACCGCCUCAUGACCAAAAGUCAAAGCAAACAGAGUUUCCCCUGUGGCGGUUUUGUGAGUUGUCCGGUAAGCCCACAAUACUCCUGGUAGCUCGUCGACUCAAGCUCACUUCUUCUCUCCUAGUUUGAUUUUCAGGAGUUUCUUUAUUACUUUAUUGGCUGCUUCCACAUGUCCGUUUGCCUGGGGGUGUGCGGAGGUGCAGAACUUCAGGUCCACCCCCAAGUUUCGGCAGAAUUCUCUGAAGUUGUUGUUGUCAAAUUGCCUCCCAUUAUCUGUAAUGAUGGCAUAGGGGAUCCCAUAUCUGCAGAUGAUAUUCUUCCAAAUAAAAUCCGUUGUUUUUCUCUCCUUGAUUUGGCUGAGGACUCCCACUUCUACCCACUUGGUGAAGUAGUCUAUUGCCACAAUUGCAUGUGUUGCCGCUCCUCGGCCCUUAGGUAAUAGACCAAUCAGGUCAAUUCCCCAUUGGACAAAAGGCCAUGGGGAUGUCAUGGUGGUCAGCUUUUCUGGGGGUUGUGCAGGAACCUCUGAGAAGCUUUGGAAGAUUUUACAGUUCUUUGCCAUCCUCUUCGCAUCCUGGUGCAUGGUUGGCCAGAAGUAUCCUUGCCGGAGUGCCUUAAAGGCUAAAGUUCUCACUCCCGAGUGAUUGCCACAUAUUCCUUCAUGAAUCUCCCUCAGUACAUAAUCUGCUUCCUCGUCAUCCAAACACCUCAAAAGGGGUAAGGUGAAUCCUCGGCGGUAGAGCACCCCAUCGUGUAGCGUAUACCUUGCUGCUCGGCAUUUUAAUUUCCUUGCUUGCCUCUUGUCCUCUGGUAAAAUGCCAUCACAGAUGUAUAAGAGAAUCGGGUCCAUCUAGGAUUCCUCGGUGCUUAUUCUCAUUACCUCAACUUCCUCCCUUAUAAUUGGCGAGGUCCUCACCUCUAGUGGAACUGACUUAGAUAAUUUCGGAUCUGCAAUUGCAGCCAUUCUCGCUAACAUAUCUGCUCGGUAAUUCUCAUUCCGGGAUAUCUGCUUUACCUCUACCUCUUGGAAAAGCCCAACCAUCUGCUUUGCCUUCUUCAAAUAAAGCCCCAUCUUCUCUUCCCUUGCUUGGAACUGAUCACUGAGCUGAUUACAGACUAAUUGGGAAUCUGCUCGGAUUUCUACCUUUUCUGCUCUUAGUGCGUCCGCAAGUCCGAGCCCAGUGAUAAAGGCUUCAUAUUCAGCUUGGUUGUUCGUGAGCUGAAACUCGAACUUCACUGCAUAAGUUACUUCGGUCCCUUCUGGGCUUCGUAUUACAAUUCCUGCUCCGGACCCUUGUUCACUACAUGACCCAUCAACCUUUACUAGCCACACCCCAUCCGGUUUAUCCUGCUCUAUUGGUUGCUCCUCCCGAAUUUCUUCCCCCGGUUCAGCACGGUCAACCAUAAAAUCGGCCAGGGCUUGGGCUUUGAUUGCUCCUCGAGGCCUAUAGGAUAGGUCAAAUUCGCUCAGCUCCACGGACCAUUUUACUAACCGACCUUAUGCAUCUGGUUUUUGGAGCAUUUGCCGAAGAGGCUGGUCAGUCAUCACAACUAUUGGGUGGGCCUAAAAAUAUGGUCAGAGUUUGCGCGCUGCCGUUAUUAGAGCUAGUGCCCAUUUCUCCAUCGGCGGAUACCUGGUUUCUGCGUCUACUAGGGCCUUGCUUGUGUAGUAUAUGGGGUGUUGCUUUCCUUCUUCUUCUCUGACUAGCACCGAGCUGGUUGCCCAUUUUGAGAUUGCUAAGUACAAAAAUAGUUGGUCACCCUCUCUCGGAGUUGAUAGUAACGGGGCGCGAGCCAGGUAAUCCUUCAACUGUCCAAACGCCUCCUCACAUUCUAAUGUCUACUCCAUCUUUCUCCAUUUUUUUAUGGUUUGGAAGAAAGGGUGGCAUUUAUCUGUGGCCCGCGAGAUAAAUCGGUUCAUUGCUGCUAAUCGCCCUGUAAGACUUUGCACCUCUUUAACUGUUCGUGGGGACCUCAUUUCUGUCACCGCCCGUAUUUUUUCCGGGUUGGCCUCGAUCCCUCGGUGGCUCACCAGGAAUCCCAAGAAUUUGCCCGAACUAACCCCGAAUGCACAUUUGUCUGGGUUCAGCUUCAUUUCGUACUUCCUCAGCAAUUCAAAGGUCUCUUCCAAGUGCUUCACAUGAUCCCUUGGUUCUUUGGACUUUGUGAUCAUAUCAUCCACAUACACCUCCAUAGUGUGACCGAUCAAUGGUUUGAAGAUCUUGUUCACCAACCUUUGAUAGGUAGCUCCUCCAUUUUUUAGACCGAAAGGCAUUACCCUGUAACAAAACAAACCCAUAUUAGUUAUGAAGGUGGUGCUUUCCUCAUCCUACUCGUCCAUGAGUAUCUGGUUGUAUCCGGAAAAGGCAUCCAUGAAGCUGAGCAGACUGUGGCCUGCUGUUGAGUCCACCAAUUGAUCUAUUUUUGGUAGGGAAAAACUGUCCUUCGGGCAUGCCUUAUUGAGGUCCGUGAAAUCCACACACAUUCUCCAUUUCCCGUUGGCCUUCUUUACCAGUACUACAUUGGAAAUCCACUCUGGGUAUUUGGCCUCCCUUAUAAAUCCUGCUUUCAGGAGCUUUUCCACCUCGGCAUUUAUGGCCUCGUACCUUUCCUGGUUAAAGCACCUCCUUUUCUGCCUUACCGGCCUUGCUCCUUUCUUGAUCGCCAAUUUGUGGCAUGCUACCAUGUGAUCAAUUCCUGGCAUGUCCUCAUGAGACCAGGCAAAUGUGUCUGCAUGGGACUGUAAACACCUCACCAGCUCGCCCUUUAUUGUCUCACCCAAACUUGACCUGAUCCUAACCACUCUGUUCGGGUUACUCCUACUUACAAAGACCUCCUCCAGAUUCUCAACAGGUUCCUGGCGGCCCUUUUUAGAAUCCCCUCGGUUAUCUAGAGAGGUAACCUGUAGCGUCUCCUUAGCCGCUGUAGCAUAACAGCUCCUUGCCAUUCUCUGGUCACCUUUUACUACCCCAACAACUCCAUUUACUCUAUACUUCAAUGCCAGAUAAUACGUGGAUAUAACGCAUUGGCUUAUCCUCAUGAACGGUCUCCCCAGUAUCAUUUAGUAAGGGCUUCUUUCUUCUACCACGACAAAGUCCAGCAUCAUCGUUCUUUCAAACGGCUUUGACCUCAUAGUAAUCGGGAGUUCGAUGAUCCCCAUGGGAGUUAACCGUCCCCCUCCAAAUCCCUUCAAAGAUGUAUUCGUCCGUUCCAGUUUCAAGUCUGAAAUUCCCAUAUCAUCUAAGGCCGACUUAAACAAGAUGUCAACCGAGCUGCCCGUGUCCACCAGUAUUCGCCGUAAUUCUGUACCAACCACCCUUGCUUUAAUCACCAGUGCAUCCUCAUGAGGAUAUAAAAUACCUUCUUCGUCGUCAUCUGUCCACAUAAUGGGAACCUACCGCACUUUGCCCUCUUGGCUGCUGGCAAAUUGAAAAGCACCUCUUUGCUGGUCAUGGCGUAUCUCCCAUAGUUCCUCCUUGCUCUGUUCGAAUCCCCGGCCAAUGUUGGCCCUCCUACUAUCACACGGAUAGUCGGUUGUUCAUGUUCCAGGCCCCUCUCAACUCCUUCAUCCCGCGUGUACUGUGAUUCAAUGACGGGGGACACUCCAUCUACAUAUUCAUCCAAGUACCGAUUUCUCACCAGAUCCUCCACCUGAAUCUUUAGGUCACGACAUUGGCUGAUAGUGUGACCAUGAGUAUCGUGGAAUUUGCAGAACUUGCUCUUAUCACGUCGGUGAGCAGGUUUUGUUAUAUGGGCCGGAGGGUAUAGCAGGCCUCGUCCUUCGAUCCUCUCAUACAAUUCUUCCAUGGAGAUUUUUAAUGGGGUGUACUGUCCAUACGCCAAGCUCUGGUCAACAAGUUGGACUACUCGGCUAUCAUGGAUAUCGCCCCGGGCUGAUAUCGUAGGCAACUAAUCUGGUCGUCCAGCCCUGGAGUUAGUUGUGUGUAGUGCUCUGGGAGCAUUGUGAUAAGGGUGGGCAGCCAACUGCCUGAAUUCUCGUUGCCGCUCCAGGAACGAGGGGCGCGGUGGUUGAGCUCGGCUGUGUUGGAGCUGUUGUGGUCUCUGAGCUAUGGGAUAGGGGCGGGACCGAGCUGAUAUUCUGCCCAUUACUGAGGAUUCCCUAGCUCGCUUUCCCGAUCCGCUCCCGUUCGGGGCUCUCCGUUCCUUUCGUCUCAGCUCUUCCAGCUGUUCGCUUUUUAUCCUCGCCGAUUUCUCCUCUUCGAUUUCUAUAUCUCUCCUCGCCUGAUCAUACCCCGCCGAAUAAUUCUGCACCAUGGGACUUAUCAAGUUAUACCACAGUCGGCCUAUUCUCACCCCUUCUUUUAAUCCCCUCAGUGCCUGCAGGUGAUUAAAAGCUCCCAGAUCCAGCACGGCUCGGUGAUAUCGUUUUAUAAAAUCCCGAAGGGAUUCAUGUUCCUCCUCUUUCAUCCCCAUCAGCUCCAUCAUGUCGUCCUCUAGGGCCACUGCUCCUCGAAACUGCUCGGCCAACUCUUGGCACGUCUGCUCGUACCCUUUUAUACUUCCUCGGGGCAGCUUGCGGUACCAUUCUUGGGCUUGUCCCUCUAGUGUCAACGGGAAUACCCUGCACCUCUGAGUUGGUGUCAGCCCCUGCACACCCGUCAUGUCAUUGAAACGUUCAAUAUGCACCAGAGGGUCACUUCGCCCGGAGUAUUUGAGGUCGGGGAAGCGAAAAUCUCUUGGGAUUACAGUACCCAUGAUUUCGGUUGAUAACAGAGACUCUUCAUCUAGCAUUAUCCUCCAGCUCGGGGGCUUUCUCUUGCCCUGAAUCUCCUCUAUCACCUGCGCCAAUCUGCGCACCUCUCCCUCCAAUUCUACAGCACGGUUAGGAUCGCGCGCAGCUAUCUGAUCUCGUUCCUGCUCGGCAUUCUGCAACCUCUGUCUGAGCUCUCCUUCAUUAACACUGGCCCCUCGGUCAUCAAUUUCCAGUACCUGUCCGGGGCGAGGUUGGUCCCUCUCUUCACCCACGCGCUCUCCUGGAACCCGACCAGUACUUCUAUGGGGAUGCACCCUAUUAAGUUGGUCCACCGGCGGAGGGAUUUUCUCGACUCUACGCCUCCGAAGGCUGGGUUCUGCUCCAACUUCAUCUCUCCCCAUGGGGGUUUCACAAUCCCUUCUCCGUUCAUCCCUCAGCUCAUAUAAUAUGGCCGUGAGAGUCUCCAUUUGUUUCUCCAUCCGCUCCAGUCGAUCUUGCAUUGUCCUCUCUUGAGCUUCAUUCGCAAUCUCCCUGAGAGUGAUUGUCUCAACAGUUUCAUUGUCAUCCCUCAAAGCAUCAUUCCUUGACGCAUCCAUAUCCAACCGUUCGCUGCUUCUCCGGUAACUACUAAUUUGGUGGUAGCUUUUUAUUCAACUCCCUACAGACGGCGCCAAAAUGUUGAUGCUGAAAUAUGCUCGCCCUUUGCCCGACUAGAUCUUUACACCAACGUUUAUGUAGUCAAUAGUGAGGAUGUCAAUUUCUUCUUGCUUCAACGAUCGCUCUAGUCACUGAAGUUGGAAUUGUCCUUCCUUCUCCCACUGAGCCUGCGUUCACAAAAGUAGAUCAGAGACACCGGUGGUUUUACCGGCGUAAACCCUCCGAUGCCUAAGUUAGCACAAGGUGUUUACGGGAAAAUGGUGCAAUUUGGAUUCGAUAAGUUGCUUAUAAUUGGCUCACAGUUUGUAUUAAAAAUGGUAUGGUUUCAAUUUGGCAGAGUUUUCCCUUCUCUCAAUUUUUCUGUCCCUUUCUUCAUUGGUUUCUUCCUCUUUUAUAGCCGUUGUCCCACAUUUCCGUUCACCCUUCAUCCCCCCUUAUCUCGGGUAGUGGCAUCCCCUCAUGGGACUCCAACCGCUAUAUCGUGGGUAAACGUGGGACACUGUGUCUCCCUCAAUGGUUCUGGGCAUAGCGCAACUGUCGUGCUUUCAUGAGAUCGUGUUCCCGCUCUUUGGGGAAUGGGUAUCUGCUCGGUAUAUGUCUCUGGUCGGCCCAUGUUUGUAGAGGGCUCAUUAUCAGUGUUCUGCUUGUAUCAUUUGGCUGAGGUGAUCCAUGCCGGGGUGGGGGUGAUGGCCUGUCUGUGCUGGUGCUCUUAUUUACUCAACACCAUUUACAAUGAUUUUGGCCUAUUGUGCUCUUCUAGUUUUGUCCUUAAUUCUUUGGUGAUUUUUUUUUUUUUCAGUUCUGCCGGUCGCAUCUCUCUUUCCCUUCCUUUAUUUUAUGGUGAGUGGACUGUUGUUGCCUUCAGCAGAGUAGUUACUAGUGAGAAAAUUUAUAUUUUUCUAUCAUGCUUGCUGAUUUUCUUAGAAAUAUAAGAAAAGACAAGUUUUAUCUGUCAAACAAUUCAUUGCUUUUUCACAGCAGUAUGUUAUGAUUUCUUUUCAGAUUAGGGAUUUUCACAUUGCAAAAAGGGAGUAAGAUAUUGGAUUCUAUGCUGGUUACGUGGGUGAGUUAUUUUAUGUAUUUUUAUUGUGUUUAAUAAAUGACACAUGGUAUGGAGUCCUUUUUUGGUACAAAUGUGCAGACUCGCGCCUUUACAACUCUGUAAAAACAUUCUAUUGAGGGCUUUACAACACUGUAAAGGCACUGUACAAGGGUUUUACACUGCAGACUUGCGCCUUUAUACUGUAAAGGGCCAAGUCUAUGCUUUAAAAAGUACAGAUGUUCGCACCUCGAAAUAAUUAACAUAUAUGUAUGUAACAUUUCAAAUUCCUCAAGAAGCCAUCCUGACAAACCUCUUAAUACCUUGAUGAAAUUGAAGGGUCUUCAUACAUGCUUGGCAGAGCUUUAACAUCUGUUUUGUGGGGAAUGGUGGCUGACCGCUGCGGUCGAAAGCCUGUAAUAUAAUAGGAUGCAUCACAGUAUUAGUGACCUCCAUUUUCAAAUGAUUAAGCUUGAAAUUGAUGAUACUUUGGCAAUUUCUGGGUUUCUUAUUUGUCUUAAAAUGCUCACAGGGUUUUUUUUUAACACUCUCUUUGGGCUUAGUGUGAAUUUCUGGAUGGCCAUAGCUACAAGGUUUCUCCUUGGGCUUUGAAUGGUUUACUUGGACCAAUAAAGGCGUUGAUUGGGGGUAUUUGUUGAUAAUUCCAAUUUAGUUCCUGAAAAUAUUUGUGCUCAAACUUCUCUUACACCACGAGGCAUAUGCAUGUGAAAUAUUGGGCGAUCAGCACCAAACUUAUUACGAAACUAAAAAUGUUACUUGUUUUCUGUACUUGCUUUCGCAUGCAUCACCCCCACAAAACUGCUUGACGAUUGUCCUCAUUUUGAACUUACUAUAGGUUUCAUUCUCCUUGUUUUUCAACUUACUCUGUACCCUUACAUCGAGAGGAUUAUUGGGCCAAUAAUCAUAACACGAAUUGCAGGGGGUAAUAUUUUGAACACCUCAUGCGGCAUUUGGACCAUUUGAUUGUUUGUUUCAAACAUAUCUGUUUAUAAAAUACUUUUCUUCAUGGUUUUGGUCCCAUAACUUUCUAUGUAUGUACGGGUUUUAUCGAUACCGCUUUUGACAAGUUACACUUACAUAGCAAUGCUAUCUGGGUUCAGCCUUGCCUUUUUGAUAAACUGUGCUUCUGUGAUGAAGAAUGUUUUAUCUGUAAGUGGAUAUCCUAAUCAUUGAUCCAUAUACUAAGGUUAUAUUAUCCAUCAGCAAGUAUGUAUAAAAUUAUUGUCUUUUUUAUUAGAAUUGUUGUAAUUCUUUUUUACUUUUCCUGAAUUGUAGAAUCAGGUGUCUAUAAUAACUGGAUUGUUCCUUGUGCAAAACAGAGCAGUGGUAAAUAUAUUUUCUUUUGUUUGUUUAGUACAUUUCCAUGCUUUCAGCUUUUUCAAAUUUUGUAUGUGCCAAAGUUUAAAUUAAUUGGUUGGUUUAUGGUAUAAUAAGAGGUAUGAUAAAUUUACUAAUGAAAUUUCUCACUAGUUUGUGAAUUACUUGGUGCUAAUUAGCUUAGUUAGCUGCUUAAACUAAAGUGCAGGUAACCAGAUGAUUUUUUCAUUCUGAAUUCGGUGGAGGCACUUGGAGUAAUAUUGACAUUCAAACCAUUUCUAACUCAACGUGCCCCGUGAAAUAUUCAAAUAUAUAUCAAGCAAAUUAAAGCUUUCAAAAUCUUUCAACAGUUUGAUUGUUUGAUGUGGUUGCCACUUGCCAUAUUUUGUGUUACUUUUCUAAAGGCUUAAAUAUGAAAAUGGUUGUUGGUGCUCACGCCAAUUGAUUGCUGGUAACAUUAAUUGUGCAGUACUUGUCAGAACUACCACAAUUUAUCUUCACAAUGAUGCUAGCUAGAAAGAAAAUUUCAUGUUAAGUAAAAUAUUGAAGCCAUAAAGAGUCUUAUUCCAGAGCCUUAUUAAGUACUAAGUUUUCUGCCAUGCUUUCAAAGUUUACAAAUUCGAAGCUUGGGAUUCUGUAACAAUGGAGGAUAAAAAUUAUAUAAGAAUAUUAUUUUGUACAAUUUUCAUACAACCAGACAGAAGCGAGCAUAAUUUUUUUUAUCAUAACUCAGAUCAAAAGACCUUCAAUGAUGUAUAAAAUGAAAUGAAAACGAUAGUUACCUCGAACUUUCUUCUUCAAAUUUCGCAGCACUAUGUAAUAAAUUAAAAAGCCUAUGGCAUCAGAACAUAUCGUACUGCGUCGAGAGAGACGACGACUCCUCCAACAGCUGAAAAUAAAUUCUCUCAUUCGUUAAUUUAAAGUAAAAUUUGUAAAUUUAGGUACUUGCACAUAGAGAUUUGCAAGGGGAGCGAGAGAUUCAAUAGCAGCAAUUUAAUUUGACAGGACUUUCAUUGAAUAAUGAAAUUAAAAACUAACGAUUAUUGAAUUUUUUAUAUUCUCUUAACUCUUGUGGAAAUGUCAGCUCUAAAUAGGACAGCUUCAAGAAUCUUUAUCUGAAAGUGUAAUUGGCAGAGCAGAAACUUGUGACACUAUCUAAAUCACAAAGACUCAACGUCUUCAAUUUGCUGAAAACAAUCUCUCGUUUUGAAUUUACAUUUGGAGCUCCAUCUUCUUCUUCGUCACCUAUUACCAUAUCUGUCAUUGCCCUGCAUCCAGCCACCUUCACUGAUACGAGCCGCACUAGACUUUUAGCUGCAGUGGAUUUUACAAUUCUUUGCAAUGGAAAACCACCAGUUCUGUUAGAUUCCCACAAGAUAUAGAUGAUCAUGGCAAUAGACUUAAAAGAUUUUUACAUGCAGUAAUAUACUCUUAAGUGGUGUUUGGUUGGGAGGAGAGAAUAGAAGAAAGGAAAGUAAUUUAAAUUCUCUUUUUAUUUCCAUUAUUUGGUUUGACAAAAUAUAUAAGAAUUUAAUUUCCAUUAGAAUUUGAAUUCCACACCAAGUAGUGAAAAAUUUAAAUUCCUCUUAUGUUAAAAACUAAAAUUUCCAAAACUAUCCUUCAAAUUUUUAACUUGUUUAAUGUCAUUAAUAAUUAUUAUUUAUAAUUUUAUUUUAUUGAUUUAAUAUUAUAAAUAGACCUCCACCGGUAAGUCGCCGGACCACUGUCGGACUUCGCCGGACCACCGCUGAACUUUCGCCAGACCACUGCCUAACUUCCACCGGAAAGUCGCCGGACCUCCACCGGAAUAUAGUUUUUCAUAGCGAAGAGCUUUGCUUUGAUGGCUUAAGGAUUUGUUCUAGGCAUACUGCUGUGAUUAGAUUUCGUUUAUUUUUAACUUUUUUUAAUCUUUUAUCCGAUGAAUGAUUUUCAGCUGUUCUUAAUUAUUUGUUCAUAGGGAAGAGCAUUUUCUAAGUACUUCCUUGCCUUCUAAGUUUCCGAAGAAAGAUAGGUGUGAAGCAAAGCAAACCAAACCAAAUGAACAAACAGAGCACAAACUAAAAUAACAGAACAGCAAUGAUGACAAUAAAUAAUUGGCAAAAAAAGAAAAGAAAAAAGCAUGCACAUUUUCAAGGAAAUAUAAAAUAUGAAGCUUUUAAUGAAAUUUUAUCAUAAAAAGUAUGCAAGUAUUUAACAAGAUGUUUGGAACGAUAGAAAAUGAAAGAAAAUUGAUUAAGAAGAUUCUGGAACAAUCAUAAUUCUUAUUGAUGAAACUGAUCAAAAUCGUACAUUGUGAACGAGCUCAGCACUAUUUAUAGUUACACACAUGCUGAUUAGAAAGUGUAGAGCUCAAAACUGCAAUAUUAACAAACUAAUUAACCUUCCAAUCAUAUUAAGCCAGCUGGACAGUUAGUUACAACCAAUCAGUACAAAUAACAACCUAAUCCAGCUUGGCAACUUUGUUACACAUCAUCAGCCAGCUCAGCUUAGCAAACUUACACUCUUAACAGCAAGGAAUUAUAAAAUUUUAGAAAACAAGGGGAACCCUAAAAAAAAAACUCAAAUUAAACUAGGCUAAAAGACAUUCAAUGAUGCAAAAUCUGUCCAUAAAAUUCUGAACGAAUCAUUAAAAUAGCAUUCCAAAUUUAACAGUAAACCGAGUGACCCAUUCUAAAUAAUUCAGAUGAAAUUGUGAAACAAGCCAUGAGAUCAAAUAAAUGAAAUAAAAAUUCGCAACUCCAAGUCAUAAGAAGCCUAUGAAAUUAGUCGUAAUGCGUAGACAACGACGACGGCACCGUCAACAGCUGAAAAUAAGAUUCUUAUUCAUCAAUUUAAACUUUUACUUUAUAACAAACAUCUUAUCUAUAUUUUAUUUAAAAAAAGAAAAUUUUGUAAAAUUUUUCCAUGGGAGAUAGAGAGUAAUAUGUAUAUACGUACCUUCUCAGCAUGUAAUUGUUGUAUGGUUGUGUUCAGAUCAUUAUUAGCCCAGCGCCGUUGAUCCGCUGUCUCUCCAUAGCAGACGUUUACUCUUGGAGGCGUGAUUGAUUCUCCUGUAGUGAAAAUCUUCAUCUUGGGACAACCAAUCACCCACAAAUCUUGCAAAGAUGGGAAUUUGAAGGUGUAGUUGGCAGAGCUGAAACUUGUGAAGCUAUCUAAAUCAAACAGUUCCAACGUCUUCAAUUUGCUAAAAACAAUCUCUUCUUUUUCAACUCCAUCUUUGUCAUUUAUUACCACCUCUGUCAUUGCUCUGCAUCCACAUACUUGCACUUUGACGAGUUGCACUAGAGUUUUUGCUGUGGAGGAUGUUACCAAGUGUAUCAAUCCCUUGCAACCGAAAGCCACCAGAGCUGUUAGGUUCUGAAAAGAUACCGAUGAUGAUGGCAAUAGAAUUAACAGACUUUGACAAUGAUGUACUUUUAGAAUUUCAAGAUACUGAAAAAUGGGGCCAAGUUUGGAGUCUUGUUUGCACAGCUGCUUCAGAUGAUAGUGCCGGUUCAGCUGUAAUUUUUUUAUCAUUGCCAACUUCCCCACAUGUUUCUCUAAGCUUCCUUCCUCCGAAAAUACCUCUUCGUUGAAUGAAAAAAAACACAGUAUGAGCAUUUCCAGAUUGUGAAAUCUCUCCAGUACGUUCCAGACUGGAAAACAAGCUGAGUCAUCUCCAGCAAUCUCUAGUUGUUUAAGACUGCCAAAAAGGUGUUGUGGGAAAUCGGCCUGCAAAAUCAUCUUCACAUCUUUUCCACUUAGUGAUAGUUCCUUCAAGUUGGGUACGAUCUGAUCAUCAUCAAUCAUAAUAACUAAUGAGGUCAAUUGAUGAUCUACGGUCACACGCAGUGACUUUAUAGUAUUUGUUUUAUAUUAUAUUUUUAAAAAAAAUUGAACUAUUGAUAAAAUUUAUUUUAUAUGUUAAUUUUAGAGGUAAAAAAGAAAUUAGGGAAAAAAGGUUGAUUUAUACUGGCUCGAAAUUAUUUUAUUGCACAAUAAUAAAUUACUAAUUUAUUUUGUAAGUUCUUCUAUAUGGAAAGACUAAGGAUUCUUUUAUAAAUGCUAUACCUAAAACAGUUCAUAUAAUUAUUAAUCUACCACAUUGAUCCCUUAGUCUAGACUAGCAAAGAUUAUUGUAUAAUAAAAAUUUUUAAUUUAUUGAGCAUUAAUUUAUCGAUGCUUUGUCAUAUUUUUCAAAGUUAAAAAUAAGCUAUUGAUAAAAAAUCUAGAAAAUGACUUCAUACCUUUUCCAACGGCAAUAGGAGCUGUUGUGCAGGAAUACCAAGUUGAUCAUUCUCAUUAUUCUGCGAUAAAUCUCCAGCGAAUAUCUUUAAUUUGUCACAACGAUACACUAAAAGACUUUCUAGCGCGGGCCAUUCCAAAGUAUGCAUUCCAGUGUACAAACAUCUAAGUUUUGGUAGAUGUUGGAGUCUCAGAGUGGUGAGCUGUGGAAAGACAAAAUAAGGGCUCACUUGAUCUGCUCUGUUUUCAGAAAUGAUCUCCUGUAAAUCCUCACAGAAGCGUAUAUCUAGGUGUUGGAGCUGCUUAAGGCUUCCGAUCAUAGACGCUGAAAAUAGGUAUUUUAAUUUGUGACAAUGCCGCACAGUCAAUCGUGUUAAAUUUUGAAAGCGAGGAAACAUGACCGGAAGAUGAUUGUAGUGCCAAAUCUUGUCGACAUUAAUUUCAGAUAUCUCCAAAGCCUCCAAGUUAGGCAACGCAAC
rnacentral:lncRNA from 1 species